rnacentral:lncRNA from 1 species
CAAUGUCAAUAUGAACAUUGUCUUGAUACAACUUUAUUUGUAUUUUAUUUCAGAAUUUAAACAACUAGUUUGGGCGGGUCACACACGACGUUGUGUGACACUUUAUUUGUCACCGCUGCAUCGACAUAUCCAUCGACUAAACAACGGUGAUCCAACUAUAUAUUACUAGAGACCUUUCCUUAUCAGUAGGCACCAACUCCGGUGCCAACGCUGAAUGGCACACUAGUGGUGGUUCUAUACAAGGGCACAUUGACACGGCACAUCGUUGGCAGGGUACGGAGCGCAAUGGAAGUCAUCACCUCAAGCUGAGCUAUCUGGUGUGGAUGCAAAAAGGUACCCUGUGCCAAUUGUUGUUGUUGAGGUUGUUGCCCGAGUUGCUGCUGCGACUGCUGUUGGGGUUGGGAAACGCAUUGGCCCAACUAUUGCGGUUGCUGCUGCUGAGUUUGGAUGGAACCCUGAACCUGUUGUUGUUCUUGCAGGACGAUGGAGUAGAUGAUAGCACGGAUUGCCUCAUAGCGGGAUUGCUGGGGGAUUUGCGGCAACUGCUGGCAACAUUGUUGUUGCAUCACAUGGCAACUGCUCUGCUGCAACAUUUGCGACCUAGCAAGACUUUGUGGCAUUGCCACAGGGCUGCAUUGCUGCUGGAGGAAUACCUUGCAUGGGUUUAGUUGCUGCAAGAUAGAUGGAUGAACAAAUGGUAUUUGUUGUUGCGGUAGAACUGAUUGUUGUUGUUGCGAAAAUGGUGGUUGUUGCGGUAGUACUGGUUGUUGUUGUUGCGAAAAUGGUGGUUGUUGCUGUGAAAAUGGUGGUAGUUGUUGCUGCGAAAAUGAUGGUUGUUGCGGUAGAACUGGUUGUUGUUGCUGCAAAAAUGGUGGUUGUUGCUAUGAAAAUGGUGGUUGUUGCGAUAGAACUGGUUGUUGUUGCUGUGAAAAUGGUGGUUGUUGCUGUGAAAAUGGUGGUUGUUGUUGCUGUGAAUAUGGUGGUUGUUGUUGCUGCGAAAAUGGUGGUUGUUGUUGCUGCGAUAAUGGUGGUUGUUGUUGUUGCUGUGAACAUGGUUGCUGUUGUGGAAAUGGUUGUGGUUGUUGUUGGAUAGGUUGUUCUUGUUGUUGGUGCCAUAAUGUUUGUUGUGGUGGUAAUGGUUGUUGCUGCGAUGGUCUCUCCAAACCAGGGAUGUGGCUAUUCUCCAUUUGUGCAAUGGCACUUGUCGCCGCAACGGCGAGGAGGGCAAAGAUGAGGAAGGUCUUCAUGGUGGAUUGGUGUUAACUAGUGUUGCUUGGUUUUGAUGCUUGUGCUUGUGACGAUCUUUAUACUUCAUGCCUAUUUAUAGUAGCCCGGGCACCACCUUUUUCUUCUUUGCAUUAGCUUUAAUAAUUUUGUUUGGAUGCAAAAAUGAUUUUUGGUACAAUGUGUUAGGUUGCACUAGCUACACGCGUACUUUUGGAUUGAUCAUCAAAGUUGCUUUUUAGUUGUGCAUAUGAUCACACAUAAAGUACAGAAACCUUGAUGUUUGGUAUAUAUGACUCACCUUAUUCACUUUACAUGUCACACACUUAUCUGGAUAGUAUCACUUUUGCAACCGAGUUUGGAACCUUGUAUAGGCUGUCAUCCAUAAACAAGAAAGGCAAAACUUGUGUAGGACUAAGUGUAGAACUAACUUUGUAUUUUUCCUCUAAAAUGAUUAGAUGAACCGACGCCUAUAGAGCAUGACAUGACUCAUCGAAUUCCCUUUACAUGUAAAGGAUGGUAAUUGCUUACAAGCUACUCCUACUAGCAUAUAUCCGGUCCUAACUCUUGACACGUCAUCAUCAGUUUCGCCUAUUUUUUUAGAUAAAUCAUCAGUUUCAUCUAUUUGUGAAGGGUUUUUUUGGGGGAAAUGAUAGUUUUUUUAUGCUAGGGGGAUUUUUUUGGGGGGGGGGGAUGACGCUAGGGGGAAAUGAUAGAUGGGGCUGGAACAGAGGCCCCCAGCCUGGAGCGAGAGAUUAGGCCCAACAUAAGUGCCGUGUGUUAGGGCACCAAUUCGAUUUGGGCUAUAGUUCUCGUAGGCCCCAACGACACAAGCCCAGCCCACACUCCGCGGAUCUGCGUCCCUCCCUUCCUCGUCCUCCUCGCCGGCCGGACCGCUCGCCGUCGCAGCCUCUCCCGGACGCCCACCGCUCGCGGCCCCUCCACGUACCUCCGCGGCAGCGGAGACGUCAGCCUCCCUCCCACCCUCAACAUCCGGCCCCCCACCACCACCACCACCGCUCGACAAAAAAGGUCACUUUUGAAGCUCCUCCGUCGAUUGUGGGCCGUACGUCGACGGCAGCCACUCCGACCUCCCCAUCAACACAAGGUAUCGAUUUGUUUCGUCUGUCUCUUCCAACGAUUCAAUGCACAUAAAUCCGAGAGGCAGACCCAUCUCCAUGCUAGCUGCACGGAUUAGGAGGGUCAGGCAUCAGAAUUCAGCUGGGAAGCCUGACAGUAAUGUACAUUUGUGGCUUUAGUAGCUGAAUAUAACUAUGUGCUUUCUGAGAAUUUCACUUCAAAAGUUCCAAUAAUCAUCAAAUUUCCCCCUAUGCGCGCUAAGCAGGUGGACCAUAUAUUUCUCAUGUCGACGAACGAAAAAACAAAACUCCACAACUAGAAGUCUAUGAUAUUGACACGGAACCGUGCUGUAGGGUCGCAAGUAAAAAUAUGAAAAGCAUGCCUAAUAAGCGAGAUGACGCAGUUCCUGACCGCCCCGCUACGACUAUUGGUUCCAGCGUGGCGUUUGAAUUAUGCCGCGCUAGAUGUCUUUUGUCCGGCGAGGAACAAGUGGGGUCAAGCGUGCUUCGGCAAUUCCCGCCGUCAGAAGACUUCCUUGUAGUCCGGUGUAGAGGUGAGGUUGUGGGGAGAUACAUCGACUAGCACUACUAGGGAAAAGGCUAGCAGCAGCGCGGGUUUUAGAUGUAUCAGUAGUGCGGGUACCCGCGCUACUAAUACGGCGCUACAGCUAACUCAUAGCAGUAACGCGUGAGCACCCGCGCUACUGCUACACAAGUGUAGCAGCAGCGCGGUUAUGAGAAGCUCGCUACCGCUAGUAGCGCUAGCGCUCUUUGGCCGGACGCUCUACUGCUAUUGAGGCGCUGCUGCUAACUUUUGUACACUCGCUACUGGUAAUUUAAGUAGUUUUUUGGCAUAUUUGUUUUGUAUUUGAACCGGCUUUGUAGAAGAAUCUUUAGCACAUAGAAAUGUCAUCAUGAUACACAUACAAAUGCCUGCGAGACCACAAAUGUAAUCAUAGCAUGUACAUACAAAUAGUCUCUUCAUAAUCAUCAUCCAACACAAAGUGAUAUCUUGUCAUCAUCUCGAAAAUAGCAAUACAUGCAAGUCUCGAAUACUUGCAACUACAACAACGUCAUCCAUCUAAACAAAGGUAUACGCAAGAAGUGCUAUCACUAUGAGUGAGAGCGGAACCAUGCAGUACAUGAGGUGGCGGUUAUGAGUCCUCUCUUGCGCUAGCGUGAACCUCAAGUAACUAGCUUCUCCUUCUUGUCUGCUUUUGAAGCCUUUAUGGCUGGCGCCCGUGAACCCAUUCACUUGCGCCUGACACUCAUGCCACUCGUUGUACACCCCCGGAACCUUCCCUUUGUACACGACAUAGCAUUUCCAUCUCGCCAUCAAGAAACUAGGUACCUGUUAGAGAUGCAUGUUCAUGAAGAGGAUGUACAAUCAUAUAUAUGCAACAAAAUAUACUAGAGCAACACUAAGAAAGAAAGGUUAGCAACUAGAUGCAACAUAUACAUUACGCAAAUUAAUUAACUAGAGGUACGCAGGUCAUCGUACGCAAACUAACAAAGUAGCGUUACGCAAGUUUGGCAGGGACCAUGGACAUCACAAAGUUUCAUCGCUACAAAAAGUAUACAAGUUCAACCGACACAUAUCAUCAUCAUCGGCAUCAUAAAUCACUAGAAGUUCCAUCCUUCCAUAUCAUCGAGGACGAACCCUAGCUGCUUGAACGGCGUGAGGUCUAGACGUUGCAUGCCUAUGCGAGUUCGGACGUCAGCUCGCGAUAUAGGGCCGUGGUGGAACAUCCCCUUCUCAUCGACGACUUCUUUCAUGAUGAUCAUCGCAAUGUCGCUUUGGAUGCGAAAGAAGUCAUCUCUAAGUUUAUAAUUCGCUUCUCCAUGAGAUUCUAGCCACUUGUGGAUAUGAUCAUCAUUUCUGCUGUUAAUGCGAAGCUUUUGGUGAUCCGUGUUGAACUGAAUCAUGAGAUGGACGAUGUAGAAUCCAUCCUUCUUGCUUGGUUUUGGGACGUGGAUGCAGGAGAAGUUAGUUUUAUGCGCGAAACCCAUCUUCUUGUUCCUUUGUUUCCUGAUAUGCACGUGGCCACCUCUAAAGUUGAAGCCUUGGAGAGCAUCAUCUAGAAUAUUCAUUAUGUGGGUGUAGUCCUUUUUCUCGUAGUCUCUAGAAGGGUCAAAAUACACGGCGUGGGAGACUUGCGGGUAAAGAAUGAUAAGGACGGCGCGCCCGUUGCUGCGGGGAAAAGACACCUCAAAUUAUUCCCCAUAUGAGAGAGAAGGAAUGAUUGAAAUGUACGAAAGGGUUGUCCGGAACUGACUUACUUUGGAUGAUAAGGCACGAGGACAAUUUCCCGGUCCUUAUUCUGUACCAUGAAGUUUUGGAGGUACUCCCUAGCAGUUUCACGCUCAAAGUCGCCGAGACUCAAGAAAGACUCGUGCAUGUAGUACGGAUCCGCCACACAGAUUUGCGAGACUUCUUCACUCUUCACGACGGAGCUCAUAUGUAGCGCAAAAAGGCGGACGAUAGUAAAAUCAAGCCGCCUUGUUAGAAACAUCUCAAAGAUAUGGUCAAACCGCAGGAAGAACACCUCCGUGGGCCGUGUGUCGACGUAGCACUUCCCCUCAGGCACACGAGCUGCGUAUGUCGGAUAUCCUGGAUCCUUUGAGGCUAGUAGGCUUUUCUCAGUCGACAGCACGUGGUCGUGCAGUCUCCUGAGAUUCCCUGAUAGUGCCUCCAGCGGUUUCGGCGGUAGCAUCGGCUCGCCCGUGAGAUGGAACAUGACCGCACCUUUCACGGGUACACGCUCUUCAGAAUGCAUCGUCUGGCUGCUGUGUGCUCUGGCUUGUUUGGAGGCAGUUACCUUCCCCAAUCUCUUCCUCUCCUUUUUCUUGGGCACACCUUCCAGACCCUUCCUUAACCCCUGCCCAAGUGUUCCCGGGCUAAGUAUUGUACGACCCUCACGCCCGGCUAGUUGAGCCUGUGUUGAGGCGGCAUCUUCAGGCGUGUCCUGUGAGGAUUUCAUGAAGAGAGACUUUUUGCAUUCCAUGGUACGGCCCUGCCCGGGCAUAUCAUCCAUAUCCUCAUUAGCAAGCUGAUAGCCCGAUUCGUCAUAUGGUUGACUCAUCAUAUCUAUGUCACAGUCAUACGCGUUUGUAUUGAGGUAAUCCAUCGGGUCGACCUCCGUCUCAUCAUCCAUUCUCUGUUCUACAGGAGAAAUUACAUCAGCCAGUACUAUUGCACCCCCUUCAUCAUGUCGUCCGCCGCUCUCACACGGCACUACUACAGGAGCUGGUAAUUGCGUAGGUGGGGUGGUGGUCUCCGCACAUGCUUGCUGAUGUGUGGUAGUUAUUGGUGUGCUCUCGGCCGGCUCCAGACGAAUAAGAUUCUUCGGCCAUAGCAGCACCCAACCCUUGCAGCGUCCAAUCCGCGGCGGGGUCUCGUCGUCCGCUCCCACCUGCUGUACUGGAGGAGGCAAAUCCUCGUGCCCCGAUUUCACACUGGUCAAGCUAACCCUGAAGUGCCCAGCGGGGAUCGGCUGGUUGUGGAAUGUGCGUUGAGAGGGGUCCAUUAUCAUCCCCUUUCCCACGUCCACCUUCUGGCCUUUGAUCAAGUAGAGUAUGGUGCAUGGGGUUUCUUUCGCCUGCAAACACAUAUGUCUGUGGUGUAAAACAACCGAAAGGCAACAAAAAUGGAAUAUUAUAUAUAUAUAUAUGUUGGUGCGACAUGUAAUUACCGUGACGGCGUCGAGCUCAGCCAAAGACGAAGGCCCACCUAGCGCGCCUGAGACUGAGGACGGGCUGCUAUGAGCUGGAGCGGCUGCGAGAGGAGGCCCGGUUGCUUGAGCAAGUGAUGGUGCGAUGGUGUUGUUCAUGGAGUUGCUCGCGACGAAACUGGGCAUUGGGAAAUCAUGUACCGUCUUGUCUGGAUUUUCCUUCGCCCAGUUGAUGAUAACUGGAACCAAGUUAGUAGCGAAAUCAUUUCUGCAGGCAUUUACAGCUGCAUUGACUGCCUGCUGUAGCAACUCAUAUUUGUCCUUGGCUGCUUUUUUCGCGUCCUCGGCUGCUUUUUUCUCGACCGCAAGCUUCACCUUUGCGUCGAUGUCCGCCUAACUAAACUUCUUUUUCUGCUUCUUGGCCUCCGGGCCGUCGUUGUAAAACACCUUCCACGUGGCGCCGUCUCCAGCGCCGUGCACACGACCAUAUUGCGGCCGCUGGUCCAACGGGAGUCCCUUAAGUUCGUUCAAGGCCCAGUUGAGAGGUGUGUCCCACUUGGGCCUCAUCGGAGAAGUAGGGCUUUCGGCUGCAAGCCGGUGUUGCUUCUCCAGUAGUCUAAUCAAUUUCCUCGUGAUCUUGUCCGUGUAAAAAACCUUUUUCUCCUUGUCCCACUUGUAGCGGGCCCUGAUGAAGUCAUGCUCCAAGGGGUUGGUGAACUUCGCGAAGGGGUCUGGGAGACCCGCGGCUUCACGUUCCGCGUCCUCCUUAUCCCAUAUGGGCCUUUUACCGAGGUAGCCACGGCUUCCGAGGCGAUGCUUCCCCAUGUUCCGGAGCUGAAGGCUUUUGAAUUUCGCAGCCUUAGCCUUGGCUGCCUUGGUAGCGCAAGUGUCCUUGAACUUUUCGAACUCCUCUUCCGUAAGUGUCGGAUUUUCCUCCAGAAUCUUGGACAGGGGUUCAUCAGCCUCAAUAGCUCGUUUCACCCUCCCUUUCCAGGAGGCCAAAUCAUUGCUGAACAUGCCCAUGGCGUGAUUGUUAAUCUUUUUCAUCUUCGGAUCAUCCCACGGUUGUUCUAUGUUAUCAUCCCGGUCGGGGAACUUGAAUCUCUUCUGCAACUUCGUUAGGAGCAACUGCGUCAAAUGUUCUUUACUCCUUAAGUCAUCAUCGUUGAUGCUCGCGCAUUCCCGUAGGAUGCAUCCUACUUGGUUCCCAUAGCACUUGCGAGGUUCUUCCGGCUCUAACGGCUCAAACUUUCCAGGUGCCAUCUUUGUGAUCACAAGUCGUCCAAUCCCUAGUUUGUUAGGUUUUCGUAUCCUCUGCUUCUUAUGCUUCCUCUUUUCGGUAUCGGCAUCGGGGCCGGUACCUUCCCCGCCGGUCUCGGCGCCGCCAUCGGUGCCGGCGCCGUCGGUGCCGGCACCGUAGGUGUCGAUGUCGGCGUCAGUACCAUCAUCGAGGCCGACCUGCAAACCUUGCUUAGCAGUCAAAUAGUCGAGGUACUCUUGUUCACCCUCAUAAUCCAUCUCGUCUGCAUCUUGGUCAGAAGGCCCAGUUUCUUCGUUGUUCGACAUGUUUCCUAUGAUUAAGUGGCCUCAUUUAUUUCUAAAAGUAUGAAUAAAUGAGAAAUGACAUAAAAAGAAAUCUAUGUGCCAACACUCGAUAUGCCAACUAUGUAGCACAAAUCAUGCCUUUAUUCACGGGAAAUUUCGGCAUGACCUUUGCUAAAAAAUGGACAUAUCGAGCGCCUGAAAUUCACCGAAACGGAAAUGAAUCAACAUUCCUGCGCAACAUAGGCCACUCGGAUCAUUUUCCAAACAUGACAUGUCCAAAACAUGACAUAUGCACAUAUCACAUGUCCAGUUCAAAUUUCCAUAUAAAUUCAGCUAAUUCAUAACUAAAUAGAUAACCUAAUUAAUUAACAUGAAGANNNNNNNNNNNNNNNNNNNNNNNNNNNNNNNNNNNNNNNNNNNNNNNNNNNNNNNNNNNNNNNNNNNNNNNNNNNNNNNNNNNNNNNNNNNNNNNNNNNNNNNNNNNNNNNNNNNNNNNNNNNNNNNNNNNNNNNNNNNNNNNNNNNNNNNNNNNNNNNNNNNNNNNNNNNNNNNNNNNNNNNNNNNNNNNNNNNNNNNNNNNNNNNNNNNNNNNNNNNNNNNNNNNNNNNNNNGGGGGCGAGCGACAUGGUCGGGGGCGAGCACGCCGGAGUCGGGGUCGAGAGCGGGACAGGGGCGAGCGCCGGGGCUGGCACCGGCGCCGGCAGGGUCGGGGGCGAGCGCCGGGGCCGGGUCGGGCACGGCGGAGCGACGGGGGCCGGAGAGAGAGUGGGGAUUUGGGGGGAAAUGGCGGGAUGAAGCUGGGCGAGUGCGAAUUUUGGGUUAAGUGGACGUAGCAGUAGCGGGUUAUGUCAAAACGCGCUGCUACUAUAUUCUGUAGCGGCAGCGGUUUAUGAGAAACACGCUACUACUAUGGUGCGUAGCUGCAGCGCUUUAUGGGAAACUCGCUACUACUAUGGUGCGUAGCGGCAGCGGUUUAUGAGAAACACGCUACUACUAAGAUCUAGCAGCAGCGGUUUUGUGGAAACGCGCUGCUACUGCCGUCGCUACUGCCAGGUUUCCUUUUUCUUUUCCUUUAUUUUAUCCCACUUUUAUUUCCCGAGGGCAAUGAACGAAGGGAGGGCGAUAUAUAUUGCAUCAUUUGACGGUUAAAUAUGUAUGCAAAAUAGGAACAUAUAUAUUACACAUCAUUGGACCCAUGCAUAAUAAUGACUAAGUGUGUAUACAAAUUAAAUAGGAACAUAUAUAUAUUACACAUCAUUGGACCCAUAACAUACGUUUCCUCAGUGCUGACGUUUUCGUUUUUGAGUCAGCUUCUUUCCCUUCUUGUUCGUCGAAGAAUAAUUGAGCCCCUCAUUGUGACUUUGCCUUUUCCAUGGAGUACGAUUUUUCUUAGGUAAUGUAGUAUUGAUUCUUCUUUUGACGUAUACUUCAUCAUCAUCAUCAUCUUCCCUCAUUGGGUUGCUGUACUGAUCAUAGUCUUCCUCGUUGGCGACUCCAUCCAUUCCAAUGAUGUUCCUUUUGCCUCUCCUCACGACAACACGGCUGGGAUUGCGCGGGUCAGUUAUGAAGAAACAUUGUGUCACGUGCUUAGCGUGUACCCAUGGCUCGUUUUUUGCGAUAGCGUUCAUGGUAGCGCUCUUGGCGUCGGGUAUAGUCAUGGUAGUGAACAUCCGGCUUUCUCUUUCGACAUUCUUAGCCCAUCUGACACGGAACAUCAUCGUGCUGUGCAGUCCAGAGUAGUCAAGCUCCCAGAUCUCCUCGACCCUUCCAUAAAAUCGUUCAGUUGUGCCGUUGUCGCUGCCGGUCAUGCAUUCCAUCGUCACCCCUGAGUUCUGAUCAUCACUGUCCAUAUCUUUUGCCUCUGUGUAGAAUGUGUAUCCGUUGAUAUCAUAUGCCUGAUAGGUUACGAGGUUGGGCGAGGGGCCAUGUGCUAAGGCGUAUAUGAGCAAUCCGUCCUUAGAGCCCUCCUCCGGUGGAUUAGCAAUAAUAUGCUCUUUGAACCAAUGCAGGAAAGUGGAGUUGUGCUCUCUAGUAACUUCGGCGUCCGUCCUGCAUACCCCCCGGUCACGAUACUUCUUUGUGAUAAUUUCUUUGUGCAGUGCCACGAAAGGAUCUACCUCGUCUAGGUGUUGUAGCACUACCAAGUUUGCUCUGUCAAAGUCGCUGCGUCGAUCUGAGUAUGCCACGUGCAGUUCCCUGCGACCGUUGCAGUGACCAUCUCCUUUGAGCCUCCCAUCGUGCUUGUUAACGGGCAAACCAACACUAACACCAGGCGGCUGGUCUGCGCCAUAUAAAAAAUUCUCACAGAAAGAGAUGCACUCUUGUGCCAAAUAGCCCUGGACGAUGCUUCCAUCCGGACGGGACAUGUUACGAACGAAUCCUUUGAUGAUCCCAUUCAUCCACUCAAACGGGAUCAUGUUGUGCAGGAAUGACGGCCCCAGGUCUAUUAUGUCAUCCACAAUAUGGACACACAGAUGCACCAUCACGUCGAAGAACGCGGGCGGGAAGUACAUCUCAAGCUCAUUCAGUAUCACAACGAUCUCUUCCUGUAGCCUUUGGAGCUGCUUCACACUGAUCGACUUUCGAGAGAUGACAUCGAAAAAGUUGCAGAGACCAAUAAGCGUGUCACGGACGUGCUUGUCCAUUAUCCCUCUAAGGGCAACAGGUAGUAUCUGCGUCAUCAUCACAUGACAGUCAUGAGACUUCAUCCCGCUGAACCUUUUCUUGUCCGUGUCUAGAUAUCUGCUUAUCUUGCCACAGUAACCGGAACUAACUUUCACUCCGGUAAGGCACUUAAAGAAUUGAUUGAUCUCAGCCUGACUUAAGGUGAAGCAAGAGGGGGGGCAAUAAUCUUCUUUCUUUAAUUUCUUGCCCUUCUUCUCCCGUGCCUCUGUCUUCGUCUCUGUCUCGUCUGACAUUUUACGGGGCGGCAUCUGCAGAUCUUCCCUGAUUUUCAAAUCUUGCAAGUCUUUUCUUGCCUUCGGCCCAUCCUUGGUCUUAUCCGGCAUGUUCAUCAGUGUUGCGAGCAAGCUCUCAAGGACAUUCUUACAGAUAUGCAUUUGAUCAAGGCAAUGAGGUGUAUCGAGUUUGUGCCAGUACUCCAAGUCCCAGAACACGACCUCGUCUUCCAUACCUUCAGCAGCGGCUCCGGCGCCUUUCUCAUCGUCUUUCCCGGCGCGGGGCACUCAUUCCAGUUUUUCAAUAGCUCAUCGAUUUCGGCACCGCUCCGCUUACGUGGAGGUCCUCGAUGCUCAGCGUGACCAUUGAAUAGAUCUCCACGGUUUCUCCACGGGUCGUCCUGUUCAAGCCAUCUUCGAUGCCCCAUGUACAUGAUUUUCGCAGACCCGCCAUCUUUCCUUGACGUUAGCUGCUGAGACGUUGUAUCAUCCAUGCACCGCGUGCAUCCGCAAUAUCCAUGGCACACCUGGCCUGCCACAUAUCCGUAACCGAGAUAGUCCUGCACUGUCGUGAUCAGCGCGGCUCUCAUGUUGAAAUACUCACCUUUGCUGGCGUCCCAUGUCUUGGCCGGUGUUUUCCAUAACGUGUCUAACUCCUCUUGAAGUAGCCCCAGAUACAAAUUAAUAUUAUUUCCUGGUUGUUUCGGCCCUUGAAUAAGCAUGCUCAUGUGAAUGUACUUCGAUUUCAUACACAACCAGGGGGGGAGGUUGUACAUCCAUACAAACACGGGCCAUGUACUAUGGUUGGUGUUCUAGUUGCCAAAUGGAUUCAUGCCAUCGGUACACGCGCCGAGCACGAUGUUCCUUGCAUCACAUUCAAAAUACCGUUAGAAGCUGUUCAACGCUCUCCACUGGCUUCCAUCCUUCACGUGUCUCAGCUUCGGAUCAUCUCCAUCGUCGGGCUUCUUCCUCUCCGCGUGCCAGCGCAUUAGCUUUGCUUCCUUGGGAUCUACAAAAUACCUCUGAAGACGGGGAGUGAUCGGUAAGUACCAUACAACUUUCUGGGGACAUUUCUUCCCGGCCUUCUUGUAUCGAGAAGCAUUGCACACCGGACAGCUUGUUUUUUCCGCGUGCUCCUUCCGAUAAAUUAUGCAAUCGUUGAUGCAUGCAUGGUAUCUAACGUGUGGCAGAUCAAGAGGGCACACGAUCUUCUUGGCCUCAUCAACACUAGUAGGACAUAGAUUACCCGCGGGAAGAAUAUCCUUUAGGUACUUGAGAUGGUCAUCGAGGCUAGUGUCGGUCCAUUUGUUUUUAGCCUUCGUCUUCAGGAGUUGGAGCGUGAAACUCAACCGGGUCACCUCAGGAUUGCAACCAUCAUACAAUGGAGUGUUCGAGUCUACCACCAGUUGCUCCAGCUUAGCCUCCUCUCUAGAAGCAGCUCUCUCAGUACUCGUCUCCUUGCGAAGCAAUGCUUGAACAUGAGGGUCCCGCACAAUUGAACUUAGUACCGACGAACUCUGCUGCGUGGAGUCCAUGUCGUUCUCUCCGCCGCCAUGUCCGGCCCCUUCUCCUCCGCCAUGUCCGGCCACUUCUCCGCUGCCAUGUCCGGCCUCUUCCCCGCCGCCAUUAUCGAUCAUCUCUUCGUCUUGCCCCGUGUCAUCAUUGCCUGCCCCGUCGGCAUCCUCAACAUCUUCAUCCUCAUCUUCAAUUAUCCACCGAGUAUAGCCAUCCAUGAAACCAGUCAUGAGCAGGUGCGCUUCGACACGACCAUCGUCAUGGGGGUCGAGCCAAACUAUUCCUUUGCAUUUUCAACACGGACAUAAAACCUCUGUCCGGUUAUUUUCUUUCAUGUCUUGCACCGCCGACCGCAACCACCUGUCCACCAUUGUUCCACUGACCAUCGUCAACUCUGCACGGUAAUAAUAAAAAAAUUGAUUGUAAAAAUGCAUGCAUGCAUCAAAGUCAUAAAAAAAUUUGGCAUGACCUUCCCUAAAAAUAGGACAUAUAUGGAUCUAGAGUUUGCCCGAAAUUCGCCGAAACGAAAAUAAAUCGACAUUUCGGCAAAACAUAGGCAACUCAAAAGCACAAUUUGGCGGCGUCAACUCAUGCCACAGACACAAUUUCCACAAACAUAUCACACAUACACAUAAACACAUUUCCAUUUUGCAAAAGCAUGAAAUUUUCAUCACCUCUAUCUCGAUGGCCGGAGAUGAUGUUGUAGGGAGAUCAAAAGUGCACAAAGCUAUUCUUGACAAAGAUAGAUCUAGUUAGGGGGCAAAUAGGUCACUUAACUAAAUCCUACAUCUACCUAGCUACCUAAUUUGGAAGGAGACAACUUCAACUAGUGGAGGGGGAGGAAAAAGAGAAAGAAGAUGCAUUAAUUAAUGGAGGUGGUGUAGUUAUGUAGGAGUAAUGAAGAGAGAGAAGGUGGAUAGAGAANNNNNNNNNNNNNNNNNNNNNNNNNNNNNNNNNNNNNNNNNNNNNNNNNNNNNNNNNNNNNNNNNNNNNNNNNNNNNNNNNNNNNNNNNNNNNNNNNNNNNNNNNNNNNNNNNNNNNNNNNNNNNNNNNNNNNNNNNNNNNNNNNNNNNNNNNNNNNNNNNNNNNNNNNNNNNNNNNNNNNNNNNNNNNNNNNNNNNNNNNNNNNNNNNNNNNNNNNNNNNNNNNNNNNNNNNNNNNNNNNNNNNNNNNNNNNNNNNNNNNNNNNNNNNNNNNNNUGUGGUGGAGGGAAGAGAGGAGAGGGGGAGGUAGGGGGGAAGGGAAAAAAGGAAGGGGGAGGGGAGGGACGGGUUGGGGGUUGGUGGGGUUAGCAGUAGCGCGGGAGAUAAAACGCGCUGCUGCUAAGAACUUAGCAGCUGCGCGCUUUGCGGUAAGGCGCUACUGCUAACUGGGACAAAAAAUUGUGGCAAUUUGAAACUUACCAGCAGCGAUCUCGAGGAAACCGCGCUACUACUACGUACUUAGCAGUAGCGCUGUUAUUGCGACCGCGCUACUGCUACUUAGAGUUGGGGGAACACCGCCGGUCGAUAUUUGUAGCAGCGCGUUUCUUGUCGAGCGCGCUACUGCUAAAUCUUUAUCAGUAGCGAGUUUACGUAACCCGCGCUACAACUACUUAGCAGCAGCGCUCUAUUUUGAACCGCGCUGCUGCUAAGAUUCUGUGUAUAGGCUUUUCCCUAGUAGUGUAGGAAGGAAUGACCACAUGAAUGAGCAUACGUAUGAUGUGAUUAAGUCUCUCGAUUGGGUAUCUGGUGCCUUAUGUACGGUGUCUUCUUUUUGUCAAGCUAUGACAUCUUUCAGUUUGAGUGUCUGAUAUUAGGGUUGCAUACGUUUUGUUAUUCAGUUGCCUGUUGUGAACUCUACGGUUAUAUCAUCUCGAUGUGUGAGUCAAUGUGUUUGAACCAAUGUAGAGUUUCAUGUGAAUGUUACAAGUGUGAUUGAUAUGUUCAUGUUAUCCGCGGUUGCCUUGGUAAGAAACUGAAAGAGCAAACCGUUAUCGUGCUAGGACAAAAGUCAUCACUCAAUAUAAGUGCUUCUCUAGAACAGCCACACCUUGUGAAAGAAGAUGGCAAACACCCAAUCAUGUCUGGUUCGAUAUGGGCGUGGCUAUGGGUAGCUUAUAGCGACAUGGAAGCCAGCAUCGCUGGAAGAAACGCCCGGGUGGGCCGGCCUAGAGACAUUUCUUGAUAUCUACCCUUAGUUUUGUUUUUCUGCCCUUCUUUCUUUAUAUUUAUAUUUUUCCCGACAUGUUCACUACUUGAUGCUCAACUGGGAUCUCAUCCUUCACAAAUACGGAGAGCCAUUAUUGUUAGAGUUAAUCUUGACAUGUGUGUAUGUGCAUGUGUGCAUUGCAUGUUAGUGGUCUAGAGAUGGCCGGGUCGAUGCGUCUGUUCUGUGCUGGAGUGAGUCCAGCAGUUUGUUUUGGUCAGGUCGUGGUGGCUAGAGCCAUUCUAGGAGAGGAUCAAGUCAAGUUGUUAGCUGAACUCGGCUGGGUAGUGUUUGGCCGUUGAGGAUAGGCUGUACUAGUGGUGGGCAUGGCCGUGCAUAUAGCUAGCGAUUAGUUACACUAGUAGAAAACCACCCAUUAGUCCCGGUUCGUAAGGGCCUUUAGUCUCGGUUCAGGAACCGGGACUAAUGGGUCGUUACUAAUACCUCCACCCAUUAGCCCCGGUUCAAACACGAACCGGGACCAAUGUGCCUCCACGUGGCCCUGUGCGGCGAGCCCAGUCAGGGGGCCUUUGGUCCCGGCUGGUGGCUCCAACCGGGACCAAAAGGCAUCCACGCGUCUGCAUUCUAGUGGUUUCUGGUUUUUGUUUUUUUUUUGAAAGGAGGGGGGUUGGGGGUUUUGGGGAGUUAAUUUAGGUGUUUCGUAUAUUGUGUUAACUAGCUAAUUAAUAGAGAGAAGUGUCCUCUCUUAUGUCCGUGCUUGGUCGACGCUACGUAGUAUAUAUACAUAAGUAAUCGAGAGAACCAUUCAGUACAGAAGUUCGUCAUGCAUACCGAGAGAAGUGAUCGAUCGACCUCUCCUUCUCCGAGAGAUUGGUCGAACAACAAGUUUUUUACUGGCUACAUACAUGUACAAUAUGUAUAAGAUCUCUUAAUUACAAACCCAUAGCAUUUGAAAUCAACUUCCACAUGGUAUUCUCCGGCUUUACUGAUGACGUGUUCAAGAAAGAAUCCCGCUAAUUCCUCUUGAAUUGCUUUCAUGCGAUCUGGUUCUAGGAGUUCACCCCGCAUCUGCCACGUCUAAUUAAUUUGAAGAAGGGGGUUAAUUAAUACAUAUAUAUGAAUGAAACUCAACAGAAAAUGAUGGUGUAAUAAAAUGAAAUUGUGAAUAUUAUUGCUUACGCACUUCAUAUUGUCUUCUAGAGUAGCCCCGCUUGUUUCUCAAAGUUGCGUUGUGGAUGAACUCGCACACGUAGUAUCCACAAAAAUCAUUCCCUUCCUCCUGUCACAAGCACUUUACGAGAAACAGAGGUCAAUCAAACUGAUAAUGAAGCAUUAUAAAUGGCAUUGAUGAAAGUAUAGCUAUAGAAUCAACGGGAGAUGCACGCAACUAGCUAGCCAGUAGUACUUACUUUCGGGUAUACAUAUCGCAGCUCCUUCGGCAGUCCCGGAGCUUGUGCGGUGAACUGUUUCCGAACCCUGCAAGACAAAGAAAAUAAUUAUUAUUACUUGAGAUAUCAGGAAAUGAACAAAAAGUUGCCGAUAUGGUGCGAUAAUGAUCGAUUGAACUUACUUGCUGAGCAUUUCAGUCAUGUCCACAUAGGUGCUGGGAUCUUUCCGUCUCGAGUCUAAGACGGUUACUAGUCCACGCUCAAGCUUAAUCUCCAGAAGAAUAUAGUGGUACCUGCGCACGCGUGCAUAACUCAUCAAUUACAUUAACCUCGCUCGAGUAAUAAGGGAAACCGAAUAUGCACACGACAGUAACACUCACGGGCCGUUGUAAGGAAAGAGUAUGGUAUCUUUGUUUUGAUUUUUGAUCAACGAUUGUAGCAAGUUGUCCUCGGCCUCUUCGACGUUCUUUUCAACCAGAAAUACAUCUAUGAUAUUUGUGUUAAUGAACCCAAUAUCAUAAAUUUUUUGUUUUUUGCACUCGACGAUCUUCAAUCUGCAUAAUAUAUUGAGGAUAAUUAAUUAUAAAUACAUGCAAUGAAAGAUCCGAGCUAUAUAUAGAGACUUAAUGUCAGAAAUAGUACUUACAUGCAGUAGCAAAAGACCAUUAAUUUAUCGAGGGCCUUUUGAUUGAAGAACUCAAAGAACUCCUCAAAUGGAACACACAACAGAUCAUUUGAAAUGAGGUCGUGCUCCUCUUUAAUAUUCAAAUACAAACUGUUCGUCCCCUCAGACUCUCUGCAGGUUUUCAUGUACCAAUUAUGGAAUCUUCGCAUCAUUAUUGUCAGAGAUUUUUCAUCUUUGACGAGAGGCUUCCCGUACUCGUAUCUGAAUACGUCCACCUCCAUGAAAUCAGGAAGUGCAUCGUCAGGCAGGUAAUCUUCAAGAUUGCCAUAACCGGCCACCGUCCCCGGAGGAUUAGACACAUUGAGCGGGGGGCACGAUUGCUGUGCUUGUUCGCCGAGCUGGGCAAUUUUUUUCCCCUUUGCUCGUUGUUCUUUUGACCUUUUAUCAUUGACAGUAGUUCCCGACCGCUUGGCUUGGAGAUAUGUCUGUUCAGUAAUGCGCUCAUAGUUGGUUCUCGGCGGAGACUUUGGUGGUUUCCUCAGGGCAUCGAGAGUGCGCUUUGCUUUCACCGGAUCUACCUUCUCCUCCGGAGGUGGAUGUCUCUUUGCUUUCACCCCUUCAAAGAACUCCUUCACGUGGGCCUGCACGAUCGUAUUGUUUUCCUCCUUGGUCCUCUCGUACGGUAACUUCUCUAGAGGCUUUAGAGGUGGACCGUAUCUGUAUUGCCUCUCUCUUCUUGUGCUGCUAGACGCCGGAGCAGACGGAGCGGCUGUGGCGUCUGUCUUCUUCCGUGCUUGCUUAUGAGGCGGAGGAGAAGGACUACGACGCGCCGGAGCAGCCGGGGCGGCGGCGGGUCUCUUCCGCCCUUGCUGGCGAGGCGGAGAGGAGGAGGCGGAGUGCCGCCACAUGCCGGAGAAGGAGGCGGAGUGCCGCCAUGCGUGCCCUGAUCGUCACUCGCCGGAGGAGGAGGCGGUGGAGGAGGCGGAGUGCCGCCACGCGUGCCCUGAUCGUCACUCGCCGGAGGAGGACGCGGUGGAGGAGGCGGAGUGCCCUGACUCGCUGAAAGAGGAGGAGGAGGCGGAGGCGUCCAGUUCAGAAGGUUGAUGAGCUCCUUCUGCCAUAGGCAUGGAGUCUUCAGAGCAGAACCCAGCCUAGUCUCCCCUUCACCGGUAGUGUGCUCAAGCACGAGGUCCUCAAAUCCCUCCGUUAUUUCAUCCACCAUCACCUUAGCAAAUCCUUCUGGAAUUGGCUGGCAGUGAUAAGUUGUGCCGGGUCCACUAGGAUAAACUUGGCCAACAGCCGCCUUGACCUUCAAAUUCAUCCAUCACACAAUAAUGUGGCAAUUUUGAGACUCCGUGAUACCAUCCACGGGAUAGCUGGCAGGAGCCGUCAAGACAUGCUCCGGCUGAAGCAGCUCAGUGGAAGCCACGCUGCUUCUCUGCUGAGAUGGCGGGGUAGCUUCGGGGGAAGCUUCGGCAGGUCGUUUGUUGUGAUCUGCUGCUUCUUGUUCCUCUAGCCCCAUUACCCUUUCGUGCAGCGCCUGCAUUUGGUCCUGCUCCAGUUUCUUCCUCCUCUCGUAGGCUUUGUAAACGCCUGCGUCCAGAAAACCAACCUUCCACGGAAUGGAGCCUGGCGUGCCUCGUGUCCGUCCAGGGUGCUCGGGAUUCCCAAGGGCCAUUGUGAGCUCGUCCUUCUCCCUGUUUGGAAGGAACGUCCCUCGUUGUGCUGCAUCGAUAUAGUGUCGAAGGUUCUUGACUGGUGUUUGCAGUUGCUCGUCCGUCCACUGACGCUUCCCUGUUACAGGGUCCAAGGUUCCGCCAGCCCCGAAGACCCAAGUCCGGCAACGGUCUGGCCAGCGCAUUGUCUCUGGUUCGAUUCCUUUUUCAAGCAGAUCAUGCUCAGCCUUGGACCACUUAGGCCGGGCUUUGAGGUAGCCACCUGACUCCGUGCGAUGGUGAAGCUUCUUCUUCGCAGCAUUUUUCUUGUUUGUCUCCGACAUCGUCUUACUCUUUUCCGAUGUCUUGUGGGCCACAAAUGCGGGCCAGUGAUCUUUGAUCUUCUCAUAUUUGCUGAUGAAUUCUGGUGUCUUUUUUUUCUCGAGAAACUGGUUCAGCUCUUUCCUCCACCUCCUCAUUAGGCUUGCCAUCUUCUUAAGAGCACAAGACUUGAUUAAUUGCUCUUUAACUGGCUUCUCCGGAUCCUCCUCUGGCGGUAGGGUGAAAUUUGCCUUCAGCUCAGUCCAAAGAUCUUCUUUCUGCAUAUCAUUGACAUAAGACACCUCAGGGUCUUCAUCCUUAGCAGGCUUAUACCAUUGCUGGAUGCUGAUCGGGAUCUUGUCCCUAACAAGAACCCCGCACUGAGCAGAAAAUGCCUUCCUUGUCCGGAUGGGUUCAAUCGGUUCGCCGUCGGGCGCGAUUUCUAUGAUCUCAAACUUUUCAUCCGAGAUCAACUUUUUCUUCGGGCCUCGUCUCCUUACCGAAGUUGUGCUCGAUCCGGAGGGCUAGAAAUUAUAAGGAAGAAAGACGACAGUAAUUAAUAUGUGUACAUAUACCAAAACAAUGGAUGCAUCAAUUAACUAGUCAGCACGGGCUUAACUAAUAUAUAUAUACCUGGCCGGACUCGGUUCGGUGACCGGAGCAGUCAGCACGGUCUCCUUGUACCUCCAUUGUGUCACCGGAGCCAUCAUGAACAUAGUCCUCCUCUUGUACCGGCAUUAAUGGGUCGAAGCCAUCAUAAACAUAGCCCUCUUCUUCAUCCAGUCCUUCCAGCUGACCAUCGGUGUCGAUGAGAAAUGACGCAACAUCAUCACUUCCAUUUGCGAUUAUGUCCCCCAACAUCGCUUCUGUUUCUUCGUCUCGGGAGUGCUCCAUAGUUUCUGCAAAUAUUUACAACAUGUCAAUUAUUAUUCAAACAUGGUACAAAUGGAUAUAUAUAUAUAUAUAUAUAUAUAUAUAUAUAUAUAUAUAUGAAAAUGGAUUGGUACUCCUAGGAGUACAUACUCUCACCUACACCCGUCAUCGUUGGAAACAUUCAUCCCGCUAACUACUAAAAAAAGAGCUAACUAACUACGGAUAAAGCCUUUGGAUUUAAAAAUUAGUUGAACCGCUUCCUUUUUUUUCAGCUCUCGUAGGCGUGCCUUCCAGGGAUUCCAUUUGAAACGGCGUUCUCAUCUCUUGCCAGCACCCAUGAACAUAAAAAAACAGAGCAUCGGCUCGCCUCCGCCCCGCCGACUGACCGGAAGACUUGGUCGACAUGGCCGACGAUGAUCCCCGUGCUUCUUCCCUCGCAAACUAGGCUUCAACCACCACGUCCAUCAAUCAGAGGAAGAUUGAUUCAUCAUCUGUAGUUUGCGAGGGUACGUGCAAUUGAUGUUUCCCGAUUUUUCUGUUCGGCUACCACAACCGUGUUCAUGUUCCCGCUGACCCCUUGAUCCAUUCCUGUCCAGUAUGUCAUCGUCCGAGAAGAAAAUAGGACGGAGAUGAUUGAUCGGCCAGAUUGAUCGGCCAAGUCUACUAGUACCACUGGUGGAAAAAAGGCCUUUGGUCGCGGUUCGCAACUGCCAUUAGUCGCGGUUGCGCAACCGCGACCAAAUAAGCGCGACUAAAGCCCCCCACCUUUAGUCGCGGCUGCUUAAGAACCGCGACUAAAGGCCCGUCCAUGUGGGCGCCAGGCGGCCGUCGGGACGGAGGACCUUUAGUCGCGGUUCUUCUGGCCAACCGCGACUAAAGGCCGCCACAGGUUUAGGGUUUUAGCCCCCCCCCUAAACCUGUUUUCUGUUUAAUUUGUAUUGUUUUAUUUCUUUUGUGCUUUAUUUUAAUUUUGAAGGAGUUUCAUAUAUUCUACGGUACUACAUACAUGCAUAUGAAUGUACAAUUUCAAAUAAAUUUGAAAUUAGAACCAAAAAGAAUUCAAGAGGAAUAUACAAUAUAUAUUCAAUAUCAUCGGAUGACCAUAUACAAUUUUGAACAAGUUUCCAUACAUGAUUUAAUGCAUAUAAAGUUCUACGUCCUCGUAAUAGUGUUCUCCUUUAGGAUGGAGGACUUCCCUGCUGAACCAUCCAGCUAGUUCCUCUUGAAGUGGUCGGAAGCGAGCUUCUGGACUAAGCAUCCACCGGAGGUUAUUCCUCUGAGCAUUGGUAUCACUCGGAACCCGCUCAGAGGUGUAUCUCCGGAUCAUCUCACAGACAUAGUAUCCACAUAGAUUGGUCUCCGGUGGCUGAAUAUCCCCAGCAUUCUUAGCCACUGACCUUUUGAAUUCUAGCUCUUUUUUGAAUUCACCGACCUUUGUAUCUACGAACCGUCUCCAAACCCUACGAGGCAAAGAAAAUUAAAUGAACAAGAGAGUUAUUAGUUACUUGAUAUUAGGAAAUGAACGAAAUAGGCCGAUUGAUAUAGAGCGCAAAUGAAUGAAAAUAAUUACUUCUGCAGCAUUCUUCUCAUGCCGCCCCAAAGCUUUGGAUCCAUAUUCACAGAGUCGUGGACGAGACAUUCUGAGGUGUUAACUUUAAUUACUAGCAGAAUCCAGUGGAACCUGCGGACACGAUACAUGCACAGUACGUCAUGCAUAACUCAUCGAUUAGCCGGCCACAUACCAUGCAUGGAGUAAACAAAAGAGAAUGUGCUCAAGACACAAACACUCACCCAAAAUGGUAAGGAAAUAGAAUAUCACUUUUGAGUUCCUGCUUUGUAAGAAACUGCCACAGGUCUACCUCCACGUCGGCGGGGUGACGCUCCAACACAUGUCCAUUAACGAUGUGUGGGUCAAUGAACCCAACAUCAUGGAUGUUCCUUACUCUGCAUUCCUUAAUCUUCAUUCUGCAUGUAUAAUAGCGGACACAACAAUAUAGUUAGGACAUAUAUAUAGUGCAGGCAAUAUGAACGAGAUGGGGUAGAAAUUAAUAAAUCACUUACAGAACGUAGCAACUGAUGAUAGAUUUAUCGAGCUCGCGCAGAUUGAAAAGCUGGAACAAUUCACUCAGUUCAAUUUGUACAUAGUAAUGUUUGAAGUGAUGCUCAUGUCUAACUUCCGCAUAAAUAUAUUCUUUGGCGUUUUUAUUUUUUAUGUAACCCUUGUACCAUUUCAGCAGACCUUUCAUUUGUGGAGGUAGAUCCUUUUCCUGCGCAGGCUCGACGAGAGGCCCAUUCUUGACAUAUGUAAUUACUACCUCCUUCACUGGCGCCUCAUCAAGGCCUAACAGUUCACGAAGAGUAAUACCUAAGUUGGCCGCUUGUUCUAUGGCACUCGUUACAGUCAAUCCCUGUGCUGCCGCAGCUUGUAUGAUCUCGGGGGCAUCCGGACAGAAGGCUUCCACUAUAAGCGGGGCAAUCGAUUGUUUACUUUGUUCCCCGAGCUGGGCAACUUGUUUCCCGCUUUUUUUACUUUCGGCCUUCUCCCGCUCUUUGUUCUCCUUGAACAUGAGUGCCUGCCUGCGAAGUUCACGUGCAUAGUCGUUAGGCAGAUUCUUCGCGGCUUGGGACGGUGUGCUCAAAAAUGACUUAGCCCACUUGUUUUGCUCAUCAGAAAAUACUGGCUUGGGCUCGAGCUCUCUUUUCUUCUUGCAGUCCGCCUUCCAUUUCUCCAAAUCAGCAGCCGCGGCCGCGUCGACUUCCUCGGCACUACGUUCCCAAGGCCUUGUGGGGAGAGGCUUCAGUGAUGGCUCCGGUACCUUUGUGGUCUUAGGUACAUAAGGGUCCGGGUUAAUAAUCCAGGACUGCUUCUGCUUCUUUGCCGGAGGUGGAUUGGGGGGCGGCGUCUGAUCACCCGCCGGACGAGGACUGGGGGGCGGCGGCUGAUCACCCGCCGGACGUUGUGGACUGGGGGGCGGCGUCGGCUGACGUGACGGAGGUGUAGGUGAACCGCCACCACCACCACCACCACCACCACCGCCACCGCCACCACCACCACCGUAGGGGGGUGGACUUGUUGUCCUUGGCGCCUCGCCUGGAAACUUGAUAAACUUCUUUUGCCAUAGAAUGAAAUGGCGCUUGACAUCUCCAAGUCUUUUCUCCCCUUCAGGUGUAGCAAUGUCAAUCUCCAGGUCCUCAAACCCUUGGACUAUGUCCUCCACCGUGACACGAGCAUAGCCAUCUUGAAUGGGGUUGUUGUGGUGGAGUGCUCCAGGUAAACAUGGUAAAGCACUGCCGAUGGCUACCUUCAUGGACAUGUUCCCGAUAGGAUAAUACAGAUGACAUUCUUCUCCGCUGCUGGCUUCCGAGAUCUGCUGGAUGAUCUUCAUGCUGCACCCGAGCUGCAUCUCUUUCGGCUACUAGUACACUCAUGGUUUUCUUCAUCACAUCCAUUUCCGAUGCCAACCGCGCCACAACAUCUGCUUCCCGAUCCACCUUUCUCUUACGGCUUCUGUAACCGUACGGGUCAUCGUUCUGGGGGAACCCUAUUUUCCACGGAAUGUGCCCCAUGCCUCGUACACGUCCUCCGUGUUCAGGAUUCCCGAGGGAUUUUGUCAGCGCGUCGUUCUCUCUGUUGAACUUGAUCUUCCCCUGUUGAGCAUCCCUCAUUGCGUUAAUAAGGGCUUGGGUGGGUUUAAUUAAUUUGCCCCGGUAAACACACUCCCCUGUCUCCGGGUUCAGCGUUCCCCCAUGCCCGUACCACCAACUUUUGGCCCUUGGGUCCCAUCCCUCCGUACCUGCACGGAUUCCUCGCGCCCUCAGCUCGUUCUCCAUCUUCUCCAACCUAGGCACCCAAAUGCGAUACCCUCCUGGCCCCAUAACAUGAUUGUACUCCUUCUUAGCCGCAUUUUCCUUAUUUUUUCGAUAUUUGAAUGAACUGCUCCGAUUUCUUUUGCUUCACAAAUUCUGGCCAAUCAUGUUUCAGUUUCUCAUAUUGUCCUUUGAAAUCCGGAGUCUUGUUCUGCUUGACAAAGUCAUGGGCUAGAUUUUGCUUGAAUUUCCGGAAUGCGUCGGCCAUCUUAUGAAGAGCGAACUGUUUGACUAGCCUCCUCCUCUCCUUGUUUUCUUCAAUCUUGUUACCCUCCUCAUCGAAUUUGUUGUAUUCCGGAGGUAGAACGAAAUGUUCCAUAAGCUUCUUGAAGCAAUCUUUUUUUGUUCUCUUAUCGACAAAAGUGAAACCAUCAAUUCGUGCCUUCUUUGGCUCAUUCCACUCCUGGACGGUGAUCGAGACGUUGUCUCUAACAAUGGCUCCGCAUUGGCUGACAAACUUGGUGGCGUUCUUGCGGGGCUCCAGCGGCCUGCCGGUUGCACUGUCGACAACCUCGAUGGUGCAUGUUUCUCCUUGUUUCAUCGUCUUGGUUGCGCCACGCUUUGACGACGUACUCGAUUGUUUCGACGAUCCGGCCGAGGGCUAAAAUAAGAAAGAGUCGCGCGCGUUAGUACACACAUAUUUAUUCAAAUCAGUUAGUUUGUAUCACCAGAGGCUCAAUGUAUAUAUAUACCUCGGCGCCGGAGGUGGUUGCUACAUCCAUUUGAAGAUCGUCGUUUAUCGACGUUUGUUCGGCAUCAUCUUGCUGACGGCGCCCUUCAUCUUCACCGUCAAGGUUCAGAUAAGAAGAGAUAUCAUCUUCUUCUUCUCCGGUCGGCACAUAUAGAAUAUCGCCGUUUAUGAUGCCGAACAUAUGUGCUUCACCGUCCGGAUCAUAGUUGUCCAUAAUCGGGUCAGCUCUAUCGUCCGCCAUUAUGUCAGUCCUGAAAACAUGUAGUAAAAACAAAUUAAUUAAGUGAAGAAGGGGGGCGGUGGCGGUGGCGGUGGCGAAAGGGUGGUGGCAAAAGGAGGGGGCGAGGAAGGGGUGGGAGAGGGUGUCGCGGUAGAGCGCGAGACGGGGCGGCACGAACGUCAUUUUGUGAAGAAACUUUGCAAGCAAUUAAACAUUUGUCAAUGUUUGGUAAAAAAAAUACAGGUAGCGUCUGUUGCUCCUAAUGAUUGGAAACGGUUUCCAAUUGCCAACGAGGAUUUAGAUCGACUACUACUACUAGUUGCAUUGCUCCCCAUCGGGACGAUGUUGCUCCUAAUCCCCUCCUUUGGAAUCUAUAGUACUAGUGCAUACUAGCUGGCCGUUGACCGUUGUUGCUCAUCGCGUUUUCUCAAAGUCCACUGAUUUUGCUCAGGGCCAGUUCGGAGAUUUUGCUGGUCCACUGAUUUUGGAUCAACGCCGGGAUGGCAUGGGCGCUCGGCGAUGAUGCGAAGUAGACUUGCACAGGCAACGUGAUGUACAUGGAUGUGUCAGUACGGUACGCUCGGCGAUGCCACGGUAUGGAUGACUUCUCGAGUGGAGAUUGGAGAACCAAGUUCGCCGGUGAAACGUCGGCUCCUGAUCAGAUCUGGGGGUCGCGAACUAGCGAUUGGAUCUCGGAAGGGAGUUAGGAAAGCGAACAGACGUGCGUUCAAGGCUACAACUUUUUUUUUCAGGAUCUUGAAAACAGCUACGCGUUCAAGGCCCGGUCCUGAUUUUGCUCAUCUACCCGGGGCGGCGUUCGCACUGCGCGAGGGCCGACUCCGCGGGGUGCUGCCGCGUCGCCUCGUCGACGCUGAGCGAGUUGGCGAGGACCGUGUACAUGGUCGGCACGUCGCCGGCGGAGAGGGUCAUGCUGUCCCCGACCAGCGGCGGCCACGGACGGGGAGGGCGGCGGCGGUGACUGGGAAGGAAUGAUAGGAGAGGAAGGAAGGUCGCGUGGGGUUGAGGGCGGNNNNNNNNNNGGCGAGGAGGGACUCCUUGGCGGAGAGGCGCUCCGUCUCGCGGGCGUAGCUGGCAGCGGGCUCCCACGCCUGCGCGUACACGUCGUCCCGCCGUGCGUUCAAGGCUACAACUUUUUUUUUUAGGAUCUUGAAAACAACUACGCGUUCAAGGCCGGCCCGGUCCUGAUUUUGCUCAUCUACCCGGGGCGGCGUUCGCACUGCGCGAGGGCCGACUCCGCGGGGUGCUGCCGCGUCGCCUCGUCGACGCUGAGCGAGUUGGCGAGCACCGUGUACAUGGUCGGCACGUCGCCGGCGGAGAGGGUCAUGCUGUCCCCGACCAGCGGCGGCCACGGACGGGGAGGGCGGCGGCGGUGACUGGGAAGGAAUGAUCGGAGAGGAAGGAAGGUCGCGUGGGGUUGAGGGCGGGCGAGCGAGGCGGCAGUACCGAGGCUGGCCGGCGGCGCGCGCGCGGUGGGCGAGGGCGACGGCGGGCGGCGUCGAGGGCGAGGGCGACGGCGGGCGGCGUCGAGGGCGCGGCAGAGACGAACAGGCGAGAAACGGCGGGCGGCGUCGAGGGAGCCUUGUAUUUAUAGCCCCCCCNNNNNNNNNNNNNNNNNNNNNNNNNNNNNNNNNNNNNNNNNNNNNNNNNNNNNNNNNNNNNNNNNNNNNNNNNNNNNNNNNNNNNNNNNNNNNNNNNNNNNNNNNNNNNNNNNNNNNNNNNNNNNNNNNNNNNNNNNNNNNNNNNNNNNNNNNNNNNNNNNNNNNNNNNNNNNNNNNNNNNNNNNNNNNNNNNNNNNNNNNNNNNNNNNNNNNNNNNNNNNNNNNNNNNNNNNNNNNNNNNNNNNNNNNNNNNNNNNNNNNNNNNNNNNNNNNNNNNNNNNNNNNNNNNNNNNNNNNNNNNNNNNNNNNNNNNNNNNNNNNNNNNNNNNNNNNNNNNNNNNNNNNNNNNNNNNNNNNNNNNNNNNNNNNNNNNNNNNNNNNNNNNNNNNNNNNNNNNNNNNNNNNNNNNNNNNNNNNNNNNNNNNNNNNNNNNNNNNNNNNNNNNNNNNNNNNNNNNNNNNNNNNNNNNNNNNNNNNNNNNNNNNNNNNNNNNNNNNNNNNNNNNNNNNNNNNNNNNNNNNNNNNNNNNNNNNNNNNNNNNNNNNNNNNNNNNNNNNNNNNNNNNNNNNNNNNNNNNNNNNNNNNNNNNNNNNNNNNNNNNNNNNNNNNNNNNNNNNNNNNNNNNNNNNNNNNNNNNNNNNNNNNNNNNNNNNNNNNNNNNNNNNNNNNNNNNNNNNNNNNNNNNNNNNNNNNNNNNNNNNNNNNNNNNNNNNNNNNNNNNNNNNNNNNNNNNNNNNNNNNNNNNNNNNNNNNNNNNNNNNNNNNNNNNNNNNNNNNNNNNNNNNNNNNNNNNNNNNNNNNNNNNNNNNNNNNNNNNNNNNNNNNNNNNNNNNNNNNNNNNNNNNNNNNNNNNNNNNNNNNNNNNNNNNNNNNNNNNNNNNNNNNNNNNNNNNNNNNNNNNNNNNNNNNNNNNNNNNNNNNNNNNNNNNNNNNNNNNNNNNNNNNNNNNNNNNNNNNNNNNNNNNNNNNNNNNNNNNNNNNNNNNNNNNNNNNNNNNNNNNNNNNNNNNNNNNNNNNNNNNNNNNNNNNNNNNNNNNNNNNNNNNNNNNCGAGGAAGACCAAUCGGCUUAAGGUCAGGAACAAAGUCAACACAAAACUCAAUUACCUCCUCAUUUCCAUAGCCCUUGGCGAUGCUUCCUUCUGGCCUAGCACGGUUACGAACAUAUUUCUUUAAUACUCCCAUGAACCUCUCGAAGGGGAACAUAUUGUGUAGAAAUACAGGACCGAGAACGAAAAUCUCUUCGACUAGGUGAACCAGGAGGUGCGUCAUAAUAUUGAAGAAGGAUGGCGGGAACACCAACUCGAAACUGACAAGACAUUGGAUCACAUCGUUCUGUAACCAUGGUAGAACUUCUGGAUUGAUUACCUUCUGAGAGAUUGCAUUGAGGAAUGCACAUAGCUUCACAAUGGCUACUCGAACAUUUUCCGGCAGGAGCCCCCUCAAAGCAAUCGGAAGCAAUUGCGUCAUAAUCACGUGGCAGUCGUGAGACUUCAGGUUUUGGAACUUUUUCUCCGCCAUGUUUAUUAUUCCUUUUAUAUUGGACGAGAAUCCAGACGGGACCUUCAUACUGCUCAGGCAUUCAAAAAAGAUGACCUUCUCUUCUUUGGUCAGAGCGUAGCUGGCACGACCUUGAAACCAUUCCGGAUGCCGGUCAUCAGGGUCUUUCAAACGUUGCUGGUCCUGCCGUGCUUCCUUUGUAUCAUUUGUCUUCCCAUACACGCCCAAGAAGCUUAGGAGGUUCACGCAAAUAUUCUUCGUAACGUGCAUCACGUCGAUUGCAGAGCGGACAUCUAGGACUUUCCAAUAUUCUAGCUCCCAGAAUAUAGAUUUCUUCUUCCACAUGGCUGCGUUCCCGUCUGCUCCCUUCGGAACUGAUUGUCCGCCAGGACCCUUUCCAAAGAUGACUUUCAAAUCCUUGACCAUAUCAAAUACCUCAGCACCAGUGCAUUCCGCAGGCUUCGGCCGGUGAUCUGCCUUGCCGUUGUAAUGCUUGCCUUUCUUUCUUACUGGAUGAAUUUUCGGAAGAAAUCGAUGAUGCCCAAGGUACACGUUCUUCUUACAAUUUGGCAAAUGUACACUUUCAGUCUCAUGUAAGCAGUGCGUGCAUGCAUUGUAUCCCUUAUUUGACAGUCCCGAAAGGUUACUAAGAGCAGGCCAAUCGUUGAUGGUUACGAAAAGCAACGCUCGUAGGUCAAAUUCCUCUUGUUUGUGCUCAUCCCACACACGGACACCACCCCACAGCUGUAAAAGUUCAUCAACUAAUGGCCUUAGGUACACAUCGAUGUCGUUGCCGGGUUGCUUCGGACCUUGGAUGAGCACUGGCAUCAUAAUGAACUUCCGCUUCAUGCACAACCAAGAAGGAAGGUUGUAGAUGCAUAGAGUCACGGGCCAGGUGCUAUGGCUGGAGCUCUGCUCGCCAAAAGGAUUCAUGCCAUCCGUACUUAGAGCAAAUCUUAUGUUCCUUGCGUCAGCUGCAAAAUCUUUGAACCAUCUGUCGAUCUUUCUCCAUUGCGUUCCAUCUGCGGUGUGUCUCAACUCCCCGUCCGACUUACGGUCCUCUUUGUGCCAUCGCAACAACUUGGCAUGCUCUUUGUUCCUGAACAGACGUUUCAACCGUGGUAUUAUAGGAGCAUACCACAUCACCUUGGCGGGAACCCUCUUCCUGGGUUUCUGGCCCUCAACAUCGUCACCAGGGUCAUCGCCUCUGAUCUUAUAACGCAAUGCAGUGCAUAUCGGGCAUUCAUUCAAAUUCUCGUAUUCACCGCGGUAGAGGAUGCAGUCGUUGAUGCAUGCAUGUAUCUUCAGAACCUCUAAACCUAGAGGGCAGACAACCUUCUUUGCUUCGUACGUACUGGCGGGCAACUCGUUAUCCUUUGGAAACAUACUCUUCAACAUUUUCAGCAAGUUUUCAAAUGCCGAGUCAGCUACACCUGCCUCUGCCUUCCAUUUCAGCAAAUCCAGUGUGCAGCCCAGCUUUUUCAGACCAUCAUCGCAUCCGGGGUACAGCGCCUUUCUGUGAUCCUCUAACAUGCGAUCCAAAUUCUCCCUCUCCUUUUCAGUUUCGCAGCGUCUCCGUGCAUCAGCAAUGGUCCGACCAAGAUCAUCAACGGGAUCAUCACGUGCCUCUUCUUCACCUUCCCCUUCACCUUCAGCAUCCUCCAUGAAAGUAUCACCGAGAUGAGCAAGAUAGCUUUCAUCGAUGAAAUCAUCCCCUUCUUCAUCUUCUUCCAUUAUAACCCCUCUUUCUCCAUGCUUGGUCCAACAAUUAUAGCUUGGCAUGAAACCGUGCCGAAGCAGAUGCAUGUGAACAUCUCUUGAGGAAGAGUAACCCUUCUGAUUCUUACAGAUAACACAUGGACAGAUAACAAAAAACCCCUGCUUGUUCGCAUUAGCCACUACGAGGAAAUCUUUCAAACCCGUAGUGAACUCGCCGGAGAGUCGGUUACCGUACAUCCAUUGCCGAUUCAUCUGCAUUAUUAUAAUAUAAAAUAUAUAAUUAACCAUCAUGCAUUUGUUAAACUAACUAGCUACAAACAAUAUAAAUUAAACAAUGAACUGCACACAUGCAUAUUUUAUCAAUGACACAUCAAAGGUUCAUCAAGUUGCUAACCGCGAUCGAGGAGUGUGGCUCCAACACUUCAUGUCAUGUUUGUUUCAUGCUCUUGGGGCAUUUCAUCAAACACCUUAUGUGCAUAAGAGGAACCAAAAGCAAACCUACACCCACUUGUGAAGAGAAUGGCUCCAAAUGGCUAAGUGUUGGCUGCUGGAUGGGUAUAUAUAGGGGAGGGGCUUUAGUUGCGGUUGGCUUGGCAAACCGUGACUAAAGGUGCCCGAAGGCCUUUAGUCGCGGUUGUCCUGGCCAACCGCGACUAAAGACCCUCACGUGCGCCAGCUGGCCACCGAGCGCCCUGAGCCCAGGCCUUUGGUCGCGGUUCACCUCCAGAACCGCGACUAAAGGUCCCAUUAGUCGCGGUUCCUACAGCUUCGCGACUUAUGGGGCUGGACGGAAGCUUGUUUUUCCACCAGUGUACUAGGUAAGGUGUCGUUCCAGUCAAAUUGAUGAAUUCAUCUUUUGUUACCUUUGUUAUAGGAAUAUAGGCUGCAUUUAUUAGUCAUAUCGAGCUCUCAAGGAGUCAAGAUCUUGUUAACUUACUAAUAAUUUCUAUAUACCUGCAGCGUUAUGGCCUAUGGUGCAGGGCAAAGACAACAAGGACGACAUGCGGCGGCGACGUGGCCAUGGUGAAGCUACUUCGUCCGGCUACCCCAUGGUUGGCGUGUCUGCCGUCCUCUCAAUCUAUCACACGUACGUCCGGUGCAUGCAUGGUGUCGGGCCGAAGAGCACACAAAUCUACAUCCAGGCCCUGGGCACUAGCAACCGCUGAUGCACUUAGCCACUUACCAAUGUAUUCCUAUUGUACGUAUAUAAUAAAGUGGUUAGUACGUCGACGUAGAAAUAGUUAGUAGCUUGCUUUGCACUCACACAAUCGAGUCAUGAUUGUUACUGAUGAUCAAAAUUUUAUGUAUUUUUUAUGCCGGAUGGGUUUACUACUUCUUCUUCGGUUGUAUAUAAAGCUUCCAAAAAAUUAGUAUAUAAUCCUCCAGAAUAAAUCAGUAUAUAGUCCUCCAAAAAAAUGAGUAUAUACACUUUGUAACGCAGCAUAUACCCCAUAAAAAAUGUAGUAUAACGCUGCAGAAAUAAGACAUACUCCUUUUCUAGUUGCAUAUACCCAAUCACAAAACUACACUGAAAUAAUUAGUAGUACAUACUCCUUUUCUAUUUUGGAAAGGAACGUCCAUUUCCCUCUUCAACAAGUGCUUUAUUUUUCUAGGGGUAGCCUUGUGUUUUUACUGCCAUGCGACGACAUUACAAAAUGUAUUACACCCAUUAUUCAUCUAAUUUUUUAUAUACCCUUUUAUGCAUACUUUGAAUUUAUCACUCAUUUGGGCGACCAGCCCGCUCUCUCAUUGCAGCGACUCGACUCUCACAUAAAGCCAGUAUAUACUCACGUAAAAAAAAGCAGUAUAGACUCCCUUACUGAAAAAGAACUAUAUACUCCCCUACCAAAAAAAGUAGUAUAUGCUCCAUUACCAAAAAGGCAGUAUAUACUCAUAUACAAAAGGUGGUAUAUACUGUCUUCCCAAAGUAGUAUAUAUCUUUUUCCUUGCGUUAGAGAAGUAGUAUAACCAGAACAGAUAGUUCAUACUUGUGUGCUGAAAAAAGUAGUAUAUAAAUAUAUAUGUAAGAGUGAGUAUGGUAGAUAUGUAUCGGUCCUUACAAAAAAAAUCAACCACUGUUAUUGUUUAUUUGCACCGAACUAACCUUAUCUGUAUGCUAGGAUCCUUGAAUCUCUCAAUCUGUUGAUGCACAUGCAUGCGUCGGCCGGUGGAGCAAUUAGCAACUAGAUCUAAUAACUGCCAACCUGUUCAGUCCAUGGGAGUACAUACUCCUGGGAGUAUAAAAGAGGAGUCUAUAUAUAUAUAUAUAUAUAUAUAUAUAUACGGUGGCGCUAUUGUGUGCGUGAGCGCAGAUUUACUUAUCGUGCGCGCCGGUCAUUGCGUGCGCCACUCGUAUUCCUAAUGAUGGUAAAAUUCCUGGCAGAAAUAGUAAUAUAAUUUAAUUGGUUACUGCCUGCCACCACCACGGUAGCGAUUUAAUUGGUUAGGUCUACUAGUAAAAAUGCAUAGCAGAAAAAGUAAAAGAGCUAAAAGUAUUACUGUUGGAUGCAUCGGUCCCCGCUUCGACUGCCUACUAGUAAAACACCUCAUAAAAGUAGUAAUAGGAUUACCCUACACGCAUCAGCCCCUUGCCAUACUUGUGAACAGGUAAACUUCAUGUGAAGAAUAGUACUGGAUGGUAACUGUGUUACCAUAGAACGGACACUUGCUAUUAGCUAGCUACAUGGUAAUUUUAUUACCGCUAACUUUCAUCGGUUUAAUACCUAAUCAUGUUACCACUUAUUUUCUUAGUAGUAUUGGAUGGUAACUAUGUUACCACAUGACGAAAAAAUUGCUAUUAGCUAAUAGCUACACGGUAAUUGCAUUACCACUCAUGUGUAGAAGCAUGAUACACGGUCUUUUUUCCAAUUACGUUUGGUCGAAGACGCAAGGGUUUGCUAAUCGCUAAAGUGGGGUCGAAGCAGUAAUAAGUUUCCAACCGUUACCAUGUUUCUUAAGGUAUGUUACGUAUGGGCGCAAGACAUGUUCUUUAAUAGGAGCGGGACAACGGUUGCUUAGACGGAGAAUGGCGCGCAGUCUGGCCGGAGCGUAGAAUUAGACUUCUGCGCUCAGGCUUAGUUUAGCACGUCUAUAUAUAUAUAUAUAUAUAUAUAUAUAUAUAUACAUACAUGUUAGUGGCCUCGACGCUGCUUCUCUAGGGUUUGGGGUCGCCUCGACACAACGCUUCAAGGGUUUGGGGUGGCCUCGACGACAACGUUUUUUUAACUUGAUAAAUUUGGGUGGCCUCGAGAGAGUUAAUUUGUCGGGUAGGGGCGCGGCGGGAGGGGGUAGGAGACCAACAUCGUUUUCUCUCUAGGGUUUGGGUGUCCUCGAGAGUUAUCGGGGAGGGGGUAUCGGUACCACCCCCUAGCUCGUGUUGAAGUUUCUUCUUUCUCCUCUAUUCCUUUCUUUCUUCUUCUCCUCUUCUUUUUCUUCUUCUCCCUCGAGAAAGGAAAAUANNNNNNNNNNNNNNNNNNNNNNNNNNNNNNNNNNNNNNNNNNNNNNNNNNNNNNNNNNNNNNNNNNNNNNNNNNNNNNNNNNNNNNNNNNNNNNNNNNNNNNNNNNNNNNNNNNNNNNNNNNNNNNNNNNNNNNNNNNNNNNNNNNNNNNNNNNNNNNNNNNNNNNNNNNNNNNNNNNNNNNNNNNNNNNNNNNNNNNNNNNNNNNNNNNNNNNNNNNNNNNNNNNNNNNNNNNNNNNNNNNNNNNNNNNNNNNNNNNNNNNNNNNNNNNNNNNNNNNNNNNNNNNNNNNNNNNNNNNNNNNNNNNNNNNNNNNNNNNNNNNNNNNNNNNNNNNNNNNNNNNNNNNNNNNNNNNNNNNNNNNNNNNNNNNNNNNNNNNNNNNNNNNNNNNNNNNNNNNNNNNNNNNNNNNNNNNNNNNNNNNNNNNNNNNNNNNNNNNNNNNNNNNNNNNNNNNNNNNNNNNNNNNNNNNNNNNNNNNNNNNNNNNNNNNNNNNNNNNNNNNNNNNNNNNNNNNNNNNNNNNNNNNNNNNNNNNNNNNNNNNNNNNNNNNNNNNNNNNNNNNNNNNNNNNNNNNNNNNNNNNNNNNNNNNNNNNNNNNNNNNNNNNNNNNNNNNNNNNNNNNNNNNNNNNNNNNNNNNNNNNNNNNNNNNNNNNNNNNNNNNNNNNNNNNNNNNNNNNNNNNNNNNNNNNNNNNNNNNNNNNNNNNNNNNNNNNNNNNNNNNNNNNNNNNNNNNNNNNNNNNNNNNNNNNNNNNNNNNNNNNNNNNNNNNNNNNNNNNNNNNNNNNNNNNNNNNNNNNNNNNNNNNNNNNNNNNNNNNNNNNNNNNNNNNNNNNNNNNNNNNNNNNNNNNNNNNNNNNNNNNNNNNNNNNNNNNNNNNNNNNNNNNNNNNNNNNNNNNNNNNNNNNNNNNNNNNNNNNNNNNNNNNNNNNNNNNNNNNNNNNNNNNNNNNNNNNNNNNNNNNNNNNNNNNNNNNNNNNNNNNNNNNNNNNNNNNNNNNNNNNNNNNNNNNNNNNNNNNNNNNNNNNNNNNNNNNNNNNNNNNNNNNNNNNNNNNNNNNNNNNNNNNNNNNNNNNNUGAAAACACUUUUUUUUGUUUUCUUUCUUGCUUUAUUUAUUUUAUUUUGUUUCUACUUGCAAUAAAAUACUUAUUGUUGUUUUUUUGUUUUGUUUUCUGCAUUAUUUAUUUUCUUUUGUUUUUUGCUUUAUUUUUUAAUUCUUUUUGCUUUUAGUUUUAGGAAAAUUAUAAACUUUCUAUUAGUGCCAUUACUUUUCAAAUUUGAAAACACUUUUUUGUUUUUUAGUUUUCUUUCUUGCUUUAUUUAUUUUAUUUUGUUUCUACUUACAACAAAAUACUUAUUGUUGCUAUUUUUAAUUAUUACGAAGGCCAAACCAUAAGACAUUAAAGCAUUUCAAAUGAACUCUGAAAAAGUUGAAAGUUGGCAUGGUAUCAUAAAUUGACCCACACAUAGCAUGUGCAUGUACAAAACGGACAAUGUUAUCAUACUCGUCAGUUACAAAGUUGGCAUGGUAUCAUCAUAAUAGUUGCGGGAGAAAGUCUUCACUUUUUCUUCGCUUGUGUCAUUUGCUUAUUGCGCCGUAACCAUGGAUAAUCUUCAUCGUUUAUCAGGAUGCUGGGGUCAGCCUUGACUUUAAAGGGAGGAAUUUCAUGAAACUUUUCAUAAUCUUCAGACAUGUCUGUCUUGUCCUCCUCUCCCACGAUGUCCCUUUUUCCUGAAAGAACUAUGUGGCGCUUUGGCUCAUCGUAUGAUGUAUUCGCUUCCUUAUCUUUUCUCUUUCUUGGUCUGGUAGACAUGUCCAUCACAUAGAUAACCUGUGCCACAUCAUUGGCUAGGACGAACGGUUCGUCAGUGUACCCAAGAUUUUUCGGAUCCACUGUUGUCGUUCCGUACUGUGGGUCUACAUGUACCCCGCCUCCUGACAGAUUGACCCAUUUGCACUUAAACAAAGGGACCUUAAAAUCAUGUCCUUAGUCAAGUUCCCAUAUGUCCACUAUGUAACCAUAAUAUGUGUCCUUUCCCCUCUCGGUUGUUGCAUCAAAGCGGACACCGCUGUUUUGGUUGGUGCUCUUUUGAUCUUGGUUAAUCGUGUAAAAUGUCUUCCCAUUUAUCUCAUAUCCUUUCCAAAUCGUAACAGUCGAAGAUGGUCCCCUGGAUAACAAGUACAUCUCAUCACAAACAGCGUUGUCACCUCUGAUACGUGCUUCCAACCAACUGCUGAAAGUCCUGAUGUGUUCACAUGUAAUUCAGUCGUCGCACUGCUCCGGGUGUUUGGAGCGCAGACUGUUCUUGUGUUCAUCCACAUACGGGGUCACCAAGGUAGAGUUCUGUAGAACUGUGUAGUGUGCUUGAGACCAAGAAUAUCUGUCCCUGCAUAUUAUUGAGUCCCUUCCAAGCAUGCCUUUUCCAGUCAGUCUCCCCUCAUACCGCGAUUUAGGGAGACCUAUCUUCUUAUGGCCAGGAAUGAAGUCAACACAAAACCCGAUGACAUCCUCUGUUUGAUGGCCCAUGGAGAUGCUUCCUUCUGGCCUAGCGCGAUGAGGGACAUAUUUCUUUAGGACUCCCAUGAACCUCUCAAAGGGGUACAUAUUGUGUAGAAAUACGGGGCCCAAAAUGACAAUCUCGUCAACUAGAUGAACUAGGACGUGCGUCAUGAUAUUGAAGAAGGAUGGUGGGAACACCAGCUCGAAACUGACAAGACAUUGCACCACAUCACUCCUUAGCCUUGGUAUGAUUUCUGGAUCGAUCACCUUCUGAGAGAUUGCAUUGAGGAAUGCACAUAGCUUCACAAUGGCUAAUCGGACGUUUUCCGGUAGAAGCCCCCUCAAUGCAACCGGAAGCAGUUGUGUCAUAAUCACGUGGCAGUCAUGAGACUUUAGGUUCUGAAACUUUUUCUUUGCCAUAUUUAUUAUUCCUUUUAUAUUCGACGAGAAGCCAGUCGGGACCUUCAUACUAAGCAGGCAUUCAAAGAAGAUUUCCUUCUCUUCUUUGGUAAGAGCAUAGCUGGCAGGACCUUCAUACUGCUUUGGAGGCAUGCCGUCUUUUUCGUGCAAAUGUUGCAGGUCCUCCCGUGCCUCAGCUGUAUCUUUUGUCUUCCCAUACACGCCCAAGAAGCCUAGCAGGUUCACGCAAAGGUUCUUCGUCACGUGCAUCACGUCGAUCGAAGAGCGGACCUCUAGGUCUUUCUAGUAGGGUAGGUCCCAAAAUAUAGAUUUCUUCUUCCACAUGGGUGCGUGUCCCCCAACGUCACUCGGAACAGCUAGUCUGCCGGGACCCUUUCCAAAGAUUACGUGUAAAUCAUUGACCAUAGCAAGUACGUGACCACCGGUACGCAUGGCGGGCUUCUUCCGGUGAUCUGCCUCGCCUUUGAAAUGCUUGCCUUUCUUUCGACAUUGAUGGUUGGUCGGAAGAAAUCGACGAUGGCCCAGGUACACAUUCUUCCUACAGCUUGCCAGGUAUAUACUAACGGUGUCAAGUAAACAGUGCGUGCAUGCGUGGUAUCCCUUGUUUGUCUGUCCUAAAAGGUUACUGAGAGCAGGCCAAUCGUUGAUGGUCACGAACAGCAACGCCUUUAGGUUAAAUUUCUCCUGUUUGUGCUCAUCCCACGUACGUACACCGUUUCCAUUCCACAGCUGUAAAAGUUCUUCAACUAAUGGCCUUAGGUACACAUCAAUGUCAUUGCCGGGUUGCUUAGGGCCUUGGAUGAGAACUGGCAUCAUAAUGAACUUCCGCUUCAUGCACAUCCAAGGAGGAAGGUUAUACAUACAUAGAGUCACGGGCCAGGUGCUGUGAUUGCUGCUCUGCUCCCCGAAAGGAUUAAUGCCAUCCGCACUUAAAGCAAACCAUACGUUCCUUGGCUCACUUGCAAACUCAUCCCAGUACUUUCUCUCAUUUUUCUCCAUUGCGACCCGUCAGCGGGUGCUCUCAACUUCCCGUCUUUCUUACGGUCCUCACUAUGCCAUCGCAUCAACUUGGCAUGCUCUCCGUUUCUGAACAGACGUUUCAACCGUGGUAUUAUAGGAGCAUACCACAUCACCACUACUAGGGAAAAGCCUAUACAUAGAAUCUUACCAGCAGCGCUCUUCAAAAUACAACGCUACUGCUACUUAGCAGCAGCGCGUGUCUGCCAAACACGCUGCUGACUUGGAAGUAGCAGUAGCGGGUGCAUCGCAUACAGCGCUACUGCUAUAGUUGCCAUGACCUUGCCCCCCCCCCCCCNNNNNNNNNNNNNNNNNNNNNNNNNNNNNNNNNNNNNNNNNNNNNNNNNNNNNNNNNNNNNNNNNNNNNNNNNNNNNNNNNNNNNNNNNNNNNNNNNNNNNNNNNNNNNNNNNNNNNNNNNNNNNNNNNNNNNNNNNNNNNNNNNNNNNNNNNNNNNNNNNNNNNNNNNNNNNNNNNNNNNNNNNNNNNNNNNNNNNNNNNNNNNNNNNNNNNNNNNNNNNNNNNNNNNNNNNNNNGCAAACGCGCUACAACUAUCCCUACCUUAUCCCCAUGCGCACGACCGGCCCUCUCACUCACACUCUCACUCUCGCCCACGUCAACCGUCGUCGUCCGUCGCCGCCGCCGCCGCCUUCGUCCGUCCGCCGCCGAGGUACUCCCCUCCUUCCGUCCCUCCUCCAUCCUCCUUGCACAUCCUCCCUCCGCCUGUGGCCGCCCCUCCUUCCUCCGCCGCUGCCCUCCUCCCUCCGCCUGCGGCCGCCCCUCCUCCCUCCUCCGACGGCAGCCCUCCUCCCACCGCCCUCGACCUCGCUGCCCCUAGCUACCUCUCCGUCGCCCCCCACCCCUGCCACUAGUUAGUACUAGAUUUAGUAGUAGUAGAUGUUAAUUUAGGGUUAGCUAGUACUAGAUGUUGCUUAGUUAGUACUAGAUUUUUAGUAGUAGUAGUGGUAGUUGAACUACUUUAGUUGUAGUUGAACUAGUUUAGUAAGUAAAUUAAUAAACGAGUUGAACUAGUUGAAUUAAUAGAACUAAUCUAUUUUUAGUAAGAUAAUUAAUAUAACUAGUUGAACUACUUUAUUUUUAGAAAGAACUAAUUUUUUUCUAUUUAUAUUAAGUUUAUAUUUAGUAAGAACUAGUUGAAUUAAUAAAACUAGUUGAACAUGUCAUGUUUGUUGUUAGUGAUAACUUAUAUGGUUUCAGGUGACCUCCGUCGUCCCCGUCACCGACCCCCUCCGACAUCCCCGUCGUCGUCCCAGUCACCGACCCCCUCCGACAUCGAGGUGAGACCAGCCAAAUAUCCUUGUAUAUCUUGUGUUGUUGCUCAAAUUGGAUAUGUGGUUGCCCAAGUGGCCGUUCAUGUAGUUUACAUCUCCGAGUGGCCUAUGUUUUGCCGGAGUGUUGAUUAAUUUCCGUUCCGACAAAUUUCAGGCGCUCGAUAUGUCCUUUUUUAGCAAAGGUCAUGCCGGAUUUUGUCGUGAAUUCUGGUAUGACUUGUGCUAGAAUAUGUACAAGUUUAAUCUUUGAAUUAUGAUUGUAGGAAAUGUCGUACUCGGACGACGAAGGUCUCCCGGGGGAGUGUAGCUGGUGCCACGACGAUCGAGGUAUGUGCGAUAGGUUCGUUCGGCUGGACGAAGAUCGGCGCUUCAACAUUAAGCUCGAGGAGACCUUCGAUUGUGAAAUGGUACGCAACAACGACAAGUGUUUUUUCUCCAUUAAGCAUGACUUCAACUAUUUCAACGUCUAAUUUUCAUAUUUUACAAUUCGACUAGCUUAUCCCAUGCCAUGCAAGACGCUAUGUCUUGGAGAGGAUGGGUUUUGAAGACCAUGAAAAUUUCAAAACAAAGAAAAUACACCUAAGGACCCAUCAUGAUAUGGAUUUUGAAGUAAACCUGUGCAAUGCUCAGAGCGCAACCCAUUUUGGUUGCCAAAAUUGGGAAGCACUUUGCAAAAUGUAUGGUUUUUAUGAGGGUAUGAUUGUCACCAUGGAUCUUGGUGAUCCUGACAGUGAGGAAGACAAUAUGGACAUUUGGGUCCUUGUUGAUACGCUUCCGAUUGUACCGCUAUGUGACUUUCUCAAACAUAGUUAUUAACUAAUUUAUAUUGUUUAUUUCAAAAUAGUUGAUAGCUUAUUUCCAUUGACAGCUUAUUUUGAUUCUUCAAAGACUGUGCGGAAGAUGGUAGAUAAAACCCACUACACCGAAGGCACCCAAUUAACGUAUAAGGAGAAAAAUCAUCUGAUCGCAUUUUGUACUCUUCUUGAGAAUUACAAUGACUAUAAUCGAACUCCUCCAGAUUAUGGUGAAUAUGUGCCACUAGUGCAUGUGUUGAACAACGAUAACUUAUCUGGAGAUACCCUGGUAAGAUUUUUUACUAUUACGACAUCCGUGUAUUUUUUGCAUACUUCUAAAACUAGUACAUCAUUGCUAACUACGAAGUUAUUAUUAUGUUUUUCAACAGAAACUCCCGAUGGAUUGUGUGCCUCAUCUGAUGUCUCUGCAUGGUCGCCUCUCAGUUCUGAACAUACUGCCAGGUAAAUCUACAGAGCUCACCUAUGCAUAUCAGAUUUCUAAAACCCGUGAACACAUGAUCAUCAGAGAAUGGAAGAAAUGUAUGGACAUUCGCAAGGAGGUUCUUGGAAGUAACAUUCAGCGAAACGUAAGAAUGGGAGACAGGCUAAUCUCCAUUCUCCAUAAUGGAGAGUCAGGGGCUAUCUUGUUUUUUGUUAUUUUACCUUAGAAAAUGUAGUAGGUCUUAAUCGAAUGUAAUAGGUCCUAUGAGGUACAAUAUGUUUAUUAUGUGGUAAUGUGUUAGAGUUGAUAAUGAUGAUCUUGAGGAGGUGUUAUGUGAUGUCAAUGAUGAAAACGAUGAUAUUGAGGAGGUGUUAUAUGACAAUGAUGUAUUAUGAUGCUAAGUUGUUAAUGAUAUGAUGAUGAUGAUGAUAUUAUUAUAUCAUUGGGUGAAAGAACCGUGGAUUAGUUUCAAGUGGAUGGACAUCCACUUGAAACUAGUCCACGGUUCUUUCACCCCAUGAUGUAAUAACUCAUUAUGAUGUAAAAACAAUCUCUAAAUUCCUGUUGUAUGAAAACUUGUGUAAGGGUGUAUGAAUACAACAUGAAAAAGAAAAGAAAUAAAAUACUAAAUAAUAGUAGUAGCGCGGGUAAGGAGAAGCGCUACUACUAAUUACCAGUAGCGAUGUUCUAAAGAACCGCUGCUACUAAGUCAAUUUAGCAGUAGCGCGUGUCAAGACGCGCUAUUGCUAAGCAUUAGCUGUAGCGCCUUAUCAGUAGCGCUCCUGCCCGCGCUACUGAUAGGCCCAAAACCCGCGCUGCUGCUAGGCUUUUCCCUAGUAGUGCACCUUCGCAGGAACCCUCUUCCUGGGGGGCUCGCCGUCAACAUCACCAGGGUCAUCUCGUCUGAUCUUAUACCAUAAUGCACCGCAUACCAGGCAUGCGUUCAGAUCCUUAUAUGCACCGCGGUAGAGGAUGCAGUCAUUAGGGCAUGCAGGUAUCUUCUGCACCUCCAAUCCUAGAGGGCAUACGACCUUCUUUGCUGCGUAUGUACUGUCGGGCAAUUCGUUAUCCUUUGGAAGCUUCUUCUUCAAUAUUUUCAGUAGCUUCUCAAAUCCUUUGUCAGGCACAGCAUUCUCUUAAAGGAAAUAUGCCCUAGAGGCAAUAAUAAAGUUAUUAUUUAUUUCCUCAUAUCAUGAUAAAUGUUUAUUAUUCAUGCUAGAAUUGUAUUAACCGGAAACAUGAUACAUGUGUGAAUACAUAGACAAAACUAUAGUCACUAGUAUGCCUCUACUUGACUAGCUCAUUAAUCAAAGAUGGUUAUGUUUCCUGACCAUAGACAUGUGUUGUCAUUUGAUUAGUGGGAUCACAUCAUUAAGAGAAUGAUGUGAUUGACAUGACCCAUUCUGUUAGCCCAGCACUUGAUCGUUUAGUAUACUGCUAUUGCUUUCUUCAUGACUUAUACAAAGUUCCUGCAACUAUGAGAUUGUGCAACUCCCGUUUACCGGAAGAACACUUUGUGUGCUACCAAACAUCACAACGUAACUGGGUGAUUAUAAAGGUGCUCUACAGGUGUUUCCGAAGGUACAUGUUGGGUUGGCAUAAUUCGAGAUUAGGAUUUGUCACUCCGAUUGUCGGAGAGGUAUCUCUGGGCCCUCUCGGAAAUACUCAUCACAUAAGCCUUGCAAGCAUGUAACUAAUGAGUUAGUUAUGAGAUGACGUAUUACGAAACGAGUAAAGAGACUUGCCGGUAACGAGAUUGAACUAGGUAUUGGAUACCGACGAUCAAAUCUCGGGCAAGUAACAUACCGAUGACAAAGGGAACAAAGUAUGUUGUUAUGCGGUUUGACCGAUAAAGAUCUUCGUAGAAUAUGUAGGAACCAAUAUGGGCAUCCAGGUCCCGCUAUUGGUUAUUGACCGAGAAUGGUUUUAGGUCAUGACUACAUAGUUCUCAAACCCGUAGGGUCCGCACGCUUAACUUUUUGAUGAUAGUUUUAUUAUGAGUUUAUAAGUUUUGAUGUACCAAAGUUUGUUCGGAGUUCCGGAUGUGAUCACGGAUAUGAUGAGGAGUCUCGGAAUGCUUGAGCCAUAAAGAUUGAUAUAUUGGACGACUAUAUUCGGACACCGGAAAGGUUCCGGGAGUUUUCGGAGAAAACCGGAGUGCCCGGGGGGUUACCGAAACCCCCCGGGAGAGUUAAUGGGCCACAUGGGCCUAGGUGGGAAGAGAAAGGGGCGGCCAGGGUGAGCCGCGCGCCCCCUCUCCCUCUAGUCCGAAUUGGACUAGGAGGGGGGGCGGCGCCCCCUUUCCUUCCCCCCCUCUCUUCCUUCCUUCCCCCUCCUAGUAGGAGUAGGAAAGGAGGAAUCCUACUCCUACUAGGAGGAGGAUUCCUCCUCCCUUGCGCGCCCCAAGGGGCCGGCCGGCCUCCCCCUCCCUCCUUUAUAUACGGGGGCAGGGGGCACCCCAUAGACACACAAGUUGAUCUACGGAUCGUUCCUUAGCCGUGUGCGGUGCCCCCUUCCACCAUAUUCCACCUCGGUCAUAUCGUCGCGAAGCUUAGGCGAAGUCCUGCGCCGGUAGAACAUCAAGAUCGUCACCACGCCGUCGUGCUGACGGAACUCUCCCUCGACACUCGGCUGGAUCGGAGUUCGAGGGACGUCAUCGAGCUGAAUGUGUGCUGAACUCGGAGGCUCCGUACGUUCGGUUCUUGGAUCGGUCGGAUCGUGAAGACGUAUGACUACAUCAACCGCGUUGUCAUAACGCUUCCGCUUACGGUCUACGAGGGUACAUGGACAUACACUCUCCCCUCUCGUUGCUAUGUCAUCACCAUGAUCUUGCGUGUGCGUAGGAAAAUUUUGAAAUUACUACGUUCCCCGACAGUGGUAUCAGAGCCUAGGUUUUAUGCGUUGAUGUUAUAUGCACGAGUAGAACACAAGUGAGUUGUGGACGAUAUAAGUCAUACUGCCUACCAGUGUGUCAUACUUUGGUUCAGCGGUAUUGUGAGAUGAAGCGGCCCGGACCGACAUUACGGGUACGCUUACGCGAGACUAGUUUCACCGUUAUGAGCACUCGUGCUUAAAGGUGGCUGGCGGGUGUCUGUCUCUCUCACUUUAGUUGAACCGAGUGUGGCUACGCCCGGCCCUUGUGAAGGUUAAAACGGAGUCUAUUUGACAAACUAUCGUUGUGGUUUUGAUGCGUAGGUAAGAACGGUUCUUGCUAAGCCCGUAGCAUCCACGUAAAAUUUGCAACAACAAAGUAGAGGACGUCUAACUUGUUUUUGCAGGGCAUGUUGUGAUAUGAUAUGGUCAAGACGUGAUGCUAUAUUUUAUUGUAUGAGAUGAUCAUGUUUUGUAACCGAAGUUAUCGGCAACUGGCUGGAGCCAUAUGGUUGUCGCUUUAUUGUAUGAAAUGCAAACGCCCUGUAAUUGCUUUACUUUAUCUCUAAGCGGUAGCGAUAGUCGUAGAAGCAAUAGAUGGCGUAAACGACAACGAUGCUACGAUGGAGAUCAAGGUGUCGCGCCGGUGACGAUGGUGAUCAUGACGGUGCUUCGAAGAUGGAGAUCACAAGCACAAGAUGAUGAUGGCCAUAUCAUAUCACUUAUAUUGAUUGCAUGUGAUGUUUAUCCUUUAUGCAUCUUAUCUUGCUUUGAUUGACGGUAGCAUUUUAAGAUGAUCUCUCACUAAAAUUAUCAAGUAGUGUUCUCCCUGAGUAUGCACCGUUGCCAAAGUUCAUCGUGCCGAGACACCACGUGAUGAUCGGGUGUGAUAAGCUCUACGUCCAUCUACAACGGGUGCAAGCCAGUUUUGCACACGCAGAAUACUCAGGUUAAACUUGACGAGCCUAGCAUAUGCAGAUAUGGCCUCGGAACACAGAGACCGAAAGGUCGAGCGUGAAUCAUAUAGUAGAUAUGAUCAACAUAAUGAUGUUCACCAUUGAAAACUACUCCAUCUCACGUGAUGAUCGGUUAUGGUUUAGUUGAUUUGGAUCACGUGAUCACUUAGAUGACUAGAGAGAUGUCUGUCUAUGUGGGAGUUCUUAAGUAAUAUGAUUAAUUGAACUUAAAUUUAUCAUGAACUUAGUACCUGAUAGUAUCUUGCUUGUCUAUGUUUGUUUGUAGAUAGAUGGCUCGUGCUGUUGUUCCGUUGAAUUUUAAUGCGUUCCUUGAGAAAGCAAAGUUGAAAGAUGAUGGUAGCAAUUACACGGACUGGGUCCGUAACCUGAGGAUUAUCCUCAUUGUUGCACAGAAGAGUUACGUCCUGGAAGCACCGCUGGGUGCCAGGCCUGCUGCUGAUGCAACUGACGACGUUAAGAACGUCUGGCAGAGCAAAGCUGAUGACUACUCUAUAGUUCAGUGUGCCAUGCUUUACGGCUUAGAACCGGGUCUUCAACGACGUUUUGAACGUCAUGGAGCAUAUGAGAUGUUCCAGGAGUUGAAGUUAAUAUUUCAAGCAAAUGCCCGGAUUGAGAGAUAUGAAGUCUCCAAUAAGUUCUAUAGCUGCAAGAUGGAGGAGAAUAGUUCUGUCAGUGAACAUAUACUCAGAAUGUCUGGGUAUAACAAUCACUUGAUUCAACUGGGAGUUAAUCUUCCUGAUGAUAGUGUCAUUGACAGAAUUCUUCAAUCACUGCCACCAAGCUACAAGAGCUUUGUGAUGAACUAUAAUAUGCAAGGGAUGAACAAGACUAUUCCCGAGCUCUUCGCGAUGCUGAAAGCCGCAGAGGUAGAAAUCAAGAAGGAGCAUCAAGUGUUGAUGGUCAACAAGACCACUAGUUUCAAGAAGAAGGGCAAAGGAAAGAAGAAGGGGAACUUCAAAAAGAACGGCAAGCAAGUUGCUGCUCAAGAGAAGAAACCCAAGUCUGGACCUAAGCCUGAAACUGAGUGCUUCUACUGCAAGCAGACUGGUCACUGGAAGCGGAACUGCCCCAAGUAUUUGGCGGAUAAGAAGGAUGGCAAAGUAAACAAAGGUAUAUGUGAUAUACAUGUUAUUGAUGUGUACCUAACUAGAGCUCGUAGUAGCACCUGGGUAUUUGAUACUGGUUCUGUUGCUAAUAUUUGCAACUCGAAACAGGGACUACGGAAUAAGCGAGCACUGGCCAAGGACGAGGUGACGAUGCGCGUGGAAAACGGUUCCAAAGUCGAUGUGAUCGCGGUCGGCACGCUACCUCUACAUCUACCAUCGGGAUUAGUUUUAGACCUAAAUAAUUGUUAUUUGGUGCCAGCGUUGAGCAUGAACAUUAUAUCUGGAUCUUGUUUGAUGCAAGACGGUUAUUCAUUUAAAUCAGAGAAUAAUGGUUGUUCUAUUUAUAUGAGUAAUAUCUUUUAUGGUCAUGCACCCUUGAAGAGUGGUCUAUUUUUAUUGAAUCUCGAUAGUAGUGAUACACAUAUUCAUAUUGUAGAAGCCAAAAGAUGCAGAGUUGAUAAUGAUAGUGCAACUUAUUUGUGGCACUGCCGUUUGGGUCAUAUCGGUGUACAACGCAUGAAGAAACUCCAUACUGAUGGACUUCUGGAAUCACUUGAUUAUGAAUCACUUGGUACUUGCGAACCGUGCCUUAUGGGCAAGAUGACUAAAACACCGUUCUCCGGAACUAUGGAGAGAGCAACAGAUUUGUUGGAAAUCAUACAUACAGAUGUAUGUGGUCCGAUGAAUGUUGAGGCUCGUGGCGGAUAUCAUUAUUUUCUCACCUUCACUGAUGAUUUAAGCAGAUAUGGGUAUAUCUACUUAAUGAAGUACAAGUCUGAAACAUUUGAAAAGUUCAAAGAAUUUCAGAGUGAAGUAGAAAAUCAUCGUAACAAGAAAAUAAAGUUUCUACGAUCUGACCGUGGAGGAGAAUAUUUGAGUUACGAGUUUGGUUUACAUUUGAAACAAUGCGGAAUAGUUUCGCAACUCACGCCACCUGGAACACCACAACGAAAUGGUGUGUCCAAACGUCGUACUCGUACUUUACUUGAUAUGGUGCGAUCUAUGAUGUCUCUUACCGAUUUACCGCUAUCGUUUUGGGGUUAUGCUUUAGAGACGGCCGCAUUCACGUUAAAUAGGGCACCAUCAAAAUCCGUUGAGAUGACGCCUUAUGAACUGUGGUUUGGCAAGAAACCAAAGUUGUCGUUUCUUAAAGUUUGGGGCUGCGGUACUUAUGUGAAGAAACUUCAACCAGAUAAGCUCGAACCCAAAUCGGAGAAAUGUGUCUUCGUAGGAUACCCAAAGGAGACUAUUGGGUACACCUUCUAUCACAGAUCUGAAGGCAAGAUUUUCGUUGCUAAAUUCGGAUCCUUUCUAGAGAAGGAAUUUCUCUCGAAAGAAGUGAGUGGGAGGAAAGUAGAACUUGAUGAGAUAACUGUAUCUACUCCCUUAUUGGAAGGUAGUUCAUCACGAGAACUGGUUCCCAUGACAACUACACCAAUUAUUGAGGAAGCUAAUAAUAUUGAUCAUGAAACUUCAGAUCAAGUUUCUGCUGAACCUCGUAGGUCUACCAGAGUAAGAUCCGCACCAGAGUGGUACGGUAAUCCUAUUCUGGAAGUCAUGUUACUUGACCAUGAUGAACCUACGAACUAUGAGGAACCGAUGAUGAGCCCAGAUUCCGCAAAAUGGCUAGAGGCCAUGAAAUCUGAGAUGGGAUCCAUGGAUGAAAACAAAGUAUGGACUUUGGUUGACUUGCCCGAUGAUCGGCAAGCCAUUGAGAAUAAAUGGAUCUUUAAGAAGAAGACUGACGCUGAUGGUAAUGUUACUGUCUAUAAAGCUCGACUUGUUGCGAAAGGUUUUCGACAAGUUCAAGGGGUUGACUAUGAUGAGACUUUCUCACCCGUAGCGAUGCUUAAGUCUGUCCGAAUCAUGUUGGCUAUUGCUGCAUUUCAUGAUUAUGAAAUUUGGCAAAUGGAUGUCAAAACUGCAUUCUUGAAUGGAUUUCUAGAAGAAGAGUUGUAUAUGAUGCAGCCGGAAGGUUUUGUUGAUCCAAAAGGUGCUGACAAAGUGUGUAAGCUCCAAUGUUCCAUUUAUGGACUGGUGCAAGCAUCUCGGAGUUGGAAUAAACGUUUUGACAGUGUGAUCAAGGCAUAUGGUUUUAUACAGACUUUUGGAGAAGCCUGUAUUUACAAGAAAGUGAGUGGGAGCUCUGUAGCAUUUCUAGUUUUAUAUGUUGAUGACAUAUUAUUAAUUGGAAAUGAUAUAGAAUUUCUGGAGAGCAUAAAGGGAUACUUGAAUAAAAGUUUUUCAAUGAAAGACCUCGGUGAAGCUGCUUACAUAUUGGGCAUCAAGAUCUAUAGAGAUAGAUCAAGACGCUUAAUAGGACUUUCACAAAGCACAUACCUUGACAAAAUUUUGAAAAAGUUCAAAAUGGAUCAGGCAAAGAAAGGAUUCUUGCCUGUGCUACAAGGUGUGAAGUUGAGUCAAACUCAAUGCCCGACCACAUCAGAAGAUAGAGAGAAAAUGAAAAAUGUUCCCUAUGCUUCAGCCAUAGGCUCUAUCAUGUAUGCAAUGCUGUGUACCAGACUUGACGUAUGCUUAGCAAUAAGCUUGGCAGGAAGGUACCAAAGUAAUCCAGGAGUGGAUCACUGGACAGCGGUCAAGAACAUCCUUAAAUACCUGAAAAGGACUAAGGAUAUAUUUCUCGUAUAUGUAGGUGACAAAGAGCUCGUCGUAAAUGGUUACGUCGAUGCAAGCUUUGACACUGAUCCAGACGAUUCUAAAUCGCAAACCGGAUACGUGUUUAUAUUAAACGGUGGAGCUGUAAGUUGGUGCAGUUCUAAACAAAGCGUCGUGGCGGGAUCUACAUGUGAAGCGGAGUACAUAGCUGCUUCUGAAGCAGCAAAUGAAGGAGUCUGGAUGAAGGAGUUCAUUUCCGAUCUAGGUGUCAUACCUAGUGCAUCGGGACCAAUGAAGAUCUUCUGUGACAAUACAGGUGCAAUUGCUUUGGCAAAGGAAUCCAGAUUUCACAAGAGGACCAAGCACAUCACGAGACGCUUAAAUUCCAUUCGGGACCAAGUCCAAGUGGGAGACAUACAGAUUUGCAAGAUACAUACGGAUCUGAAUAUUGCAGACCCGUUGACUAAGCAUCUCUCACGAGCAAAACAUGAUCAGCACCAAGACUCCAUGGGUGUUAGAAUCAUUAUUGUGUAAUCUAGAUUAUUGACUCUAGUGCAAGUGGGAGACUAAAGGAAAUAUGCCCUAGAGGCAAUAAUAAAGUUAUUAUUUAUUUCCUCAUAUCAUGAUAAAUGUUUAUUAUUCAUGCUAGAAUUGUAUUAACCGGAAACAUGAUACAUGUGUGAAUACAUAGACAAAACUAUAGUCACUAGUAUGCCUCUACUUGACUAGCUCAUUAAUCAAAGAUGGUUAUGUUUCCUGACCAUAGACAUGUGUUGUCAUUUGAUUAGUGGGAUCACAUCAUUAAGAGAAUGAUGUGAUUGACAUGACCCAUUCUGUUAGCCUAGCACUUGAUCGUUUAGUAUACUGCUAUUGCUUUCUUCAUGACUUAUACAAAGUUCCUGCAACUAUGAGAUUGUGCAACUCCCGUUUACCAAAAGAACACUUUGUGUGCUACCAAACGUCACAACGUAACUGGGUGAUUAUAAAGGUUCUCUACAGGUGUUUCCGAAGGUACAUGUUGGGUUGGCAUAAUUCGAGAUUAGGAUUUGUCACUCCGAUUGUCGGAGAGGUAUCUUUGGGCCCUCUCGGUAAUACUCAUCACAUAAGCCUUGCAAGCAUGUAACUAAUGAGUUAGUUAUGAGAUGACGUAUUACGGAACGAGUAAAGAGACUUGCCGGUAACGAGAUUGAACUAGGUAUUGGAUACCAACGAUCAAAUCUCGGGCAAGUAACAUACCGAUGACAAAGGGAACAAAGUAUGUUGUUAUGCGGUUUGACCGAUAAAGAUCUUCAUAGAAUAUGUAGGAACCAAUAUGGGCAUCCAGGUCCCGCUAUUGGUUAUUGACCGAGAAUGGUUUUAGGUCAUGACUACAUAGUUCUCGAACCCGUAGGGUCCGCACGCUUAACGUUUCGAUGAUAGUUUUAUUAUGAGUUUAUAAGUUUUGAUGUACCGAAGUUUGUUCGGAGUCCCAGAUGUGAUCACAGACAUGACGAGGAGUCUUGGAAUGGUCGAGACAUAAAGAUUGAUAUAUUGGACGACUAUAUUCGGACACCGGAAAGGUUCCGGGAGUUUUCGGAGAAAACCGGAGUGCCGGGGGGGUUACCGGAACCCCCCGGGAGAGUUAAUGGGCCACAUGGGCCUAGGUGGGAAGAGAGAGGUGCGGCCAGGGUGGGCCGCGCGCCCCCUCUCCCUCUAGUUCGAAUUGGACUAGGAGGGGGGGCGGCGCCCCCCUUUCCUUCCCCCCCUCUCUUCCUUCCUUCCCCCUCCUAGUAGGAGUAGGAAAGGAGGAAUCCUACUCCUACUAGGAGGAGGAUUCCUCCUCCCUUGGAGCGCCCCAAGGGGCUGGCCGGCCUCCCCCUCCCUCCUUUAUAUACGAGGGCAGGGGGCACCCCAUAGACACACAAGUUGAACUACGGAUCGUUCCUUAGCCGUGUGCGGUGCCCCCUUCCACCAUAUUCCACCUCGGUCAUAUUGUCGCGAAGCUUAGGCGAAGCCCUGCGCCGGUAGAACAUCAAGAUCGUCACCACGCCGUCGUGCUGACGGAACUCUCCCUCGACACUCGGCUGGAUCGGAGUUCGAGGGACGUCAUCGAGCUGAACAUCUGCUGAACUCGGAGGCUCCGUACGUUAGGUGCUUGGAUCGGUCGGAUCGUGAAGACGUACGACUACAUCAACCGCGUUGUCAUAACGCUUCCGCUUACGGUCUACGAGGGUACGUGGACAUACACUCUCCCCUCUCGUUGCUAUUUCAUCACCAUGAUCUUGCUUGUGCGUAGGAAAAUUUUGAAAUUACUACGUUCCCCAACAUCUCUGCCUUCCACUGCAGCAAUUCCAGUACGGUACCGAGCUUUGUGUUGCCAUCUUCGCAAUUGGGGUACAACCCUUUUUUUUGGUCCUCUAGCAUGCGAUCGAACUUCAGCUUCUCCUUUUGACUUUUGCAUUGCGUCCUUGCAUCGACAAUGACCCGGCGGAGAUCAUCAUCAUCGGGCACAUCGUCUGGUUCCUCUUGAUCUUCAGCAGCUUCGCCUGUUGCAGCAUCAUCGUGCACAUCGUCUGGUUCCUCUUGAUCUUCAGGAGCAUCACCGUAUUCAGGGGCACAUAGUUGUCAUCGUACUCUUCUUCACCGUCUUCCAUCAUAACCCCUAUUUCUCCGUGCCUCAUCCAAACAUUAUAGUGUGGCAUGAAACCCUUGUAAAGCAGGUGGGUGUGGAGGAUUUUCCGGUCAGAGUAAGACUUCGUAUUCCCACAUAUAGGACAUGGACAACACAUAAAACCAUUCUGCUUGUUUGCCUCAGCCACUUCGAGAAAAUCAUGCACGCGCUUAAUGUACUCGGAGGUGUGUCUUGAACCGUACAUCCAUUGCCGGUUCAUCUGCGUGCAUUAUAUAAUGAAGUGACCAAAUUAAUAGAAGUUCAUCAUCACAUUAAAACCAAAGUACAUACAUAGUUCUCAUCUAACAACAUAAAGCUCUGCAGAGCAUCUAAAUUAAUUAAACCAUACACUGAAACUAUGUAAAACAUUUCAAUGCGAAAACAAAUGCAACCAUAAUCGCAACCAAUGUAACAACUGAUCCAACGGCAUAAUGAUACCAAGCCUCAGUAUGAAUGGCAUAUUUUCUAAUCUUUCUAAUCUUCAAGCGCAUUGCAUCCAUCUUGAUCUUGUGAUCAUCGACGACAUCCCCAACAUGCAACUCCAAUAUCAUCUUCUCCUCCUCAAUUUUUCUAAUUUUUUCCUUCAAGAAAUUGUUUUCUUCUUCAACUGAAUUUAACCUCUCGACAAUAGGGUCGGUUGGAAUUUCCGGUUCAACAACCUCCUAGAUAAAUAAAAUCUAUGUCACGUUGGUCGGCAUAAUUGUCAUAAACAAUAAAUGAACCAAUAGUUAUGAAAAGAUAAUAUAUACCACAUCCGAAUCAUAGACAGGACGAGGGCCGACGGGGGCGGAUACCAAAACCAUCGCACUAUAUAAGAUGCAAUAAUAAAAGUAAGAAAAUAAUACAAGUAUCUAUCUAAACAUACAAGUAAGAAUAUUUUUCCUUUCAGAAAGAAGAUAAGAACAAGAGGCUCACCACGGUGGUGCCGGCGAUGAGAUCGGCGCGGGUGAUCGACGACGAUGAAGACAAGGACGGGGCGUGACGGACCGCUAAACCUAGACAAAUAUUGAGGAAAAUGGAGCUUGGCGGUCGAGCUUGGAGGGGAGAAAGCUUAAGUAGUGUGGCUCGGGCAUUCCAUCGAACACCUCGUGUGCAUAGGAGGUGAGCUAGAGCACCACAAAGCUCUCCCCUCGCCGGCCACGAAAAACAGAGCACUGGGAGUGCUCUGCUCGCGAGCGGGGGGUAUAUAUAGGCACCACCAUUGGUCCCGGUUGGUCGCACGAACCGGGACUAAAGGUUGGCCUUUGGUCCCGGUUCGUGCCACCAACUGGGACCAAUGGUGGUGGGCCAGGAGCGAGGCCCAUUGGUCCCGGUUCGUCCCUCCAACCGGGACCAAAAGGUCCAGACAAACCGGGACCAAUGGCCCACGUGUUGGGUUUCGUAGUAAUUUCAAAAAAUUUCCUACGCACACGCAAGAUCAUGUGAUGCAUAGCAACGAGGGGAGAGUGUUGUCUACGUACCCAACGCAGACCGACUGCGGAAGCGAUGACACGACGUAGAGGAAGUAGUCGUACGUCUUCACGAUCCAACCGAUCAAGCACCGAAACUACGGCACCUCCGAGUUCGAGCACACGUUCAGCUCGAUGACGAUCCCCGGACUCCGAUCCAGCAAAGUGUCGGGGAAGAGUUCCGUCAGCACGACGGCGUGGUGACGAUCUUGAUGAACUACAGCAGCAGGGCUUCGCCUAAACUCCGCUACAGUAUUAUCGAGGUAUAUGGUGGCAGGGGCACCGCACACGGCUAAGGAAUAGAUCACGUGGAUCAACUUGUGUGUAUAGAGGUGCCCCCUGCCUCCGUAUAUAAAGGAGGAGAGGAGGGGAGGCUGGCCGGCCAAGGAGGGGAGGCGCAGGAGAGUCCUACUCCCUCUGGGAGUAGGAUUCCCCCCAAUCCUAGUCCAACUAGGAUUCCUCGGAGGGGAAGGGAGAGAGGGGGGCCGGCCACCUUCUCCUAGUCCUAAUAGGACUAGGGGAGGGGGAAGUGGCGCAGCCACCUUGGGCUGCCCCUUUCUCCUUUCCACUAAGGCCCAUGAAGGCCCAUAUGGCUCCCGGGGGGUUCCGGUAAUCCUCCCGGUACUCCGGUAAAAUCCCGAUUUCACCCGGAACACUUCCGAUGUCCAAACAUAGGCUUCCAAUAUAUCAAUCUUUAUGUCUCGACCGUUUCGAGACUCCUCGUCAUGUCCAUGAUCACAUCCGGGACUCCAAACAACCUUCGGUACAUCAAAAUGCAUAAACUCAUAAUGUAACUGUCAUCGUAACCUUAAGCGUGCGGACCCUACGGGUUCGAGAACAAUGUAGACAUGACCGAGACACGUCUCCGGUCAAUAACCAAUAGCGGGACCUGGAUGCCCAUAUUGGCUCCUACAUAUUCUACGAAGAUCUUUAUCGGUCAGACCGCAUAACAACAUACGUUGUUCCCUUUGUCAUCGGUACGUUACUUGCCCGAGAUUCGAUCGUCGGUAUCCAAUACCUAGUUCAAUCUCGUCACCGGCAAGUCUCUUUACUCGUUCUAUAAUGCAUCAUCCCGUAACCAACUCAUUGGUCACAUUGCUUGCAAGGCUUAUAAUGAUGUGCAUUACCGAGAGGGCCCAGAGAUACCUCUCCGACAAUCGGAGUGACAAAACCUAAUCUCGAAAUACGCCAACUCAACAUGUACCUUCGGAGACACCUGUAGUACUCCUUUAUAAUCACCCAGUUAAGUUGUGACGUUUGGUAGUACCCAAAGUGUUCCUCCGGUAAACGGGAGUUGCAUAAUCUCAUAGUUACAGGAACAUGUAUAAGUCAUGAAGAAAGCAAUAGCAACAUACUAAACGAUCAAGUGCUAAGCUAACGGAAUGGGUGAAGUCAAUCACAUCAUUCUCCUAAUGAUGUGACCCCGUUAAUCAAAUGACAACUCUUUUGUCCAUGGCUAGGAAACAUAACCAUCUUUGAUAAACGAGCUAGUCAAGUAGAGGCAUACUAGUGACACUAUGUUUGUCUAUGUAUUCACACAUGUAUUAUGUUUCUGGUUAAUACAAUUCUAGCAUGAAUAAUAAACAUUUAUCAUGAAAUAAGGAAAUAAAUAAUAACUUUAUUAUUGCCUCUAGGGCAUAUUUCCUUCAGUCUCCCACUUGCACUAGAGUCAAUAAUCUAGUUCACAUCGUCAUGUGAUUUAACAACAAUAUUCAUAUCUGUAUAUGAUUAACACCCAUAGUUCACAUUAUCAUGUGACCAACACCCAAAGGGUUUACUAGAGUAAAUAAUCUAGUUCACAUCUCUAUGUGAUUAACACCCAAAGAGUACUAAGGUGUGAUCAUGUUUUGCUCGUGAAAGAAGCUUAGUCAAUGGGUCUGUCACAUUCAGAGCCGUAUGCAUUUUGCAAAUAUUUUAUGUCUACAAUGCUCUGCACGGUGCUACUCUAGCAAUUGCUCCCACUUUCAAUAUGUAUCCAGAUUGAGACUUAGAGUCAUCUGGAUCGGUGUGAAAACUUGCACCGAGGUAACUUUUACGACGGGCUCUUUUAUCACCUCCAUAAUCGAGAAAUAUUUCCUUAGUCCUCACUAAGGAUAUUCUUGACCAAUGUCGAGUGAUCUACUCCUAGAUCACUAUUGUACUCCCUUGUCAAAUACUGAGCAAGGUAUACAAUAGUUCUGGUACAUAGCAUAGCAUACUUUAUAGAACCUAUGACUGAGGCAUAGGGAAUGACUUUUCAUUUUUUCUAUUUUCUGUUGUGGUCGGGAUUUGAGUCUUACUCAAUUUCAUACCUUUGCAACACAGGCAAGAACUCUUUCUUUGACUGUUCCAUUUUGAACUAUUUCAAAAUCUUGCCAAGGUAUGUACUCAUUGAAAAUCUUAUCAAGCGUCUUGAUCUAUCUCAAUAUAUCUUGAUGCUCAAUAUGUAAGUAGCUUUUACUGAGGUCUUUUCCUUUUAAAGAACUCCUUUAAAACACUCCUUUAUGCUUUGCAGAAAAAUUCUACAUCAUUUCUGAUCAACAAUAUGUCACUCGUAUAUACUAAUCAGAAAGGCUAUAGUGCUCCCACUCACUUUAUUGUAAAUACAGGCUUCUCAAAAAGUCUGUAUAAAACCAUAUGCUUUGAUCAACUCAUCAAAGCGUAUAUUCCAACUCCGAGAGGCUUGCACCAGUCCAUAGAUGGAUCGCUGGAGCUUGCACAUUUUUUUAGCACCUUUAGGAUUGACAAAACCUUCUGGUUGCAUCAUAUACAACUCUUCUUUAAUAAAUCCAUUAAGGAAUGCAGUUUUGAUAUCCAUUUGCCAGAUUUCAUAAAAUGUGGCAAUUGCUAACAUGAUUCAGACAGACUUAAGAAUCGAUACGAGUGAGAAAAUCUCAUCGUAUUCAACACCUUGAACUUGUUGAAAACCUUUCGCAACAAGUCGAGCUUGGUAGAUAGUAACACUACUAUCAGUGUCCGUCUUCCUCUUGAAGAUCCAUUCAUUUAACAUGGCUUGCUGAUCAUCGAGCAAGUCAAUCAAAGUCCAUACUUUGUUCUCAUACAUGGAUCAUAUCUCAGAUUUUAUGGCCUCGAGCCAUUUCGCGGAAUCUGGGCUCAUCAUCGCUUCUUCAUAGUUCGUAGGUUCAUCAUGAUCUAGUAUCAUGACUUCCAGAAUAGGAUUACCGUACCAUUCUGGUGCGGAUCUUACUCUGGUUGAUCUACGAGGUUCAUCAGUAUCUUGAUCUGAAGUUUCAUGAUCAUUAUCAUUGGCUUCCUCACUAACUGGUGUAGGUGUCACUGAAACAGUUUUCUGUGAUGAACUACUUUCCAGUAAGGGAGCAGGUACAGUUACCUCGUCAAGUUCUACUUUCCUCCCACUCACUUCUUUCGAGAGAAACUCCUUCUCUAGAAAGGAUCCAUUCUUAGCAACGAAUGUCUUGCCUUCGGAUCUGUGAUAGAAGGUGUACCCAAUAGUCUCCUUUGGGUAUCCUAUGAAGACACAUUUCUCCGAUUUGGGUUCGAGCUUAUCAGGUUGAAGCUUUUUCACAUAAGCAUCGCAGCCCCAAACUUUAAGAAACGACAACUUUGGUUUCUUGCCAAACCACAGUUCAUAAGGCGUCGUCUCAACGGAUUUUGAUGGUGCCCUAUUUAACGUGAAUGCGGCCGUCUCUAAAGCAUAUCCCCAAAAUGAUAGCGGUAAAUCAGUAAGAGACAUCAUAGAUCGCACCAUAUCUAGUAAAGUACGAUUACGAUGUUCGGACACACCAUUACGCUGUGGUGUUCCGGGUGGCGUGAGUUGCGAAACUAUUCCACAGUUUUUCAAAUGUACACCAAACUCGUAACUCAAAUAUUCUCCUCCACGAUCAGAUCGUAGAAACUUUAUUUUCUUGUUACGAUGAUUUUCAACUUCACUCUGAAAUUCUUUGAAAUUUUCAAAUGUUUCAGACUUAUGUUUCAUUAAGUAGAUAUACCCAUAUCUGCUUAAAUCAUCUGUGAAGGUGAGAAAAUAACGAUAUCCGCCACGAGCCUCAGUAUUCAUCGGGCCACAUACAUCGGUAUGUAUGAUUUCCAACAAAUCUGUUGCUCUCUCCAUAGUACCGGAGAACGGUGUUUUAGUCAUCUUGCCCAUGAGGCACGGUUCGCAAGUACCAAGUGAUUCAUAAUCAAGUGGUUCCAAAAGUCCAUCAGUAUGGAGUUUCUUCAUGCGCUUUAUACCGAUAUGACCUAAACGACAGUGCCACAAAUAAGUUGCACUUUCAUUAUCAACUCUGCAUCUUUUGGCUUCAACAUUAUGAAUAUGUGUAUUACUACUAUCGAGAUCCAACAAACCAUUUUCAUUGGGUGUAUGACCAUAGAAGGUUUUAUUCAUGUAAACAGAACAACAAUUAUUCUCUAACUUACAUGAAUAACCGUAUUGCAAUAAACAUGAUCAAAUCAUAUUCAUGCUCAACGCAAACACCAAAUAACACUUAUUUAGGUUUAACACUAAUCCCAAAAGUAUAGGGAGUGUGCGAUGAUGAUCAUAUCAAUCUUGGAACUAUUUCCAACACACAUCGUCACUUCACCCUUUAACUAGUCUCUGUUUAUUCUGCAACUCCCGUUUCGAGUUACUAAUCUUAGCAACUGAACUAAUAUCAAAUACUGAGGGGUUGCUAUAAACACUAGUAACGUACACAUCAAUAACAUGUAUAUCAAAUAUACUUAUGUUCACUUUGCCAUCCUUCUUAUCCGCCAAUCACUUGGGGUAGUACCUCUUCCAGUGACCAGUCUCUUUGAAGUAGAAGCACUUAGUCUCAGGCUUAGGACCAGACUUGGGUUUCUUCACUUGAGCAGCAACUUGCUUGCCGUUCUUCUUGAAGUUCCCUUUCUUUCCCUUUGCCCUUUUCUUGAAACUAGUGAUCUUGUUAACCAUCAACACUUGAUGCUCUUUCUUGAUUUCUACCUUCGUUGAUUUCAGCAUCAUGAAGAGCUUGGGAAUCGUUUUCGUCAUCCCUUGCAUACUAUAGUUCAUCACGAAGUUCUAGUAACUUAGUGAUGGUGACUAGAGAAUUCUGUCAAUCACUAUCUUACCUGGAAGAUUAACUCCCACUUGAUUCAAGCGAUUGAAAUACCCAGACAAUCUGAGCACAUGCUCACUAGUUGAGCGAUUCUCCUCCAUCUUUUAGCUAUAGAACUUGUUGGAGACUUCAUAUCUCUCAACUCGGGUAUUUGCUUGAAAUAUUAACUUCAAUUCCUGGAACAUCUCAUAUGGUCCAUGACGUUCAAAACGUCUUUGAAGUCCCGAUUCUAAGCCGUUAAGCAUGGUGCACUAAACUAUCAAGUAGUCAUCAUCUUGAGCUAGCCAGACGUUCAUAACUUCUGCAUCUGCUCCUGCAAUAGGUCUGUCACCUAGCGGUGCAUUAAGGACAUAAUUCUUCUGUGCAGCACUGAGGAUAAACCUCAGAUCACGGAUCGAAUCCGCAUCAUUGCUACUAACAUUUUUCAACACAAUAUUCUCUAGGAACAUAUCAAAAUAAACAUAUGAAAGCAACAACGCGAGCUAUUGAUCUACAACAUAAUUUGCAAAAUACUACUAGGACUAAGUUCAUGAUAAAUUAAAGUUCAAUUAAUCAUAUUACUUAAGAACUCCCACUUAGAUAGACAUCCCUCUAAUCCUCUAAGUGAUCACGUGAUCCAAAUCAACUAAACCAUGUCCGAUCAUCACGUGAGAUGGAGUAGUUUCAAUGGUGAACAUCACUAUGUUGAUCAUAUCUACUAUAUGAUUCACGCUCGACCUUUCGGUCUCUGUGUUCCGAGGCCAUAUCUGUAUAUGCUAGGCUCGUCAAGUAUAACCUGAGUAUUCCGCGCGUGCAACUGUUUUGCACCCGUUGUAUUUGAACGUAGAGCCUAUCACACCCGAUCAUCACGUGGUGUCUCAGCACGACGAACUUUGGCAACGGUGCAUACUCAGGGAGAACACUUCUUGAUAAUUUAGUGAGAGAUCAUCUUAUAAUGCUACCAUCAAUAAAAGCAAGAUAAGAUGCAUAAAAAGAUAAACAUCACAUGCAAUCAAUAUAAGUGAUAUGAUAUGGCCAUCAUCAUCGUGUGCUUGUGAUCUCCAUCUCCGAAGCACCGUCAUGAUCACCAUCGUCACCGGCGCGACACCUUGAUCUCCAUCGUAGCAUCGUUGUCGUCUCGCCAAUCUUAUGCUUCCACGACUAUCACUACUGUUUAGUAAUAAAGUAAAGCAUUACAUCGCGAUUGCAUUGCAUACAAUAAAGCGACAACCAUAUGGCUCCUGCCAGUUGCCGAUAACUCGGUUACAAAACAUGAUCAUCUCAUACAAUAAAAUUCAGCAUCAUGCCUUGACCAUAUCACAUCACAACAUGCCCUGCAAAAACAAGUUAGACGUCCUCUACUUUGUUGUUGCAUGUUUUACGUGGCUGCUACGGGCUUAAGUAAGAACCAAUCUCACCUACGCAUCAAAACCACAACGAUAGUUUGUCAAAUAGACUCCGUUUUAACCUUCUCAAGGACCGGGCGUAGCCAUACUCGGUUCAACUAAAGUUGGAGAGACAGUCGCCCGCAAGCCAUCCAUGUGCAAAGCACGUCGAGGGAACCGGUCUCGCGUAAGCGUACGCGUAAGGUUGGUCCAGGUCGUCUCGUCCAACAAUACCGCCGAACCAAAGUAUGACAUGCUGGUAGGCAGUAUGACUUGUAUCGUCCACAACUCACUUGUGUUCUACUCGUGCAUAUAACAUCAACAUAAAUAACCUAGGCUCGGAUGCCACUGUUGGGUUUCGUAGUAAUUUCAAAAAAUUUCCUACGCACACGCAAGAUCAUGUGAAGCAUAGCAACGAGGGGAGAGUGUUGUCUACGUACCCAACGCAGACCAACUGCGGAAGCGAUGACACGACGUAGAGGAAGUAGUCGUACGUCUUCACGAUCCAACCGAUCAAGCACCGAAACUACGGCACCUCCGAGUUCGAGCACACGUUCAGCUCGAUGACGAUCCCCGGACUCCGAUCCAGCAAAGUGUCGGGGAAGAGUUCCGUCAGCACGACGGCGUGGUGACGAUCUUGAUGAACUACAGCAGCAGGGCUUCGCCUAAACUCCACUACAGUAUUAUCGAGGUAUAUGGUGGCAGGGGGCACCGCACACGACUAAGGAAUAGAUCACGUGGAUCAACUUGUGUGUAUAGAGGUGCCCCCUGCCUCCGUAUAUAAAGGAGGAGAGGAGGGGAGGCUGGCCGGCCAAGGAGGGGAGGCGCAGGAGAGUCCUACUCCCUCUAGGAGUAGGAUUCCCCCCAAUCCUAGUCCAACUAGGAUUCCUCGGAGGGGAAGGGAGAGAGGGGGGCCCGCAGCCACCUUGGGCUGCCCCUUUCUCCUUUCCACUAAGGCCCAUGAAGGCCCAUAUGGCUCCCGGGGGGUUCCGGUAACCCUCCCGGUACUCCGGUAAAAUCCCGAUUUCACCCGGAACACUUCCGAUGUCCAAACAUAGGCUUCCAAUAUAUCAAUCUUUACGUCUUGACCAUUUUGAGACUCCUCGUCAUGUCCGUGAUCACAUCCGGGACUCCGAACAACCUUCGGUACAUCAAAAUGCAUAAACUCAUAAUGUAACUGUCAUCGUAACCUUAAGCGUGCGGACCCUACGGGUUCGAGAACAAUGUAGACAUGACCGAGACACGUCUCCGGUCAAUAACCAAUAGCGGGACCUGGAUGCCCAUAUUGGCUCCUACAUAUUCUACGAAGAUCUUUAUCGGUCAGACCGCAUAACAACAUACGUUGUUCCCUUUGUCAUCGGUAUGUUACUUGCCCGAGAUUCGAUCGUCGGUAUCCAAUACCUAGUUCAAUCUCGUCACCGGCAAGUCUCUUUACUCGUUCUAUAAUGCAUCAUCCCGUAACCAACUCAUUGGUCACAUUGCUUGCAAGGCUUAUAAUGAUGUGCAUUACCGAGAGGGCCCAGAGAUACCUCUCCGACAAUCGGAGUGACAAAACCUAAUCUCGAAAUACGCCAACUCAACAUGUACCUUCGGAGACACCUGUAGUACUCCUUUAUAAUCACCCAGUUACGUUGUGACGUUUGGUAGUACCCAAAGUGUUCCUCCGGUAAACGGGAGUUGCAUAAUCUCAUAGUUACAGAAACAUGUAUAAGUCAUGAAGAAAGCAAUAGCAACAUACUAAACGAUCAAGUGCUAAGCUAACGGAAUGGGUGAAGUCAAUCACAUCAUUCUCCUAAUGAUGCGACCCCGUUAAUCAAAUGACAACUCUUUUGUCCAUGGCUAGGAAACAUAACCAUCUUUGAUAAACGAGCUAGUCAAGUAGAGGCAUACUAGUGACACUAUGUUUGUCUAUGUAUUCACACAUGUAUUAUGUUUCCGGUUAAUACAAUUCUAGCAUGAAUAAUAAACAUUUAUCAUGAAAUAAGGAAAUAAAUAAUAACUUUAUUGUUGCCUCUAGGGCAUAUUUCCUUCACCACGUGGCCCGGCCGGCCCCCGGGGCUCAAGAACCAGGUCCAAUGCCCCCAUUGGUCCCGGUUUUGGAUUGAACCGGGACUAAUGGGCUGGACCGGCCUGGACCAUCGCCCCCUUUUCUACUAGUGUUAGUGCAUGGUGGUUAGUGAAGUUAGUGGAGCAUGGUGUGAGUGCGUGGGUCAUGGUUGAGUGCCAGACUUUGUAUAAAUUGUCAUUUGAGUCAAUGAGAAAAUGUAAGGCCGAGAGGGCCAGUGCAAAGAUGUAGCAUUUGUGGUAGCCAAGGGAGAUUAACUGGGCAAAGCUAUGUGUUCUUCCUUGGUCUAUGCGUGUGUGUGUUCUGUGUGUGUUCUCUCUCUGCGUCCUUGUGUUCAUGGGAGUGUUUUUGAGAGAAGCCAGAAGAGAGAGUUGUGAGAGGCAGCUCGAGGUAGAAGAAGGAGCGGUGCUGCUCCGAGAGGAGGCGGCGCCAACAAUUAUUGACGAAAGGGAUAUUAUAUUGCGCAAGGUAUAAUCAGACGCGUCGGGGAUGGAGCGACUACACACAUAUGGGAUCACAACUGGAUUAUGAGGGAAAGCUAUAAGAGGCCAAUAAAUAAGUUAGUGCAGAUCCCCCCUCAGAAACAUUUUAUGUAUACACGUUAACAUUUCCCAGAUAUAUGAUUAAUAUUUUUAGAAAACUUCUAUUUUUUAUGUGUACUUUUUAUACAUUUUGUAAUAUCAGAAAUAGUUUUUAUAGAAGGUUUAACAUUUUUCAAAUACAUGAUUACCUUUUUGUAAACUUAUAUUGUUUGACGUUUACUUUUUUCCAUAGACAUAGUGAGGGGUUAUAUCUAAGGAAUAGGCCCAAGUACAUGUAGGCACAACCAAAGGCCCAUGUUAAUCAAGGAUGUUCCACAAGACAAAUGGGAAAACACACCGGGGCUAAUGGAGCUACAAGGCCAAGGCAUCGGAUACAAGGGGAGAGUCAACUGUGUACAGUCAGAUUACACAACCCUUAACAGACAAGACUCAUCAGUUGGUCCACUAUAGGAAUCAGGUCAUUUGCCGUCAGCCGAGAACAGAUGCGAAGGCUUUGCCGUGAGCAAGUUGACGACAAACACAAUCAGCAAAGACUAUAUCAGCAAAGAGCUAAUUUGACGUCAACUUUUCAUCGCGCUGAUGACAAAGACUUUGCCGUCAAUUAAACUAUGUGUUUGUCGUCUGUAGAAAAAACACAAAUGGCAAAGAAAUUAAACAAAUGGUCAUUUUAUAAUAAUUUUUCGAAAUGUAUAUAGUGUAUUUUAAAAUGUUAAAUAUGUAUCAAGAAUUAUUUCAUAAAUAUACAGAAGAUGUACAACGUGUAUGAAAAUUAUGUAGACAUCAGAACAUAUUAUAGAAAUGUUAAUCUUGUAUUUAAAAAUGUUAAAUACACAUAAAUAAAAAUGUUUUUGAUGUACAUAAAAAAAUUGUACAUCGUGUGUGAACAAAGUAUGCAUUGAAAAAAAAAUCUUGUUGGAAAGAAAAUCUCGUGCUAUAUACGAAAAUGUAAAAGGUGUAUGAAAAUAAUUAGAUAUAUGCUUAACGAAAAAAAGGAAAGAAGGCGCAAAAAAAUCCGAUCAACACCAAGAUAGGAACAAGAAAACCUGAAGAAGACCAUUGAAAAAAAAGAAAAGAAUACAAGAAAGAGGAAAAAAAACAAAAAAAUGAAGAAGCUGAUGCAGAACAGGGAACUUGGUGAAAACGAAUAAAAAUUGAUGAAAACCGAGAAGAAAAACAAGAAAACUGAAGCAAAAAAAUAAUAAAAAUAUGUAAAAAAAUGAUGAAACAUUGCAAAACACUGAAAUACUAUGAAAACCAAAGGAAGAAAAGACUCAAAAAGAAGAACAUACAGCGAGCGAAUGAACAACAACUGAGUGAACGAGCGACCAUGCGAGAACACGUUAAUUGUCCGGCCCAUACUUGUGGACUCCAGAGGCGAGCCAGAAUAGGCGAGAUAUAGCUAUGACGAUUUGAUACCCUUCACAGCUUCACGAAUGCUAUAUCUCGCUCACAGCGAAAGUAUAUUUUGUCUGGCCUGAAGGUGCAAGAAUAGCAUCAGGUCGCUGUAAGGUUUGUGAUCCUACAAUGAGAGCUCCGAUAAGAUUAAAGUUCAUUUUUCUGACAACCUUUGGUCGUUCGUUCGCGCUCAGGUCGUCCGCUCACUCGAUUCCACGUACUAGUUUGGUUAUGUUGUUUUUUUCAUUUUGUUCUUUUUUUGUUUCUUCACUGGCUUUCUUUGGUUUUUAUAUCGGUUUUCUUUGUUUCCUUCACGUUUUAUUCCUGUUUUCCUUUUUACUGGUUUAUUUAUUCCUUUUUUUCUUUGUUUCUUUCUUGGUUUUCUUUGUUUUUCUUUCUUUUGAUGUCAAUCUUUUUACAUACGCAUUCAACAAUUUCCGUAUACAUCAGAAACAUUUUAUGUAUACACAUUAACAUUUCCCAGAUAUAUGAUUAAUAUUUUUGGAAAACCUCUAUUUUUUAUGUGUACUUUUUGAUACAUUUUGUAUAUAUCAGAAAUAUUUUUUUAGAAGGUUUAACAUUUUUUUAAAUACAUGAUUACCUUUUUGUAAACUUAUAUUGUUUGACGUUUAUUUUUUUCCAUAGACAUAGUGAGGGGUUAUAUCUAAGGAAUAGGCCCAAGUACAUAUAUGGCACAACCAAAGACCCAUGUUAAUCAAGGAUGUGGUCCACAAAACAAAUGGGGAAACACACGGGGGCCAAUGGAGCUACAAGGCCAAAGCAUCGGAUAUAAGGGGAGAAUAAGUGUGUACAGUCGGAUUACACAACACUUGACAGACAAGACUCAUUAGUUGGUCCACUAUAGGAAUCGAGUAAUUUGCCGUCAGCCGAGAACAGACUCGAAGUCUUUGCCGUCAGCAAGUUGAUGACAAACACAGUGAGCAAAGACUAUAUCGGCAAAGAGCUAAUUUGACGUUAACUUUUCAUCCGCUGAUGACAAAGACUUUGCCGUCAAUUAAACUAUGUGUUUGUCGUCUGUAGAAAAAACACAAAUGGCAAAGAAAAGCAUCUUUGCCAUCAGCAACUGAUUCACAUGUGUCGUCAGCCAGACUCGUCUUGUCACUAGCCUCAAACAUCACAGAUGGCAAAGAUUUUUUUUUAUUUUUAAAAUUCCGCGUCGACCACCCUAUCGCUCGUGCAGCCACCGCCUGGCCGCGCUCGCCUCCCUGCUCACAUGCCCUGCCAGCUUGCGCCGUUGCCAUCCGGCAGCGCUCGCCCGACCCUGCUCAUCGCCCGGCCGAGCUCGCCCGCCCUGCUCGGUCGCGUCGUCGGCAGCUGCCCUGCUUGCACACGUACCUGCCCAGCCUUGCUCAUACCGCCGGCCACCCUGCUCGCUAGAGAAAGGAAGGCGAGAGAGGAGGCUCGGGGGAGAAAGAAAAAACAAAGGAGAGAGAGAGGAUGCUACCACUGCCACAUCACCAAUACGCAUGAUCGAUCUGCAAGAUGUGCUCUCUCUUUUGCCGCCUCUGAUGGCAAAGUAUGUCUUUAUCGUCUAUAAUAAGAUUACAAACAGCAAAGUGAGCUCUUUGCCGUCUGUAAAAAAACGGACGACAAACAAACUUUGUUGUCAGCUGCCGACGGCAAAAAGUGCUCUUUACCGCAGCCUCGAUGAGAAGCUGAAGGCAAAGUGCCCCACAGACGGCAAAUUAGUUGAUUCCUGGGUGGUUAUGAGCAAGACAGGAGCAAUAACCCUAUCUACACUCGGUCAUCUGGAAGACAGGAGUAGUCGAACCAUCUAUAGUCGGCUACAUCUGAGGUUACCGUGACCCUUACGAUGCAUUCAUUAUCGCCGUUACUCAAUGGAGUAGUUAAAUACGUCAGUUAGCAAUAAUAAUAGCCACGAACAGUCAAUCAUGCAUGUGACCAUCAAUAGCAUUUAUACCAACCCAUUACGGCACUUCCUCCUAGCACACUCUAUAUAAGCCAGGAGUAGGACAUGAGAGUGAGGGAUGAACUCUCUCACAGUAUAACCUACGCCAAGAGCAGGAACACCACAUGAAUAGAGAUUACCUCCACCAACGUACUCCCAUCCGUUUUAUGUACCGAUCAAUGUAUAUAAUGGCUUCUACAUUCACAUCCCGUAGUAUUGUCAGGAUUAUAUCCACGACAGAAACUAUAUUUUGUUAUACAUCAAGAACAUUUUAUAUAUAAAUAUUUACAAUUUUUUAAAUACAUGAUUAAUAUUUUUUCAAACAUAUAUUUUGUAUGUCUCCUUUUCAUAAUCUUUGAUCCCUGGAAGUUUCAGAUUUUUUCCGAUUUGUUCUCAUUUUUUUAUGAAUUUACUGUUCAUGAGGGUGUAGGGGCACCCAGGAGCUGUUAGGCAUAAUAUUUCUGCUGUUGUUGUCAUCAUCAAGGGGAAUGAGAAGGGUUGAAGUUUUCGUUUUCUUUGAGGGGGAAAUCAGAGUUGGGGGCUGGAAGUGAGUGAUUAGGCCCAACAUAAGCGCUGUGUGUGUGUGUCUCGUCACGGGCACCAAAUUCGAACUGGGCUAUUGUUUUCUGAGAACCCAACGUCACAAGCCCAACCAACAGUCUGCCGAUCUGCAUCUUCCUCUCCUUGUCCAUCCUCCUCGUUGGCCGGACCGCCUCGAGCCACGGCCGCUCCCUGGCGCAGCGUCCUCCCCUUCCUCUCCACCCCCAAAUUCUCUUGUAUCCUCUUCUGAUCUCCUUCCUUACUUCCUCUCGCUGAUGGUCUCCACAAGAAGGUCUCCGAGCUCCUCGGAGGGUUCCGGCUGUACGUCGACGCAGCCUCUCCGACCUCCCCAUGAACAUGAGCUAUCGACCCUGAAAGCCUGUCUCUUCCAUGAUUCGAUUCACAUGAAUUCACGAGCCGCAUGAAUCAUGAAGGUCAUGGAGCAGAAUUCAGUCGUGUAGCCUGACAGUGAUGUACAUUUGUGGCUUUUCUGGCUAAAUAGCUCUGUACCCUAUGUGGAUGCCACUUCAAAUAAUCGUCAAAAUAAUUCUCCUGCACGCGUUAUACAAAUGGCGAAGAAGAAGUUCGCGUGGAACAUUUCGUUUCUUAUUGAUGUCCGAGAGAAAAGCUCCUAGGAAGUUCAUCCGCUCGGUGGAUUAUAAGUUUAAGUUUGUUACAACAUCCAAUCAUCCAUAUAAUCUCUGUGUUUCUUCUGUUUUCUACCAGUCAUAUAUCAUAUGUGCAUCAGAGGAAAAAUGCUUUCAGCAGUCAUGUUGGAGCGCGCAUACCAAGUUCCCACAUUGCAAAUAUGAUCCUAGCCAUUAAUAUGUUUCAUUCCACAUUUUCUUGAUCUAAUUUCUAAAUGAUUGGACAACCUGUUAUAGUCUUAUAGAAUUAUGAGCCGCCAAAUCCACAUUUCUCUUGGUCUAAUUUCUAAAUGAUAAUGUGCAGCAUCUAUCUCCUGGUGAACCUUUUUUUCUUGCGACUGUAUCUCCUGAUGAACCUAGUUUUCUCUAGGUAGCACAAUAAUUGUACUGGUUUGAUGUAAAGGACAUAAAUACAAGGGAAUAAAUUGGAAGCUUAUUUCAAAUUAACUAGCUAGUGGUGUUUGUGAAGUUCAAGAAAAAGCUGGUCUUUUUCUCGACAAAUAAUUUAACAUGCAAAGAAUCAAUAAAUGUAUUUGCAAGAAAGCAAACAUAAUUAACGAUAAAACUGGUUUAUUGUCACUGUAGACAACGGUAGUAGUUGGAACUAGAUACAAACCAAUAAAAAACAAGAUCUCAAAUCUCCAACCAAUAAAGAGUUCAACCCAAAUUUUACAGUAACACCAUUAUAUUCAAAUAGUGAUUAUUCCAACACAUGGAUAAUUAAUUAAGGCACCAGGUUGCCCUUGUGACUAGGAAAGACAAACUUAUGAACUUGCAAGCAUGGCAAUCAGAUCGACAUCCACACAAUGCCAAUAUGAACAUUGUCUUGAUACAACUUUAUUUUUAUUUUAUUUCAGAAUUUAAACAACUAGUAUGGGCGGGUCACACACGACAUUGUGUGACACUUUAUUUGUCACCGCUGCAUCGACAUAUCCAUCGACUAAACAACGGUGAUCCAACUAUAUAUUACUAGAGACCUUUCCUUAUUAGUAGGAACCAACUCCGGUGCCAACACCGAAUGGCACACUAGUGGUGGUUCUAUACAACGGCACAUUGACACGGCACAUCGUUGGCAGGGUACGGAGCGCAAUGGAAGUCAUCACCUCAAGCUGAGCUAUCUGGUGUGGCUGCAAAAAGGUACCUUGUGCCAAUUGUUGUUGUUGAGGUUGUUGCCCGAGUUGUUGUUGUGACUGCUGUUGGGGUUGGGAAACACAUUGGCCCAACUGUUGGGGUUGCUGCUGAGGAGUUUGGAUGGAACCCUGAACCUGUUGUUGUUCUUGCAGGAUGAUGGAGUAGAUGAUAGCACGGAUUGCCUCAUAGCGGGAUUGCUGGGGGAUUUGCGGCAACUGCUGGCAACAUUGUUGUUGCAUCACAUGGCAACUGCUCUGCUGCAACAUUUGCGACCUAGCAAGACUUUGUGGCAUUGCCACAGGGCUGCAUUGCUGCUGGAGGAAUACCUUGCAUGGGUUUAGCUGCUGCAAGAUAGAUGGAUGAACAAAUGGUAUUUGUUGUUGCGGUAGAACUAGUUGUUGUUGUUGCUGCGAAAAUGGUGGUUGUUGCGGUAGACUUGGUUGUUGUUGUUGCAAAAAUGGUGGUUGUUGCUGUAGUACUAUUUGUUGUUGUUGCGAAAACGGUGAUUGUUGCUGUGAAAAUGGUGGUAGUUGUUGCUGUGAAAAUGAUGGUUGUUGCGGUAGAACUGGUUGUUGUUGCUGCGAAAAUGGUGGUUGUUGUUGUGAAAAUGGUGGUUGUUGUUGCUGCGAAAAUGGUGGUUGUUGUUGUGAAAANNNNNNNNNNNNNNNNNNNNNNNNNNNNNNNNNNNNNNNNNNNNNNNNNNNNNNNNNNNNNNNNNNNNNNNNNNNNNNNNNNNNNNNNNNNNNNNNNNNNNNNNNNNNNNNNNNNNNNNNNNNNNNNNNNNNNNNNNNNNNNNNNNNNNNNNNNNNNNNNNNNNNNNNNNNNNNNNNNNNNNNNNNNNNNNNNNNNNNNNNNNNUGGUUGUUGUUGCUGCGAUAAUGGUUGUUGUUGUUGCUGCGAAAAUGGUGGUUGUUGUUGUGAAAAUGGUGGUUGUUGUUGCUGCGAUAAUGGUUGUUGUUGUUGUUGCUGUGAACAUGGUUGCUGUUGUGAAAAUGGUUGUGGUUGUUGUUGGAUGGGUUGUUGUUGUUGGUGGUGCGAUAAUGUUUGUUGUGGUGGUAAUGGUUGUUGCUGCGAUGGUCUCUCCAAACCAGGGAUGUGGCUAUUCUCCAUUUGUGCAAUGGCACUUGUCGCCACAAUGGCGAGGAGAGCAAAGAUGAGGAAGGUCUUCAUGGUGGAUUGGUGUUAACCAGUGUUGCUUGGUUUUGAUGCUUGUGCUUGUGAUGAUCUUUAUACUUCAUGCCUAUUUAUAGUAGCCCGGGCACCACCUCUUUUCUUCUUUGCAUUAGCUUUAAUAAUUCUGUUUGGAUGCAUCUAAAAUGAUUUUUGGUACAAUGUGUUAGGUUGCACUAGCUACACGCGUACUUUUGGAUUGAUCAUCAAAGUUGCUUUUUAGUUGUGCAUAUGAUCACACACAAAGUACAGAAACCUUGAUGUUUGGUACAUAUGACUCACCUUAUUCACUUUACAUGUCACACACUUAUCUGGAUAGUAUCACUUUUGCAACCGAGUUUGGAACCUUGUAUAGGCUGUCAUCCAUAAACAAGAAAGGCAAAACUUGUGUAGGACUAAGUUUGCAAUCGGAGGGUUCUUCUAGACUCGAUUUCUUUUCGUAAAACUAACUUUGUAUUUUUCCUCUAAGAUGAUAAGAUGAACCGACGCCUAUAGAGCAUGACAUGACUCAUCGAAUUCCCUUUACAUGUAAAGGAUGGUAAUUGCUUACAAGCUACUCCUACUAGCAUAUAUCCGGUUCCAAGCCUAGACACGUCAUCAUCAGUUUCGUCUAUUUUUUUAGAUAAAUCAUCAGUUCUAUCUAUUUGUGAAGGGUUUUUUUGGGGGGAAAUGAUAGUUUUUUUAUGCUAGGGGGGUUUUUUNNNNNNNNNNNNNNNNNNNNNNNNNNNNNNNNNNNNNNNNNNNNNNNNNNNNNNNNNNNNNNNNNNNNNNNNNNNNNNNNNNNNNNNNNNNNNNNNNNNNNNNNNNNNNNNNNNNNNNNNNNNNNNNNNNNNNNNNNNNNNNNNNNNNNNNNNNNNNNNNNNNNNNNNNNNNNNNNNNNNNNNNNNNNNNNNNNNNNNNNNNNNNNNNNNNNNNNNNNNNNNNNNNNNNNNNNNNNNNNNNNNNNNNNNNNNNNNNNNNNNNNNNNNNNNNNNNNNNNNNNNNNNNNNNNNNNNNNNNNNNNNNNNNNNNNNNNNNNNNNNNNNNNNNNNNNNNNNNNNNNNNNNNNNNNNNNNNNNNNNNNNNNNNNNNNNNNNNNNNNNNNNNNNNNNNNNNNNNNNNNNNNNNNNNNNNNNNNNNNNNNNNNNNNNNNNNNNNNNNNNNNNNNNNNNNNNNNNNNNNNNNNNNNNNNNNNNNNNNNNNNNNNNNNNNNNNNNNNNNNNNNNNNNNNNNNNNNNNNNNNNNNNNNNNNNNNNNNNNNNNNNNNNNNNNNNNNNNNNNNNNNNNNNNNNNNNNNNNNNNNNNNNNNNNNNNNNNNNNNNNNNNNNNNNNNNNNNGCCGCCACCGCUCGACAAAAAAGGUCACUUUUGUAGCUCCCCCGUCGAUUGCGGGCCGUACGUCGACGGCAGCCACUCCGACCUCCCCGUCAACACAAGGUAUCGAUCUGUUUCGUCUGUCUCUUCCAGCGAUUCAAUGCACAUAAAUCCGAGAGGCAGACCCAUCUCCAUGCUAGCUGCACGGAUCAGGAGGGUCAGGCAUCAGAAUUCAGCUGGGAAGCCUGACACUAAUGUACAUUUGUGGCUUUAGUAGCUGAAUAUAACUAUGUGUUUUCUGAGAAUUUCACUUCAAAAGUUCCAAUAAUCAUCAAAUUUCCGCCUAUGCGCGCUAAGCAGGUGGACCAUAUAUUUCUCAUGUCGACGAACGAAAAAACAAAACUCCACAACUAGAAGUCUAUGAUAUUGACACGGAACCGUGCUGUAGGGUCGCAAGUAAAAAUAUGAAAAGCAUGCCUAACACUACUAGGAAAAGGGCUAUAGAUGGAAUUGACACUAAUGACGCACCAGACAUGUGGUGCGCCAUUAGUAUAUACUAAUGGCGCACCAUCUUCUGAUGCGCCAUUAGUGUUGAAAUUACUAAUGGCGCACCCUGCCCACGGUGCGCCAUUAGUACCAAUUUUUUUUUGAACUAGUGCGCCUGUCCAAACAUACUAAUGGCGCAUCCGCUGGUGGUGCGCCAUUACUAGUUGUAACUAGUAAUGGUGCACCAGCCAGAGGGUGCGCCACUAAAGUUAUUUUUUUUAUUAUUGUUUUUAUUCCUUUUUUUGCAAAAGUACUAAUGGCGCACUCACACGCGGUGCGCCAUUACUAGUUCAAACUAGUAAUGGCGCACCGUGGCAGAGUGCGCCAUUAGUAUGUUUUUUUUUCAAAACUACUAAUGGCGCACCACCUGGUGGUGCGCCAUUAGUAACCUGGAUUACUAAUGGCGCAUUUGUUGCUGGUGCGCCAUUAGUAAGUGGGCAGCAACAAGAUAUUUUGGACAGCCUCUCCUCCCACACUCACUUUCUCCCCAUUUCAUUCUCUCCACCGCCUCCUCAUGUCUCGGGUGCCUCCUCUUUUUCACCUCAUUUCCACCAUAGAUUCAUUCAAAUUAAGUGGUUAAGUUACCUUGUUUUGCUAGGUAAGUAAGGGGGGAAGCUAUAUUUAUGUUGUUCUCCCUACAACAGUGUGCACAUGCACUUUUUAUGGCCUAGCUAGAUCUAUGUAUGUUCGUGGUGUUGCAUAUGUUUGUGGUGUUGCAUAUGUGUUUGUGUUUGAAGGUGUACCGGUAUUUGAAAUGCGAUAGUUGCCAAUAUUUUGCCGGAAUGUUGAUUCAUUUCCGUUUCGGCGAGAAUUUUGGCAUUAAGCAUUCUUUUUGGUCCUAUUUUUAGGGAAAGUCAUGCCAAAUUUUUUCUUGGUUCUAAAAUAUCGUUUUGCUCUACCCCGCAGGCGACCAUGGUCCGCACGAUGACCGAAGGCAUCGUGAAUAGGUUUUUGAGGUCCACGAAGGCCGAGAUGCUUCAAAAGAACGAGACGGAGAUAAGAUGUCCGUGUCGAAGAUGCAAGCUGAAUAGCCUUAUUGCGGACCCGGAUUCCGGGCAGGUGCGGGACCACCUGCUCUUGCGUGGUUUCAUGGAUGGCUGUCGGUGGCAAGGUGAUGAAGAUGACUACGAAGUCGUCCAUGGGGGCCGGGCAAGAAAUGAGGAAGGGCAGCAAGACAACCACCGCGGCUCGGGGGGGCGAGAAGAAGAAGAAUCCCCAGGAGAUGAUCACGACGGUGAUGUUGUACACAGUCAUCAUGUAGAAGAUGCAGGACAUGAUGAUGAUGCCGGCGGAGCAGACGACGCUGGACCAUCGAUGGGCUGGGUGCAGGACCCUCAUAUUCAAGAGCUGCUUCUCAAGCAGACGGAUAACGCAAGAGCUGCCGCCCGAGAGAAAGCCAAGAUGGAUCAACUUGAGUUAGACGCGGUUACUCCAUUGUAUGAAGGAUGCAGGCCCGAGGAUACCCGCCUGAAAGUAACACUCAUGGCUCUGGAGAUGAAGGUAAAACACAAAAUGACCGACGCAUGCUUCGACGAGAACAUGUCAUUCUGGCACGAACGUCUUCCCAAAGGGAACAAGUGCCCGACCAGUUUGGAGGAGGCGAAGAAAAUCGUGUGUCCUCUGGAUUUACCGCACGUGAAAUACCAUGUGUGCAUGAACAAUUGCAUCAUUUAUCGGGACGAGCACGCGGAGUCUACCAUAUGUCCGGUGUGCGGUGUCACUCGAUACAAGAAGGGGAAGAAAGCUCCUCGAAAAGUGGUGUGGUACUUUCCGAUCACUCCUCGUCUGCAGCGGUAUUUCGCGGACCCUAAGGUAGCAAAGCUCCUGCGUUGGCACGCGGAUAGGGAGGAGAAGAAGCGAGAAGAUGACGCAAAUGAUACGGAGAUAGAUAAAAAAGACAAGAUGCUGAGUCACCCUAAGGAUGCGAGCCAGUGGCAAGCGUUGAACUUCGAAUAACCAGAAUUUGGGAACGAUCCAAGGAACAUCGUGCUGGGCGCGAGCACCGGUGGAGUCAAUCCGUUUGGCAGCCAGAGAAGCACACAUAGCACCUGGCCUGUGUUUGUGUGGAUGUACAACCUUCCCCCCUGGUUGUGCAUGAAGAGGAAGUACAUUCACAUGAGUAUGCUAAUUGAAGGGCCGAAACAACCAGGGAACGACAUCAAUCUGUAUCUGGGGCUGCUGAAAGAGGAGCUUGACACGCUGUGGAAAACGCCCACCAAUACGUGGGACGCCGCAGAGAAAGAAUAUUUCCCUAUGAGAGCCGCACUGCUCACGACGGUGCACGACUAUCUCGGUUACGGAUAUCUUGCGGGGCAGGUAGUCCACGGAUUUUCUGGAUGCGUAAGGUGCAUGGAUGACACAACGUAUCGCCAGCUAGAUAGAGACGAUGACCCGUGGAGGAAACGCAAGGAUCUGUUCGAUGGUGAAACCAAACCCCGAAAACGCCCGUGUACGAGGAGCGGCGAGGAAAUAGACAAGCUGUUGAAAAAUCGGAAAGACUGCCCACUGCCGGGAAAGAAGCAAAAGGUGCCAGAGCCGGGAAAGAAGCGAAAGGCGCCAGAGCCGCUGCUGAAGCUAUGGAAAACGAGGUCUGUUUUCUGGGACUUGCCGUACUGGAAGAUCCACCGUGUGCCUCACAGCCUUGAUGUCAUGCAUAUCACGAAGAACGUGUGCGAGAGUCUGCUUGGUACCCUGCUCAACAUGCCAGAGAGGACCAAAGAUGGGCCGAAAGCGAGGGCAGACUUGAAAUCAAUGGGCAUCAGGCAGGAGCUUCACGCUAUAUAUGAUGAUGAUGAUGAUGAUGAUGAUGAUGAUGAGGCGAAGCAGGACACAGAAAGUCGUCGCAAAGGCAAAAAGGCCAAGAAGACCGGAAAUGACUACCCUCCCGCGUGCUUCACUCUAAGUCAGGAGGAGAUCGAGCAGUUUUUCACCUGCCUCCUAGGAGUAAAACUUCCUUACGGUUACGCGGGGAAGAUAAGCAGAUACCUAGACCCAGCGAAGCAGAAGUUCAGCGGGAUGAAGUCUCACGAUUGUCACAUGCUGAUGACGCAGAUACUUCCAGUUGCAAUCCGUGGGAUCAUGGACGCGCACGUCCGUGAAACGCUAUUUGGCCUAUGCAACUUCUUCGACGUCAUCUCUCAGAAGUCGAUUGGCAUGAGGCAACUCAGAAGGCUACAGGAAGAGAUCGUGGUGAUACUAUGCGAGCUUGAGAUGUACUUCCCGCCCGCAUUCUUCGAUGUUAUGGUGCAUCUGCUGGUCCAUAUAGUGGGGGAUAUCAUCCAACUCGGGCCGAUGUUCCUGCACAGCAUGAUGCCGUUCGAAAGGAUGAAUGGUGUCAUCAAAGGAUACGUUCGCAACAUGUCACGUCCAGAAGGAAGCAUAGCCAGGGGCUUUCUGACCGAAGAGUGCAUCUACUAGUGCGCGAAUUAUCUAGGCAUCGAGAACCCCGUUGGUCUGCCCGUCAACAGGCACCUCGGCAGGCUCGCUGGAUGGGGUCACCGUGAGGGUCGCCGCGAAAUGCAUGUCGACUUCGAGGGUCGACUCGCCGACUUUGAAAGAGCAAACCUAGUCGCGCUACAACACAUAGACGUGGUCGAUGCUUGGGUGGUAGAGCACAAAACCUUUAUUAAGAAGACGUACAAUGACCGAGGCCAACAGAGGACGGACGGAGAUAUACUCAAAGAGCACAACUCAUGUUUCACGCGUUGGUUCAAGCAGAAGCUUCUGUCGUACCCUUUACAUGAGGAUUCUUCCGCGGAAGAACAACUCAUAUUCGCCUUGUCACAGGGCGCCGAGCACAACCUGAUGACCUAUGAGGCGUACGAUAUCAACGGCUACACAUUCUACACCGAGGCCAAGGACAUGAAGAGCGAUGGUUAUCAGAACUCCGGGGUAACGAUGGAAUCCUACACCGGUAACGACAAGGACAGAUACUACGGAAGGAUCGAGGAGAUCUGGGAGCUGAGCUAUGCUGGAGAGAAGGUCCCGAUGUUCCGUGUCAGAUGGGCCAAGAACGUCAUAAAAGAAGACCGGUAUUUCACCACCAUGGUUAUACCCGGAGCCAAAUCCAAGACCGCGAGCGCAAACGUCACCGCGAAAAAUGAGCCAUGGGUACUGGCUUCCCAAGUGGACCAAUGCUUCUUCAUUACCGACCCGCCAAAGCCCAGUCGUGUUGUCGUGAGGAGAGGCAAAAGGAAGAUCAUCGGAAUGGAUGGAGUAGCCAAUGAGCAAGACUUCGACAAGUACGGCGACCCGAGGAUCGAACAUGACGACGAUGAUGAAGUAGCAGCAUACACCACAAGAAGAAGCAGGACCACCCUACCUAAAGGACGUCCGUUCCACAGAAGAACUCCAUUUGCGAAAAAGAAGGGCAAGAAGAUUGUGAACAGAUAGCUAGCUAAGAUCGAUUGUAUUUAAAUCGUAGCCUUCAUUUCUCGAUUGUAUUUCAUGGGUACUUUUUGAACUAUCAUGAAUAUUUUUAAAUUUAAUGGACACUCGAUCUCGAUCCCCCUCCAUCUCGAUCGCUAUCCCACCUCGCCAGAUCCGGUCCCCCUCGCCGCCAAGCACCCCCCCAGCCCACCGGCCGCCGCCGCCGACCCCCCGCACCCUCGAUUCCCCUACCCAACCGCCGCCGCCGACCCACCGCACCCCGCGCACCCUCCCCUGCUCCACCAGCAUUACUGUUUGAUGAUAUUUUUAAAAAAAUUAUUAUUGUCUUAUAAAAAAAUAUUACUGUUAUGAUUUAAACAAGUUUGAACAUAUUUAAACACAAAUAAGUAUCAAACAGGUUUUUAAAUGCUAAAAAAAAUUUGUGGAGCCUGGGAGUCGAACCCAGGACCUCCUGGUGUGAGAACUGGCUGCUGACCAGUCGAGCUAGUAGAGGGGACUUGAUGUGGAUCAAUUCUGGUGGUACAUAACCUGUUGGCUCGAGUUGAAAUAAAAAAAAUACUAAUGGCGCACCACGGUGAGGUGCGCCAUUAGUAUGGAUGUACUUAUGGCGCACCGAGGGGUGGUGCGCCAUUAGUAUUGUGCCCGAUCCCUUCCCUCUCCCCCUUCGCCCGAUCCCCCCUUCCCUCUCCCCCUUGCCAGUUCCCUCUCCCUCGAUCCACCGCCGCCGCCGCCGCUGCCCUGACCCACUGCGCCGCAGCCGCCCACGCGCCCCCGCCGCCUCCCUCUCCCCUUCCUCCCCCUCGAGCCCGCGCCGUCCGCCCAAACCUAACCCGACGCCGUCCGCCGCGCCCGCUCCACCGCCGCCGCCCUGCCUCUCCGCCCUCUCCCUCCCUCNNNNNNNNNNNNNNNNNNNNNNNNNNNNNNNNNNNNNNNNNNNNNNNNNNNNNNNNNNNNNNNNNNNNNNNNNNNNNNNNNNNNNNNNNNNNNNNNNNNNNNNNNNNNNNNNNNNNNNNNNNNNNNNNNNNNNNNNNNNNNNNNNNNNNNCGUCGCCCCGCCGCCCCGACACCACCGUCCGUCGCCCCGCCGCCCCGCCGCCCCUCUCGCAGCAAGGUAUGCGGCUGGUUCGUCCCCUGUCAUGGUUCUCUCUUCGUUUAUUUUCCUGAAAUCUCUGCUGUUCAUUGGCCGAUGAUGUCUUACAAGUAAAAUAUCUGGCAAACUUGUGCUGUAAACUGUACAUUGCUGAGGCUGUGGGCAACCUGUUCUUCUCUUUGCCAUACUAGUGCUUUUGUUCAUUGGCCGAUGAUGUCUCUGUUGGUUUACGUCCCCGGCAAAUUAGGUACCCGUGAACCAUUUAUAGGCCCAACUUUCUUACUCUCAAUGACCACAAUGUGCUUAUUUUGUUAGGAUUGUGCAUUUGCGCGAUUUGUGCAGUGCUUAUUUGUUGGCACCUCACCAGCUUUCAAAUUCAGCAUUUGUAACACAGUUCAAUUUGAUCUAAGGGCCUAUCUUGUCUCAUUUCCAACAUGUAAUAAACUUCCCCCGAGGCCAUAGAUGAGAAUACUUCUUUCAGUACAUUUUGCUGAUUUCUCACUGUUGAAUACUUCAUUUCUGUUUGCCUUUGGCCAAAGAUGCAUUCAGUUCUUUCUGCCCUUAGCGGUUUGAUUCAAGUUUGUCAGGUUCUGUUAACUAAAAAGGUUCAGAUUCAGAAACAUUGUUGGACUACUAGGAAGUUGGACUACUAGGAACAUGUUUAGAUUCAGGUUCUGUUAACUAAAAAAGUUCAGGUUCUGUUAACUAAAAAAGUUCAGAUUCAGAAACCUGUAAUUUCUACUUUUAUGCCUCUGUUACUCCAGUCAAAAUUUUAUGUUUGAUGCCCAUGGUAGUUGAGCUCUCACCUCACCUCACGCAACAUGCAUGAUGCCACAAUGUCUAGUAUGUACUGCCAAGCAACUGGCAAAUAAUUAUAACUUAGAAUAAAUAAAUCUGAUGUAAGAUAAGCAUGGCAUGAGCUUUAAUUAAAUAGCAUAAUACACGUUGGUAGUCCAUCUCUCUCAAAAAAAAUACAUGUUGGUAGCAGAAAAAAAUACAUGUUGGUAGCAGAAAUUUUUUUGAGCCCUUAUUAGCUACUCACACUAUUUGCCCCGCAGUUUCUCUGUCAUGGCUACCAAGUGAUUGACGGUGGGCUAGAAAAAUAAAACCACCAAACUAUCAGUAAAAGAUGUGAACCAACAUCUUUCAUUGUUAUGCAUAUCAAACACCAAGGGUUAUUUUCACUUAAAGUUUUAGAAUGGGUGCAUUACAAUUCAGUCUGAUAUCUAAUAAGACACUCUGGGCUGAUAUAAUUAUGGAACAGAACCAACCAUGAUAAAUAAAAGGUGAUGUUGUCUAUGCAUUACCAAAAAUGUAUCUUUGUGAACAAAUAAAUUGGUACCAACAGCAAUGCCAUCUUACUGUAGAAUUAGAAUACAUGGACAUGAUCAGCUCAGCUCCCAAACUGCCAUUCAUCACAUCAAUUUCCCCUUAUGUAACUCCAGUCAAAAUUUUAUGUUGGUCUACCUAGUAGAUGCCCAUGGUUUGAUUUUAUGUUUGUUCCUAUCAAUACAAAUGCUGAGCUAUGUUCCAUUUUUACUGUUCUUUGUGAUAGUUUUUGCAACUUUACUUCCCAUCUUAAGGCAAGCCCCAUUUUUACUGUUCUUUGUUAGCAGAGCUGCUUGUUUCUAAGAACUUUGAUACUAUUUGGAUCAAAGUUAAAUGAGCACAUAGAUGACAAAAAAAAGUUCAGAUUGUAAAAUGUUCAUUUUGCUGCUAGUGCCCAUUUUGAGUAAUUGCUUAGAGGGAUGAUCCUGUGUGAGCUGGUGGAGUGAUUUGUUUUCUACAUAAAGCUCUUUAGUCAGGCUGGUUUUCGUGAAAUACACAUGAAGCUUCACCAGCUCCUGUGGGUGUGGGAUCCAUGUGACAUGUGACAUUGCAUCCAUGUCCACCUGGGAUAAUGAUUUUGCAUGUACCCCGAGAGGCCCUUAAGUUUGCCGGAAUGUCGAUUAACUUCCGUUCCGGCAAAUUCGGGUACUCCAUAUGUCCUAUUUUCAGCAAAGGUCAUGCUGAAAUUUUCCGUGAAUUUUAGCAUGACUUUGCAAAAAAUAGGACAUAUGGGGUACUUGUGACUAAUGCAUGGGCCGGGGUAUCAUAGUAGUUAAUUAAGUAGGAUCAAGUGCCCCGGCGUACUUGUGACUGAUGCAUGGCUUUUAGGGUGCCUCGGUGUUGAUAAAAACCGAAAUGAUGAAAGCUUAGGCUUUUAGGGUGCCUCGGCGUCGAAAAACCCUCAAUGAUAAAAGCUUAGGUCUUAGGAUGCCUCGGUGUCGACAAACCCUAAAUGAUGAGACCAUGUCUUGUUCCUUGACAAUAACCAACUUUUUGACCAAACUUUGUUUCUAUUUAGAGAGAAACAUGGCCCACAACGAUGAGGCCGGGGGUUCGGGCGGCAAGGCAUUCUGGGAGCUGUCCCAGGAGAUGGAGGAACAACCUCACUUGUAUGAGGCCGCCGCCUUCCCCACCGAUCCUGAGACCACUGAUGGUGCCGCCGAGGAUGACCACACUGAUGCCACCACUGAUGGUGCCGCCGAGGAUGCCACCACUGAUGAUGGCAGCGCCCGCACAGAUGGCAGCCAACCGAAGAGGCAACGGAAGGACCGACGCCCGAUCGUGCUCCUCACCCUCAAGGAGGAAGUUACUGAAGUGGACUCCAACGGGUAUCCAACGGCGCCCGAACGAAUAGUCAAGGGGUACUCGCUUCAGCUCGGGUGCAUUGUCCGGAGCACCGUCUCGAUCAACACCGAGAACCUGAGGCAUCCUGACCGAGGGAAUUUGUGCCACCUCCUCUUCACGAAGCUGCACGAAUGAUACAAGUUCCCCGCUGAAUUUGCAAACAGAAGCCUCAAAGGGAAUAAAGUGAACAAUGCUGCCCUCACGAAGAUGAGCAAGGCCCUGUCUACUUGGAAAAGCAAUGUGAAGAAAAUGAUCGAUAAAGGUGAGAGUUAUCAGAAGAUCAAGGAGAAAAAUCCUUCGAUCACCAAAGAUGACUACAAUGACUUCAAGAUCAAUUGCUCGAGCACCGCAAGCUCCCAAUCAAGUGAGUGGGGGAAACAAAUGCGGGAGCUGAACAUAGGGGAACACACACUCGGUCCCGACGGUUACAGAGUGGCGGAGCCUAUAUGGGACAAGGAGGAGGCGGACCGUGCCGAGCAAGGCCUACCGCCCCUCUUCGAGAAAUACAGCGGUAACAAGCAGACCAGGAACUUUGUCAGGGCCCGGUACAAGAAGGACCCGAAAACAAAGGAGCUUACCACGGAUCCGAAGACCAGGCAGCUUGAGCUUGUUCUGGUAAGGAAUACACCCCCGCGUAAUUAGCUCCAUAUGGUUGCAUUCUAAUUAAUGAAGCCAAAUUUCUAAAUGGUUCACAUUCCUUCCGCAGGCGACUGAAAGCAGUAGCGCGGGGUCGACUAAGAGCAACCCUUGGGACACCACUCUAAAUAGGGCGAUGAAUGUAAUGAAGAAGAAGGAUAAGCUCAGUAAGCCGACGUCAGCUGGUCGUGUGGCCGGCAAAGGCUUGUCGACAAAAUGGGGGUCAUACUAUACCGCUGGUGUGCGGAAGGAGAAAAAGACCAGCUCGGAAAGCCAGGCGCGAGAGGAUCAAGAACUCAAGGAACAGGUGACGCGGAUUCCGGAGAUUGUCCAAGAGCAAGUGGAACAAUGACUCGGAGCGACGAUCACCGCCAUUGUGCCUACCUUGAUCUCGGGGUUGAGUGCGUGGAUUGCGGGCGGCCAACAGGGGCCGCCCCCGAUUCCUAGCUUCACGGCCAGCAACUCGCAUAAUGCGAUGGCGGGGCCAUUGGUGCCUCCGGCGGAGGCGGCAUUGGUGUCUCCGACGCCGGCACGGGAGCUUAAUGCACCCGGGUGUACGCCGGCCGGCACCUCUGCAGCAAGCGGCCCCUCCGUCAACUGCACGCCCGCCGUUGGCGGUGCGUCGACAUUAGCCGAGCUCGACGCCAUCAACACGGUAACUAAUUAAGCCUCUCUCGGCCGAGGACUUCAUCUCCUUGCCUUUGACUAGGCAUCCCUGACGCCCUACAUGUUUUCGCAGGGCGCCGCCGACGUUCCGUGCACUCUCCUCCACUUCGUGAACAACGAGUUGGUCGAUGUCGCCAAGGGCAAAAUCGUUCAACCGGCAACCCCUUGUUCCACGGUACCCAGAUGCCACCCAACUUGUUUAGGGUUCAACUGGUUCGGGUGUUGCCAGGCUGCGACGACUUGUUACCUCUGAUUCGACCCGUUGGGGCCGACGAUGAAGACGUGAUGACCCUCAGCGCCUGCCUGAGCUGGCCCCUAGUUUGGCCGAAGAGCCAGAUUCGUUUGGGGGCGGGGGACACCACCCCAAAGACAACACCGCCAGUCGUGCUGGUGCCAAGUCGGCCCCAUGGCAAGACCGCCGUAACGGUGCCGGACAUCCCUAUGCCACUGGAUCCAAACAUGCAUAUGGCACAGGAUCAGAAUGACGACGACAACGACGAUGAUACAUUUGGCAACGUCGAUCAGUACUUUGCCGAUCAUGGGUACGAUGGCGACUUCAUGGGGCCUCCUUCUCAAGAACCAAACCCAACAAAAGACGUGUGCGAUCUAGCUGGUACCGCAGAGAAGCCAAGUUGCAACAGGCGCCGUCUGGCGUUCAGCUCUCAGGAGACGCCUCCAGCUGCCGACUUCACCGAUCCUCAGAUAGGCGAGGUGCGAAAUAUUAUCAGCCCCAACACACUCAAGAAGGCGGUCUGUGAGCAGAACUCGGUCCCAUUACAGGAGAAGAAGAAGGCACGCAAAAGAAAGACUAAGAAGGGUGCGAGCCAGCCGGCACCGAGUACGAUCCGUGCUCAGGACGGGCCACCUUCACCGCAGGAUAUCUCGAGGAGGGUGCAUGUGGCGGGUAGGGCGAUGCUACCGACAAAUAUGCUCAAUGCUGCAACCGGUGCUAUGCGGAGUCUGCAUGACAGUGUUCUUGCUUUGGAGAAGCGGCGUCUCAGAGAGAAGGAUGUGGCAUACCCGGUUUUCGCGGCCAAGGUGCCAAAGGGCAAGGGCUUUGUGGAUAACUCCAUCGGGCGUACGAUCGUCCUGCGUUUUGAUGACAUCCACGCUAUGUUGAACCUUCAUCCGCUGCACUACACCUUCGUUCGGCUAUUUUCGCUGAGUAUGGAGAUGCGGAUCAUUCGCGACAAGACCCCGGACAUCGUGAUAGUCGACCCCUUCUACAUGCGUGCCAAGAUCUUGGGCAGCGCUGGGGACCGGCAAGUCGCGAGUUCUUACCUCGAAGGCAUCAUUCUGGCAAACCAAGAUAAGGAUAACUUCCUCGUGCCUUACUUUCCCGAGUAAGUCCUCCCCUCAACCGGCCCGUAACAUAUGAAUUCUUACAUUUCGAUCGUUUUUCUUUUAACAUUCCGUGUUUUUUGCAGUGACACACGUUGCACGCUCAUCCUCCUAAGCCCCAAAUAUUCCAUGGCCACAUAUUUCGACCCGGACUGUUAGUCGAACGUAGACUACACAAAUGUCAAGAAGGUUCUUGAUGAUGUUCUCCCCGGCUAUGCCAAAUCUGGAGGCACCUUCACCAGGCCUAAUCGUAAGUACGGCAAGCAUGUUUUCUCCCACAAUACGAUGUUCUACUGCGUCAAGCAGCCGCCUGGUGGUCAGAAGGGUGCCUACUACGCCAUCCAUCACAUGCGGGCGAUCGUACGGGACCAUCAUCAACUUCUGCUACCGAGUAAACUCAAAGAUUGGGCAAAGAGCGUGUCGGCAAUCGAGGACGCGGACCUCCGACAAGAAUUCUUUCGCAUCCAGUCGGAGUUUGCGGAAAUCAUCCAUCAAGAUGUCCUUCGUACCUCGGGGCAGUUCUACCUCAACAAUCAACCGUCCAAUAGUGACAUCGACAUAAUGCUACAAAUGCAGGCUGACAACGACCGUUAUUUCAUGACUCCCACGAUAGACGGCGGCUUCAUCCACGCUCCGGUCCCUUGAGUCGAGUCGAAAGCAGUGAUGCUGUGUCUAGUUCUGAAACAUCGAUUGGCUCAUGUUGUAAUUAAACUUUAAUGAACUUGUAGUAUGUCUCUUUGGUUUCGAGAGUCGUUCAACUUAGAUGUAAUCGAUGCUAUUAAUGUCUUGCUUUUCUCUUCCGAUUGUUCUGUUGCAUACUUAUAUAUUGCUUAUGUAUUGUCUGUGAAUUGGUACUAACGUUUCGUUUGGCUAGUGCAUAGCGAUGCCGACGUAUGUCGUGUACAAGGGUAAGGUUCCCGUAGUCUACGAUGACUGGGAGGAGUGUCGGAGACAGGUUCACCGAUUCAGCGGUAACAGUUACAAAGGGUACACCACUAGGGCCGAGGCCGAAUCUAGAUACGCCCGCUAUCUAGCGGGAGAGGGGAGGGAGCGUUGGAGGAACCGGAUGAAGACGAGUUUCAUCGUGAUGAUGCUCAUCGUGAUGACCGCAGCUCUCUUCUAUGUGAUGGUAGUUUAGAUGAUCGAUAUCGACUUGUAAUGUGAAGACAAACUCGCUACUCGCGGUCUCGAGACUUGUAAUAUAAUGUUCUAUCUUUGUUCGGUCUUUUUAAUUCGGAGACUAAUAUGAUGAAUUGUAUUCGGAGACUAAUAUGAUGAAUUGUAUUCAAAGACUAAUCUUCUAUUGUAUUCGAUGAAUCUGUUGUUGAUGUGUGCUGUCUAUAUUUUGUCAAAUUAUACAUUUUGUAACCUGUGCAAAAAACAGAAAAUAAAAAAUAAAAAAAACCUAAUAUUCAUACUAAUGACGCAUCACAUGAUAGUGCGCCAUUAGUAUGACAGUGCAUACUAAUGGCGCAUCACUGGGCAGUGCGCCAUUAGUAUGCCGCGGUUACUAAUGGCGCAUCCAGCGGUGGUGCGCCAUUAGUAUGCCAAAGCACCUGGGUAUACAUGGCCCCUGGGAGGCAUACUAAUGGCGCACCCUUGCCUAUACUAAUGGCGCACGCGCGGUGCGCCAUUAGUAUACCAGAUACUAAUGGCGCACCAGGUGGUGCGCCAUUAGUAAAAAUUACUAAUGGCGUGCUAUUAAUGGCGCACCACAGAUGCGCCAUUAAUGGCCAUUUUAGGUGCGCCAUUAGUAGGGGUUUUUCUAGUAGUGUAAUAAGCGAGAUGACGCAGUUCCUGACCGCCCCGCUACCACUACUGGUUCCAGCGUGGCGUUUGAAUUAUGCCGCGCUAGAUGCCUUUUGUCCAGCGAGGAACAAGUGGGGUCAAGCGUGCUUUGGCAAUUCCCGCCGUCAGAAGACUUCCUUGUAGUCCGGUGUAGAGGUGAGGUUGUAGGGAGAUGCAUCGACUAGGAAGGAGUGGCCACAUGAACGAGCAUAUGUAUGAUGUGAUUAAGUCUCUCGAUCGGGUAUCUGGUGCCUUACGUACGGUGUCUUAUUUUUGUCAAGCUAUGACAUCUUUCAGUUUGAGUGUCUGAUAUUAGGGUUGCAUACGUUUUGUUAUUCAGUUGCCUGUUGUCAACUCUAUGGUUAUAUCACCUCGAUGUGUGAGUCAAUGUGUUUGAACCAAUGUAGAGUUUCAUGUGAAUGUUACAAGUGUGAUUGAUAUCUUCAUGUUAUAACCGCAGUUGCCUUGGUAAGAAAUUGAAAGAGCAAACCGUUAUCGUGUUAGGAAAAAAGUCAUCGCUCAAUAUAAGUUGCUUCUCUAGAACAACCACACCUUUCCCUCAAAAAAAAGAACAACCACACCUUGUGAAAGAAGAUGGCAAACACCCAAUUAUGUCUGGUUAGAUAUGGGCAUGGCUAUGGGUAGCUUAUAGCGACACGGAAGCUAGCAUCGCCUGAAGAAACACCCGGAUGGGCCGGCCUAGAGACAAAUUUCUUCAUUUCUACCCUUAGUUUUGUUUUUCUGCCCUUUUUUCUUUAUAUUUUAUAUUUUUCCCGACAUGUUCACUACUUGAUGCUCAACUGGGAUCUCAUCUGAUGCGGAGCAUCCUAUGGACAUCACCAUGUCAAGAGUCCGUUCGGCAAGUGACACGUGUGACAUCUACUUCUCAUACAUAAAGGUGAAUCUUCUCCUUUACACGUGUUUACUUGACCCCUUCGAGGAUGGUAUACUACUUGACACUUCUCCCGUGUGCAUGCAUAGGUAUUGUCGGAGCUUCAUGGAUGUCGAGGAGGAGUGCAAGCGCCAAGGAAUGACUACACCGUCCGCGAGGGAAGCAUGGAAGAGAAGGAGGAAGAGAACCUGGCUACUCCAGAACGAGCGGUACUACUGCCCACUCCAAGCGGUACUACCGCCGAGGCCACCCAAGCGGCACUACCGCCCAGCAUCCGCCCUUCUACUGCUCAACCCGACAAACUCCAGUGAUCGAGCGGUGUAAGUCCGGUACUACUGCCCCUCCAAGCGGUACUACCGCUCAAGCGGUACUACCACCCAUGAGUCCGGUACUACCGCCCUGCCUCUGCCCAGCCGUGGGCCUUUGGCCUUGUAUCCCUCUCCCACUUACCCCUUCGUGGCUUAGACUAUAAAUAGGCCACCUCCACCUCCUUUCUAGGGUUAGCACAGAUUUAGCUCAUUUUGAGAUAGAGCUUUGCUCAUCCAUACGGAUCUACUCCUCGUGAGAGACCGCGACCUCUUCGGAGAAGAUCCAUCUUGGAUUCAAGACCCCCUCGUGGGAAGAUCCGUCUAGGAUACCAACAAGACCUCCUCUUGGAGAUGAACCUUACCUUGUAUCUUUCCCUUUGUUGUUCAUGUACCCUUGUGGAUCUUGUGUGUUUGAUUGUCUAGUGGAUGUGUGAUUGGACUUGUACUUGAGUGUUUCCCCUUGUGAUUUCUCUCCGUUCUUCCACGUGUUCUUCAUAGGGAUCCGCUCCAAACGUGAAAGAUCGGCCUCUAGGGUUCUAGCCUACAUCAUCUUGGAUCAGAGCAAGGUUGAUCACGGAUUUGGAGCCCCUACCCCUCUUUUUCUAGCCUUCUUUUGCUUGCUUUCGUCCUAAAAUCCCCACAAAAAAUAGCCCCAAUUUUUUUGUGAUUUGUUCGUUUGAUGAUUUUUUGUUGAUUUUGAUCCAUGGAUUUGCUUGGUUUUGAGUGGAUCUAGCAUCUCUCCAAGUUUCCCCACCUUCCAUCCACGAAAUCCAUCCAAUUUUGCCCCUGAAAUCAUCCUUUUCCGCCCCAAAUUCGCCCCGAUUUCGAUCUGUGAAUUUUCCCGACACGAGCGGUACUACCGCCCUCGAAGCGGUACUACCGCCCUCGAAGCGGUACUACCGCUGAGCACCACAAGCGGUACUACCACCCUCCCAAGCUAUGACGCCCGGAUAAUUAAGCUACAGUAAUCCCCUUCUAAUGGUGCCAUGUCAUCACAUUACUGUUGCUAAUCCUCGCUUGAUCCAAAUCUUAGUUCAAACUCAAAUUCAAAUUAAAGACCAAAAUUCAAAUUUCUCAAGCAUGCAAAAUAAAAUGUUCAAAGUGUGGCAAAUAAUCGCUGGAUAUUUGUCAUGUUGCAAACAACCUCUUUUGAAUUCUCAAAAUGCCCCUGGGAAUUAAUUUUUGGUCCAGUAGUAAAUUAAAUGGCAUUUGCAAAAUAAAGAAUUGUUUAUUUAACUCCAAUUGCCUCCAAACUUUAUGUGCCACUCCAAAAUAUUUGUGGCUCUGUCUAAGAUCGCCAAGGAAUUAAAAGGGCACUUCCCAUAUUUUCCCUAAGUAAAUAGUGUGCCCAAAAUAUUCUCUUAACCAUCUCUAUUUUUUUAAAUAAAAAAAGGCGAAGAAGAACUCCCCCGGGCCUCGGGCCACUCCCACUUACCAGCCCACCUAAGCCGGCCCACUCCCCCGCUCCCCUAGCCUAUAGGCCACGGCCGACCGAACCCUAACCCCGCAUGAUCCCCCCACUCCCCACUCCUCUCCCCUCUCGAUCCGAUCUGGAUCGGACCGAAACCGGCGCAAUUGGUCGAUCCAUGUAUAAAGUAAAAAUAACUAGGCCCAAUUGGUCGAUCCAUGACAGUUUUCGUGACGGUACUUCCACGUCUGUCAUGAGGGGGCUACCCUACUUGGCCCCAAAUGGAUCUUGCUAAUUGGUGACGGUUUCCGUGAUAGAUUUCUGGAACGUCACCAGAAAUCCGUCAUUGAUUAACAGAUUUCCGCACAAUCCCCCCACUCCCCACUCCUCUUCCCUCCUGAUCCGAUCUGGAUCGGACCGAAAUCGGCGCCGCGACGCCAACCGCCGUCGCUGGAGGCGUCCCCGACUCCACGCCGGGCCGCCCCGUCACUGGACCUCCUCCCCGUCGCCACUCGUCACUCGCUGGACCGCCUCGUCCCCACCAAUGCCGCCCCCACCCCAACGUCCCCGACGCCUUCGCCGUCGGCACCGCCCCAAUGUCGCCGCCACCCGACGCCGGCGCCCUCGACAUCGCCACCCCGAGCCCACUGCCACCCCUACGCUCCGCUAUGAGCCCCUCGCUGAUUCCCCCUCCUUCCCGUCGUCGUAGGUGGCUGCGCGCGUCGUUGGCCAUCGUGGCCGCGCUCCGGCCGUUCCCCAUCCGUGCGCUGGCCUCGCCUUCCUCGGAUUGCAAACAUUGAACUUUUCCCCUCGGGUUCAUCUAUCUGACAGACGUUCGGGACCAGAAAAACUUUCCCGGAUGUUUCCCCCUUCGCCAGUAUCACCUAGCACCGCGUUAGAACACUUCUAGCCCCGCUUAUUGUCUUGUUAUGCAUAUGUUUGCGUGUAUUUACUGUUUCUUCCCCCUCUUCUUCUCCGGUAGACCUCGAGACCGUUGCUGAUGCCCCUGUGGUCGACUACGUCGACGGCGACCCUCCUUGUCUGAGCAACGAGGCAAGCCCCCCCUUUGAUCAUCCCGAUAUCGCCCAUUCCAUUCUCUAAUGCUUGCACUAGAUUUUCUACUGUAUUUGAUUGCUCCUAUUCUGAUGCAUAGCAUGCUUUUCUACCUGCUGUUGUACCUUACCUGCUUAUCCUAAACUGCUUAGUAUAGGUUGGCUAGUGAUCCAUCAGUGACCCCCACCUUGUCUUUGUUGCCCCUGCUUCAUCAUUGACGACUCGAUCAACGUGAUCGACGACCGGAGCCUGACACCUCACAUCACAUCACGCCCCUUUUUGUUGCUCGACUCUGCAGAGUUACCAUCGAGUGCCGAGGGUGGAACCUCAUACAUCACUCCUUAUGAGAUCUCUGUAGUGUAGCUAUUCGGUCGUGGUCAUCGAGGGUGGUUCCUCCUUCACCAUUCCUAAUACGGCUCUGUCGUGCAACACCUCAAGUGUGAACCUCGAGGGUGGUUCCUCUUACGUUCACCUUGAUGAUUACAUCGAGUGGAAUCCACCGGGGGUGAUUCCUCGGAUUUUCCCCUUUAUGUCUGGACACACAGUUACCUUGACUUCACUUGAGACCGUUUUGAAAGCCGGGCAGGCCCGGAGAGCACCCGUGCGGUGUGACGGUGGCGGCUGGCUGUUUAGCGGUAUCACCCGGGAGGGGGUGAUAGCUCCGGACUUGUCCCGACAGCCGUCACUUCUUUUAAUAAUGCACUAACAGGUUUGGGUAUUUUUUCUAAGUUCACUAACCACGACGCUAGAAUAGUUAUGGGUCUCGAUGUUGCAGUAUCAGCCGAAGCUUUCUCAGACGUCCAGUUCAGCAUUGUGGCCGGGCCGAAUCAUGCCAUCCACUUCACGGGUGGUGCUGGUAUCCCCUUGCGCACAACGACCCAGAGUGCAACGGGCGAUGGGCCCAGACCCCGGAGUGCUUAGGAUGUAGACCGGCAGGGACCUCUCUGCUGAGCCUAGGUAGGGCAGCUACGUGUUGAUCUUCCGAGGCCGGGCAUUGACCCCAGAAAGGUGUGUCCUUCCAGAGUGAUCGAGCGUGUUGGGUAACGUGGUGCCCCCCUGCAGGGAAGAUUAUCUAUUAAUAGCCGUGUCCACGGUAACGGACGUUCAAACUUAUAUCUUGAUCUUAUACAACUACAAAUGGAUACUUGAGAUAUGUGGCUCCGGGAUUGCUUUCUCGCAGGGAGUCGAGGAAGGAUCUCUGGGCGUUGUUGUCACAACAUGCUUGUUAAUUAAACUGCUAUUCUUUACUCUUCUACAUGCUGCAAGAUGCUUGGAGCUACUUGAAGAUGCUAGUCUUCAUGAGGCUAGGCCUUCCCCUCUAUUCUGGCAUUCUGCAGUUCAGUCCACAGAUACAACCCUUCCAUUUGAUACCAAUGCAUACUUAGUAUAGAUCUGAUGCUUGCGAGUACUUUGGAUGAGUACUCACGGUUGCUUUGCUACCCCAUUUCCCCCUUCUUUCUUCUUUCCGGUUGACGCAACCAAAUGGUGGAUCCCUGGAGCCAGAUGCCAGCGCUGAUAGAUGCUACUAUGUGAAGAUCGCCGACGACCAGGAGUAGUUAGGAGGUCCCAAGCAGGAGGCCUUGCCUCUUCGAUCAUUGUUGCUUUUGUGCUAGCCUUCUUAAGGCAUCUUUGUUUAACUUAUGUCUGUACUCAGAUAUUGUUGCUUCCGCUGACUCUUGUGUAUCGAGCUAUGUAUUCAAGCCCUCGAGGCCCCUGGCUUGUAAUAUAAAGCUUGUAUUAUUUUGAUUUGUGUCUAUAGUUGUGUUGUGAUAUCUUCCCGUGAGUCCCUGAUCUUGAUCAUACACAUUUGCGUGCAUGAUUAGUGUACGAUUGAAUCGGGGACGUCACAAGUUGGUAUCAGAGCCGACUGUUUGUAGGAUCCCCCUUUCCAACUCCUUGGCUGAAGUUGAGUCUAGUCUUUGAAAAAAAUUGUUUUACUAACAUGGUUGUGUGGCUUACGGGCCCAUGUCGCCAUUGGGUGGUAUUAGGAUCUUUUACUCCUCGACCUUUACUCUGGGACUCUAAUCGCUCUUCUAUUCGGGUUAAAUGGUCUCGCAAACUAUAACUCUAGGUUCUCGUAAAUACUUUCUCCCGGAGAGCCCCUUCAUUCCAGAUGAUGGCCUGCUUCACCAGAUGAUUUCGAAGAUACCCUUCUGUAAUUUCCUGAGACUUUUGUACUCAUUGCUUUUGCAGUUCCCUACCUCUGAUAUAUCCUUACGGAUAACUUCAUACACUUGUCAUUCAUACAAUCAUUCCUAGUUGCUCUUGUUUUUACAAGAUACAUUGAAUUAUUCUCCGACUUUUAAGAAUCCCUUGCUUACUGCCCUGCAGUUCCUUGCCGCAUGAAUACCCCUACGGAUAAUUACUCGCACUUGCCGAGUAUCCGUUCGUCCAUAGUUGUUCAUGUGUUUCACAACAUUCUUUGGAAAGCUAUUUGAUCUUUUCAAAAAUCCUCAGUAGCCUAUUACUCUUGUUCCUCCUUACCUACUUACAGUAUGGUUACUUCCAUUUGUCUAGCAAUAUUCUUUAAAAUCCUUUGCGAUUGACAUCCUUACCCUAUUGUUUCAACAUGUGUGUGAAUGCACGCAAUCAUCAAUUGUUCCCUGGAAUUGUCCUUCUGGCUCAGACGUUACCCCGGACACGAGCUGGUGUUCGACAAAACAAACCUUGAUUGAUUUUGAAUCUAUGUCUAUACAACUUAAUUGUCUUUGAUCAGAGCCUCUGCUUUUGAUCCCCCAUUUUGAAAAUCAUAAUCCCCUUUGCAUUCGAGCAUAGAAUUAGUCAGUUGUUUCUAUAACCUGACCUCCUUGAAUUCUUUCUUCUUCUGGUUGAGUAUCGAUACUCACAUCAGAUCCAUUGUGGACCUCCAGGUCCUUUGUUGGUUUUUAUCCGACAGCAUCCUUCAUAUUCAGUAACCUUGUGAGCCUUUCCUCGAAUACACAAUGCCUUUGGUAAAUUGUAUCCCCCACUCUCGUCAACCAUACUCUGCUUCCGGGCUUGAGUUAUUUACUCGUGAAGUUUGUGGUAUAUGUUCCUAAUAUGUCCCUAUGGGUUGAAUCUAUGUCUUCCCUAAAUCUGUGUGAACCCUACGACUCAUACUCUACUGGUGUUAUGCCAGAUAAAAUCUCAACAGUACGGCUUCGUUGAAAAUGAGAAGUGAAUGAAAGGUUAUGCAUCGAAGAAGUGGGAGUCGACCUUGAGCCUUGUGUUCAUGCCCAUGGACACGAUGUGGAACUUAACAUGGAAGCUUCUUUUUAUAAUAAUAGCCCCCUAGCGAUAAGUACAUCUUGUAUCCAUGUGUGGUCCAUUGCAAUCGUGGUUCCGACCAUAUUGUUCUUGUUUGAUCCAUUUAUCGGACAAGUUAAAGUACUUGUCUUCUUCAAAUUGUUUCACAUGUUCAACCUCUACAUUGAUAUACCUUCGAGCAUUAUCCUCUGGUAUCUCGAGAAUAUCACGGAACUACAUAACUUCUUAUGAGUUCUUGAUCAACUAUUAUUUCUCACUGAUUCAAAUUUUUCACUAGUUGGGAGUUGUUAGACACUCGAGAAUACAGUUAACUGAUUCAAGUCUACGCUUUCCUUUCCAUUGUUCUGUUUAAUCUUUCUGGUAACCUAUCUUAUCUGAGAACUGAUAAUUCCCUGCUUAUGUAAACACCUCGGUGUACAAGCUCUGUCUGUAAGACCUUGUUACUAUUGUUGAGGACAUUCCGAUAGCUACCGAUGGACGAGAACUUUGCCUAUUGGUCCGCCUCAUCUUAACGAGCAGGAAAAUGGUUCUCUUUGUCCCUCUCCCUUGGUACCAACGUUGUUGCCAACAUAACUGACAAGUUGUCCUCUGACCUGCCUUGCUAUCAUGACCAUGCAAAAUGCUAGCGCCCUUCCUGCUUUUAACCCACAAGGUGGGCCUGAGGGAGUCCUGGACUAGGCGGUGUCCGGACAGCCGGACUAUCAUCGUCCGCCGGACUCCAAGACUACGAAGAUACAAGAUUGAAGACUCCGUCCCGUGUCUGGAUGGGACUUUCCUUGGCGUGGAAGGCAAGCUUGGAAAUACGGAUAUGUAGAUCUCCUACCAUUGUAACCGACUCUGUGUAACCCUAGCCUCCUCCGGUGUCUAUAUAAACCGGAGGGCUUUAGUCCGUAGGACACAACAUACAUUACAACAAUCAUACCAUAGGCUAGCUUUAGGGUUUAGCCUCCUUGAUCUCGUGGUAGAUCCACUCUUGUACUACCCAUAUCAUCAAUAUUAAUCAAGCAGGAUGUAGGGUUUUACCUCCAUCGAGAGGGCCCGAACCUGGGUAAAACAUCGUGUCCCUCGUCUCCGGUUACCAUCCGCCUAGACGCACAGUUCGGGACCCCCUACCUGAGAUCCGCCGAUUUUGACACCGACAUUGGUGCUUUUAUUGAGAGUUCCUCUGUGUCGUCACCAAUAGGCUCGAUGGCAUCUUCAACCAACAACGCUGUCCAGGGUGAGACUUUUCUCCCCGGACAGAUCUUUGUAUUCGGCGGCUUCGCACUGCGGGCUAAUUCGUUUGGCCAUCGGAGCAGAUCGAAAGCUACGCCCCUGGCCGUCAGGUCAGAUUCGGAAGUCUCAACUUCACGGCCGACGUCCGCGGAGACUUGAUCUUCGACGGGCUCGAGCCACAGCCAAGCGCGCCGCACUGUUACGAUGGGCAUGAUCUAGCUCUGUCGCCGAACAGUGCCUUGGUGGCCGCCCACGAAUCCGCUUCGGCCUUUAGUCCGGGGCCGAUCGCCCAGACCGAGGAACGGUGGAUGGACACCGCCUCGGGGGCUUCAACUUCCACGGCGAUGGAGCCGAACACUAAUCUUGUCCCUCGCAAAACUCGUGAUUCCGAGGUGCCGGACUCCUUGCCGGACUCCGAAGCUCCCACGCCCCUACCAACCGAAUCGGAUUGGGCGCCGGUUAUGGAAUUCACCGCCGCGGACAUCUUCCAAUACUCGCCUUUUGGCGACAUCCUGAAUUCGCUAAAGCAUCUCUCGUUAUCAGGAGAGCCCUGGCCGGACUAUGGCCAGGAUGGUUGGGAUACGGACGACGAAGAAAUUCAGAGCCCACCCACCACCCACUUUGUAGCCACUGUCGACGAUCUAACCGACAUGCUAGACUACGACUCCGAAGACAUCAACGCUAUGGACGACAAUGCCAGAGACGAACAGGAACCAGCGCCUACAGGGCACUGGAAGACCACCUCGUCAUAUGACAUAUACAUGGUGGAUACCCCAAAAGACGGGGACGGCGAAGAAACAGCGGAGGCAUAUUCUUUAAAGAAACAGCCCAAGCGCCGGCAUCAGCGGCGCUGCUCUAAAUCCCGCCACGGCAAGAAUGGAGAUUCCAGCACAGGAGAUAAUAAUACCCCAGAAAGUGCCGAAGAUAACCCCCUCCAGCAAGACUCAGCGCAGGAGGAUGCAGAAGCAAGCCCUCACGAGAAGGCGGCAGACAAAGAGGUUGAGGAUUACAACUAUAUGCCUCCCUCCGAAGACGAGGCAAGCCUCAACGAUGACGAAUUCGUCGUGCCCGAGGAUCCCGUCGAACAAGAGCGUUUUAAACGCAGGCUUAUGACCACGGCAAAUAGCCUAAAGAAAAAGCAGCAGCAGCUUCAAGCUGAUCAGGACCUGCUGGCCGAUCGAUGGACCGAGGUCCUCGCGGCCGAAGAGUAUAAACUCGAAUGCCCCUCCAAAAGCUAUCCAGGACGCAAGCUGCUCCCCCGAUUAGAGGAGGAAGCAUACAUACCUCCAUCACCAGCGCACGAUACGGCUGACCGACCACCCCGUGGUCGUGACAGAGAGGCAUCCAGGCCCCCAACCAAGACCGUACCCCGGCAUCGCUCGAAAAGUAUGAAGCCAAGAGGGAACGCGCCGGACUUGCGAGAUAUAUUGGAGGACAAAGCAAGGCAAUCCAGAUCCAUCUACGGAUCACGGGGGUGCCCCACGACCCAUGACGAAUACCGUCGCGCCGGAUACAAUAACCCCGGCCGGGCCGAACACAGCAGACAACGCUCUCUCGAGUUGCAUCGUGAUAUUGCUCAAUAUAGAGGCGCCGCACACCCGCUAUGCUUCACAGACGAAGUAAUGGAUCAUCAAAUCCCUGAAGGGUUUAAACCCGUAAACAUCGAAUCCUACGAUGGCACAACAGACCCUGCGGUUUGGAUCGAAGAUUACCUUCUCCACAUCCAUAUGGCCCGCGGCGACGAUCUACAUACCAUCAAGUACCUCCCACUCAAGCUUAAAGGACCAGCUCGGCAUUGGCUCAACAGCUUGCUCGCAGAGUCAAUUGGGUGUUGGGAAGACCUAGAAGCCGCAUUCCUUGAUAACUUCCAGGGCACGUAUGUGCGACCACCAGACGCCGAUGACCUAAGUCACAUCAUUCAGCAGCCAGACGAAUCGGCCAGACAAUUCUGGACACGGUUCUUGACAAAGAAAAAUCAAAUCGUCGACUGUCCGGAUGCAGAGGCCCUUGCAGCCUUCAAACAUAACACCCGCGACGAAUGGCUAGCCCGGCACCUGGGGCGGGAAAAGCCGAAAUCCAUGGCAGCCCUCACAUCAUUAAUGACCCGCUUUUGCGUGGGAGAGGAUAGCUGGCUAGCUCGCAGCAACAAUCUCCGUAAAAAUUCUGGCAGUCCAGACACCAAGAACAAUAAUGGCAGGUCACGUCGAAACAAAAACAAACGCCGCAUCAACGGCAAUGAUAAGGAGGAUACGGCAGUCAACGCCGGAUUCCGAGGCUCUAAACCCGGUCAACGGAAGAAGCCAUUCAAAAGAACCACUCCGGGUCCGUCUAAUUUGGACCGAAUACUCGACCGCUUAUGCCAGAUACAUGGCACCCCUGAAAAGCCAGCUAAUCACACUAAUAGAGACUGCUGGGUGUUCAAGCAGGCAGGUAAGUUAAUUGCCGAAAACAAUGACAAGGGGCUAAACAGCGAGGACGAGGAGGAGACCCGACCGCCGAACAAUAGAGGACAAAAGGGUUUUCCCCCACAAGUGCGGACGGUGAACAUGAUCUACGCGACCCAUAUACCCAAUUGGGAGAGGAAGCGUGCACUAAGGGACGUCUAUGCGAUGGAGCCAGUCGCCCCGAAGUACAAUCCAUGGUCCUCUUGUCCGAUCACUUUCGAUCGAAGAGACCAUCCGACCAGCAUACGCCAUGGCGGAUUCGCCGCAUUGGUUCUAGACACAAUCGUCGAUGGAUUUCACCUCACGAGAGUCCUGAUGGACGGCGGUAGUAGCCUGAACCUGCUUUAUCAGGACACAGUGUGCAAAAUGGGCAUAGACCCCUCAAGGAUUAAACCUACAAAGACAACCUUUAACAGUGUCAUACCAGGUGUGGAAGCCAACUGUACAGGCUCAGUCACACUGGAAGUGGUCUUCGGAUCCCCGGACAAUUUCCGGAGCGAGGAGUUAAUCUUCGACAUAGUCCCGUUUCGCAGCGGCUAUCACGCUCUGCUCGGACGAAUCGCGUUCGCAAAAUUCAACGCGGUGCCGCAUUGUGCAUACCUCAAGCUCAAGAUGCCAGGCCCUCAUGGAGUCAUCACGGUCAAUGGGAAUACGGAACGCUCCCUCCGAACGGAGGAACAUACAGCGGCUCUCACGGCAGAAGUACAGAGCAGCCUUUUAAGGCAAUUCUCGAGUCCGGCCAUUAAACGGCCGGAUACAUCAAAGCGCGCCCGAAGCAAUACCAACCAAGACCACCUGGCGUGAUCAGAGCACGCGUAGCAAUGCGGCCCCAACCCCCGCCCGCGCGUGAUUGCAAGAAUAACCCUCCGCGUACAUCAUUACGCUUUGGAGAUACCAUGGGCGCAGGGGAAGGGGCACGAUCACAACGGACCCAGAGUGCAGUUCGACCGCACCAGGGGCUCGCAAGUGUGCCCCCUUUUUUUUAUUGUUAUUUUCCCUCUUUGUGUACACAGGACUCCGUUAGCCAGAGGCCCUAUCCGGCGGUGAACCUGCCGAACUCAUGAUGCAAUAACCAGGGAAGAAAGAACGCUGCGACGAACACUCAGGUGGUCUCAAUUACAAGCAUUAAAUUCGAUUAUAUACACCAAGUCCGCAGCUUACCCUUGGAGGGGGACAUGUUUAAUUAGUCCAAAUCCCUUGCUUACCACACUAUUUGUAUCAGUCCGCACUCAUAGCAGACUUUCUUUCAUAAAUAAUGCAGCACCUUUUUGACUGCAAUUACAUUACCUUUUAUAUAUAUAUGCUCAUUACAUGACAUCUUGCACCCGUAUAUUUUGGUACGGCCUAAUACACCAGGGGCUUAUGUUCCCCACAUUAUGGUGUGAUAAGUCCGAACACUUUCGUAAGUGCAGCACCCCGAACUUAUAGCACUAUAUGAAUCGGCUCCGAAUCAUGUCUUGGGUCAAUAGUUGGGUUUGCCCGGCUCCCACGUUUUGGUGCCUUACGUUCCGUUCUGUCGGCUAAGGUGGCACUGGGAGAACCACUGCGAUUGCGCCCCGGUUGAGCCGGGCGAGCACCUCAGUGGAGAAAGCUAAAACUGACCGGCAUGAUAAGGCGAGAGACUGGUCGCUGUUCGAGAGGUUUUUUCGGGUCCUUAAAGACUCACGCCACUUCGAGCGAAGUUCCGGACCAUGUCUGACGAAGGCGUGGAUAGCGCCCCGGAUUCGGCCUUUCGGAUACCAGGGGCUUCGCCGAAAUUUAAAAUUAUAGAAUUCUAUGGCUAAGUGAGAGUGUUCAAGCAUUAUAAGUCCGGUCGCCUUGUUCGUUGUGUUGAGCACCUCCCUAGAUGGACCCAAAAAUGGGAAUAAGAGUGCUCAAGUUUAUCCCGAACACCCCAGCACUCGUGGCUCGGGGGCUGAAGCCAAUGACUUUCCAUCUCUCAGAUUUUAUAAACGGCCGCACAGAAGGUAAUAUUUUAAAUUAAAACAAGCGUUGCUCAUGGCGCAUCUGAACGAAGUUUUCAGCGCACAGGAUAAUACAUAGCGAGUUCACUCAAAGAUUACAUUUCUAGGGCACUCAUCCGCAAUAUCGCGGGCUCCCUUCAGGACAGUUUUAUAAUACAUUUCAGGCGUGCGAUACUCCUUGCCCGGCGGCGGUGGGUCUGUGAGAAGCUUCUCCGCAUCCAACCUGCCCCAAUGCACCUUUGUGCGGGCAAGGGCCCGACGAGCACCUUCAAUACAGGCGGAGCGCUUGAUGACCUCCACCCAGGGGCAUGCAUCCACCAGCCGCCGCACGAGGCCGAAGUAGCUACCAAGCAUGACCUGUUCAGGCCACAGCCGGACUAUAAGGCCCUUCAUGGCCUCUUCAGCUACCUUGUGGAGUUCGACCAGCUGCUUCAGCUGGUCGCUUGGGGGCACCGGAUGGCCUGCCUCAGCGUACUAAGACCAGAAGACCUUCUCCGUUGAGCUCCCCUCCUCGCCACGAUAGAAUGCGGCGGCAUCGGAGGCACUACACGGCAGAUCUGCAAACACCCCUGGAGAGCUCCGAAUGCGGGUAAUUGUCAGGUAGUUUACAUUAACAUGCUUGCUUUGCAUGAAAAAUGCCUUACCCGCCGCUAUCUUCUUUACAUCUUCAACCUCCUGAAGGGCCUUACGGGCCUCGGCCUUGGCGGACUUGGCACUUUCGAGAGCCGAGGCAAGCUCGGACUCUCGAGUCUUGGAGCCUCCUGCUUUUCUCGCUCCGCCCGUUCCGCGACCGCACUGCGUUCAGCCGCGGACACAGCCUCCUUCAGGGCUGCCACCUCGUUCGUGGCCCCUGCAAUACCCAUAUUAUCCUUGUUAAUUUUAUUGCAACCAAAAUCCUUUUCCGUAAGGUGACUAUUCAAAGCGGUGUUACUCACCUUCUUUGUCCUCGAGCUGCUUCUUGGCAGUGCCGAGCUCUUGCUCGGACCGCUCGAGAUCCUGCUUCAACACAUCGACCUCCGCCGUCAGUGCGGCAGAGGUCAGUAGCGCAGCCUGCAAACCCAUAUUGACAUAUUUUAAGCAACCCUGCGUAUAUCUUGUUAGAUCCUCAGUCCGGCUUUUCUUUCCGAACACCGAACUGAGCAUCAAGGGCUACUGUCUAUGCGGUAUUACAUUACAUAAUUUUAACUUCUUACCUCAAAGCCUGUUAGAAGGCUGCUGCAGGCUUCGGUCAGCCCGCUCUUGGCGAGCUAAACCUUUUGAAUCACCGCACUCAUGUUAGUGCGAUGUUUUUCCUCGAUGGAAGCGCCUUCAAGCGCCUCCAACAAGUUAUCCGGCGCCUCCGGUUGGACGGAGGUCGCCGGUGUCAAGGUCUUGCCCUUCUUUCGAAGGGGCCGCCCGCCGGACUCUAGAACCACUGCGGGUUCCGAUGUAGAGUCCGGCACAAAGUCUGGGAGGCAGCCUGACGACGCCUCCGGAGCCUCCUCCUGAUGGGUCCCUCUCUGGGAUCCCACCUCGGCGUCCCCGUCGGCGCGGGGGGUAGAGGCGGUCGGAAGUGAAUCCACAUCUAACGGGGCCAACGACCCGCUCGAUGAAGCGGGGAGAUCAUCAUCGGCCGGACUACGGACAGAACGCGGCAUUAGAAGGACACUACGCGACACGAAAGAAAUUGCAUAUCAUGGAUCCGGAUACUUACGAUCUUGUCGGACGCCUGGCCCUUGGAGGCCACUCAUCCUCGCCAACGGUGGUGUUGGCGAAACUGUCCGGGGGGAUAGUCCUCCCCCUCUUGGACCCUUCGGCCUCCCCUAUUGGGAAAGCCUUCCACUUCUUCUCUCCCUCCUCCGAGAGAGAGUCCUCUUCCUCCUCCUCGUCUUUGGGGGAGGAGUCCGCCUCGUCGUCGGACGCCUAAUUGCGGGAACUCUUUCGAGUCCCCGCGGCCACCUUCUUGGCCUUCUUCUCCGGCACCACGUGCGGUGCCGGAACCAGCAGCCCUGCUAAACGGGCGUUCUCUGGGUCUUCAGGCAUGGGAGCCGGGCUGAUGAGCUGCUUGGCCUUCUCCAUCCAUUCCUAUCAAAGGAAAAGAGAGAUUGAAACCCUCUUAGAAUCAGUUUAAUUACCACAAGUGUCCCGUAACGUGGUUGAAUCACUUACCUCGUCAGCCGGAUGCUGCGAGCGAAAUCCGUGAUCUUCCGUCGCGGAUGCGGGGGCUUCGGCGCCCUUAAACAGCACCCUCCAGGCGCCUUCGUAUGUCGUAUCGAAGAGCCCGCUCAGCGCCUGGUGCUGUUCCGGAUUGAACUCCCACAGAUUGAAUACCCGUUCUUGGCAUGGGAGAAUCCGGCGGAUGAGCAUGACUUGGACCACGUCGACGAGCCUGAGCUUAUUGCUCACCAGCUUCUGGAUGCAGGCUCGGAGUCCCGUCACCUCCUUCGGAUUUCCCCACAGCAAGCCCUUCUCUUUCCAGGAGGUGAACUGCGUGGGGACGCCAGAUCUAAACUCGGGGGCCGCCGCCCAUGUGGGCUUGCGCAGCUCGGUGAUGUAGAACCAACCCGAUUGCCACCCCUUGACGGAGUCCACGAAGGCCCCUUCGAGCCAAAGGACGUUGGGCAACUUACCCAACAUGGCGCCUCCGCAUUCCGCUUGCGUGCCCUUCACAACCUUCGGCCUCCCCUAUUGGGGAAGCCUUCCUCUUCUUCUCUCCCUCCUCCGGGAGAGAGUCCUCUUCCUCCUCCUCGUCUUCGGGGGAGGAGUCCGCCUCGUCGUCAGACGCCUGAUUGCGGGAACUCUUUCGAGUCCCCGCGGCCACCUUCUUGGACUUCUUCUCCGGCACCACGUGCGGUGCCGGAACCAGCAGCCCUGCUAAACGGGCGUUCUCUGGGUCUUCAGGCAUGGGAGCCGGGCUGAUGAGCUGCUUGGCCUUCUCCAUCCAUUCCUGUCAAAGGAAAAGAGAGAUUGAAACCCUCUUAGAAUCAGUUUAAUUACCACAAGUGUCCCAUAACGGGGUUGAAUCACUUACCUCGUCAACCGGAUGCUGCGAGCGAAAUCCGUGAUCUUCCGUCGCGGAUGCGGGUGCUUCGGCGCCCUUAAACAGCACCCUCCAGGCGCCUUCGUAUGUCGUAUCGAAGAGCCCGCUCAGCGCCUGGUGCUGUUCCGGAUUGAACUCCCACAGAUUGAAUGCCCGUUCUUGGCAUGGGAGAAUCCGGCGGAUGAGCAUGACUUGGACCACGUCGACGAGCCUGAGCUUAUUGCUCACCAGCUUCUGGAUGCAGGCUCGGAGUCCCGUCACCUCCUUCGGAUUGCCCCACAGCAAGCCCUUCUCUUUCCAGGAGGUGAACUGCGUGGGGACGCCAGAUCUAAACUCGGGGGCCGCCGCCCAUGUGGGCUUGCGCAGCUCGGUGAUGUAGAACCAACCCGAUUGCCACCCCUUGACGGAGUCCACGAAGGCCCCUUCGAGCCAAAGGACGUUGGGCAACUUACCCAACAUGGCGCCUCCGCAUUCCGCUUGCGUGCCCUUCACAACCUUCGGCUUGACGUUGAAGGUCUUGAGCCACAGGCCGAAGUGGGGCCGGAUGCAGAGGAAGGCCUUGCACACGACGAUAAACGCCGAGAUGUUGAGGAUGAAGUUCGGCGCCAGAUCGUGGAAAUCCAGGCCGUAGUAAAACAUGAUCCCCCGGACGAAUGGGUGGAGUGGAAAGCCCAGUCCGCGGAGGAAGUGGGGAAGGAAGACGACCCUCUCAUGGGGCCCAGGGGUAGGGAUGAGCUGCCCCUCGUCGGGCAGCCGAUGCGCGAUAUCGCCGGAAAGGUAUCCGGCGCUGCGAAGCUUGGUGAUAUGCUCCUCCUUAACGGUGGAGUCCAACCAUUUGCCUCCCGCUCCGGACAUAUUCGGAGAAGGUCGGGGCGAGAUGCGCGAGCUUGGGCGUUGGAGCUUGAGUGCACGGAGAUGGAUAAGCAAAGGAGGAAGAAGGCGUAGGUGAGAAGGUAAAUCCUUAUCCCUUAUAUAUAGGCGGACGAAAACUAUGCGUCCCCACCGGCCUGAUAAAACUCGCUUAUCUCCCAAGCGCCACCAUCAAUGGCGCGGUUGGGUUACCCACGUCCGUAUUGAUGGGAAUCCCGGAAUAAGGGGAACACAAUCUCUGCUUCGACAAGACGUGCCAAGGAAACCGCUUCGCUAAACGUGCUGAGGUGGUAUAGUAAAAAACGAUUCAAACAAAGGCUUGGUAGCGGUGUGAUGUCACGCCGCAUAAUACGUCAGCAGAUUGGACUGGUGUACAUUUUAUUCUCUCUACGGUGGAAUGUGGAAUUUAUUUUGCAGAGCCGGACACUAUCCUGGUGUUCAUGAUCUUCUCUGGAUUAUUCAAGGGAGGAACCCGCCUUGCAAUGCCGAACAUUAUGCGCGCCGGACUUAUCGUCAUUGAAGCCUGGUUCAGGGGCUACUGAGGGAGUCCUGGACUAGGGGGUGUCCGGACAGCCGGACUAUCAUCGUCCGCCGGACUCCAAGACUACGAAGAUACAAGAUUGAAGACUCCGUCCCGUGUCCAGAUGAGAUUUUCCUUGGCGUGGAAGGCAAGCUUGGCAAUACGGAUAUGUAGAUCUCCUACCAUUGUAACCGACUCUGUGUAACCCUAGCCUCCUCCGGUGUCUAUAUAAACCGGAGGGCUUUAGUCCGUAGGACACAACAUACAUUACAACAAUCAUACCAUAGGCUAGCUUUAGGGUUUAGCCUCCUUGAUCUCGUGGUAGAUCCACUCUUGUACUACCCAUAUCAUCAAUAUUAAUCAAGCAGGACGUAGGGUUUUACCUCCAUCGAGAGGGCCCGAACCUAGGUAAAACAUCGUGUCCCUCGUCUCCUGUUACCAUCCGCCUAGAUGCACAGUUCGGGACCCCCUACCCGAGAUCCGCCGGUUUUGACACCGACAGGGCCCAUAACCCACAGUUCCACAGGAUCGAAACCUGACUCAUGUACAUCCCUGUUUUUCAAAGUUGUUCCUCGCGCUUGGAUUCGUAUGUAAUUCACGAGCCACCUUCCUUGUGAUCUGUUCUGGUAUCAGAUGCAAUACUUAUUCCCAUUGCUCUAAACCCCUUUCACCUUCUUACCUUGCUCUCGAUGACUAUCCUGAAUUCCAACUCAAGAGAUGCCUCUAUGCCAUGUUGAGGUACCUAUCUUGUGUUGAGCUCCAUCCCUCCCGAGUCUUUCCCCCUUACUCACCCCUUAAAUCUCGAGACGAUAUUUCUUGUAGUGGAGGAGAAUUGUGACGCCCAAAUAAUUAAGCUACAGUAAUCCCCUUUUAAUGGUUCCAUGUCAUCACAUUACUAUUGCUAAUCCUCGCUUGAUCCAAAUCUUAGUUCAAACUAAUAUUCAAAUUAAAGACCAAAAUUCAAAUUUCUCAAGCAUGCAUAAUAAAAUGUUCAAAGUGUGGCAAAUAAUCCCUGGAUAUUUGUCAUGUUGGAAACAACCUCCUUAGAAUUUUCAAAAUGCCCCUGGGAGUUAAUUUUUGGUCAAGUAGUAAAUUAAAUGGCAUUUGCAAAACAAAUAAUUAUUUAUUUAACUCCAAUUGCCUCCUGUCGUGGGAAACGAACACCUAUGGGGCAGGGCCCCUUUUCGGUCUGGCAAGGGAGCGGAGGGCACACGAAGAGCAGAUCGAGGCGAAGCACGCGGGGGAAUUUUACCCAGCUUCGGAGCUCUCCGGAGAGAUAAAACUCCUACUGCUGCUUUGUGUUUCUAUUCUGUUCUUGCUCAAGAGUGUGGGUGUGUUGUAGUUUCGAAUGAGUCGAACCCCUUCUACGUGCGCAUGGGCCUCCUUUUUAUAGUCUAAAGGGGUCACCGACAGGUGGCAGCAUAGAGAGAGGGGUAAAAAAGUAAAAACGCGGGUUGGUACAACCGCUAUCAACAGUGCCCCCUACCUAACUCUGACAGCAGGGGACAAGGGCAUUUAAUGCCCAUCCGGUCGCCCAAACAGUGCAGGAAGUGACCGUUAGGGGCGCCACCAAUCGCCACGAUGGCCUCCUAGUCAUCUUCACUUGCCACCUCGCACCGCUUGGCUGCACAGCUACCCGCCACGUGCACCGGGAGCGAUCCUGCGGCGACACGUCAUCGGAUGCGCUGGAGCAUGGGCGCAGAGUUGUGGCUUUGCCGCGGCAAGCGCCUUGCCGCGGUCACUAUCUUGUUGCACCCGCAAGCUUGCCGCUCGCCGGGUCUUGGUUGGCCUUCCCGGCAAGAUCCUCCUGCCGGGGUCUUGUCCUUCCCGGCAAGCUUCUCUUGCCGGGGCUUCGUCUUCACAGUUAACACUUUGUUCUUGAAUGGCAGUAAAUAGGAAUGACGAAGGAUCUUGGCGGACGCCCGGCAAGCCUUGCCGCAGGACGCUGCGCCUGCCCGUGCACAAGUUCGGGGUACUAAGGUACCCCUACUUUAGUACACCGACUGGAGCCCCCGGGCCUGGGCCAUACACGGUGCUGAGCGCUGUUGGGCCAGGCCCAAAACAGGACACGGGCACGCGCGGCCUGGGUCCUAACUAAAUCCACUCCGUAUCCACCGCGUCCUCCCGUAACGGCACGCGUCAAUCGCGGCGUCGUGGGAGAGAUCGUGGGUGGAAGACGUUCGCGCGUAUCCACAGCCUGAUGGAGGGGUUUACCCUCCAUUUUAAGUUAAUGGAGGGCGAUCUCCUCUCCGUCAAGGUCUUCGGGUGCUUCGACACUCGGGCGAAGUGCUGCGUGGACAGCUCCUCCGAUAGCAAAGGCUCCCCCUCGAGCGAGAGCGACAAGGAGGAGAGCAACAGCGAUGAUGAGGGUAGCGGGCGGCGGGAUGGCGGGCCCGACUAGGUGUCGGGCGCCGCUUCGUGCGUCACCGGUGACCCCAUCAUCCGUGUCGCCGGCUCCUUGAACUCCCCGGGGUCGUCUCCUUGGGCGGCUGGCGUAGGGAGGCUGCGGAAGGGGAAGAGGGCUGGCGACAAGGCCGUCAAAUCGGAGUACGAGGGCGUAGUGCCCUCGACAGCGUGCUGACGUCCUGCCGCCCCAUCUUCGAGCCCCGCUUCCAGCGCCGCCAUCACCGUCCGGCCUUCGGACGGCCCCCGGGAUGUUCUCUUGGUGUCUUCGCCUAGGCGCCUCUUUUGCCCUUUUCGCCUCCUUGACCUACAUCCUGAAGAGAGGGACAGGAAAGGGAUUACGGGCAUCUUAUCUUUUUAAUUUGUAAGCCUUCGGGCCCUAGUCGCAUCUAAAACUUGUAACCCUCUCUUUCAUGUUUUUCAUCCUCUAUGGACUGUACCUGAGUGUGAUGUUUUUUUAAUGAAAAAGGGAUGCUUGCCGGGUUAUUUGUCUCAUGGGUUGAACCCACGCCAAGGAGCAAAUCCUUGGUAUCCCUCGGACAGGCAUUUCAUCUCCCGCCAACAGGCCCUGCCGCCUUCCCACGUCGCUCGACCUUUCUCACGCCUUUGACGGAGGCGGGAACGAGGUGGGUGCGGCCUCCUCAUUUCAUCCCUUUGCUGCUGUGACUACGACCAAACUUGGCCCCGGGAACGAGCCCCAGGGCCUAGAGUUGAGGGAGCACGGCAGUUUUCGGGAAGAAACGCGGUUUCGCAUUCCCCAGUCCAUAAGAGGAUGCAUGAUGAGGGACGAAAGACUUAUCUGAUAUCGCAGCCCCCGGCAACUCUGGCUUGCCGUGGAUGAAUCUUGGUACUCGCAGCCCCCAGCAACACUGGCUUGCCGGGGCCCAGGUGCCGGCGCGCCCUUCUUCUCCUUUCCUUGUCGCUGUUAUUUCAGUUAUGAGAACAAUUUAGUCAGUGCCGCAAUAAGUUACUCUUGUAAUAUAACUUUAUUCUGGGCAAUGCUUGUUAUGUUACAUCCUUUAUUUGAUUCCAUUCCUUGUAUGUUUGUACCCUUACGCUUUUACGGAACUUGCCGGUGCAAACACGCUUGCCACGAGCGCUGAGUGCAAAACAUCAGCAGCCUUCUAGCGGUGUUGCCUCCGGCAAGAAACCUUGUCGGGGCUAGUCGCAGCACACUUUCAUUGUUGAGCGGACUCAAAACAAAGUAAGGGUGCAACUUAACCACGAGCCGGUUCCUCUGCGCACAGGUUUUCCAUACAAGGCAUGGUCGUUCAAGGAAUAUAACUUAAAAAUUUAAAACUGACUGUGCUUAAACUUCGGCAACUUAGCUUUUUUGUUGUUUGUGUCCNNNNNNNNNNNNNNNNNNNNNNNNNNNNNNNNNNNNNNNNNNNNNNNNNNNNNNNNNNNNNNNNNNNNNNNNNNNNNNNNNNNNNNNNNNNNNNNNNNNNNNNNNNNNNNNNNNNNNNNNNNNNNNNNNNNNNNNNNNNNNNNNNNNNNNNNNNNNNNNNNNNNNNNNNNNNNNNNNNNNNNNNNNNNNNNNNNNNNNNNNNNNNNNNNNNNNNNNNNNNNNNNNNNNNNNNNNNNNNNNNNNNNNNNNNNNNNNNNNNNNNNNNNNNNNNNNNNNNNNNNNNNNNNNNNNNNNNNNNNUGUGGGCGCAGGAAUCUUCUCUUUGAGAAAAAGGAAGAAGAGAAAAUAAAGUUAUGGAGCCUUAAGGCUUGUUAUUGCUUACCGGGGGCAAGUUCUGCACAAAGUGUCAGUGUAUACAUGCUAAAAAGAAAAAGGCAUGAAUUUUGACAAUAUGUACUAAACAUAUGAUCUUUAUUUAUGCACGGGAUCUGCGCCCGGCUUUGUACAAAGGGUUACAUGCAACAACGGCAAGGCUUGUACAAAAGGUGGUUGCCAGGACAGCAGGUUCCGGCAACCGCGCCUUAUGGGUAAAACUUACGAAGAUGAUCUAUGUUCUAGGAGUUGCUCACCGGAAUGCCAUCUUCGGUCUCAAGGCGGACAGCGCCAGGCCUAGUGACUCGCUUUACCCGAUAAGGGCCUUCCCACUUCGGCGUCAACUUGUUGGAAUUCUUGGCAGAUUGAACGCGCCGAAGAACAAGGUCACCUUCCUCGAAGCUUCUGGCAUUAACUUCGCGGCUAUGGUAGCGGCGCAAAGCUUGCUGGUAGCGAGCAGCUCGUACAGCAGCCUGAAGACGAUCCUCCUCGAGGAGCAGCGCGUCAUCUUGCCGCAGCUGCUCUUGCUCAAGCUCAUCAUAAGCGAGCACUCGAGGCGAUCCGUAUACGAGUUCUGUGGGGAGAACUGCCUCUGCUCCAUAGACAAGAGCAAAAGGUGUCUGGCCAGUGGCUCGAUUUGGCGUCGUCCUGAUCGACCAAAGAACCACCUGUAGCUCCUCGAUCCAAUUUCUUCCGCACUUGUGCAGCCUGUCGAAAGUUCUGGUCUUGAGCCCACGCAGCACUUCAGCGUUUGCCCUCUCCGCUUGACCGUUGCUUCUCGGGUGAGCAACAGAAGCGAAGCAGAUCUUGGCGCCAAGAUCUUGGACGUACUGCAUGAAGGUGCAGCUCGUGAAUUGUGUGUUGUUGUCGGUGAUGAUCCUAUUAGGGACUCCGGAACGGCAAACAAUUGACCUGAAGAACUUGACUGUUGACUGUGCUGUCACCUUCCUCACUGGCUCCACCUCCGGCCACUUCGUGAACUUGUCGAUGGCCACGUACAAGUACUCGAAGCCCCCGACAGCUCGGGGAAAAGGGCCAAGGAUAUCAAGCCCCCAGACUGAAAAUGGCCAGGAUAAAGGGAUUGUUUGGAGAGCUUGAGCUGGUUGAUGAAUCUGUUUGGAGUGGAACUGGCACGCUUCACACUUGGUUACUUGUGCAGUCGCAUCCUGGAGGGCUGUUGGCCAAAAGCAACCUUGCCGGAAGGCUUUACUGGCAAGUGCUCUUGCGCCAAUGUGGUGGCCACAUAUGCCUCCAUGUAUCUCCGCCAACAGCUCUUGUCCUUCUUCCCGGGAAAUGCACUUCAAUUUCACUCCGUUGAAUCUUCUUCUGUACAGUAUGUCAUCGACAAACUGAUACAUACUUGAUUGUCGGGCUACUUUCUCUGCUUCUUCUUGCUCUUCGGGAAGUUCUCCUGUUUGAAGGAAAUGGACGAUCUGCUGUGCCCAUGCCGGAGCUUGUGGCUCGACGACAAGGACUAAAGGCGCAAAUGCUGCUGCGGGAACAUCCGCUUCUACGGCAAGAAUAUGAGAUCCUGCCGGAGCGUGAUGCUCCCCGGCAAGCGUGCCGGGGCACAGCUUGUCGGGAGCGUCUGCUUCAACGAAACAAACCCUAGGGCUUGUCGGAGCAGACUGCUCCUCAGCACUUUCUAUGUUGAUCCUGGGGACCUUCUUGGCGGCGGCUUCGGGGAGCUCUGCCGGAAAGUAGUCGCCAGUAACCAACUUUCUCUUCUUGCUCUGUCCAGUUGAUGGUGUUACAGAUGGCUGAGUCAGCUUGAGCACAAAAAUACCUGGUUCCACAGGUAACUUGAGUGCGGUGCACUUUGACAGGCCGUCUGCAAUGUCAUUCUGAGCUCUUGGAACAUGUUCCAUCUGCAGGCCGUCAAAAUGCUCUUCCAGCUUCCUCACUUCAUCAAUGUAGGCCUCCAUCAGCGGACUCUGAUAAUCUGUGUUAACUUGGCGGACGACAAGCUGUGAGUCACCCCUGACAAUAAGCUUCUUGAUCCCAAGUUCUGUCGUGAUCCUGAGUCCGGCAAGCAGGCCCUCAUAUUCUGCAGUAUUGUUUGUUGCUUGCUCCUUGGGAAAGUGCAUUUGGAUCAUGUACUUGAGGUGCUCUCCGGUGGGUGCGACAAGUAACACACCCGCACCGGCGCCUUGCAGCGAGAAAGCACCAUCAAAGUACAUGAUCCAUUCCCUGUUUGCUUCCUUGACGGGGAUCCUCGUCUCCGGAGUUUCUUCAUCUGGUGUUGGCGUCCACUCCACUAUGAAUUCUGCCAAUGCUCGGCUCUGGAUAGUUGAAGUACUUUCAAACUUGAGGCCAAAGCUUGACAGUUCCAGUGCCCACUCGACAAUCCUGCCUGUUGCUUCUGGAUUUUGCAAUAUCCUCUUCAACGGAAAGCGAGUGACAACUGUGAUCUGAUGUGCUUGAAAAUAAUGGCGCAGCUUCCUCGAGGCCAUGAGAAGGCCGAAAAGCAACUUUUGCACUCCAGAGUAUCUUGAUCUAGCCACCUGCAGAAGGGAGCUGACAAAAUAAACUGGGUGCUGCACCAUCUUCUUUUGUUUCUCUGCCUGCGGCUGCACAGACUCAUCCUUGUCGGGACCAGAGCUUGACGGAGAAGCCCCCUGCUUGUCGCUGGACUCGCUUGCCGCGGCCGCUGGCUCAUCAUCUGCCUCCCUCUCUGCUACUAACGCAGCACUAACCACUUGAUUGGUUGCUGCUAGAUACAGCAGCAACUUCUCUUGCGGCUUAGGUGCGACAAGUACUGGAGUGGAGGAUAGGUAUCUCUUCAAGUCCUGUAGCGCAGCCUCCGCUUCUGGAGUCCAUUUCAUUGGACCUGCCUUUUUCAAAAUUUUGAAAAACGGCAGGGCGCGCUCAGCAGACUUAGAGAUGAACCUACUGAGAGCAGCAACGCAGCCGGCAAGCCUUCGCACAUCCUUGAGGCGCUUCGGGGCUUCAAUCUGCUCGAUGGCCUUGAUCUUGUCGGGGUUGGCUUCGAUCCCCCUCUGGGACACGAAGAACCCGAGAAGCUUGCCGGAAGGAACUCCAAACACGCACUUCUCAGGGUUCAACUUGAGAUUGAUCUUGCGCAGAUUUGCAAAAGUCUCAUCCAAAUCUUGGAUCAAAGUUUCUCUAUCUUUGCUCUUGACCACUAUAUCAUCCAUGUAUGCUUCUACAUUCCUGUGCAGCUGUGGCUCAAAAGCAUGACUGACUAGUCUUGCAAACGUUGAACCAGCAUUCUUUAGUCUGAAAGGCAUUCAUACAAAGCAGUACGUGCCACAUGGAGUAAUGAAUGCGGUGUUCUCUUCAUCCUCUUUUGCCAUGAAAAUCUGAUGGUAUCCUGAGUAUGCAUCAAGAAAUGAAAGCAGAUCACAUCCUGCCGUGGAGUCGACAAUCCGGUCAAUGCGCGGCAAGGGAAAUGGAUCUUUGGGACAAGCUUUAUUAACAUCCGUGAAGUCAAUACAAAGCCUCCACUUCCCAUUCACCUUGCGCACAAUUACUGGAUUGGCUAACCACGUUGGAUGGAGUACUCCUCGGACGAGGCCUGUUGCUUCCAACUUCUUGAUCUCUUCUGCUAUGAACUCUUGGCGUUCCGCCGCUUGCUUCUUGACUCUCUACUUGACGGGCCGCGCGUGAGGACAGACGGCAAGGUGGUGCUCAAUUACUUUCCUGGGAACACCGGGGAUGUCAGAUGGUUGCCAUGCAAACACAUUGACAUUCGCCCGCAGGAAAGCAACGAGCGCGCUUUCCUAUUUAGGGUCAAGCGUGGCACUGAUGGUGAAGGUACCACUAGUGCCGUCCUCCUUGGCGGCCACUUUCUUGGUAUCAGGUGUCGCUAUCUUUGCCCUCUUGCACUUGCCGGUGGAGCUCGAUGGUGCGUCCUCGACGGUAGCACAGCACUCCGAAGAGGUGCGCUUGCCGGAGUGGGCAUCAGAGCUACUCUUGCCGGACUUGGUCUUCUUCUUCUUCCCCCCGGGAGCUUCAGCGGCAAGUGGUUUGUGCUCUGCUGCGGCUGCUGCUUCCUGGUAGAUCUUGUCGGUGCAGAUAAGCGCAUCCUUCUUGUCGCCUUGGACAGAAAUGACGCUUAUCGGACCGGGCAUCUUGACCACGUUGUAAGCAUAAUGAGAGGCUGCCAUGAACUUGGAAAGCGCUGGACGGCCGAGUAUCCCAUUGUAGGGCAACGGGAAAUCAGCAACAUCAAAUGUGACUCUCUCUGUCCUGAAGUUCAGUUUGCUGCCAAAUGUCACUGGUAGUGUAAUCUUCCCCUUGGGCUUGCUCCUUCCCGGGUUGAUUCCUUGAAAGGUACCAGUUUCUUCGAGCUCGCUGUCGGGGAUCUGGAGCUUGUUGAGCACCGCGGAAGAGAUCAGAUUUAGGCCGGCCCCACCGUCAACCAACAUCUUCGUGACCUUGAGGUUGCGGAUGGUUGGCGAAACCAACAUCGGCAAGCACCCGACCGCAGUGAUGCGAUCAGGGUGAUCCUCAACAUCAAAGACGAUGGGCGUACUGGACCACUUCAGGGGCUUGCGCGAUUCGACUGAUGGUUCAGCUGCAUUUACCUCCCGCACCCACUGCUUGAGUUGGCGGUGCGAGGUGUGCAGAGAAGCACCGCCGUCAACGCACAAAACCUCUGUUGCCUUCUGAAACUCUUGCUCGUCGGUCUCAUCCUCGUCCAUCUCAUCAUCCUCAUCUUCAUCUUCGUCCUUGUCACGGCCACGGGGAGGUCUGUCUCCUUGCCGCUGCUUGGCCUUGCCGCGGCGCCCUCCCCGGGCGGGACGCUUCUUGCCGGAUCCUCCGCCACCUUCCUGGGCCUUCUCCUUGUCGCGACGCUCGUAUUCAGCUUUCUGUAGUUCUGCCAUUUGCUCAACCUUCUUGCAUGCUUGGAGGUCAUGGCCCUUGGUGCGAUGGAUCUUGCAGUACUGCUUGCCGGAACAAUCCUGCUUGUCGGCGGCCACCACAGCCUCGCCGGAGUCACCAGCUUUGGCCUUGUCGGCGCCGCCUCCGUUGCCGGACUGCUCAACAACUAGCACAUCCUUAGCCUUUCUCUUUCUAUUAUUCCGCCUCCGGUUCUUCUUUGCCGGAGGGACGUCCUCAUUGUCCGAUCCUUCUGCUCCUGCAUUCUCUCCGGGAAGUUUCCUCCCCUCUUCAGCUCGUGCACACUUGUCAGCCAGAGCAUAUAGCUCGCUGACAUCUCUAAUCUUGCACAUCGCCAUCUCCUCCCUCAUCCUGCGGUUACGCACGUUCUGAUGGAAUGCGCUGAUAACCGCGGCAGGGUGGACGUCUGGGAUGUUGCGCUGCACCUGGCUGAAUCUCUGUAUGUACUUGCGCAGGGGUUCUCCUUCUUUCUGGGCGAGCAGAUGAAGAUUGCUCUCCUGACCAUGGGGUUUGUGGCCGCCUGUGAAGGCGCCGACAAACUGAUGGCACAGGUCCGCCCACGAAGAGAUGGAGUUGUCCGGCAAGUGCAUGAGCCAAGAUCUGACGUUGGGCUUGAGCACCAGCGGGAAGUAGUUGGCGAGGAUCUUCUCGUCGCGCCCCCCGGCAGCCUGCACCGCGAUGGUGUAGACGCUGAGGAACUCUGAUGGAUGUAUCCUGCCAUCGUACUUCUCGGGUAUGUCCGGCUUGAAGUUCUUGGUACUGGGCCACUGGACUUGCCGCAGCUCACGGGUGAACGCAGGGUAACCUGCCGCGUACGGCAAGUCGCCUGGUUCCCCUGGCGCAUGCAUAUCGACAGUGGGCCCAGCGCACUGGUCAGAUUAAUGUCGCGCUUCUCUUCUGCGCUCGAUGCGAGUACGAGCGUCUCUGUGUCGUCGUUCUUGGAGAACUUGGCGUUGAUCGCGGCGAGCUCGCGGGUCCGACGACGCGGUGGAGUCGGUGUCGAGGUUGGAACGGCGAGUUGGCGAUCAUGGCCUUCGGGGCGGGGAGUGCACGGUGGUGGCACCCCCAGCGGUCUUGUCGGUGUCGGCUUGCGCCCGGGCGUCUUGCCGGGGCUUUCGAUGUGCUCGGUUGCCGGGGCUUGUCGCCGUUGGCGAAGCCGAUGAGGCUUUGGAUGGUGAUCCUCCAGUCGUCGAUCUUGUCUGGCGCUGGAGGGUAAUCUAGAAGCAGCUGGGCUCGGGCCAGCGCUUCCUCUGGAGUCUUGGGCGGCGGUGGCGAGCGACGCGAGGUGCGGGAUAUGCUCAAACUUCUAACAGUGUUAGAAGGAGCAACAUCUCGCCCAGGCGACCGUACUUCGCUCGUGCCAGCGUGUUGACGUGUAUGUUGGCCUUGAGCGUCCCGCGAUCCGCCGGCUUGGCCUUGUUCCAACACGAGCACGGUGCUAGGAGUACCGUGGCAUUGCCGAUCUUGCACCUCCUGGGAGGGGUACGGUGGAUGUACAGACGCUGAAGCUUGCGGGGCCUUGUCCUCGGACCUGGUGACGAUGUGAGUCCCCCCGUCGGCGCCCGCUCCUCCGCCGGCGUCCACCCCACCACCCGUUUGCUCCGGUGGCGGUAGGAUAGUCGCAAACGGAGUGGCCACCUCCGAAGCCUUCUUCUUCGGUGGCAUGUCGAUGAAGAUGUUGAUGUAGCGCGCAGAUGCCGGAUCAGGUACGCACAACCUCGACGCCCACCUACCUGGCGCGCCAAAGAUGUCGUGGGAAACGAACACCUAUGGGGCAGGGCCCCUUUUCGGUCCAGCAAGGGAGCGGAGGGCGCACGAAGAGCAGAUCGAGGCGGAGCACGCGGGGGAAUUUUACCCAGCUUCGGAGCUCUCCGGAGAGAUAAAACUCCUACUGCUGCUUUGUGUUUCUAUUCUGUUCUUGCUCAAGAGCGUGGGUGUGUUGUAGUUUUGAAUGUGUCGAACCCCUUCUACGUGUGCAUGGGCCUCCUUUUUAUAGUCUAAAGGGGUCAGCGACAGGUGGCAGCGUAGAGAGAGGGGUAAAAAAGUAAAAACGCGGGUUGGUACAACCGCUAUCAACAGUGGCCCCUACCUAACUCUGACGGCAGGGGACAAGGGCAUUUAAUGCCCGUCCGGUCGCCCAAACAGUGCAGGAAGCGACCGUUAGGGGCGCCACCGAUCGCCAUGAUGGCCUCCUAGUCAUCUUCACUUGCCACCUCGCACCGCUUGGCUGCACAGCUACCCGCCACGUGCACCGGGAGCGAUCCUGCGGCGACACGUCGUCGGAUGCGCUGGAGCGUGGGCGCAGAGUUGUGGCUUCGCUGUAGCAAGCGCCUUGCCGCGGUCACUAUCUUGUCGCACCCGCAAGCUUGCCGCUCGCCGGGUCUUGGUUGGCCUUCCCGGCAAGCUCCUCUUGCCGGGGUCUUGUCCUUCCCGGCAAGCUUCUCUUGUCGGGGCUUCGUCUUCACAGUUAACACUUUGUUCUUGAAUGGCAGUAAAUAGGAAUGACGAAGGAUCUUGGCGGACGCCCGGCAAGCCUUGCCGCAGGACGCUGCGACUGCCCGUGCACAAGUUCGGGGUACUAAGGUACCCCUACUUUAGUACACCGACACCUCCAAACUUUAUGUGGCACUGCAAAAUAUUUGUGGCUCUGUCUAAGAUUGCCAAGGAAUUAAAAGGGGAACUUAACAUAUUUUUCCUAAGUAAAUAGUGUGCCCAAAAUAUUCUCUUAACCAUCUCUGUUUUUUUUAAUAAAAAAAGGCGAAUAAGAACUCGCCCGGGCCUCGGCCUACUCCCACUUACCAGCCCACCUAAGCCGGCCCACUCCCCCGCUCCCAUGGCCUAUAGGCCAUGCUCAACCGAACCCUAACCCCGCACGAUCCCCCCACUCCCCACUUCUCUCCCCUCCCGAUCCAAUCUGGAUCGGACCGAAACUGGCGCCCCGACGCCAACCGCCGUCGCUGGAGGCAUCCCCGACUCCACGCUGGGCCACCCCAUCACCUGACCUCCUCCCCGUCGUCGCUCGUCACUCGCUGGACCGCCUCGUCCCCACCAACGCCGCCCCGAGCCCAACGUCCCUGUCGUCGUCGCCGUCGGCAUCGCCCCGAUGUCGCCACCACCCGACGCCGGCGCCCUCGACAUCGCCACCCCGAGCCCACUGCCACCCCUACGCUCCACUGUGAGCCCCUCGCCGAUUCCCCCUCCUUCCUGUCAUCGUAGGUGGCCGCAUGCGCUGUUGGCCACCGUGGCCGCGCUCCGGCCGUUCCCCAUCCGUGUGCUAGCCUCGCCUUCCCCGGCUGCGGCCACCAGCCUCCUCGUCGCGCUCCCGCCUUCGCCCACACCUGCCCCUGUACGCCCAGCCGCUGCUGCUCGCCGGAUCCGCAUGUUCGCCCCCUAGCUUCGUCUCCGGCCGUCGAGUCCGCACCCGAUGCCGGCGCCCCAGCGCGUCCAUGCGCCCGUACGGGCGGGCGCCCACGCCCAUGCCCCUCCGCCCGUUAGCCCGCCCCGCUAAGGCCUGGGCACCUAACCAAGGGGCCCCACGCCCCUGUGUAAUAAAAAAGAUUUAAAAAAAAUAAAUAUAAAUAUAAUUAGUUAAUUAGUUAAUUAAUUGUAUAGUUAAUUAACUAACUUAAUUAACCUUGCUUAGUUAGCCUAAUGAACUAGUUUAGUUAAUUUAAAUCUGUUAGAUAGGUCUAUGAGAGAACGACCCCACAUGUCAGUUUAACCAGUCAACACUCUUUUGACUGCUGACAUCAUGAUGACGUCAGGCUGACAUCAUAAUUCCAAUUUUGAAUUAAUAAUAAUUUCAGAAUAUUAUUAAAACUUUGAAAAAUCAUAGAAAAUAAACCGUAUCUCGGAUGGAAGUUGCUUGGAACGACGAGACAAAUCCGAAUGCGCAGUUCGUUCAUCUGUCACGCGUCCCUAGCAUAGCAAACGUUGAACUUUUCCCCUCCGGUUCAUCUGUCUGAUAGACGUCCGGAACCGGGAAAACUUUCCCGGAUGUUUCCCCCUUCGCCAGUAUCACCUAGCACCUCGUUAGAACACUUCUAGCCCCGCUUAUUGUCUUGUUAUGCAUAUGUUUGCGUGUAUUUACUGUUUCUUCCCCCUCUUCUUCUCCGGUAGACCUCGAGACCGCUGAUGAUGCCCCUGUGAUCGACUACGUCGACGACGACCCUCCUUGUUUGAGCAACCAGGCAAGCCCACCCUUUGAUCAUCCCGAUAUCGCCCAUUCCAUUCUCUCAUGCUUGCACUAGAUUUUGCUACUGUAUUUGACUGCUCCUAUUCUGAUGCAUAGCCUGCUUUUGUACCUGCUAUUGUAACUUACCUGCUUAUCCUAAAUUUCUUAGUACAGGUUGGCUAGUGAUCCAUCAGUGACCCCCACCUUGUCUUUGUUGCCCCUGCUUCAUCAUCGACGACUCGAUCAACGUGAUCGACGACCGGAGCCUGACACCUCACAUCACAUCACGCCCCUUUUUCUUGCUCGACUCUGCAGAGUUACCAUCGAGUGCCGAGGGUGGAACCUCAUACAUCGCUCCUGAUGAGAUCUCUGUAGUGUAGCUAUUCGGUCGUGGUCAUCGAGGGUGGUUCCUCCUUCACCAUUCCUAAUACGGCUCUGUCGUGCAACACCUCAAGUGUGAACCUCGAGGGUGGUUCCUCUUACGUUCACCUUGAUGAUUACAUCAACUGGAAUCCACCGGGGGUGAUUCCUCGGAUUUUCCCCUUGAUGUCUGGACACAUAGUUACCUUGAUACUUGAGACCGUUGUGAAAGCCGGGCGAGCCCGGAGAGCACCCGUGCGAUGUGACGGUGGCGGCUGGCUGUUUAGCGGUAUCACCCGGGAGGGGUGAUAGCUCCGGACUUGUCCCGACAUCCGUCACUUCUUUUAAUAAUGCACUAACACGUUUGUGUAUUUGUUCUGAGUUGGCCUCUGGCCUUUACGCACUAACCACCACGCGAGAAUAGUUAUGGGCCUCGACGUUGCAGUAUCUUUCGAAGCUUUGUCAGACGUCCAGUUCAGCAUUGUGGCCGGGCCGGAUCGUGCCAUCCACUUCACCGGUGGUGCUGGUAUCCCCUUGUGCACAACGACCCGGAGUGCAAUGGGCGAUGGGCCCAGACCCCGGAGUGCUUAGGAUGUAGACCGGCGGGGACCUCUCUACUGAGCCUAGGUAGGGCUGCGACGUGUUGAUCUUCCGAGGCUGGGCAUUGACCCCAGAAAGGUGUGUCCGGCCAGAGUGAUCGAGCGUGUUGGGUAACGUGGUGCGCCCCUGCAGGGAAGAUUAUCUAUUAAUAGCCGUGUCCAUGGUAACGUACCUUCAGACUUAUAUCUUGAUCUUAUACAACUACAAAUGGAUACUUGAGAUAUGUGGCUCCGGGAUUGCUUUCUCGCAGGGAGUCGAGGAAGGAUCUCUGGGCGUUGUUGUUAAAACAUGCUUGUUAAUUAAACUGCUAUUCUUUACUCUUCUACAUGCUGCAAGAUGCUUGGAGCUGCUUGAAGAUGCUAGUCUUUGUUUGGCUAGGCCUUCCCCUCUAUUCUGGCAUUCUGCAAUUCAGUCCACAGAUACAACCCUUCCAUUUGAUACCAAUGCAUACUUAGUAUAGAUCUGAUGCUUGCGAGUACUUUGGAUGUGUACUCGCGGUUGCUUUGCUACCCCUUUUCCCCCUUCUUUCUUCUUUCCGGUUGACGCAACCAUAUGGUGGAUCCUUGGAGCCAGAUGCCACCGCCGAUGGAUGCUAGUACGUGAAGAUCGCCGACGACCAGGAGUAGUUAGGAGGUCCUAGGCAGGAGGCCUUGCCUCUUCGAUCGUUGUUGCUUUUGUGCUAGCCUUCUUAAGGCAUCCUUAUUUAACUUAUGUCUGUACUCAGCUAUUGUUGCUUCCGCUAACUCUUGUGUAUCGAGCUAUGUAUUCGAGCUCUCGAGGCCCCUGGCUUGUAAUAUAAAGCUUGUAUUAUUUUGAUUUGUGUCUAGAGUUGUGUUGUGAUAUCUUCCCGUGAGUCCCUGAUCUUGAUCGUACAUAUUGGCGUGCAUGAUUAGUGUACGAUUGAAUCAGGGGCGUCACACAAGCGGUACUACUGCCCCACCCAGUUUCAGCAUUUCGAGUUUCACCGUUUUGCCCAUAACUUCCACAUCCGGAGUCCGAUUUUUGCAUUUUUUAGCUCGUUGAGUAGCUAUUGACAUCCCCCAUCCAUCUAUAUAGGUUCCAACACCAUUUGACUCCAUCAAAUUUUCCAAAAUUUGGAAAGUUUGCCUAGGCCGUCCACCAUAUCAUCUGCAUAGCCACCACCGACCACCGCAACCUAACCCAUUUUGUUCCCCUUAGCAUUUGAGGUUGUUUGAGUUGUGGCUUGUGUCUCCUAAGGUGUUUCGGCUACUUAGGGAUGGUAACUUCAACUCCAACACGUGUAUAGCCCAUCAUUCCACUUCCGCAUUGCCGAGUGCAAACCACCACCUCUUUCCACUACCACCAUUUGACAUUUACCUUUGUAGAUUUUGAGUUUGCGAUUUUUCCGUUUCCUAGGGUGUUUUGGCUAACUAGGAAUGGGUCGACAUCAGCAACAUCGCCUCUCAUCAUCGCCAAGGACGGUAACCUCGAUGACACCAUUGUAUAUUCCCUUGCCAUUGCAUUGAUAACCCCUAGCCCAUUUUGCGUCACUUGCCUAUCGAGACUAGCCGUUUGAGUAUUGCCGGCAACGUGACUUGUGCACAUUAGUGAUCAUACUUCCCAUAGCAUCAUACCAUAUCAUCGUGGUGCAUAUAUUGGUAGCAUAUCUUGCGUCACAAGUUUGUUGCCGCAUAUACACAAUUGCUAUCUUGGUUUGUGCAUUAUGCAGAAGUGGCCAUACAAAAAAGAGAAAUAAAGCUUUUAAGCAAAAGAAAGAGAGAAAAGAAGCUUGUAAGCAAGUGCCAUAGCAUCAUACCAUAUUGCACAUAAGAUUGUCAUAUCCGAUCAUCUUGGAUCAUCUUGAGAGAACAUCGGGAACCAUACAUACAUAGCAUACUUGGGAUAGAAAGUAUAUCCAUUUGGCAUCUUGUAGGUUGUGCACAAGUGUCCUAUCCGCCUAUUGAGCAAUCGUGCUAGCGUCUCUCUUGAGUUGUGCAACACGAGCGUUUUCUGUGGAUUCCACAUUUUGUGCUCAUUGCUUGGUUGCACGACCCCAUUUAUCUAUCCGUGUGUGUGUUUCCGUGUGUCAUUCUUUGCUAUUGGUCUACUUGUUUCACUUGCAAAUUUGUGAAUCUCUUUCAACAUUAUUGACUCUUGCUAACAUUUUGCAUCAAAUUUUUGUGCCACUAUCCUCACCGAGCUCCACCAUAAGCUUUACUUGAUAGGUGUGAGUGAACAAGUCCGGUACCAAUUCCACUAUUCUUUCAUUUCACAUUGAGUUAAACGGGAUACAUCCUCAACUUUGGGAAAGGUAACUUCCUAUUGUUUAUCUCAUUUCCUACUGGCAUUUCACCUUCGGUCUACAACAACAACGACGAGUUCGAUGCCACGAACAACUCCAACGACGCCAAGAUGCAAGCUCAAAUGGAGGAGAUCAAAGCCCUCAUCAAGUCCUACAAGCAAUCUUCCUCAUCUUCGAGAAGACACUCACGUGCACAUGUUUCCGAGCUACCAUCUCCGGUAAGAUCACAUCAGCAUCGACACCAUCACCAACAAGAACGUGAAGGUCAAGAGCUCAACACCAACUACCGCUCAACGACUUCACCAUCUCCCUUGGCAUCUUCGCCAAGCGACUUCAAGGCAUCUUUGAGUACGGAUAUACGGCAUCUUCGCCAACAAGAACCUCAAGGCUACGCUCAAGAGAAGCUCCCCAAGCUCAAGUCCACGACUUCCAUGAGCUACUACGACCUCGACACCGACCACAAGAUUCCUUUCUAUGGAACUCAAGAACCCGAGGAGUACCUCGAGUGGGAGCGUUUGAUGGACGACUACCUCAAGCUACAUCAAGUCCCUUCCGAAGAUCAAGUGAAGUGCGCCACAAGAAACUUCCACGACUACGCCUCGACAUGGUGGCUUCACACACCUUCGGAGAGCUACGAGAUGAGUUAGCCCAAGACGAAGAGAGCUUUGCAGCGAGAGCUCGUGCCUCCAACCUACAUGGAACAACUUCGACGCCAAUUGGAGAACACCAUCCAAGGAUCCAAGUCCAUCGACGCGUACUUCAAGGAGAUGAAGAAUGCCUUGCGACGAGACGGCGUGGAUGACCCCAUUUCGAUGAAGUUCCACUUCAUGAUGCGAUUGAACAACGACAUCUCCAAGACUAUCUUCCUCGAGAACUACAAGUCCCUGGACAACUACUACAUUGGUGCUCUCAAGGCGGAACAAGAACUCAUGAAAGCCAAGGCUUCUCCACCCCAAGCACACUUCGCGGCGACCAAGCUGUACGACAAGCAUGAGGCUAGUACCACCAUGAUGUCCAAGCCCGACGAGCUCCAAGACAAUGCUCCCAAGUUCGACUUCACCGCCAUCCCUCUUUGUGGCAUUGAUGACGCCGAGUCUACCUUGACUCUUUUUCAAGACGGUGCGGCGACGAGUACGACUACGGAGACCUUCAAGGACCAAGCUUUGGAGGCGAGCGACAAGGUGGCGAGCAAGGAUGGUGUUUCCAUCUUUGGAGGCGAGAGUGAUGAUGUGCCAUCUUCGUCCUUCAUCCACGGCGACGAUGACGAGAUGAUCGAGCAUGGGAUUUUCCCUUCGGUCAUGGAGGAGAGUGAUGAUGUGCCAUCUUCGGCCUUCAUCCACGGAGACGACGACGAGAUGGUUGAGCAUGGGAUUCUCCCUUCGACCACGGUGACGUAUGAUGACUUGAGUGACUUUUGCCACCAUAUUGAGAGUGAGAGUGACUUCACCACUAGCCCCAUAUAUGACGAGUUGCCCCAAUUCCUAUGUGAGGAGAGCCACAACCCCCACCACUUGAGUGAGAUGAGUGACUCCACCAUAUGCGACUUUGAGUGCACCUAUUUUGAGGGAGUGAGUGAACCACCACAUAGAGAGAGUGUGAUAGUUGAUAGGUCUCGUGAGGCCAUUUGCAUUUCUAACAACUUGACCUCUACCUCUAUUGUGUCUUCUCAUUUGGUGCUAGGUCCCAUUUAUGAUGACGCGCCGAUCCUCGACGACUUCGUCCUCCCUUUGGACAAGACGAUGGCCAUGGUGGAAUAUGAUGCACCCCCCACAUGGUUCCAUCAAGAUGAAGAUGACCACCAUUUGGUCUUUCCCACCUCACCUACACCACUUGAGUGGAAUGAAAAAGGUAACAUAGGUGAAGGUGAUGCUCUAGUCCCACUAGUGGACAUUCUUGACAUUGAUUGCUUGCAUGAUGUUGAUCCACCUAGUACCAUGCUUCAUGCUAGUAUGAUUUCCCCAUGUGAUGAUUUGGCCAUUUAUGAUGAGUAUGAUGAUUCUCAUGUGGAGUCUCUUAGUUGUGAUGUCAUGUUACAUAGGAUUUCUUGUGACAAUUCUUUAGGUCACAUCAUGUUUGAUAAUCCGCUUGACUUGUCGUAUGCUAUGCAUGACAUUCACCAUAUGUCAUAUUUGCAAUCUCAUUGUAGUGACUAUGCAUAUGCCAUUCAAAUUAACCCAAUUUGCACUUAUGGCAUAGAUGACAAGCCCAUGGUUAUUGGGAUUUGUUUUUCUUGUGAUGAUAUUGAUAUGGUCCCUUUGCAUCAUUUAUCUCAUAUGCCAUGUCAUGCCCACCUAGCUUCGGAUAUGCAUUGUUUUGGAUGUUGUCCAUUUUCUCCAUAUGAUGUUUCCAAUCUUGCUCAUGAGGAGACCCCCAUAGUUCCCUCAUACAUGUUAGGAGAUUUUGAUCCAUCCCAUCCAUUGCAUGAUCCCAACAAUUGUGUGCACCAUAUGCUCCCCAUGAAUAAACAUGCUAUUGAUGUGCCAUAUACUUGCAUUCUCAAUUUGUGUCCCCAUCGUGUCAUACAUAAUAACUAUUCUUUCAUGAUGGAUGACAUGUUCUUAUACCAUGCAUCAAAUUUCGUUGAGCGAUGCUUAUCUUGUGCUAACUCACACGUGCACAUACACAUCAUGAUGGAUGAUGUGUACAUUUACCACACACACAAUUUAUUUGGUUUGUGUCUCUUUUGUGUAGGUACCCAGGAAUACUUGUCAACCUCGCAAUCCCACGAGUUGACAAAACGAGCUCUAGAGAGCAACGAUGAUUUGGGAUCCCAUGGAUUGUCUUUCCCACCGCUCUCUUCGCGCAAAGACUUAGCGCAUUUCUUCUACAUGGCCCUCACUUGGCUAUGGGUUGUUUUCCAUUACAUAUUAUAUGCCCAUCUUGCCAUGUUCACUUUGCAUGAUAUGCCCAUUCCCAUGCAUUUGUGACCCAUACUUUGCUUUACACAUGAUGAUUGACUCUCAUACUUUUAUGUGUAUUUGCAAGCUUGGUGGAGAUAUUGCUUGUUGUUUCCCUAUUCCAUUUUUGACCCACCCCUAUGAUGAUACUAUGAUCUUGCUUUGUGUUCGUGCUUGUGAUAUGUCAUGUGCAUUGUCUAUCCCUAUUAUUUGCUCACAUGACAUGAUUGCCAUGAUUUACUCUGGUGUGUUGCAUCUUCGCUCCACUAGUUUGCACCACAUGAUUGAUAUGCUUGCUUGUAUUGCAUCCCCCAUGAUUCAUACUUGCUCAUUUCAUGCGAUUGAUGACAACCAUUUCCAUACUUUGCACGUGAUUGCUAUAGCUUCUUGUCACAUAUCUACAUAUGUUGCCUCUCUCAUGCUAGAUCACUUGCCAUGUAUUUAGUGCAACAAUGCUCUUAUUCUUGCUCAUGAGAUUGCCCCCAUAGCAUUCUCACAUAUGAUUGGAGUUGACAUAAUUCUUGUGAAGCAUGCUUGCCUUCCUUCUUUGCACCAUAUGCCUAGUGCCAUGAAUAUUGCCAUUGUUGCAUCAUAUUGUUCAUGCACUUGUGCUACUAAAGGUUAUGUGCAAGAGAUGAGAACCAUCAUGAUGGAUGAUGUGUUUCUCUACCAUGCGCAUAUACUCUUUGUUUUGUUGUGUGCAUGUGUAGGAUACUUGGACUUCGUCUCGACUUCCACUUCAUGUGAGUUGACCAUUCAAGCUCUUAAGAGCGAGCCUCACACAUUCUACCACUACUCGCUUCUACACCGCAUUUGCUUGCGCUUCGGCAUUGUGAAGAAUGCACAAGGACAUGCCUUCAAGGUGACAUCUUUCUUGAGCAUGGAUAUUGCGGAUCAUACUACUUGUGUAGCUUGCACUGUGAGACUUAUUGGUCAUCUUGGACCACUUGAUUGCGCACUUGCUAGAGAUCUUGCUUUGACUUGCCAUUUUCACAUUCCCAUGCAUCAUGAUAUAUAUGCCUUGUGUGUUGCAUCCAAUUCUUGGAUUACUAUCACAACCUAGCUAGUCCAUGCAUUAGAGUGUUGCAUCAUGUCUACCUUUUAUCAGAAACUUGAAUUGGGGAAGACAGAACCCCCCAGAACCCCUCUGAAUUCAACUAGUGCUUACUAAAAAUAUUUUCAAUGAACCUGAAAUGCCCUUCUAAAAAGUUCACCCUCUUUGUCUUGGGUUAGAACCUCUGGCAAAAUUGGUGCACAAUUUUCUAGGUCAACAAAAGGCCAUUGAAUUAAAUCAUAUCUACUUUGAGUUUGGGCAUUUAAACUAUAUAAAAUAUUUCAAAUGCUCAAAUAACUCCAAACUAAAAUGUUCCAUACUGGAUAUAUUCCAACUAGGGACCAUGUGCAGUUUGGUGAUUUUUGGAGUUGCCUAAGUAUUUUUAGAAAUGCAACAAACUUACAGAAACAAUUAAAAACAGAAACAAAUGGGAAAAACCCUUACCUGGCCGAACCAAGCCCCAGCCCAGCUGGCCGGCCCAGCACUGUGCUGGCCCAUGCCAGCCAGCUGCUUCGCCGUCGCCACGCAGGCACAGAGCUGACGCCGGCAAGCGUGAGCUCGCAACGGCGCCAGCUGCUUGCCGCCCGCGCCCCCGAGCACCUGGGUGAGCUCCACGUCGCCGCCCCGACCCCGUGGACACCUCAUUCGCCCCCUGCCUCUCUCCCUCGCUCUCCCGCACCAUGGCCGACGCACCCGCCGCCGCACCCCCGACGUAGUCGCGCCCUCCGUCGUCCUCGUGCUGCACCACCGUGUCCCUUCGCUCCGCCGUCAUCGACUACAUCGAGUAGGCCGAGCCCCGAGCGCUCGCUGGCCCUGUUUCAUCUUCUUCGAGCUCGUCUUCACCGAGCACCGCCACAGAUCCCCUUCGCCGUCGCCGCCGUACCAGCUCGUCCCCGACCUUGCCGACCACUCCGUUGUGACCGCCGUGAGCUCAGCCACCUCCCCAUCCUCCCCGUUUGCCUUCUCGUGCACCGUAGCAACCGCAUGGAGCUUCAUCGCACGCACCACCGACGAGCUCGUCGCCGACGUGCCUCCGGCCAUCCACCGUCCACACCACGGUGUCUAACAUGCUCACCGCAUCGUGUAGAGUCUAACGCCCCACUCCACGCGCCUCGCCGUGCCCCGUAGCCAUGGGUCCAUUUUCAUCCGACUCCGGCGACCGCCGUGGUCGUCGCCGGCGACGUUCCUGGCCACCUCGACCUCAACCACCACCACCAAACGCCGCGACUUGUUCCCGGCUACACGUAGAUGGUCUCCGUCGUCCAUUUGGUCGCCAGAACAUGCUAACCCACUUCCUCCGCCGCGUCUGGCCUCGCCGGCGGCUAGACACCGGCAUGUUUGACCCGUUGACAUUCACUGGGUGGGCCAGGUUGACUCCCCUGAGUCUAUGACAAGUGCCCCCCCCUCUGCUAAUUAACCUAGUUUAGCUCUUACUAAAAUCAGUUAGUUUAAAUAAGUGCUGACAUGCGGGACCCACUGGUCAGUUUGACCUGAACGACCCCUUUGACCACUGACGUCACCCUGAUGCACUGCUGACGCAAUAACCAAUUUCUGGAUUUAUUGUUAUAUAGGAAAUUCCAGAAAUUGUUGCAAACUUCAAAAAUUCAUAGAAAUUAAUCUGUAACUCCAAAUGCAAAGAUUUAUAUAUGAAUUUUGAUCAGAAAAAUUCAAUCUAUCCAUUGGUAAUGGUUUCAUGCAUGUCAGAACAAGUUAACCUUGCUGUUUAAUCAAAACAAGUUAAUGCACUAAUAUGACUAUGUUAAAUGAACUACCAUUUGCAUCUUUGAUUCAAAUGAGUUCAUACCUUUCUGUUCUAGCUUGCAUUAGGCCAGGACACAUUCAUGUUGCCAUGUCAUAGCAUGCAUCAUAUUGUUGUAUAUCGUCAUGUGUUGUUCAUGUUCGGUGUGUUUUCGUGAUAGGUUCUGCCUCCGAGGAUAACCCCGAAUAUCCGUCUGAAGGGCUGUAUCCUACUACCACUACAUCAGGCAAGCAACCCAUUGAUCAUUCCGAUACAAACCCAUGUUCUUGCCUCUGCUCUUGUUUACUGCAUUAAGACAAUGCGAUUCAAACUUUUGUGUGUUGUGGUAGUUGAACCCACUUCCUUUGCAUGACCUGUCAUUGCCACAGUAACUAGAUGAAACUCAGUAGCAUGUGUAGGAGUUGAUUGAGCCAUAUCUGUGUUACCUACCAUGCUAUGCUUGCUAUGCUUAGAGUUGUGUCAGGUCUGGCUCAUUGGGAUGAUGAACUAGAGUGAAAGGUUGUGUCGGUAAUGAAGUGUUGAACACGAUUUGGUAAAGGUAUCGAUGAGAGGCCAUGUAGGAGUACAUGGUGGGUUGUUUCAUUGAGGCCGUCCUUAAGCACUGAGAUCUGUGUGUGUGAUUUAAGAUUCAGCUACUACCACGCAUUGGGCCCGAAACCAAUGGACCCUCUCGACUUAUUAACCACUCUUGUCCUCUGUCCGGGAGUUGCAAGUAGUUUUUGGUGUUUGUAGCAUGAUGGGGGCCGCACGCAGUGCUGACCUUAGGGGUGGGUUGGGUUGCGGUAGGCAUGUGGCACGGUGUAUCGAUUCGCCCGUUUGGUGUCUCGGGAACCAUGUUCACAUCAUUCGGGGCCGUUAGUGGAAACCUCGGCCGGACUCCCUGCGGAUGGAACCCGAAUAGGCGAUAAACCUGGACUAGGGACUCGUGUGUUUAGUCAGGCCGUGGCCGACACCCUCGCUGGGCUUCCGCUUGAGGCUUGCCGAGUACACGUCAUGUAGCGGUGAUAAGUGGUGAGAGCGUGUGUGAAGAAGUACACCCCUGCAGGGUAUAAAACUAUUCGAAUAGCCGCGUCCGCGGUAAAGGACUACUUGGUCACCUAUGCAGUUCAUAGACAAGUAAAUGGAUACUUCUAAAAGCCUCAAGUUAAGUGUGAGUACCGAGGAUGGCCCUCUCGUAGGUUGACAAGAGAGGAUCCUCGGUGGAGUAUUGUGUUGGUGAGUAGUGGACUCGUGUGCGACAAAUGUUUUGCAAGUUGUGUCUAUCGUAGAAUAGCUUAGCCAAGAGUCAAAGCUGGCUUGCUGCAAUAACUCCACUACCUUCUUGAGAAUGUGCAUGUAUGAUAGGAUUCUGUUGUAAGACUUGCUGAGUACCUCUGUACUCAUGUUUGCUUAAAUGUUUUCAGACGACAACACCAACCCCUCCGAUGGGUUCUACGUAGACCUCGACGUUGACGAGUGACUAACCACCCAAGUGGUGAUCCGAGACUUGUGAAGGGCCGAUGUAGAUAGAAAGGCUUCGUCAAGCCCUCUUUCUUUCUAGUGUCUGUACUCAGACUAGUUGCUUCCGCAUGUGCUUGUAUGCUUGUAUGACUUGAGUCUCAGGUCAUGUGACCCCUAUCUGUAUGAACAUGUUAUGUAUGGCUCCUUGGAGCCACUUAAAUAAAGUACUUUGAGUUGUAGAGUUUUGUUGUGAUGCCAUGUUGUAUGUACUCAUAUCGGGCAUAUUGUGUGUAUGUUUGAAAUGCUUGGUAUGAGUGGGAUCCGACAAUCUAGUUGUUUAUCCUUGGCAGCCUCUCAUAUGGGGAAAUGUAGUCUAGUGCUUCCUGAGCGAUAGUAGUCCGCUACAGCCCGGUUCACCGGAGUCCUGCUAGCCCAGUACUACAGCUCUGGACACUUGACUGGACAGCAUGUGUUUCACUUCGUUCCUGUGUCUGUCCCUUUGCGGAAAUGUCACGCGGUGGCAUUCGGAGUCCUGCCUAGCCUGCUACAGCCCGGGUUACUGUUGGGAAACGUAGUAAUUUCAAAAUUUUCCUACGCACACACAAGAUCAUGGUGAUGGCAUAGCAACGAGAGGGGAGAGUGUUCGUCCACGUACCCUCGUAGACCGUAAGCGGAAGCGUUAGCACAACGCGGUUGAUGUAGUCGUACGUCUUCACGAUCCGACUAAUCCAAGCACUGAACGUACGUGGCCUCCGAGUUCAGCACACGUUCAGCUCGAUGAUGAUCUCCGGCCUCCAAUCCAGCGAAGCUCCGGAGAUGAGUUCCGUCAGCACGACAGCAUGGUGACGAUGAUGAUGUUCUACCUGCGCAGGGCUUCGCCUAAAAUCCGCGACGAUAUGACUGAGGUGGAAUAUGGUGGAGGGGGGCACCGCACACGGCUAAGGAACGAUCCAUAGAUCAACUUGUGUGUCUAUGGGGUGCCCCCCCCCCCCCGCCCCUGUAUAUAAAGGAGAAAGGGGGAGGCCGGCCGGCCCCUUGGGCGCGCCAAGGGAGGAGGAAUNNNNNNNNNNNNNNNNNNNNNNNNNNNNNNNNNNNNNNNNNNNNNNNNNNNNNNNNNNNNNNNNNNNNNNNNNNNNNNNNNNNNNNNNNNNNNNNNNNNNNNNNNNNNNNNNNNNNNNNNNNNNNNNNNNNNNNNNNNNNNNNNNNNNNNNNNNNNNNNNNNNNNNNNNNNNNNNNNNNNNNNNNNNNNNNNNNNNNNNNNNNNNNNNNNNNNNNNNNNNNNNNNNNNNNNNNNNNNNNNNNNNNNNNNNNNNNNNNNNNNNNNNNNNNNNNNNNNNNNNNNNNNNNNNNNNNNNNNNNNNNNNNNNNNNNNNNNNNNNNNNNNNNNNNNNNNNNNNNNNNNNNNNNNNNNNNNNNNNUCCGGUUUUCUCCGAAAUCACCCGGAACAAUUUCGGUGUCCGAAUAUAGUCGUCCAAUAUAUCAAUCUUUAUGACUCGACCAUUUCGAGAUUCCUCGUCAUGUCCGUGAUGACAUCCGGGACUCCGAACAAACUUCGGUACAUCAAAACUUAUAAACUCAUAAUAAAACUGUCAUCGUAACGUUAAGCGUGCGGACCCUACGGGUUCGAGAACUAUGUAGACAUGACCUAGAACCAUUCUUGGUCAAUAACCAAUAGCGGGACCUAGAUGCCCAUAUUGGUUCCUACAUAUUCUACGAAGAUCUUUAUCGGUCAAACCGCAUAACAACAUACGUUGUUCCCUUUGUCAUCGAUAUGUUACUUGCCCGAGAUUUGAUCGUCGGUAUCCAAUACCUAGUGCAAUCUCGUUACUGGCAAGUCUCUUUACUCGUUCCGUAAUACAUCAUCUCAUAACUAACUUAUUAGUUACAAUGCUUGCAAGGCUUAGGUGAUGAGUAUUACCAAGAGGACCCAGAGAUACCUCUCCGACAAUCGGAGUGACAAAACCUAAUCCCGAAUUAUGCCAACUCAACAUGUACCUUCGGAAACACCUAUAGAGCACCUUUAUAAUCACCCAGUUACGUUGUGACGUUUGGUAGCACACAAAGUGUUCUUCCGGUAAACGGGAGUUGCACAAUCUCAUAGUUGCAGGAACUUGUAUAAGUCAUGAAGAAAGCAAUAGCAGUAUACUAAACGAUCAAGUGCUAGGCUAACGGAAUGGGUCAUGUCAAUCACAUCAUUCUCCUAAUGAUGUGAUCCCGUCAAUCAAAUGACAACUCUUUUGUCCAUGGUUAGGAAACAUAACCAUCUUUGAUAAACGAGCUAGUCAAGUAGAGGCAUACUAGUGACACUAUGUUUGUCUAUGUAUUCACACAUGUAUCAUGUUUCCGGUUAAUAUAAUUCUAGCAUGAAUAAUAAACAUUUAUCAUGAUAUGAGGAAAUAAAUAAUAACUUUAUUAUUGCCUCUAUGGCAUAUUUCCUUCAGUCUCCCACUUGCACUAGAGUCAAUAAUCUAGAUUACAUGGUAAUGAUUUUGACACCCAUGGAGUCUUGGUGCUGAUCAUGUUUUGCUCGUGAGAGAGGCUUAGUCAACGGGUCUGCAACAUUCAGAUCCGUAUGUAUCUUGCAAAUCUCUAUGUCUCCCACUUGGACUUGGUCCCGAAUGGAAUUGAAGCGUCUCUUGAUGUGUUUGGUCCUCUUGUGAAAUUUGGAUUCCUUUGCCAAGGCAAUUGCACCAGUAUUGUCACAGAAGAUGUUCAUUGGUCCCGAUGCACUAGGUAUGACACCUAGAUCGGAAAUGAGAUCCUUCAUCCAGACUCCUUCAUUUGCUGCUUCUGAAGCAGCUAUGUACUCCGCUUCACAUGUAGAUCCCGCCACGAUGCUUUGUUUAGAACUGCACCAACUUACAGCUCCACCGUUUAAUAAAAACACGUAUCUGGUUUGCGAUUUAGAAUCGUCCGGAUCAGUGUCAAAGCUUGCAUCGACGUAACCGUUUACGACUAGCUCUUUGUCACCUCCAUAUAUGAGAAACAUAUCCUUAGUCCUUUUCAGGUAUUUCAGGAUGUUCUUGACCGCUGUCCAGUGAUCCACUCCUGGAUUACUUUGGUACCUUCCUGCCAAGCUUAUUGCUAAGCAUACGUCAGGCCUGGUACACAGCAUUGCAUACAUGAUAGAGCCUAUGGCUGAAGCAUAGGGAACAUUUUUCAUUUUCUCUCUAUCUUCUGCUGUGGUCGGGCAUUGAGUUUGACUCAACUUCACACCUUGUAGCACAGGUAAGAAUCCUUUCUUUGCCUGAUCCAUUUUGAACUUUUUCAAAAAAAAUUCAAGGUAUGUGCUUUGUGAAAGUCCUAUUAAGCGUCUUGAUCUAUCUCUAUAGAUCUUGAUGAGUAAUAUGUAAGCAGCUUCACCGAGGUCUUUCAUUGAAAAACUUUUAUUCAAGUAUCCCUUUAUGCUAUGCAGAAAUUCUAUAUCAUUUCCAAUUAAUAAUAUGGCAUCUACAUAUAAAAUUAGAAAUGCUACAGAGCUCCCACUCACUUUCUUGUAAAUACAGGCUUCUCCAAAUGUCUGUAUAAAACCAUAUGCUUUGAUCACACUAUCAAAGCGUUUAUUCCAACUCCGAAAUGCUUGCACCAGUCCAUAAAUGGAACGCUGGAGCUUGCAUACUUUGUCAGCACCUUUUGGAUCAACAAAACCUUCCGGCUGCAUCAUAUACAACUCUUCUUCUAGAAAUCCAUUCAAGAAUGCAGUCUUGACAUCCAUAUGCCAAAUUUCAUAAUCAUGAAAUGCAGCAAUAGCUAACAUGAUUCGGACAGACUUAAGCAUCGCUACGGGUGAGAAAGUCUCAUCGUAGUCAACCCCUUGAACUUGUCGAAAACCUUUUGCAACAAGUCGAGCUUUAUAGACAGUUACAUUACCAUCAGCGUCAGUCUUCUUCUUAAAGAUCCAUUUAUUCUCAAUGGCUUGCCAAUCAUCGGGCAAGUCAACCAAAGUCCAUACUUUGUUUUCAUACAUGGAUCCCAUCUCAGAUUUCAUGGCUUCUAGCCAUUUUGCGGAAUCUGGGCUCAUCAUCGCUUCCUCAUAGUUCGUAGGUUCACCAUGGUCAAGUAACAUGACUUCCAGAAUAGGAUUACCAUACAACUCUAGUGCGGAUCUUACUCUGGUAGACCUACGAGGUUCAGUAGAAACUUGAACUCCUCACUAAUUGGUGUAGUUGUCACAGGAACCGGUUCUCGUGAUGAACUACUUUCCAAUAAGGGAGUAGAUACAGUUAUCUCAUCAAGUUCUACUUUCCUCCCACUCACUUCUUUCGAGAGAAACUCCUUCUCUAGAAAGGAUCCAUUCUUAGCAACGAAUGUCUUGCCUUCAGAUCUGUGAUAGAAGGUGUACCCAACAGUCUCUUUUGGGUAUCCUAUGAAAACACAUUUCUCCGAUUUGGGUUCGAGCUUAUCUGGUUGAAGUUUCUUCACAUAAGCAUCGCAGCCCCAAACUUUAAGAAACGACAACUUUGGUUUCUUGCCAAACCACAGUUCAUAAGGCGUCGUCUCAACGGAUUUUGAUGGUGCCCUAUUUAACGUGAAUGCGGCCGUCUCUAAAGCAUAACCCCAAAACGAUAGCAGUAAAUCAGUAAGAGACAUCAUAGAUCGCACCAUAUCAAGUAAAGUACGAUUAUGACGUUCGGACACACCAUUUCGUUGUGGUGUUCCGGGUGGCGUGAGUUGCGAAACUAUUCCACAUUGUUUCAAGUGUAGGCCAAACUCGUAACUCAAAUAUUCUCCUCCACGAUCAGAUCGUAGAAACUUUAUUUUCUUGUUACGAUGAUUUUCCACUUCACUCUGAAAUUCUUUGAACUUUUCAAAUGUUUCAGACUUGUGUUUCAUCAAGUAGAUAUACCCAUAUCUGCUCAAAUCAUCUGUGAAGGUGAGAAAAUAACGAUACCCGCCGCGAGCCUCAACAUUCAUUGGGCCACAAACAUCAGUAUGUAUGAUUUCCAACAAAUUAGUUGCUCGCUCCAUAGUUCCGGAGAAUGGCGUUUUAGUCAUCUUGCCCAUAAGGCACAGUUCGCAAGUACCAAGUGAUUCAUAAUCAAGUGAUUCCAAAAGUCCAUCAGUAUGGAGUUUCUUCAUGCGUUUUACACCGAUAUGACCCAAAAGGCAGUGCCACAAGUAAGUUGCACUAUCGUUAUCAACUCUGCAUCUUUUGGUUUCAACACUAUGAACAUGUGUAUCACUACUAUCGAGAUUUAAUAAAAAUAAACCACUCUUCAAGGGUGCAUGACCAUAAAAGAUAUUACUCAUAUAAAUAGAACAACCAUUAUUCUUUGAUUUAAAUGAAUAACCGUCUCGCAUCAAACAAGAUCCAGAUAUAAUGUUCAUGCUUAACGCUGGCACCAAAUAACAAUUAUUCAGGUCUAAAACUAAUCCCGAAGGUAGAUGUAGAGGUAGCGUGCCGACCGCGAUCACAUCGACUUUGGAACCGUUUCCCACGCGCAUCGUCACCUCGUCCUUGGCCAGUGCUCGCUUAUUCCGUAGUCCCUAUUUCGAGUUGCAAAUAUUAGCAACAGAACCAGUAUCAAAUUCCCAGGUGCUACUACGAGCUCUAGUUAGGUACACAUCAAUAACAUGUAUAUCACAUGUAGCUUUGUUUACUUUGCCAUCCUUCUUAUCCGCCAAAUACUUGGGGCAGUUCCGCUUCCAGUGACCAGUCUGCUUGCAGUAGAAGCACUCAGUUUCAGGCUUAGGUCCAGACUUGGGUUUCUUCUCUUGAGCAGCAACUUGCUUGCUGUUCUUCUUGAAGUUCCCCUUCUUCUUCCCUUUGCCCUUUUUCUUGAAACUAGUGGUCUUGUUGACCAUCAACACUUGAUGCUCCUUCUUGAUUUCUACCUCCGCAGCUUUUAGCAUUGCGAAGAGCUCGGGAAUAGUCUUGUUCAUCCCUUGCAUAUUAUAGUUCAUCACAAAGCUCUUGUAUCUUGGUGGCAGUGAUUGGAGAACUCUGUCAAUGACGCUAUCAUCCGGAAGAUUAACUCCCAGUUGAAUCAAGUGAUUAUUAUACCCAGACAUUUUGAGUAUAUGCUCACUGACAGAACUAUUCUCCUCCAUCUUGCAGCUGUAGAACUUAUUGGAGACUUCAUAUCUCUCAAUCCGGGCAUUUGCUUGAAAUAUUAACUUCAACUCCUGGAACAUCUCAUAUGCUCCAUGACGUUCAAAACGUCGUUGAAGGCCCGGUUCUAAGCCGUAAAGCAUGGCACACUGAACUAUAGAGUAGUCAUCAGCUUUGCUCUGCCAGACGUUCUUAACGUCGUCAGUUGCAUCAGCAGCAAGCCUGGCACCCAGCGGUGCUUCCAGGACGUAACUUUUCUGUGCAGCAAUGAGGAUAAUCCUCAGGUUACGGACCCAGUCCGUGUAAUUGCUACCAUCAUCUUUCAACUUUUCUUUCUCAAGGAACGCAUUAAAAUUCAACGGAACAACAGCACGAGCCAUCUAUCUACAAACAAACAUAGACAAGCAAAAUACUAUCAGGUACUAAGUUCAUGAUAAAUUUUAAGUUCAAUUAAUCAUAUUACUUAAGAACUCCCACUUAGACAGACAUCUCUCUAGUCAUCUAAGUGAUUACGUGAUCCAAAUCAACUAAACCAUAACCGAUCAUCAUGUGAGAUGGAGUAGUUUUCACUGGUGAACAUCACUAUGUUGAUCAUAUCUACUAUAUGAUUCAUGCUCGACCUUUCGGUCUCCGUGUUCCGAGGCCAUAUCUGCAUAUGCUAGGCUCGUCAAGUUUAACCUGAGUAUUCUGCGUGUGCAAAACUGGCUUGUACCCGUUGUAGAUGGACGUAGAGCUUAUCACACCCUAUCAUCACGUGGUGUCUGGGCACGACAAACUUUGGCAAUGGUGCAUACUCAGGGAGAACACUUCUUGAUAAUUUUUGUGAGAGAUCAUCUUAAAAUGCUACCGUCAAUCAAAGCAAGAUAAGAUGCAUAAAGGAUAAACAUCACAUGCAAUCAAUAUAAGUGAUAUGAUAUGGCCCUCAUCAUCUUGUGCUUGUGAUCUCCAUCUUUGAAGCACCAUCGUGAUCACCAUCGUCACCGGCGCGACACCUUGAUCUCCAUCGUAGCAUCGUUGUCGUUACGCCAUCUAUUGCUUCUACGACUAUCUAUACCGCUUAGUGAUAAAGUAAAGCAAUUACAGGGUGUUUGCAUUUCAUACAAUAAAGCGACAACCAUAUGGCUCCUGCCAGUUGCCGAUAACUUCGGUUACAAAACAUGAUCAUCUCAUACAAUAAAAUAUAUCAUCACGUCUUGACCAUAUCACAUCACAACAUGCCCUGAAAAACAAGUUAGACGUCCUCUACUUUGUUGUUGCAAGUUUUACGUGGCUGCUAUGGGCUUAGCAAGAACUGUUCUUACCUACGCAUCAAAACCACAACGAUAGUUCGUCAAGUUGGUGCUGUUUUAACCUUCGCAAGGACCGGGCGUAGCCACACUCGAUUCAGCUAAAGUGAGAGAGACAGACACCCGCCAGCCACCUUUAAGCACGAGUGCUCGUAACGGUGAAACCAGUCUCACGUAAGCGUACGCGUAAUGUCGGUCCGGGCCGCUUCAUCUCACAAUACCGCCGAACCAAAGUAUGAAAUGCUGGUAAGCAGUAUGACUUGUAUCGCCCACAACUCACUUGUGUUCUACUCGUGCAUAUAACAUCAACGCAUAAAACCUAGGCUCGGAUGCCACUGUUGGGAAACGUAGUAAUUUCAAAAUUUUCCUACGCACACGCAAGAUCAUGGUGAUGGCAUAGCAACGAGAGAGGAGAGUGUUCGUCCAUGUACCCUCGUAGACCGUAAGCGGAAGCGUUAGCACAACGCGGUUGAUGUAGUUGUACGUCUUCACGAUCCGACCGAUCCAAGCACCGAACGUACGGGGCCUCCGAGUUCAGCACACGUUCAGCUCGAUGACGAUCUCCGGCCUCCGAUCCAGUGAAGCUCCGGAGAUGAGUUCCGUCAGCACGACGGCGUGGUGACGAUGAUGAUGUUCUACCGGCACAGGGCUUCGCCUAAACUCCGCGACAAUAUGACCGAGGUGGAAUAUGGUGGAGGGGGGGCACCGCACACGGCUAAGGAACGAUCCGUAGAUCAACUUGUGUGUCUAUGGGGUGCCCCCCGCCCCUGUAUAUAAAGGAGCAAGGGGGAGAGGCCGGCCGGCCCCUUGGGCGCGCCAAGGGAGGAGGAAUCCUCCUCCUAGUAGGAGUAGGACUCCUCCUUUCCUACUCCUACUAGGAGGGGGAAGGAAGGAGGAGAGGGGGAAGGAAAGGGGGGGCGCCGCCCCCCUCGUAGUCCAAUUCGGACCAGAGGGGGGGAGGGGGCGUGCGGCCCAUGCUGGCCGCCCCUCUCUCCUUUCCCCUAAGGCCCAUAAGGCCCAAUACUCUCCCGGGGGGUUCCGGUAACCCCCGGCACUCCGGUUUUCUCCGAAAUCACCCGGAACAAUUCCGGUGUCCGAAUAUAGUCGUCCAAUAUAUCAAUCUUUAUGUCUCGACCAUUUCGAGAUUCCUCGUCAUGUCCGUGAUGACAUCCGGGACUCCGAACAAACUUCGGUACAUCAAAAGAUAUAAACUCAUAAUAAAACUGUCAUCGUAACGUUAAGCGUGCGGACCCUACAGGUUCGAGAACUAUGUAGACAUGACCUAGAACCAUUCUCGGUCAAUAACCAAUAGCGGGACCUGGAUGCCCAUAUUGGUUCCUACAUAUUCUACGAAGAUCUUUAUCGGUCAAACCGCAUAACAACAUACGUUGUUCCCUUUGUCAUGGGUACGUUACUUGCCCGAGAUUUGAUCGUCGGUAUCCAAUACCUAGUUCAAUCUCGUUACUGGCAAGUCUCUUUACUCGUUCCGUAAUAUAUCAUCUCAUAACUAACUUAUUAGUUACAAUGCUUGCAAGGCUUAGGUGAUGAGUAUUACCGAGAGGGCCCAGAGAUACCUCUCCGACAAUCGGAGUGACAAAACCUAAUCUCGAAUUAUGCCAACUCAACAUGUACCUUCGGAAACACCUGUAGAGCACCUUUAUAAUCACCCAGUUACGUUGUGACGUUUGGUAGCACACAAAGUGUUCUUCCGGUAAACGGGAGUUGCACAAUCUCAUAGUUGCAGGAACUUGUAUAAGUCAUGAAGAAAGCAAUAGCAGUAUACUAAACGAUCAAGUGCUAGGCUAACGGAAUGGGUCAUGUCAAUCACAUCAUUCUCCUAAUGAUGUGAUCCCGUCAAUCAAAUGACAACUCUUUUGUCCAUGGUUAGGAAACAUAACCAUCUUUGAUAAACGAGCUAGUCAAGUAGAGGCAUACUACUGACACUAUGUUUGUCUAUGUAUUCACACAUGUAUCAUGUUUCCGGUUAAUAUAAUUCUAGCAUGAAUAAUAAACAUUUAUCAUGAUAUGAGGAAAUAAAUAAUAACUUUAUUAUUGCCUCUAGGGCAUAUUUCCUUCAGUUACCGGAGUCCUGUUAGCCCAGUGUUACAGCCCGGAUGUAUACGUUGAUGACCGACAUGCUCGAUGUGACUCAUGUAUGCCUGUCCCCAUAGGUUAGCGCCGCUUUGGGUUCAUGACUAGCCAUGUCAGCCCGGGUUCUCUGUCAUAUGGAUGCUAGCGACACUAUCAUAUACGUGAGCCAAAAGGCGCAAACAGUCCCGGCCAUGGUAAGGCGACACCCGUGGGAUUACCGUGCGUGAGGCCGCAAAGUGAUAUGAGGUGUUACCGGCUAGAUCAAUGUGACUUGGAAUCAUGGUCCAGACAGCAUUGGCAUCAGAGCCGGACUGCCUGUAGGUUCCUAAGCCAAACUGGUCGAUGUCGAGUCUAGAAAUGCUUUAGUUAUAUGUAGGGGAAUUUAUUGUGGGAGGAAACGUAAGGCUCUUUUUACCCCUUUACCUUAUGCCCUCUGAUCUGUGUCAUCCUCUUCUCAUUCUACGUGGGUUAAGGACUAGGCUCUCUUCUCUCUAUCAGGUUCACGUGUUACUAAUCCGUAGUAACUUAUAGGAUUGUUGGUUACCAGUCUCAGUACAGUUCCUACUACUUUAGUAUGUUAUCAGUUGAACCUGAACCUUGAUAUGAUGUUGUUGAGUGGUUUUGCAAUCCGUUGUGAAUGUCUCAAAUCUGCUCCUGAGCAUUUACAGCUGUUAUGUUGUCCAAUUUUCCCUAGGAAUUCUAAUGUCUUUGCAUUGUGGUUGUGCUUUCAGAUGGCCACUCGCGCUCAGAACCAAGUGGUUCGCCUGACGCGGUGCCUCAAUGUGCCCGGUCAUACUGCUAUGUUAGUCCGGGUCAUGAUCGAGACAGGUUACCGUUGGUAUCCCGAAUACAUUGCCGAAGAGCAAUUCCAAGACUUUAAUCAAAGCCAAUACUUCUGCACUGUCAGGAUAUUUCCUUCAUAUCCUGGAUCCACCGAGCCCCUUCACUGCUCCUAUGGACUCGGGGUCACCAUUGAGAUGGCUGUACAGGAUGCGGCCUAUUCUAUGAUGACCAUCAUGCGAGUCAGGACUGGUCUGCUUCGGAACACCGACUUCCGUUAUAUGCCAGCAUCGCUCCCAGGAGCGCAAGGGUAUCUCCAGGCUAUCUAUGCUGAUUCCACCCAUGAGGACUCACUAACUCGCACCAUUGCGGAGAUGCUCGAGGAUAAGGACCGAGAGAAUCAGGCCUUGAGGUUGGAGCUUUUCAACACCUGCGCCGAUCAUUGGGCCACUUUGACUCGGUUUGCACCGGCUGUGCAAGCUGGAUGUAUGGAUAUGAGGGAUCUGUUUCCUGUGAGAUCUGCUCUGCCAGACAUGGUGGAUUGGCGUGAUGUGGGAGGCAUCAUCCCACCCCGUGGUCCCCGUAGGCCAUCGUUUGUUGGUCCAAGACCUCAUCCUAGCCCCUAUGGUCCACAGGCUCCUCAGGACCGUCUGUUCCCGGAUGAUCACGUUGAGCUUCCAAGCUAUGGAGGGGACUUCUAUGAGGACUACUACGGAGCUGUCUGAGUUAGUAGUAGUAUCUUUAGUAUUGUAAUAGUUGUAAUUCCAUCGUCCUGCGUGACCUGUGGAAUAUGACUUAGUGUGUAUCAGUUCCGGAGGUGUAGAAAAAUAAUGUAUCGGAGCUUGGAAUGCCUCCGAUGAGAUGUAACUUCUUCCACCGUAGUUGUACUAUAGUCGGGCUUGUACUAAACUAUGUAUGGUGUGUAUGACUGUUGGUGCAUAUAUGGCAGUUUCUGUAUUACCAUGUCAUACAGAUGAACAUCUCUGCAUUCCUUGUUAUCCAUUACAUUCUGCACUUCCUUGUCCAGAUUUGCCAUCCUUGUCUAAAGCGAUGUCUUGUUUUCCUAGGAUGGUCAACACCCGUAACAACCCUGCUACUCCGGAGCAGGGUGAAGCCAGUGCAGCUAGGAAUGAAAAUCUGCCUCAACCACCUUCUCUGGUCGAAGUUAUGCUGGAGGCAGAGCGAAAUAAGCGUGAGACCAAUCGCUUGCUGGAGCGGAUUGAGCAGAAUACCGCACGCCAGCCGAGGAACGACCUGGUGUCACUUAAUGACUUUGUCAAGCUGUAUCCACCGAAGUUUAAACAUUCCGUCGAGCCCCUUGAUGCGGAUGAAUGGCUUCGCAGCAUUACCCACAAGCUACGUUCUGUCAAUGUGGCCGAAGCUGAUAAGGUUAACUUUGCUACCUAUCACCUCGAAGGCCCUGCUAGCCUUUGGUGGGAAAACUUUGAGGCUAUGCGCCCGGUCGGCCAAAUUACUACUUGGGCUGAAUUCAGUAUGGAGCAUCACAUUCCGGAAGGUCUUAUGGAUCGCAAGCGUGAAGAGUUCUGCAACUUCACCCAGGGUAGACUGACUGUGGAUGCAUACAGUCGCGAGUUUGGAUAUCUAGCACGAUAUGCUCCUAAAGAGGUAUCCACCGACGCCAAGAAGCAGGCAAGGUUCCGCAAGGGACUUAGCCCCGAGCUUCGUCGUGAUCUUCGUCUGCACGAGUGCACCUCCUUCCAGAAGUUAGUCAACAAGGCCAUCAGUGCUGAGACAGGGCAGUCGGACUUUGAAGCUUCACGCAAGCACUCCCGUGACUUUGGACUUCAUCCGGCUGUGCAUCUCAGAAGCGCCGGGUCUGGAUUCCAAGCACUGCUCUGCCACCCAGGUUCACCCCGAGGCCAUCCUUUGACGCGCCUCGCCCCAACCAAUAGUAUACACCGCCCAAGGCCUAUGGUGGCCCCACUGCUAAUGCUACUCCAUGCCCCAAUGUGAUAACUUGUUUCAAGUGUGGGGAGACGGGUCACUACAUUCGUGAGUGUCCCCAAAACAACCCCAACCAGAUUGGAAAGUCUGUUGGCCGUGGCAAGCCAGCAGGAAAGGUGCUCUACGCCAAGCCAGCCACCACUGCCCGUGGCCAUGUCAACUAUGUCUCAGCAGAGGAGACUCAUGAGGAUCCCAACGUCGUUCUCGGUACGCUUCUUGUUAAUUGCCACCCGGCAACCAUUCUCUUUGAUACUGGAGCAUCUCAUUCAUUUAUAUCUGAAAGCUAUGCUCGAUUGCACAACACCACAUUUUGUGACAUGCCCACCUCCAUGGUAAUUCAAACCCCUGGUUCUAAGUGGCAAACCUCUAAAAUCAGCCAUGGAAAUGAAAUCCUUGUCGACAGAUUAGUCUUCCUUGCAUCACUAAUAGCUCUCAAGUCCUCGGACAUAAACAUCAUCUUGGGUAUGGACUGGAUGUCAGCCCAUUACGCUAAGAUCGAUUGCUCCACUAGAACUGUUCAACUCACCCACCCUUCGGGCAAGACAGCCAAUGUUUUGACCCGAGUGUCUAAGCGUCAGCUUUACUCUUUAAAUGCCAACCCCCUUCCAGACCUUGAAGAUAUUCCGGUAGUCCGUGACUUCCCGGAUGUCUUUCCAGAGGAACUGUCAGGUGUUCCACCUAACAGAGAUGUCAAGUUCGUGAUAGACCUUGUUCCAGGAACCAUGCCAACAUCUAGGAGACCUUAUAAGAUGGCACCCCUAGAACUAGCUGAGCUUAAGAAACAACUCGAUGAGUCCUUGCAAAAGGGUUUCAUCCAUCCUAGCUCUUCUCCAUGGGCUUGCCCCGUCCUUUUCGUCAAGAAGAAGGAUGGAACGGAUCGGAUGGUUGUAGAUUACCGGCCAGUCAACUUGGUCACUAUCAAGAACAAGUAUCCGCUCCCCAAGAUCAACGACCUGUAUGAUCAGCUCGCUGGAUCCUCAGUCUUUUCUAAAAUGGAUUUGAGGUUGGGCUACCAUCAAAUCAAAAUUAAGAACGGGGACAUUCCUAAAACGGCCUUUGUUACUCGAUAUGGCCAAUACGAGUACACCGUCAUGUCCUUCGGUCUAACCAAUGCCCCAGCCACCUUCUCUCGGUUAUUGAACUCGAUCUUCAUGGAGUAUUUUGAUAAAUUCGUCGUGGUUUACCUUGAUGAUAUACUCAUCUACUCCAAGAAUGAAGAAGAACAUGCCGAACAUCUAAGGCUAGUGUUGAUGAAACUUUGAGAGCAUUGUCUUUAUGCCAAAUUCUCUAGGUGUGAGUUUUGGUUGCCAGAAGUAACCUAUCUAGGACAUGUAAUCUCUGGUAAGGGCAUUGCUGUCAAUCCCAAGCGAGUUCAAGCCAUCCUUGACUGGACUCCACCUGAAACGGUCAAGCAAGUUCAGAGUUUUGUUGGUUUAGCGAGCUAUUGCCGCUGCUUCAUCGAGAAUUUCUCCAAGGUUGCUAAGCCUCUAACCGAACUCCUCAAGAAAGAUAAAAAGUUCGAAUGGACGCCAUAGUGCGAGUUCAGUUUUCAGGAACUGAAAAGACGCCUGACAUCUGCUCCUGUACUUGUUCCACCAGAUUUCUCUAAGGACUUCGUUAUCUACUGCGACGCCUCGCGACAAGGACUAGGUUGCAUACUCAUGCAAGAUCGUCAUGUGAUUGCCUACGCUUCUCGACAGCUGCGUCCACAUGAGGAUAACUAUCCCACACAUGAUCUACAGCUUGCAGCAGUGGUCCAUGCACUCAAAACCUGGCGACAUUACCUUCUCGGUAAUCGUUGCGAGAUUUACACCGAUCACCAAAGUCUGAAAUACAUCUUCACCAAACCGGAUUUGAAUCUCAGACAAAGACGUUGGGUCGAGUUGAUUACGGAUUACGAUCUAGGAAUAACCUACACCCCAGGAAAAGCCAAUGUCAUGGCUGAUGCAUUAAGCCGUAAAUCUUAUUGUAACAACCUGAUGUUACAACAAAGCCAACCAUUUCUCCACGAGGAAUUUCGUAAGCUUAACCUUCACAUCGUUCCUCGAGGUUUUCUUUCCACCCUGGUGGCGAAACCUACCCUUACGGAUCAGAUCAUCAAGGCACAGAAGGUAGAUCCGGGAAUAUCCCGUAUCAAGAGAAACAUCAAAAGGGAGUUGGACUGUUUCUCCAUAGAUGAUCAAGGUGUUGUGUUCUUUGGAGGCCAUCUAGUGGUUCCCAAGGUAUGCAACCUGAGGCGAUUGAUCCUUAAGGAAGCUCAUGAAUCCCCUCUCACUAUUCAUCCCAGUAGUACUAAAAUGUAUCAAGACCUACGCCAGAGGUUUUGGUGGACUAGGAUGAAGAGAGAAAUCGCUCAAUACAUUACCAAUUGCGACGUCUGUCGUCGAGUUAAAGAAGAGCAUCAACGACCUGCUGGCACCCUGCAACCUUUGGAAAUUCCCGAAUGGAAAUGGGAUAAAAUCGGUAUGGAUUUCAUUACCGGGUUUCCCAGGACCAAGAGGGGGAAUAAUGCUAUCUUCGUUGUUGUCGAUCGUCUUUCCAAAGUAGCCCACUUCCUACACGUUCGUGAGAGUUUAACCGCUAGCCAGCUAGCUGACUUAUACAUCUCCCGAAUAGUGUCUCUUCAUGGUGUUCCAUUGGAGACUAACUCAGACCGUGGAAGUCUCUUCACCUCUCGAUUUCGGGAAAGUUUCCAAAAUGCGAUGGGAACUCGUCUUUCUUUUAGCACCGCUUUCCAUCCUCAAUCAAGUGGUCAAGUAGAACGAGUCAAUCAAAUUCUAGAGGAUAUGCUUCGAGCUUCUGUCAUCUCUUUUGGUAUGAAUUGGGAGAAGUGCCUUCCAUUCGCUGAGUUCGCUUAUAACAAUAGUUAUCAAGCUAGCUUGGACAAAGCUCCUUUCAAAGUUCUCUAUGGAUGAAAAUGUCGAACACCUCUUAACUGGUCAGAAACCGGGUAAAGACAACUCUUUGGCCCGGAUAUGAUCCAGGAAGCAGAGGAGCAGGUUCACGUUAUUCGUGAGAAAUUGAAAACAGCCCAAUCUCAUCAAAAGAGCCAAUAUGACCGCAAACAUACACUAGUAGAAAAGGGGCCAAUGGUCCAGGCCGGUCCAGCCCAUUAGUCCCGGUUCAAUCCAGAACCGGGACCAAUGGGGGCAUUGGACCCGGUUCGUGAGCCCUGGGGGCCGGCCGGGCCACGUGGGCCAUUGGUCCCGGUUCGUCCUGACCUUUCGGUCCCGGUUGGUGGGACGAACCGGGACCAAUGGGCCUCGCUCCUGGCCCACCAACAUUGGUCCCGGUUGGUGGCUUGAACCGGGACCAAAGGCGUCCCUUUAGUCCCGGUUCAAGUCACCAACCGGGACCAAUUAGUUGCCUAUAUAUACCCCUCGCCUGCGAGCAGAGCACUCCCAGUGCUCUGUUUUUCGUGGCUGGCGAGGGGAGAGCUUUGUGGUGCUCUAGCUCACGUCCUAUGCACACAAGGUGUUCGAUGGAAUGCCCGAGCCACACUACUUAAGCUUUCUCCUCUCCAAGCUCGACCUCCAAGCUCCAUUUUCCUUCAUAUUUGUCUAGGUUUAGCGGUUCGUCACGUCCCGUCCCCAUCUUCACCACCGUUGAUCGCCCGCGCCGAUCUCGUCGCCGGCACCACCGUGGUGAGCCUCUUGUUCUUAUCUUCUUUCUGAAAGGAAAAAAAAUUCUUACUUGUAUGUUUAUAUAGAUACUUGUAUAAUUUUCUUACUUUUAUUAUUGCAUCUUAUAUAGUGCGAUGGUUUUGGUAUCCGCCCCCGUCGGCCCUCGUCCUGUCUAUGAUUCAGAUGUGGUAUAUAUAUAUUAUCUUUUCAUAACUAGUGGUUCAUUUAUUGUUUAUGACAAUUAUGCCGACCAACGUGACAUAGAUUUUAUUUAUCUAGGAGGUUGUUGAACCGGAAAUUCCAACCGACCCUAUUGUCGAGAGGUUAAAUUUAGUUGAAGAAAACAAUUUGUUGAAGGGAAAAAUUAGAAAAAUUGAGGAGGAGAAGAUGAUAUUGGAGUUGCAUGUUGCGGAUGUCAUCGAUGAUCACAAGAUCAAGAUGGAUGCAAUGCGCUUGAAGAUUAGAAAGAUUAGAAAAUAUGCCAUUCAUACCGAGGCUUGGUAUCAUUAUGUCGUUGGAUCAGUUGUUACAUUGGUUGCGAUUAUGAUCGUAUUUGUUUUCGCAUUGAAAUGUUUUACAUAGUUUCAGUGUAUGGUUUAAUUAAUUUAGAUGCCCUGCAGAGCUUUAUGUUGUUAGAUGAGAACUAUGUAUGUACUUUGGUUUUAAUGUGAUGAUGAACUUCUAUUAAUUUCGUCACUUAAUUAUCUAUUCAUGAUGUUCUGUAAUGAUUUUUGACACACUUAAUUAUAUAUAAUGCACGCAGAUGAACCGGCAAUGGAUGUACGGUUCAAGACACACCUCCGAGUACAUUAAGGGCGUGCAUGAUUUUCUCGAAGUGCCUGAGGCAACAAGAAGAAUGGUUUUAUGUGUUGUCCAUGCCCUAUAUGUGGGAAUACGAAGUCUUACUCUGACUGGAAAAUCCUCCACACCCACCUUCUUUACAAGGGUUUCAUGCCACACUAUAAUGUUUGGACGAGGCACGGAGAAAUAGGGGUUAUGAUGGAAGACGGCGAAGAAGAAGAGUACGAUGACAACUAUGUGCCCCCUGAAUACGGUGAUGCUACUGAAGAUCAAGAGGAACCAGACGAUGUGCCCGAUGAUGAUGAUCUCCGCCGGGUCAUUGUCGAUGCAAGGACGCAAUGCGAAAGUCAAAAGGAGAAGCUGAAGUUCGAUCGCAUGUUAGAGGACCACAAAAAAGGGUUGUACCCCAAUUGUGAAGAUGGCAACACAAAGCUCGGUACCGUACUGGAAUUGCUGCAGUGGAAGGCAGAGAAUGUUGUGCCUGACAAAGGAUUUGAGAAGCUACUGAAAAUAUUGAAGAAGAAGCUUCCAAAGGAUAACGAAUUGCCCGACAGUACAUACACAGCAAAGAAGUUCGUAUGCCCUCUAGGAUUGGAGGUGCAGAAGAUACAUGCAUGCCCUAAUGACUGCAUCCUCUACCGCGGUGCGUACAAGGAUCUGAACGCAUGCCCGGUAUGCGGUGCAUUACGGUAUAAGAUCAGACGAGAUGACCCUGGUGAUGUUGACGGCGAGCCCCCCAGGAAGAGGGUUCCUGCGAAGGUGAUGUGGUAUGCUCCCAUAAUACCACGGUUGAAACGUCUGUUCAGAAACGGAGAGCAUGCCAAGUUGAUGCGAUGGCACAGUGAGGACCGUAAGAAAGACGGGAAGUUGAGAGCACCCGCUGACGGGUCGCAGUGGAGAAAAAUCGAGGGAAAGUACUGGGAUGAGUUUGCAAGUGAGCCAAGGAACGUAUGGUUUGCUUUAAGCGCGGAUGGCAUUAAUCCUUUCGGGGAGCAGAGCAGCAAUCACAGCACCUGGCCCGUGACUCUAUGUAUGUAUAACCUUCCUCCUUUGAUGUGCAUGAAGCAGAAGUUCAUUAUGAUGCCAGUUCUCAUCCAAGGCCCUAAGCAACCCGGCGACGACAUUGAUGUGUACCUAAGGCCAUUAGUUGAAGAACUUUUAUAGCUGUGGAAUGGAAAUAGUGUACGUACGUGGGAUGAGCACAAACAGGAGGAAUUUAACCUAAAGGCGUUGCUGUUCGUGACCAUCAACAAUUGGCCCGCUCUCAGUAACCUUUCAGGACAGACAAACAAGGGAUACCACGCAUGCACGCACUGUUUACUUGACACCGAUAGUAUAUACCUAGCAAGUUGUAGGAAGAAUGUGUACCUGGGCCAUCAUCGAUUUCUUUCGACCAACCAUCAAUGUUGAAAGAAAGGCAAGCAUUUCAAAGGCGAGGCAGAUCACCGGAAGAAGCCCUCCAUGCGUACUGGUAUCACGUACUUGCUAUGGUAGUGAUUUACACGUAAUCUUUGGAAAGUGUCCCGGCGGACUAGCUGUUCCGAAUGACGCUGAGAAUCACGCACCCAUGUGGAAGAAGAAAUCUAUAUUUUGGGACCUACCCUACUAGAAAGACCUAGAGGUCCGCUCUUCGAUCGACGUGAUGCACGUGACGAAGAACCUUUGCGUGAACCUGCUAGGCUUCUUGGGCAUGUAUGGGAAGACAAAAGAUACAACUGAGGCACGGGAGGACCUGCAACGCUUGCACGAAAAAGUGGGCAUGCCUCCGAAGCAGUAUGAAGGUCCUGCCAGCUACGCUCUUACGAAAGAAGAGAAAUAAAUCUUCUUUGAAUGCCUGCUCAGUAUGAAGGUCCCGACUGGCUUCUCUUCGAAUAUAAAGGGAAUAAUAAAUAUGCCAGACAAAAAGUUCUAGAACCUAAAGUCUCAUGACUGCCACGUGAUUAUGACGCAACUGCUUCCGGUUGCAUUGAGGGGGCUUCUACCGGAAAACGUCCGAUUAGCCAUUGUGAACCUAUGUGCAUUCCUCAAUGCAAUCUCUCAGAAGGUGAUCGAUCCAGAAAUCAUACCAAGGCUAAGGACUGAUGUGGUGCAAUGUCUUGUCAGUUUCGAGCUGGUGUUCCCACCAUCCUUCUUCAAUAUCAUGACGCACGUCCUAGUUCAUCUAGUUGACGAGAUUGUCAUUCUGGGCCCCGUAUUUCUACACAAUAUGUACUUCUUUGAGAGGUUCAUGGGAGUCCUAAAGAAAUAUGUCUGUAACCGCGCUAGGCCAAAAGGAAGCAUCUCCAUGGGCUAUCAAACAGAGGAUGUCAUCGGGUUUUGUGUUGACUUCAUUCCUGGCCUUAAGAAUAUAGGUCUCCCUAAAUCGCGGUAUGAGGGGAGACUGACUGGAAAAGGCACGCUUGGAAGGGACUCAAUUAUAUGCAGGGACGGAUAUUCUUGGUCUCAAGCACACUACACAGUUCUACAGAACUCUACCUUGGUGACCCCGUAUGUCGAUGAACACAAGAACAGUCUGCGCUCCAAACACCCGGAGCAGUGCGACGACUAGAUUACAUGUGAACACAUCAGGACUUUCAGUAGUUGGUUGGAAGCACAUAUCAGAGGUGACAACACUGUUUGUGAUGAGUUGUACUUGUUGUCCAGGGGACCAUCUUUGACUGUAUUGAUUUGGAAAGGAUACGAGAUAAAUGGGAAUACAUUUUACACGAUUGACCAAGAUCAAAAGAGCACCAACCAAAACAGCGGUGUCCGCUUUGAUGAAACAACCGAGAGGGGAAAGGACACAUAUUGUGGUUACAUAGUGGACAUAUGGGAACUUGACUACGGACACGAUUUUAAGGUCCCUUUGUUUAAGUGCAAAUGGGUCAAUCUGUCAGGUGGCAGGGUACAGGUAGACCCACAGUACGGAAUGACAAUAGUGGAUCUGGAAAAUCUUGGAUACACUGACGAACUGUUCGUCCUAGCCAAUGAUGUGGCACAGGUUAUCUAUGUGAAGGACAUGUCUACCAGACCAAGAAAGAGAAAAGAUAAGGAAGCGAAUACAUCAUACGAUGAGCCAAAGUGCCACAUAGUUCUUUCAGGAAAAAGGGACAUCGUGGGAGUGGAGGACAAGACAGACAUGUCUGAAGAUUAUGAAAAGUUUCAUGAAAUUCCUCCCUUUAAUGUCAAGGCUGACCCCAGCAUCCUGAUAGACGAUGAAGAUUAUCCAUGGUUACGGCGCAAUAAGCAAAUGACACAAGCGAAGAAAAAGUGAAGACUUUCUCCCGCAACUAUUAUGAUGAUACCAUGCCAAAUUUGUAACUGACGAGUAUGAUACCAUUGUCCGUUUUGUACAUGCACAUGCUAUGUGGGUCAAUUUAUGAUACCAUGCCAACUUUCAACUUUUUCAGAGUUCAUUUGAAAUGCUUUAAUGUCUUAUGGUUCGGCCCUCGUAAUGAUUAAAAAUAGCAACAAUAAGUAUUUUGUUGUAAGUAGAAACAAAAUAAAAUAAAUAAAGCAAGAAAGAAAACAAAAAAAACAAAAAAAGUGUUUUCAAAUUUGAAAACUAAUGGUACUAACAGAAAGUUUAUAAUUUUCCUAAAACUAAAAGCAAAAAGAAUUGAAAAAUAAAGCAAAAAACAAAAGACAAUAAAUAAUGCAGAAAUCAAAACAAAAAACAACAAUAAGUAUUUUGUUGUAUGUAGAAACAAAACAAAAUAAAUAAAGCAAGAAAGAAAACAAAAAAACAAAAAAAGUGUUUUCAAAUUUGAAAACUAGGGCACUAACAGAAAGUUUAUAAUUUUCCUAAAACUAAAAGCAAAAAGAAUUAAAAAAUAAAGCAAAAAACAAAAGAAAAUAAAUAAUGCGGAAAACAAAACAAAAAAACUGGAAAAAAAAUAAAAUAGCAAAAAUAAGUAAAGAAAACAAAAAAAUGCCUCCUACUGGGCCCCCACGGCCUGAAUACGACUAGAAACCCUACUAUGGGCCAGGAUUCAGGCCCGCAGUAGGCCCAGAAGGCCCAUCAGGCAAAGCAAUAGCAAGUAGGCCCGAAAGCCUGCGGUGGAGAGGAGCUCGAGAGGGGUGCGGCAGUGGGGCUUAUAAACCACUGCACGCCCCUCUCAACUAGCGAGGUGGGACUAAACUUUGGCCCCGACGCGGGAAGCACAGGGGCCUUUGGUCCCGGUUGGUGGCACCAACCGGGACUAAAGGGGGGGGCAUUGGUACCGGUUCGUGGCACCAACCGGUACCAAAGGCCGCCGCUUCCCGCCCUUUGGGCUGCCGAAAAGGAGGCCUUUGGUCCUAGUUGGUGGCACUAACCGGGACUAAAGGGUGCAUUAGUCCCGGUUGAUUUCACGAACCGGGACCAAUGCCUUUGCUAUAUAAGCAAACACUUUGCAAAAUUUCAGAAUCCCAUCGCCAGUUGCCCCCGACGACGCCGACCCUCCUCGACGCUGCCAGGCUGCUCCACCUCGCCGUCGUCGCCGCCACCGCCAAGCCGUCGCCUCCCCGAGCCCGCGCCAUCCUCGUCGCCGGCCUCCCUGAGCCCGCGCCGUCCUCGUCGCCGGUCUCCUCGAGCCCGCUCCCCGUCCCGCCCCCGCGCGCCGCCGCCCCGAGCCCCUGCCCCGUCCUGCCCCCAUGCGCNNNNNNNNNNNNNNNNNNNNNNNNNNNNNNNNNNNNNNNNNNNNNNNNNNNNNNNNNNNNNNNNNNNNNNNNNNNNNNNNNNNNNNNNNNNNNNNNNNNNNNNNNNNNNNNNNNNNNNNNNNNNNNNNNNNNNNNNNNNNNNNNNNNNNNNNNNNNNNNNNNNNNNNNNNNNNNNNNNNNNNNNNNNNNNNNNNNNNNNNNNNNNNNNNNNNNNNNNNNNNNNNNNNNNNNNNNNNNNNNNNNNNNNNNNNNNNNNNNNNNNNNNNNNNNNNNNNNNNNNNNNNNNNNNNNNNNNNNNNNNNNNNNNNNNNNNNNNNNNNNNNNNNNNNNNNNNNNNNNNNNNNNNNNNNNNNNNNNNNNNNNNNNNNNNNNNNNNNNNNNNNNNNNNNNNNNNNNNNNNNNNNNNNNNNNNNNNNNNNNNNNNNNNNNNNNNNNNNNNNNNNNNNNNNNNNNNNNNNNNNNNNNNNNNNNNNNNNNNNNNNNNNNNNNNNNNNNNNNNNNNNNNNNNNNNNNNNNNNNNNNNNNNNNNNNNNNNNNNNNNNNNNNNNNNNNNNNNNNNNNNNNNNNNNNNNNNNNNNNNNNNNNNNNNNNNNNNNNNNNNNNNNNNNNNNNNNNNNNNNNNNNNNNNNNNNNNNNNNNNNNNNNNNNNNNNNNNNNNNNNNNNNNNNNNNNNNNNNNNNNNNNNNNNNNNNNNNNNNNNNNNNNNNNNNCGCUGCAUUGGCUCUGUUUUUUUUUCAUUUUUAUUAGUUUAAUUAUUUUUUUGUUCAUAUAUAUAUAUAUAUAUAUAAUGUAUAUGUGUAUGUAUGUGGCUAUAUAUGUGUAUGUAGAUGUUCAAAAAUUAUUCAGAGCACGUUUUUAUUCAUAUAUGUAUUUUUUGUUCAUAUGUGUAUUAAUGUUUUCAUAUAUGCAAAAGAUAGAUUUUUAGAAAAGUUAGGGUUUUUUUUUCUAUUCAUAGAUUUUUUUGGUGAUAUUAAUUAUUGUAGAAUAUGCAAAUGUUUGUAUAUUCAUAUGAACAAUGCAUUAGGCAAAACCUUUGUUUUUUUUGAAAUUUUUUAUUUGAACAUUUUUUAAAAACAAGCAAUACUAAAAGAAUGAGAGGAAAAAGGAAAAUAAGAAGAGGAAGAAAGGAGAAGAAGAGGAGAGGAAGAAGAGGAGAAAUAAAUAAGAAGAGGAAAAAAGAAGAGGGGAAGAAGAAAGGAAUAGAGGAGAAGAAGAAAAAUAGAAAUUUUCUAUUUUUCUUCUUCUCCUCUAUUCCUUUCUUCUUCUCCUCUUUAUUUUCUUCUUUUUUUUCUUCUUCCUUCUUCCUCUUUUCUUCCUUUUCCUUAUUUUCCUUUCUCGAGGGAGAAGAAGAAAAAGAAGAGUAAAAGAAGAAGAAAGGAAUAGAGGAGAAAGAAGAAACUUCAACACAAGGGGGGGUUACCGAUACCCCCUCCCCGAUAACAUUAUUUUCCCAUGUAUAUGUAUGUCGCGUCAUUGUCGAUAUAACCCCCUCGAGAUAACUUCGACAUGAGGGGCGGUCGAUAUAUAUACCCCCUCUCGACCGUGAUAACUUAUACAACGGCAGCACCCCCCUCGGCCCUCUCGCUCGACCAAAACUCUUGAGGACACCCAAACCCUAGAGAGAAAACGAUGUUGGUCUCCUACCCCCUCCCGCCGCGCCCCUACCCGACAUAUUAACUCUCUCGAGGCCACCCAAAUUUACCAAGUUAAAAGAGCGUUGUCGUCGAGGCCACCCCAAACCCUUGAAGCGUUGUGUCGAGGAGACCCCAAACCCUAGAGAAGCAGCGUCGAGGCCACUAACAUGGAUCGAUCCAUCUGUAAUAAUAAUUGACAUGGUGUAAAUAUUUGCAGAAACUAUGGAGCACUCCCGAGACGAAGAAACAGAAGCGAUGUUGGGGGACAUUAUCGCACAAGGAAGUGAUGAAGUUGCGUCAUUUCUCAACGACACCGAUGGUCAGGAACGACUGGGUGAAGAAGAGGGCUAUGUUCAUGAUGGCUUCGACCCAUUAAUGCCGGUACAAGAAGAGGACUAUGUUCAUGAUGGCUCUGGUGACACAAUGGAGGUACAAGAAGGAGACCGUGCUGACUGCUCCGGUGACCGAACCGAGUCCGGCCAGGUAUAUAUAUAUAUAUUAGUUAAGCCCGUGCUGACUAGUUAAUUGAUGCAUCCAUUGUUUUGGUAUAUGUACACAUAUUAAUUACUCUCGUCUUUCUUCCUUAUAAUUUCUAGCCCUCCGGAUCGAGCACAACUUCGGUAAGAAGACGAAGCCCGAAGAAAAAGUUGAGCUCGGAUGAAAAGUUUGAGAUCAUAGAAAUCGCGCCCGACGGCGAACCGAUUGAACCCAUCCGGACAAGGAAGGCAUUUUCUGCUCAGUGCGGGGUUCUUGUUAGGGACAAGAUCCCGAUCAGCAUCCAUCAAUGGUAUAAGCCUAAGGAGGAAGACCCCGAGGUGUCUUAUGUCAAUGAUAUGCAGAAAGAAGAUCUUUGGACUGAGCUAAAGGCAAAUUUCACCCUACCGCUAGAGGAGGAUCCGGAGAAGCCAGUUAUAGAGCAAUUAAUCAAUUCUUGUGCUCUUAAGAAGAUGGCAACCCUAAUGAGGAGGUGGAGGAAAGAGGUGAACCAGUUUGUCGAGAAAGAUAAGACACCAGAAUUCAUCGGCAAAUAUGAGAAGAUCAAAGAUCACUGGCCCGCAUUUGUGGCCCACAAGACAUCGGAAAAGAGUAAGAAGAUGUCGGCAACAAACAAGAAAAAUUCUGCAAAGAAGAAGCUUCACCAUCGCACGGGGUCAGGUGGCUACCUCAAAGCCCGGCCUAAGUGGUCCAAGGCUGAGCAUGAUCUGCUUGAAAAAGGGAUCGAACCAGAGACAAUGUACUGGCCAGACCGUUGUCGGACUUGGUUCUUCGGGGCUGGCGGAACCUUGGACCCUGUAACAGGGAAGUGCCAGUGGACGGAUGAGCAACUACAAAUACCAGUCAAGAAACUUCGACACUAUAUCGAUGCAGCGUAGCGAGGGACGCUCCUUCCAAACAGGGAGAAGGACGAGCUCACAAUGGCCCUUGGGAAUCCUGAGCACCCUGGAUGGACACGAGGCACGCCAGGCUCCAUUCCAUGGAAGGUUGGUCUUCCGCACACAGGGGGUUACAAAACCCACGAGAGGAGGAAGAAACUGGAGCAGGACCAAAUGCAGGCGCUGCACGAAAGGGUAAUGGGGCUAGAGGAACGAGAAGCAGCAGAUCGCAGCAAACGACAUGCCGAAGCUUCCCCCGAAGCUACCUCGCCAUCUCAGCGGAGAAGCAGCGUGGCUUCCACCGAGCUGCUUCAGCCGGAGCAUGUCUUGACGUCUCCUGCCAGCUAUCCCGUGGAUGGUAUCACGGAGUCUCAAAGUUGCCACAUUAUGACGCAAUGUAUGAAUUUGAAGGUCAAGGCGGCUGUUGGCCAAGUUUAUCCUAGUGGACCCGGCACAACUUAUCACUGCCAGCCGAUUCCAGAAGGAUUUGCUAAGGUGAUGGUGGAUGAAAUAACGGAGGGAUUUGAGGACCUCCUGCUUGAGCACCCUACCGGUGAAGGGGAGACUAGGCUGGGUUCUGCUCUGAAGACUCCAUGCCUAUGGCGGAAGGAGCUCAUCAACCUUCCGAACUGGACGCCUCCGCCUCCUCCUCCUCCUCCGGCGAGUCAGGGCACUCCGCCUCCUCCACCGCCUCCUCCUCCGGCGAGUGAUGAUCAGGGCACACGUGGCAGCACUCCGCCUCCUUCUCCGCCUGCGCCGGCGCGCCCGAGCAGCCAGCCUCCUCCUUCUCCGCCUCGUCAGCAAGGGCGAAAGAGACCCGCCGCUGCUCCGGCUGCUCCGGCGCGUCGUAAUCCUUCUCCUCCGCCUCACAAAAAGCAAGCAAAGAAGACAUCCACUCCGUCUGCUCUGUCGGUGUCUAGCAGUACAGCCAAAGGCGGGAAGAAAUACAGAUUUGGUCCUUCUCCGAAGACUCCAGAGAAGUUACCGUACGAGAGGACCGAGGAGGAAAACGCGGAGAUCACGCAGAACGAACUGGAUGGCUGGUUUGCAGGGUUGAAAGCAAAGAGACAUCCACCUCCGGAGGAGAAGGUAGAUCCGGUGAAAGUGAAGCGCACUCUGGCUGCCCUGAGGAAACCGGCAAAGUCUCCGCCGAGAACCAACUAUGAGCGCAUUACUGAACAGACAUAUCUCCAAGCGGAGCAGUCGGGAAGUACUGUCAGACAUCAAAGAGCAAAAGAACGAGCAGCUGCGAAAAAAGUUGACCAGCUCGGCGAACAACCAAACCAAUCGUGCCCCCCGCUCAAUGUGUCUAGCGGCAACAUCGUCGCUAAUGUUCCGGGGAUCAUGGACGGUUAUGGCAAUCCACAAUAUUACCUGCCUGACGAUGCACUUCCUGAAUUCAUGAUGGUGGAAGAACGCAGAUACGAGUACGGGAAGCCUCUCAUCAAAGAUGUAAAAUCUCUAACAACGAUGAUGCGAAGAUUCCAUACUUGGUACAUGAAAACCUGCAGAGAGUCUGGGGGGACGAAUAGUUUGUAUCUACACAUUAAAGAGGAGCACGACCUCGUUGGAACUGAUCUGUUGUGUGUUCCAUUUGAGGAGUUCUUCGCGUUCUUCAAUCAAAUAGCCCUCGAUAAAUUAACGGUCUUUUGCUACUGCCUGUAAGUACUAUUUCUGUCAUUAAGUCUCUAUAUAUAGCUUGGCUUUCAUUACAUGUAUUUAUAAUUAAUUAUCCUCAAUAUAUUAUGCAGAUUGAAGAUCGUCGAGUGCAAAAAAAUGAAAUCUAUGAUAUUGGGUUCAUUAACACAAAUAUCAUAGAUGUAUUUCUGGUUGAAAAGCACAUCGAAGAGGCCGAGGACAACUUGCUACGAUCAUUGAUCAAAAAUCAAAACAAAGAUACCAUACUCUUUCCUUACAACACCAAGUGAGUGUUACUGAUCAUUUGCAUAUUCGGUUUCCCUUAUUACUCGAGCGAGGUUAUAGUAAUGUAAUUGAUGAGUUAUGCAUGUGUGCGCAGGUACCACUAUAUUCUUCUGGAGAUUAAGCUUGAGCGUGGACUAGUAACCGUCUUAGACUCGAGACGGAAAGAUCCCAGCACCUAUGCGGACAUGACUGAAAUGCUCAGCAAGUAAGUUCAAUCGAUCAUUAUCGCACCAUAGCGGCAACUUUUUGUUCAUUUCCUGAUAUCUCAAGUAAUAAUAAUUAUUUUCUUUGUCUUGCAGGGUUUGGAAACAGUUCACCACAGUAGCUCGGGGACUGCCGAAGGAGCUGCGAUAUAUAUACCCGAAAGUAAGUACUACUGGCUAGCUAGUUGUGUGCAUCUCCUGUUGAUUCUAUAGCUAUACUUUCAUCACAUUUAUAAUGCUUCAUUAUCAGUUUGAUAGACCUCUAUUUCUCGUAAAGUGCUUGUGGUAGGAACAAGGGAAUGAUUUCUAUAGAUACUACGUGUGCGAGUUCAUCUACAACGCGACUUUGAAAAAUAAGCGGGGCUACUCUCAAAGACAAUAUGAAGUGCGUAAGCAAUUAAUAAUAUUCACAAUUUCUGUUGAGUUUCAUUCAUAUAUAUAUAUAUAUAUAUAUAUAUAUAUAUAUAUGUAUUAAUUAACCCCCUUCUUCAAAUUAGACGUGGCAGAUGCGGAAUGAACUCCUAGAACCAGAUCGCAUGAAAGGAAUUCAAGAGGAAUUGGCGGGAUUCUUUCUUGACCACGUCAUCAAUAAAGCCGGAGAAUACCAUGUGGAACUUGAUUUCAAAUGCUAGGGGACUGUAAUUGAGAGAUCUUAUAUAUUGUACAUGUUGUAUGUAGCCAGUAGCGUCGGACAUACAUGAUACAAAAACUUGUUGUUUGACCAAUCUCUCGGAGAAGGAGACGUCGAUCGAUCACUUCUCUCGGUAUGCAUGACGAACUUCUGUACUUAAUGGUUUCCUUCAUUUUCUUACUAGCUAGCGUGUCGAGAGCCUCUCUAUGUAUAGUACGUAGCGUCGACCAAGCACGGACAUAAGAGAGGACACUUCUCUCUAUUAAUUAGCUAGCUAACACAAUAUAUGAAACACCUAAAUUAACCCCCAAAACCNNNNNNNNNNNNNNNNNNNNNNNNNNNNNNNNNNNNNNNNNNNNNNNNNNNNNNNNNNNNNNNNNNNNNNNNNNNNNNNNNNNNNNNNNNNNNNNNNNNNNNNNNNNNNNNNNNNNNNNNNNNNNNNNNNNNNNNNNNNNNNNNNNNNNNNNNNNNNNNNNNNNNNNNNNNNNNNNNNNNNNNNNNNNNNNNNNNNNNNNNNNNNNNNNNNNNNNNNNNNNNNNNNNNNNNNNNNNNNNNNNNNNNNNNNNNNNNNNNNNNNNNNNNNNNNNNNNNNNNNNNNNNNNNNNNNNNNNNNNNNNNNNNNNNNNNNNNNNNNNNNNNNNNNNNNNNNNNNNNNNNNNNNNNNNNNNNNNNNNNNNNNNNNNNNNNNNNNNNNNNNNNNNNNNNNNNNNNNNNNNNNNCCCCCUGCCUGGGCUCGGCGCGUGGAUGCCUUUUGGUCCCGGUUGGUGCCACCAACCGGGACCAAAGGCCCCCCUGCCUGGGCUCGGCGCACAGGCCACGUGGAGGACCAUCUAUCCCGGUUCGUGUUACAACCGGGACUAAAGGGGGGAGGUAUUAGUAACGACCCAUUAGUCCCGGUUCAUGAACCGGGAGUAAAGGCCCUCACGAACCGGGACUAAUAGGUGUUUGUCUACUAGUGAUAAGCCUAUGACUUAUGAAGUUGGUGAGAAGGCUUACCUUCGGGUUACACCUUUAAAGGGAACCCAUCGAUUCGGUAUCAAGGGCAAGUUGGCCCCUUGUUACAUUGGACCCUUUUGCAUUCUUGCCAAACGAGGGGAAGUUGCCUACCAGUUGGAACUACCUCCACAUCUUUCUAGAGUUCAUGAUGUCUUCCACGUCUCUCAACUCAGGCAUUGCUUCUCGAAUCAUAUCCGCGAAGUAGACCAUGAAACGCGUGAUCUCCAAGAAAAUCUCACUUAUCGAGAAUAUCCAAUUCGCAUCCUUGAUCAAGCCGAGCGUACCACUCGACGCCAGAAUAUCAAGUUUCUCAAGGUUCAAUGGUCACACCACUCCGAUCAAGAAGCAACUUGGGAAAGGGAGGAUCAUCUACGACUUGAGUAUCCCACCUUCUUCCCGAUAGACCCUAAAUCUCGGGAUGAGAUUCUUUUGAGUGGGGGUGAGUUGUCACAACCUAGCUAGUCCAUGCAUUAGAGUGUUGCAUCAUGUCUACCUUUUAUCAGAAACUUGAAUUGGGGAAGACAGAACCCCCCCAGAACCCCUCUAAAUUCAACUAGUGCUUACUAAAAAUAUUUUCAAUGAACCUGAAAUGCCCUUCUAAAAAGUUCACCCUCUUUGUCUUGGGUUAGAACCUCUGGCAAAAUUGGUGCACAAUUUUCUAGGUCAACAGAAGGCCAUUGAAUUAAAUCAUAUCUACUUUGAGUUUGGGCAUUUAAACUAUAUAAAAUAUUUCAAAUGCUCAAAUAACUCCAAACUAAAAUGUUCCAUACUGGAUAUAUUCCAACUAGCGACCAUGUGCAGUUUGGUGAUUUUUGGAGUUGCCUAAGUAUUUUUAGAAAUGCAACAAACUUACAGAAACAAUUAAAAACAGAAACAAAUGGGGAAAAAACCCUUACCUGGCCGAACCAAGCCCCAGCCCAGCUGGCCGGCCCAGCACUGUGCUGGCCCAUGCCAGCCAGCUGCUUUGCCAUCGCCACGCAGGCACAGAGCUGACGCCAGCGAGUGUGAGCUCGCCACGGCGCCAACUGCUUGCCGCCCGCGCCACCGAGCACCUGGGUGAGCUCCACGUCGCCACCCCGACCCCGUGGACACCUCAUUCGCCCCCCUGCCUCUUCCCUCGCUCUCCCGCACCAUGGCCGACGCACCCGUCGCCGCACCGCCGACGUAGUCGCGCCCUCCAUCGUCCCCGUGCUGCACCACCGUGUCCCUUCGCUCCGUCGUCAUCAACUACAUCGAGCAGGCCGAGCCCCGAGCGCUCGUGGGCCUUGCUUCGUCUUCUUUGACCUCAUCUUCACCGAGCACCACCGCAGAUCCCCUUCGCCGUCGCCGCUGCACCAGCUCGUCCCCGACCUCGCCGACCACUCCGUUGUGACCGCCGUGAGCUCAGCCACCUCCCCAUCCUCCCCGUUUGCCUUCUCGUGCACCGUAGCAGCCGCAUGGAGCUUCAUCGCACGCACCACCGCCGAGCUCGUCGCCGACGUGCCUCCGGCCAUCCACCGUCCACACCACGGUAUCUAACAUGCUCAUUGCAUCGCGUAGAGUCUAACGCCCCACUCCACGCGCCUCGCCGUGCCCCGUAGCCACGGGUCAAUUUUCACCCGACUCCGGCGACCGUCGCGGUCGUCGCUGCCGACGUUCCUGGCCACCUCGACCUCAACCACCACCACCAAACGCCGCGGCUUGUUCCUGGCUACACGUAGAUGGUCUUCGCCGUCCAUUUGGUCGCCGGAACGUGCUAACCCACUUCCUCUGCCGCAUCUGGCCUCGCCAGCGGCUAGACGCCGGCGUGUUUGACCCGUUGACGUUGACUGGGUGGGCCAGGUUGACUCCCCUGAGUCUAUGACAAGUGGGCCCCCCCCUCUGCUAAUUAACCUAGUUUAGUUCUUACUAAAAUCAGUUAGUUUAAAUAAGUGCUGACAUGCGGGACCCACUGGUCAGUUUGACCUGAACGACCCCUUUGACCAUUGACGUCACCCUGAUGCACUGCUGACGCAAUAACCAAUUUCUGGAUUUAUUGUUAUAUAGGAAAUUCCAGAAAUUGUUGCAAACUUCAAAAAUUCAUAGAAAUUAAUCUGUAACUCCAAAUGCAAAGAUUUAUAUAUGAAUUUCGAUCAAAAAAAUUCAAUAUAUCCAUUGGUAAUGGUUUCAUGCAUGUCAGAACAAGUUAACCUUGUUGUUUAAUCAAAACAAGUUAAUGCACUAAUAUGACUAUGUUAAAUGAACUACCAUUUGCAUCUUUGAUUCAAAUGAGUUCAUACCUUUCUGUUCUAGCUUGCAUUAGGCCAGGACACAUUCAUGUUGCCAUGUCAUAGCAUGCAUCAUAUUGUUGCAUAUCGUCAUGUGUGGUUCAUGUUCGGUGUGUUUUCGUGAUAGGUUCUGCCUCCGAGGAUAACCCCGAAUAUCCGUCUGAAGGGCAGUAUCCUACUACCACUACAUCAGGCAAGCAACCCAUUGAUCAUUCUGAUACAAACCCAUGUUCUCGCCUCUGCUCUUGUUUACUGCAUUAAGAUAACGCGAUUCAAACUGUUGUGUGUUGUGGUAGUUGAACCCACUUCCUUUGCAUGACCUGUCAUUGCCACGGUAACUAGAUGAAACCCACUAGCAUGUGUAGGAGUUGAUUGAGCCAUAUCUGUGUUACCUACCAUGCUAUGCUUGCUAUGCUUAGAGUUGUGUCAGGUCUGGCUCAUCAGGAUGAUGAACUAGAGUGAAAGGUUGUGUCGGUAACGAGAGUGAAGUGUUGAACACGAUUUGGUAAAGGUAUCGAUGAGAGGCCAUGUAGGAGUACAUGGUGGGUUGUUUCAUUGAGGCCGUCCUUAAGCACUGAGAUCUGUGUGUGUGAUUUAAGAUUCAGCUACUACCACGCAUUGGGCCCAAAACCAAUGGACCCUCUCGACUUAUUAACCACUCUUGUCCUCAGUCCGGGAGUUGCAAGUAGUUUCUGGUGUUUGUAGCAUGCUGGGGGCCGCACGCAGCGCUGACCUUAGGGGUGGGUUGUGUUGCGGUAGGCACGUGGCACGGUGUAUCGAUUCGCCCGUUUGGUGUCUCGGGAACCCUGUUCACAUCGUUCGGGGCCGUUAGUGGAAACCUCGGCCGGACUCCCUGCGGAUGGAACCCAAAUAGGCGAUAAACCUGGACUAGGGACUCGUGUGUUUAGUCAGGCCAUGGCCGACACCCUUGCUGGGCUUCCGCUUGAAGGUUGCCGAGUACACGUCAUGUAGUGGCGAUAAGUGGUGAGAGCGUGUGUGAAGAAGUACACCCCUGCAGGGUACAAAACUAUUCGAAUAGCCGCGUCCACGGUAAAGGACUACUUGGUCACCUAUACAGUUCAUAGACAAGUAAAUGGAUACUUCUAAAAGCCUCAAGAUAAGUGUGAGUGCCGCGGAUGGCCCUGUCGUAGGUUGACGAGAGAGGAUCCACGGUGGAGUAUUGUGUUGGUGAGUAGUGGACUCGUGUGCGACAAAUGUUUUGCAAGUUGUGUCUAUCGUUGGAUAGCUUAGCCAAGAGUCAAAGCUGGCUUGCUGCAAUAACUCCACUACCUUCUUGAGAAUGUGCAUGUAUGAUAGGAUUCUGUUGUAAGACUUGCUGAGUACCUCUGUACUCAUGUUUGCUUAAUUAAUGUUUUCAGACGACAACACCAACCCCUCCGAUGGGUUCUACGUAGACCUCGACGUUGACGAGUGACUAGCCACCCAAGUGGUGAUCCAAGACUUGUGAAGGGCCGAUGUAGAUAGAAAGGCUUCAUCAAGCCCUCUUUCUUUCUAGUGUCUGUACUCAGACUAGUUGCUUCCGCAUGUGCUUGUAUGCUUGUAUGACUUGAGUGUCAGGUCAUGUGACCCCUAUCUGUAUGAACAUGUUAUGUAUGGCUCCUCGGAGCCACUUAAAUAAAGUACUUUGAGUUGUAGAGUUUUGUUGUGAUGCCAUGUUGUAUGUACUCAUAUCGGGCAUAUUGUGUGUAUGUUUGAAAUGCUUGGUAUGAGUGGGAUCCGACAAUCUAGUUGUUUAUCCUUGGCAGCCUCUCAUAUGGGGAAAUGUAGUCUAGUGCUUCUUGAGCGAUAGUAGUCCGCUACAGCCCGGUUCACCGGAGUCCUGCUAGCCCAGUACUACUGCUCUGGACACUUGACUGGCCGGCAUGUGUUUCACUUUGUUCCUGUGUCUGUCCCUUCGGGGAAAUGUCAAGCGGUGGCAUCCGGAGUCCUGCCUAGCCUGCUACAGCCCGGGUUACCGGAGUCCUGUUAGCCCAGCGUUACAUCCCGGAUGUAUACGUUGAUGACCAACAUGCUCGAUGUGAUUCAUGUAUGCAUGUCCCCAUAGGUUAGCGCCGCUUGGGUUCACGACUAGCCAUGUCGGCCCGGGUUCUCAGUCAUGUGGAUGCUAGCGACACUAUCAUAUACGUGAGCCAAAAGGCGCAAACGGUCUCGGGCCAUGGUAAGGCGCCACCCGUGGGAUUACCGUGCGUGAGGCCGCAAAGUGAUAUGAGGUGUUACCGGCUGGAUCAAUGUGACUUGGAAUCGGGGUCCUGACAAUUACUUGCUCCUAUCAUAUGUUUGGUUGCAACAAUGUCACUUCUUCACAUAUGCCAUGUCCCAUUGCUUGUCUCAUGCUUGACUUCAUUGCCUCACACAUGAUGAACAAUUGCUCUUUAUAUUGUGUUGAGUGUUACACUAUAUUCACUACAUCCUAUGCACGUUAUGUUUGGAUUGUCUUGCACUUGACCCAUGUGUUUAGACACUUCAUUUUAUUUGGUGUUGUGAAUCCUUCCUAUGCCUACCAUAGACCUUUCAUUGAGCAAUUUGUGAAUGCUUGCUAUGACCUCGAGGUAGAUGCUUAUGCUCUUGUCACACAUAUUUGCAUCUCUACCUCACAUUUACAUGCUUGUUCCCAUGAUAUUUUUGCUUGUGCUCGAUUGAUAUGCUUACAUGCCAUGUCACAAUCCUUUGUCACACCCUAUGCUAUGCUUGAUGACAACACUUGUUUGGUGAAUCACCUCUUGAAUGCUUGGUUUUGCACGAACGCAAACCACAUUUGUUUUUCCACGGGUUUGUUCUAUUUGCUCCUUUUGAAGGAAUCACAAGAUGGUGCGACACUGGAGAGUGCCCACUUCGAGCUACUAGACGAUGAGUGCUUGGUGAUCGACCACUUCGAUAUGGCACCGCCAUCUCUUUCCUAUGGUGAUUUGGUUUUCGAUCCGAGGUCGAAUCCUUCUCAAGGGGGAGGGGAUGAUGCGGAGCAUCCUAUGGACAUCACCAUGUCAAGAGUCCAUUCGGCAAGUGACACGUGCGACAUCUACUUCUCAUACAUAAAGGUGAAUCUUCUCCUUUACACGUGUUCACUUGACCCCUUCGAGGAUGGUAUACUACUUGACACUUCUCCCGUGUGCAUGCAUAGGUAUUGUCAGAGCUUUACGGAUGUCGAGGAGUGCAAGCGCCAAGGAACGACUACACCGUCCGCGAGGGAAGCAUGGAAGAGAAGGAGGAAGAGAACCUGGUGUUGGGGAACGUAGUAAUUUCAAAAUUUUCCUACGCACAUGCAAGAUCAUGGUGAUGAUAUAGCAACGAGGGGAGAGUGUUGUCUACGUACCCUCGUAGACCGAAGCGGAAGCGUUGACGCAGCGUAGAGGAAGUAGUCCUACGUCCUCCCGGUCCGACCGAUCCAAGCACCGUUACUCCGGCACCUCUGAGUUCUUGACACACGUACAGCUCGAUGACGCACCCUCGAUCUCCAAUCCAGUAGAGGCUCCAAGGGGGAGUUCCGUCAGCACGACGGCGUGGUGACUAUCUUGAUGUUCUCCUGUCGCAGGGCUUCGCCUAAGCACCGCUACAAUAUGACCGAGGUGUAAUAUCGUGGAGGGGGGCACCGCACACGGCUAAGGAACGAUCAAUGAUCAACUUGUGUGUUCUAGGGUGCCCCCUACCCCCGUAUAUAAAGGAGGGAGGGAGGAGGUGGCCGACCCAAGGAGGGGGCGCGCCAUGGGAGGAGGAAACCUACUCCAAGUAGGUUUCCCCUCUUUUUCCUUAUCUUAUUUGGAGGGGGAAGGAAGGAGUACUAGUAGUAGGAAGGAGUACUAGUAGUAGGAAAGGAAGAGGGGGAAGGAGAAAGGAAAGGGGGGGCCGGCCCCCCUCCCCAAUUCGGAUUGGGCUUGGGGGGGCGCGCCCCCCUCCCUUGCUCCUUCUCCCUUCCUCCUACAUGGGCCCAAUAAGGCCCAUAUACCUCCCGGGGGGGUUUCGGUAACCUCCCGGAGCUCCAAACUCUUCCGGAACCUUUCCGGUGUCCAAAUAUAUCCGUCCAAUAUAUCGAUCUUUAUGUAUCGACCAUUUCGAGACUCCUCGUCAUGUCCGUGAUCAUAUCCGGGACUCCGAACAAACUUCGGUACAUCAAAAUACAUAAACUCAUAAUAUAACUGUCAUCGAAACCUUAAGCGUGCGGACCCUACGGUUCGAGAACGAUGUAGACAUGACCGAGACAUGUCUCUGGUCAAUAACCAAUAGCGGGACCUGGAUGCCCAUAUUGGUUCCUACAUAUUCUACGAAGAUCUUUAUCGGUCAAACCGCAUAACAGCAUACGUUGUUCCCUUUGUCAUUGGUAUGUUACUUGUCCGAGAUUUGAUCGUCGGUAUCCAAUACCUAGUUCAAUCUCGUUACCGACAAGUCUCUUUACUCGUUCUGUAAUACUUCAUCUCAUAACUAACUCAUUAGUUAUAUGCUUGCAAGGCUUAUGUGAUGAGCAUUACCGAGAGGGCCCAGAGAUACCUCUCCGACAAUCGGAGUGACAAAACCUAAUCUCGAAUUAUGCUAACUCAACAUGUACCUUCGGAGACACCUGUAGUACUCCUUUAUAAUCACCCAGUUACGUUGUGACGUUUGGUAGUACCCAAAGUGUUCCUCCGAUAAACGGGAGUUACACAAUUCUCAUAGUUACAGGAACAUGUAUAAGUCAUGAAGGAAGCAAUAGCAGAAUACUAAACGAUCAAGUGCUAAGCUAACGGGAUGGGUCAUGUCAAUCACAUCAUUCUCCUAAUGAUGUGAUCCCAUUAAUCAAAUGACAACACAUGUCUAUGGUUAGGAAACAUAACCAUCUUUGACUAAUGAGCUAGUCAAGUAGAGGCAUACUAGUGACUAUAUGUUUGUCUAUGUAUUCACACAUGUAUCAUGUUUCCGGUUAAUACAAUUCUAGCAUGAAUAAUAAACAUUUAUCAUGAUAUGAGGAAAUAAAUAAUAACUUUAUUAUUGCCUCUAGGGCAUAUUUCCUUCAGUCUCCCACUUGCACUAGAGUCAAUAAUCUAGUUCACAUCGCCAUGUGAUUUAACACCAAUAUUCAUAUCUGUAUAUGAUUAACACCCAUAGUUCACAUCAUCAUGUGACCAACAUCCAAAGUGUUUACUAGAGUCAAUAAUCUAGUUCACAUCGCUAUGUGAUUAACACCCAAAGAGUACUAAGGUGUGAUCAUGUUUUGCUCGUGAGAGAAGCUCAGUCAACGGGUCUGUCACAUUCAGAGCCAUAUGUAUUUUGCAAAUAUUCUAUGUCUACAAUGCUCUGCACGGAGCUACUCUAGCUAAUCGCUCCCACUUUCAAUAUGUAUCCAGAUUGAGACUUAGAGUCAUCUGGAUCGGUGUGAAAACUUGCACCGAGAUAACUUUUACGACGGGCUCUUUUAUCACCUCCAUAAUCGAGAAAUAUUUCCUUAGUCCUCACUAAGGAUAUUCUUGACCAAUGUCCAGUGAUCUACUCCUAGAUCACUAUUGUACUCCCUUGUCAAAUACAGAGCAAGGUAUACAAUAGGUCUGGUACAUAGCAUGGCAUACUUUAUAGAACCUAUGACUGAGGCAUAGGGAAUGACUUUUCAUUCUCUUUCUAUUUUCUGCUGUGGUCGGGAUUUGAGUCUUACUCAAUUUCAUACCUUUGCAACACAGGCAAGAACUCUUUCUUUGACUGUUCCAUUUUGAACUACUUCAAAAUCUUGUCAAGGUAUGUACUCAUUGAAAAUCUUAUCAAGCGUCUUGAUCUAUCUCAAUAGAUCUUGAUGCUCAAUAUGUAUGUAGUUUUACUGAGGUCUUUCUUUGAAAAAACUCUUAUUCAAGUAUCCUUUAAUGCUUUGCAGAAUAAUUCUACAUUAUUUCCGAUCAGCAAUAUGUCAUUCACAUAUACUUAUCAGAAAUGCUGUAGUGCUCCCACUCACUUUCUUGUAAAUACAGGCUUCACCGCAAGUCUGUAUAAUACUAUAUGCUUUGAUCAACUUAUCAAAGCGUAUAUUCCAACUCUGAGAUGCUUGCACCAGUCCAUAGAUGGAUUGCUGGAGCUUGCACAUUUUGUUAGCACCUUUAGGAUUGACAAAACCUUCUGGUUGUAUCAUAUACAACUCUUCUUUAAUAAAUUCAUUAAGGAAUGUAGUUUUGACAUCCAUUUGCCAAAUUUCAUAAAAUGUGGCAAUUGCUAACAUGAUUCGGACAAACUUUUAAGCAUCGAUACGAGUAAGAAAAUCUCAUCGUAUUCAACACCUUGAACUUUGUCAAAAACCUUUUUUCGACAAGUCUAGCUUUGUAGAUAGUAACACUACUAUCAACGUCCGUCUUCCUCUUGAAGAUCCAUUUAUUCUUAAUGACUCACUGAUCAUCGGGCAAGUCAAUCAAAGUCUACACUUUGUUCUCAUACAUGGAUCAUAUCUCAGAUUUCAUGGCCCCAAGCCAUUUCGUGGAAUCUGGGCUCAUCAUCGCUUCCUCAUAGUUCGUAGGUUCAUCAUGGUCUAGUAACAUGACUUCCAGAACAUGAUUACCGUACCACUCUGGUGCGGAUCUUACUCUGGAAGACCUACGAGGUUUGGUAGCAACUUGAUCUGAAGUUUGAUGAUCAUCAUCAUUAACUUCCUCACUAAUUGGUGUAGGAAUCACUGGAACUGAUUUCUGUGAUGAACUACUUUCCAAUAAGGGAGAAGGUACAAUUACCUCAUCAAGUUUUACUCUCCUCCCACUCACUUCUUUCGAGAGAAACUCCUUCUCUGGAAAGGAUCCAUUUUAGCAACGAAUGUCUUGCCUUCGGAUCUGUGAUAGAAGGUGUACCCAACAAUUUCCUUUGGGUAUUCUAUGAAGACGCACUUCUCCGAUUUGGGUUCGAGCUUAUCAGGAUGAAACUUUUUCACAUAAGCAUCGCAGCCCCAAACUUUAAGAAACAACAGCUUAGGUUUACUGCUAAACCAUAGUUCAUACGGUGUCGUCUCAACGGAUUUAAAUGGUGCCCUAUUUUAAAACGUGAAUGCAGCUGUCUCUAAUGCAUAACCCCAAAACGAUAGUGGUAAAGAGACAUCAUAGAUCGCACCAUAUCAAAUAAAGUGCGGUUACGACGUUCGGACACACCAUAACGAUGUGGUGUUCCAGGUGGUGUGAGCUGUGAAACUAUUCCACAUUGUUUUAAUUGAAGACCAAACUCGUAACUCAAAUAUUUGUCUCCGCUAUCAGAUCGCAGAAACUUUAUUUUCUUGUUACGAUGAUUUUUCCACUUCACUCUGAAAUUCUUUGAACCUUUCAACUAUUUCAGACUUAUGUUUCAUCAAGUAGAUAUACCCAUAUCUGCUCAAAUCAUCUUGUGAAGGUCAGAAAAUAACGAUACUUGCCACGAGCCUCAACACUCAUUGGAUCGCAUACAUCGGUAUGUAUUAUUUCCAAUAAGUCAGUAGCUUGUUCCAUUAUUCCGGAGAACGGAGUUUUAGUCAUCUUGCCCAAAAGGCACGGUCCGCAAGCAUCAAAUGAUUCAUAACCAAGUGAUUCCGAAAAUCCAUCUUUAUGGAGUUUCUUCAUGCGCUUUACACCGAUAUGACCCAAACGGCAGUGCCACAAAUAAGUUGCACUAUCAUUAUUAACUUUGCAUCUUUUGGCUUCAAUAUUAUGAAUGUGUGUAUCACACGAUCGAGAUCCAACAAACCAUUUUCAUUGGGUGUAUAACCAUAGAAAGUUUUAUUCAUGAAAACAGAACAACAAUUAUUCUCUAACUUACAUGAAUAACCGUAUUGCAAUAAACAUGAUCAAAUCAUAUUCAUUCUCAACGCAAACACCAAAUAACACUUAUUUAGGUUUAACACUAAUCCCGGAAGUAUAGGGAGUGUGCGAUGAUGAUCAUAUCAAUCUUGGAACUAUUUCCAACACACAUCGUCACUACACUCUUAACUAGUCUCUGUUUAUUCUGCAACUCCCGUUUCGAGUUACUAAUCUUAGCAACCGAACAAGUAUCAAAUACUUAGGGGCUACUAUAAACACUAGUAUGGAACACAUCAAUAAUCUGUAUAUCAAAUAUACCCUUGUUCACUUUGCCAUCCUUCUUAUCAACCAAAUAUUCAGGGCAUUUCCGCUUCCAGUGACCAUUUCCUUUGCAGUGUAAACACUCAGUUUCAGGCUAUGGUCCAGCUUUGGGCUUGUCUUUCCACUUGAAGUUCCCUUUCUUUCCCUUUGCCCUUCUCUUGAAACUAGUGGUCUUGUCAAUCAUCAACACUUGAUGCUCUUUCUUGAUUUCUACCUUCGUCGAUUUCAACAUCACGAAGAGCUCGGGAAUCAUUUUUUCGUCAUCCCUUGCAUACUAUAGUUCAUCACGAAGUUCUAGUAACUUAGUGAUGGUGACUAGAGAAUUCUGUCAAUCACUAUCUUAUCUGGAAGAUUAACUCCCACUUGAUUCAAGCGAUUGAAGUACCCAGACAAUCUGAGCACAUGCUCACUAGUUGAGCGAUUCUCCUCCAUCUUUUAGCUAUAGAACUUGUUGGAGACUUCAUAUCUCUCAACUCGGGUAUUUGCUUGAAAUAUUAACUUCAAUUCCUGGAACAUCUCAUAUGGUCCAUGAUGUUCAAAACAUCUUUGAAGUCCCGAUUCUAAGCCGUUAAGCAUGGUGCACAAAACUAUCAAGUAGUCAUCAUAUUGAGCUAGCCAAACGUUCAUAACGUCUACAUUUGCUCCUGCAUUAGGUCUUUCACCUAGCGGUGCAUUAAGGACAUAAUUCUUCUGUGCAGCAAUGAGGAUAAACCUCAGAUCACGGAUCCAAUCCGCAUCAUUGCUACUAACAUCUUUCAACACAGUUUUCUCUAGGAACAUAUCAAAAUAAACAUAUGAAAGCAACAACGCGAGCUAUUGAUCUAUAACACAAUUUGCAAAAUACUACCAGGACUAAGUUCAUGAUAAAUUAAAGUUCAAUUAAUCAUAUUACUAAAGAACUCCCACUUAGACAGACAUCUCUCUAGUCAUCUAAGUGAUCACGUGAUCCAAAUCAACUAAACCAUGUCCGAUCAUCACGUGAGAUGGAGUAGUUUCAAUGGUGAACAUCGCUAUGUUGAUCAUAUCUACUAUAUGAUUCACGCUCGACCUUUCGGUCUCCGUGUUCCGAGGCCAUAUCUGUAUAUGCUAGGCUCGUCAAGUAUAACCUGAGUAUUCCGCAUGUGCAACUGUUUUGCACCCGUUGUAUUUGAACGUAGAGCCUAUCACACCCGAUCAUCACGUGGUGUCUCAGCACGAAGAACUUUCGCAACGGUGCAUACUCAGGGAGAACACUUCUUGAUAAUUAGUGAUAGAUCAUCUUAAAAUGCUACCGUCAAUCAAAGCAAGAUAAGAUGCAUAAAGGAUAAACAUCACAUGCAAUCAAUAUAAGUGAUAUGAUAUGGCCAUCAUCAUCUUGUGCUUGUGAUCUCCAUCUCCGAAGCACCGUCGUGAUCACCAUCGUCACCGGCGCGACACCUUGAUCUCCAUCGUAGCAUCGUUGUCGAUUACGCCAUCUAUUGCUUCUACGACUAUCGCUACCGCUUAGUGAUAAAGUAAAGCAAUUACAGGGCGUUUCCAUUUCAUACAAUAAAGUGACAACCAUAUGGCUCCUGCCAGUUGCCGAUAACUUCGGUUACAAAACAUGAUCAUCUCAUACAAUAAAAUAUAGCAUCACGUCUUGGCCAUAUCACAUCACAACAUGCCCUGCAAAAACAAGUUAGACGUCCUCUACUUUGUUGUUGCAAAUUUUACGUGGCUGCUACGGGCUUAGCAAGAACCGUUCUUACCUACGCAUCAAAACCACAACGAUAGUUUGUCAAAUAGACUCCGUUUUAACCUUCACAAGGACCGGGCGUAGCCACACUCGGUUCAACUAAAGUUGGAGAAACAGACACCCGCCAGUCACCUGUGUGCAAAGCAUGGCGGUAAAACCAGUCUCGCGUAAGCGUACGCGUAAUGUCGGUCCGGGCCGCUUCAUCCAACAAUACCGCUGAACCAAAGUAUAACAUGCUGGUAGGCAGUAUGACUUAUAUCGUCCACAACUCACUUGUGGUCUACUCGUGCAUAUAACAUCAACGAAUAAAACCUAGGCUCUGAUGCCACUGUUGGGGAACGUAGUAAUUUCAAAAUUUUCCUACGCACAUGCAAGAUCAUGGUGAUGAUAUAGCAACGAGGGGAGAGUGUUGUCUACGUACCCUCGUAGACCGAAGCGGAAGCGUUGACGCAACGUAGAGGAAGUAGUCGUACGUCCUCCCGGUUCGACCGAUCCAAGCACCGUUACUCCGGCACCUCCGAGUUCUUGACACACGUACAGCUCGAUGACGCACCCUCGAUCUCCAAUCCAGUAGAGGCUCCGAGGGGGAGUUCCGUCAGCACAACAGCGUGGUGACUAUAUUGAUGUUCUCCUGUCGCAGGGCUUCGCCUAAGCACCGCUACAAUAUGACCGAGGUGUAAUAUCGUGGAGGGGGGCACCGCACACGGCUAAGGAACGAUCAAUGAUCAACUUGUGUGUUCUAGGGUGCCCCCCUACCCCCGUAUAUAAAGGAGGGAGGGAGGAGGUGGCCGGCCCAAGGAGGGGGCGCGCCAUGGGAGGAGGAAACCUACUCCAAGUAGGUUUCCCCUCUUUUUCCUUAUCUUAUUUGGAGGGGGAAGGAAGGAGUACUAGUAGUAGGAAGGAGUACUAGUAGUAGGAAAGGAAGAGGGGGAAGGAGAAAGGAAAGGGGGGGCCGGCCCCCUCCCCAAUUCGGAUUGGGCUUGGGGGGGCGCGCCCCCCUCCCUUGCUCCUUCUCCCUUCCUCCUACAUGGGCCCAAUAAGGCCCAUAUACCUCCCGGGGGGUUCCGGUAACCUCCCGAAGCUCCAAACUCUUCCGGAACCUUUCCGGUGUCCAAAUAUAUCCGUCCAAUAUAUCAAUCUUUAUGUCUCGACCAUUUCGAGACUCCUCGUCAUGUCCGUGAUCACAUCCGGGACUCCGAACAAACUUUGGUACAUCAAAAUACAUAAACUCAUAAUAUAACUAUCAUCGAAAACUUAAGCGUGCGGACCCUACGGUUCGAGAACGAUGUAGACAUGACCGAGACAUGUCUCUGGUCAAUAACCAAUAGUGGGACCUGGAUGCCCAUAUUGGUUCCUACAUAUUCUACGAAGAUCUUUAUCGGUCAAACCGCAUAACAGCAUACGUUGUUCCCUUUGUCAUCGGUAUGUUACUUGUCCGAGAUUUGAUCGUCGGUAUCCAAUACCUAGUUCAAUCUCGUUACCGACAAGUCUCUUUACUCAUUCUGUAAUACUUCAUCUCAUAACUAACUCAUUAGUUAUAUGCUUGCAAGGCUUAUGUGAUGAGCAUUACCGAGAGGGCCCAGAGAUACCCCUCCGACAAUCGGAGUGACAAAACCUAAUCUCGAAUUAUGCUAACUCAACAUGUACCUUCGGAGACACCUGUAGUACUCCUUGAUAAUCACCCAGUUACGUUGUGACGUUUGGUAGUACCCAAAGUGUUCCUCCGGUAAACGGGAGUUACACAAUUCUCAUAGUUACAGGAACAUGUAUAAGUCAUGAAGGAAGCAAUAGCAGAAUACUAAACGAUCAAGUGCUAAGCUAACGGGAUGGGUCAUGUCAAUCACAUCAUUCUCCUAAUGAUGUGAUCCCAUUAAUCAAAUGACAACACAUGUCUAUGGUUAGGAAACAUAAUCAUCUUUGACUAAUGAGCUAGUCAAGUAGAGGCAUACUAGUGACUAUAUGUUUGUCUAUGUAUUCACACAUGUAUCAUGUUUCCGGUUAAUACAAUUCUAGCAUGAAUAAUAAACAUUUAUCAUGAUAUGAGGAAAUAAAUAAUAACUUUAUUAUUGCCUCUAGGGCAUAUUUCCUUCACCUGGCCGCUCCAGAACGAGCGGUACUACCGCCCACUCCAAGCGGUACUACCGCUGAGGCCACCCAAGAGGCACUACCGCCCAGCAUCCGCCCUACUACCGCUCAACCCGACAAACUCCAGUGAUCGAGCGGUAUAAGCCCGGUACUACCGCCCCUCCAAGCGGUACUACCGCUCAAGCGGUACUACCACCCAUGAGUCCGGUACUACCGCCCUGCUUGUGAGCAGCCGCGGGCCUUUGGCCUUGUAUCCCUCUCCCACUUACCCCUUCGUGGCUUAGACUAUAAAUAGACCACCUCCACCUCCUUUCUAGGGUUAGAACAGAUUGAGCUUAUUUUGAGAUAGAGCUUUACUCAUCCAUACGGAUCUACUCCUCGUGAGAGACUGCGGCCUCUUCGGAGAAGAUCGAUCUUGGAUUCAAGACCCCUCGUGGGAAGAUCCGUCUAGGAUCAUCAAGACCUCCUCUUGGAGAUGAACCUUACCUUGUAUCUUUCCCUUUGUUGUUCAUGUACCCUUGUGGAUCUUGUGUGUUUGAUUGUCUAGUGGAUGUGUGAUUGGACUUGUUCUUGAGUGUUUCCCCUUGUGAUUUCUCUCCGUUCUUCCCUGUGUUCUUCGUGUUCUUCGUGGGGAUCCACUCCAAACGUGAAAAAUCGGCCUCUAGGGUUCUACCCUACAUCAUCAUCCUUCAAAAAUAUGGAGGGCCAUUAUUGACGGAAGGGAUAUUAUAUGGCGCAAGGUAUAAUCAGACGCAUCGGGGAUGGAGCGACUACACACAUAUGGGAUCACAACUGGAUUAUGAUGGAAAGCUAUAAGAGGCCAAUAACUAAGUUAGUGCAGAACCCCCCUCAGAAACAUUUUAUGUAUACACGUUAACAUUUCCCAGAUAUAUGAUUAAUAUUUUUGGAAAACUUCUAUUUUUUAUGUGUACUUUUUUAUACAUUUUGUAAUAUCAGAAAUAGUUUUUAUAGAAGGUUUAACAUUUUUCAAAUACAUGAUUACCUUUUUGUAAACUUAUAUUGUUUGACGUUUACUUUUUUUCAUAGACAUAGUGAGGGGUUAUAUCUAAGGAAUAGGCCCAAGUACAUGUAUGGCACAACCAAAUGCCCAUGUUAAUCAAGGAUGUUCCACAAGACAAAUGGGGAAACACACCAAGGCCAAUGGAGCUACAAGGCCAAGGCAUCGGAUACAAGGGGAGAGUCAACUAUGUACAGUCGGAUUACACAGCCCUUAACAGACAAGACUCAUCAGUUGGUCCACUAUUGGAAUCAGGUCAUUUGCCGUCAGCCCAGAAUAGACGCGAAGACUUUGCCGUGAGCAAGUUGACGACAAACACAAUCAGCAAAGACUAUAUCGGCAGAGAGCUAAUUUGACGUCAACUUUUCAUCGCGCUGAUGACAAAGACUUUGCCGUCAAUUAAACUAUGUGUUUGUAGUCUGUAGAGAAAACACAAACGGCAAAGAAAUUAAAAAAAUGGUCAUUUUAAAAUAAUUUUUAGAAAUCUAUAUACUGUUUUUUAAAAUGUUUAAUAUGUACCAAGAAUUAUUUCGUAAGUAUACAAAAGAUGUAUAACGUGUAUGAAAAUUACGUAGACAUCAGAACAUAUUAUAGAAAUGUUAAUCUUGUAUUUAAAAAUUUUAAAUACACAUGCAUAAAAAUGUUUUUGAUGUACAUAAAAAAAUUGUACAUAGUGUGUGAACAAAGUAUGCAUUGAAAAAACAAAAAUCUUGUUGGAAAAAAAUCUCGUGUUGUAUACGAAAAUGUAAAAGGUGUAUGAAAAUAAUUAGAUAUAUGUUUAAUGAAAAAAGGAAAGAAGGCGCAAAAAAUCCGAUUAACACCAAGAUAGGAACAAGAAAACCUGAAGAAGACCAUUGAAAAAAAGAAAUGAAUACAAGAAAGAGGAAGAAAAACAAAAAAAAUGAAGAAGCUGAUGCAGAACAGGGAACUUAGUGAAAACGAAUAAAAAUUGAUGAAAACCGAGAAGAAAAACAAGAAAACUGAAGCAAAAAUUAAGAAAAAUAUGUAAAAAAAAUGAUGAAACAUUGCGAAACAGUGAAAUACUAUGAAAACCAAAGGAAAAAAAGACUCAAAAAUAAGAACGUACAGCAAGCGAAUGAACAACAACUGAGUGAACGAGCGAACAUGCGAGAAUACGUUAAUUGUCUGGCCCAUACUUGUGGAUUCCAGAGGCGAGCCAGAAUAGGCGAGAUAUAGCUAUGACGAUUUGAUACCCUUCAUAGCUUCACGAAUGCUAUAUCUCGCUCACAGCGAAAGUAUUUUUUGUCUGGCCUGAAGGUGAAAGAAUAGCAUCAGGUCGCUGUAAGUUUUGUGAUCCUACAAUCAGAGCUCGAUAAGAUUAAAAUUCAUGUUUCUGACAACCAGUCAUUCGCUCACUCAAUUCCACGUACUAGUUUGGUUAGGUUUUUUUUUCAUUUUUUUCUGUUUUUUAUUUCUUCACUGGCUUUCUUUGGUUUUUUUAUCGGUUUUCUUUGUUUCCUUCACGUUUUACUCUUUCUUUUCCUUUUUACUGGUUUAUCUAUUCCUUUUUUCUUUGUUUCUUUCUUGGUUUUCUUUGUUUUUUCUUUCUUUUGAUGUCAACCUUUUUACAUACACAUUCAACAAUUUUCGUAUACAUCAGAAACAUUUUAUGUAUACACGUUAACAAUUCCCAGGUACAUGAUUAAUAUUUUUGGAAAACUUCUAUUUUUUAUGUGUACUUUUUGAUACAUUUUGUAUAUAUCAGAAAUAUUUUUUAUAGAAGGUUUAACAUUUUUUAAAUACAUGAUUACCUUUUUGUAAACUUAUAUUGUUUGACGUUUACUUUUUUUCAUAGACAUAGUGAGGGGUUAUAUCUAAGGAAUAGGCCCAAGUACAUAUAUGGCCCAAGUACAUUUAAUCAAGGAUGUAGUCCACAAGACAAAUGGGGAAACAGACGGGGGCCAAUGGAGCUACAAGGCCAAAGCAUCGGAUACAAGGGGAGAAUCUACAGUCGGAUUACACAACCCUUGACAGACAAGACUCAUUAGUUGGUCCGCUAUAGGAAUCGGGUAAUUUGCCGUCAGCCGAGAACAUACUCAAAGACUUUGCCGUCAGCAAGUUGAUGACAACUUUUCAUCACGUUGAUGACAAAGACUUUGCCGUCAAUUAAACUAUGUGUUUAUCGUCUAUAGAAAAAACACAAACGGCAAAGGAAAGCACCUUUGCCAUCAGCGGCUAAUCUGCAUGUGUCUUCAACAAGACUCGUCUUGUCACUAGCCUCAAACAUCACAGAUGGAAAAGAAAUUUUUUAUUUUAAAAAAUCUGCGUCGACCACCCUACUUCGCACAUGUAGCCACCGCCUGGCCGCGCUCGCUGAUCACCCACAAGUGUAGGGGAUCUAUCGUAGUCCUUUCGAUAAGUAAGAGUGUCGAACCGAACGAGGAGUAGAAGGAAAUGACAAGCGGUUUUUAGUAAGGUAUUCUCUGCAAGCACUGAAAUUAUCGGUAACAGAUAGUUUUGUGAUAAGGUAAUUCGUAACGGGUAACAAGUAACAACAGUAAAUAAAGUGCAGCAAGGUGGCACAAUCCUUUUUGUAGCAAACGACAAGCCUGGACAAAUUCUUAUAUGAAGGAAAACGCUCCCGAGGACACAUGGGAAUUAUCGUCAAGCUAGUUUUCAUCACGCUCAUAUGAUUCACGUUCAUUACUUUGAUAAUUUAAUAUGUGGAUGGACCGGUGCUUGGAUACUGCUCUUUCUUGGAUAAGCAUCCCACUUAUGAUUAACCCCUAUUGCAAGCAUCCGCAACUCAAAAGAAAUAUUAAGGUAAACCUAAUCAUAGCAUGAAACAUUGACACGGCACAUUAUAAAGAGUUCAACCCAAAUUUUGUAGUAACACUAUUAUAUUUAAAUAGUGAUUAUUCCAACACAUGGAUAAUUAAUUAAGGCACCAGGUUGCGCUUGUGACCAGGAAAGACAAACUUAUGAACUUGCAAGCAUGACAAUCAGAUCGACAUCCACACAAUGUCAAUAUGAACAUUGUCUUGAUACAACUUUAUUUGUAUUUUAUUUCAGAAUUUAAACAACUAGUUUGGGCGGGUCACACACGACGUUGUGUGACACUUUAUUUGUCACCGCUGCAUCGACAUAUCCAUCGACUAAACAACGGUGAUCCAACUAUAUAUUACUAGAGACCUUUCCUUAUCAGUAGGCACCAACUCCAGUGCCAACGCCAAAUGGCACACUAGUGGUGGUCCUAUACAACGGCACAUUGACACGGCACAUCAUUGGCAGGGUACGGAGCGCAAUGGAAGUCAUCACCUCAAGCUGAGCUAUCUGGUGUGGCUGCAAAAAGGUACCCUGUGCCAAUUGUUGUUGUUGAGGUUGUUGCCCGAGUUGCUGCUGUGACUGCUGUUGGGGUUGGGAAACGCAUUGGCCCAACUGUUGCGGUUGCUGCUGCUGAGUUUGGAUGGAACCCCGAACCUGUUGUUGUUCUUGCAGGACGAUGGAGUAGAUGAUAGCACGGAUUGCCUCAUAGCGGGAUUGCUGGGGGAUUUGCGGCAACUGCUGGCAACAUUGUUGUUGCAUCACAUGGCAACUACUCUGCUGCAACAUUUGCGACCUAGCAAGACUUUGUGGCAUUGCCACAGGGCUGCAUUGCUGCUGGAGGAAUACCUUGCAUGGGUUCAGCUGCUGCAAGAUAGAUGGAUGAACAAAUGGUAUUUGUUGUUGCGGUAGAACUAGUUGUUGUUGUUGUUGCGAAAAUGAUGGUUGUUGUGGUAGAAUUGGUUGUUGUUGUUGUUGUUGCGAAAAUGGUGGUUGUUGCGGUAGUACUGGUUGUUGUUGUUGUGAAAACGGUGGUUGUUGUUGUGAAAAUGGUGGUAGUUGUUGCUGCGAAAAUGAUGGCUGUUGCGGUAGAACUGGUUGUUGUUGCUGCGAAAAUGGUGGUUGUUGCUGUGAAAAUGGUGGUUGUUGUUGCUGUGAAAAUGGUGGUUGUUGUUGCUGCGAUAAUGGUUGUUGUUGUUGUUGUUGUUGUUGUUGUUGUUGUUGUUGUUGUUGUUGUUGUUGUUGUUGUUGUUGUUGUUGUGAACAUGGUUGCUGUUGUGGAAAUUGUUGUGGUUGUUGUUGGAUGGGUUGUUGUGGUUGUUGGUGCGAUAAUGUUUGUUGUGGUGGUAAUGGUUGUUGCUGCGAUGGUCUCUCCAAACCAGGGAUGUGGCUAUUCUCCAUUUGUGCAAUGGCACUUGUCGCCGCAACGGCGAGGAGGGCAAAGAUGAGGAAGGUCUUCAUGGUGGACUAGUGUUAACUAGUAUUUCCUGGUUUUGAUGCUUGUGUUUGUGAUGAUCUUUAUACUUCAUGCCUAUUUAUAGUAGCCAGGGCACCACCUCUUUUCUUCUUUGCAUUAGCUUUAAUAAUUCUGUUUGGAUGCAUCUAAAAUGAUUUUUGAUACAGUGUGUUAGGUUGCACUAGCUACACGCAUACUUUUGGAUUGAUCAUCAAAGUUUCUUUUUAGUUGUGCAUAUGAUCAUACACAAAGUAUAGAAAUCCUGAUGCUUGCUAAAGAUGACUUGCCUUAUUCACUUUACAUGUCACACACUUAUCUGUAUAGUAUCACUUUUGCAACCGAGUUUGGAACCUUGUAUAGGUUGUCAGCCAUAAACAAGAAAGGCAAAACUUGUGUAGGACUAAGUUGCAAUCGUGUGUGGGCUGUUAAGAUAUGCUCGAUUGUUAAAGCCUUGCGUCUGGAGGGUUCUUCUAGACUCGGUUGCUUUUCAUAAAACUAACUUUGUAUUUUCCUCUAAGAUGAUAAGAUGAAAUGACGCCUGUAGAGCAUGACAUGACUCAUUGAAUUCCCUUUACACGUAAAGGAUGGUAAUUGCUUACAAGCUACUCCUACUAGCAUAUAUCCGGUCCUAACUCUAGACACGUCAUCACCAGUUCCAUCUUUUUUUUUUAGAUAAAUCAUCAGUUCCGUGUUUUUUUUUUUUGAGACAAUCAGUUCCAUCUAUGUUUUUUUUUGAGAGAAAUAGUUCCAUCUAUGGGUGAAGGAUUUUUUUGGGGGCAAAUGAUAGAUGGGGCUGGAACAGAGGCCCCAGCCUGGAACGAGAGAUUAGGCCCAACGUAAGCGAUGUGUGUGUUAGGGCACCAAAUUCGAACUGGGCUAUAGUUUUCGGAGGCCCCAACGUCAGAAGCCCAGCCCACACUCCGCCGAUCUGCGUCGUCUUCGUCUCCCCUUCCCCGUCCUCCUCGCCGGCCGGAUCGCUCGCCGGCGCACGACGUCUCCCGGACCCCACCGCCCGCGGCCGCUCCACGUACGCGCGCGGCGGCGGAGGCGUCGGCCUCCCUCCCACCCUCCGCAUCCGGCCCCCCACCACCACCGCCACCGCCACCGCUCGAGGUACCCACUCGUUCCCCUUCCCAUUCCUCCCUACCCUCAACCUCUCUCGUAUCCUCUUCUAACAGCUCUUUUUACUUCCGUUGCAGAUGGUCUCUGAGCUCCCCCGUCGGCUGCGCGCCGUAGGCCUCCCCUCCCGGUCGACACAAGGUAUCGAUCCUGUCCGUCCGUCUCUUCCAGCGAUUCGAUUCACAUGAAUUCGAGAGGCGUGCCCAUCUCCAUGCUAGCUGCGUGGAUCAGGAGGGUCAGGAAGCAGAAUUCAGAUGCCUGACAGUGACAUACUACUACAUUUGUGGCUUUGGAAGCUGAGCAACUCCGUGCUUUAUGUGGAUGUCACUUCAAGUAAUCAUCAAAUUUCCGCCUACGCGCGCUACCCAGGUGGAGUGGAGGAGAAGCAGUUGGCAUGGGCAUUCCGUUUCUCUCCCAUGUCUGAGAAGAAAGUUCGUCUCCGGUGCAGCGAUAUCCAAGUUAGUUACAGCAUCCAGUCAUCUAUAUAAUCUCAGUGUUUAUUCUGUUUUGUACUGUCGUAUUUCAUAUGUGCAUCAGAGCAAAUGUGCUUUCUAGAGGCAUGUUGCAGCUGGCCGAGUCCCAGAUCUCGUUUCAUGUAUAUGGCCAUAGGCAGCGAUCAAUAAAAGGGUACUGGAAUUGAUCUUCUAACGUCACUGUUGUUUCUAGCUCCCUGUCUUUGUUUUUGUUGCUUCCGUCGUAUGGUUGCAAAGUUAGGCUUCAUCUGAUUUUAGUUAGUUAAUCUGAUCUCGUUAACCUGAUAAAGAGAAUUCCACCCUGCCCUUUAUUCCGCUCUUCACUGUCUCACAAUAAGGGAACAUAUUAAGCUCACCAAAUUGUGUCCCUCAAAAAUAAAAAAUAAACUCACCAAAUUGUAUCACAGGAGAUUGUCAAGUUGUGUUUUAUCAUAUCAGUAUAGUAAGUGUAUCAUUUGUCCAUAUCAACAAGGGAUAGUCAUCUGCCAGCUUAUUAUGCUCAUCUCUGAGCUCGAUCAUGCCCUUCAAUGUUAGUUAGAGGUGUCAUUAAAACAGGACAAGAAAUUAACCACUUUCCACCGGGUCUUCUCUCUUGAGCAGGAAGCAUGUGAUGCAUUCAAGAUUCGAUGAAUUCACGAAAACCAAUAUCGUGGUCCUCCCUGUGCAGCAGGUACCUGAGAUGAAUUGUAUUUUGUAAGUGCUCUGUAUGCGUGCUGUCAGCCGGCAGUGGAGGUAAUUGUUUAAUUUGCAUUCCUGCAACUUCUUGUAUUUGUAAAGAAAAUUCUUACUAUUUGCUGAGUGCACAGCCAUUGCAUUGUCACUUUUGAAAAACCGCAUUGGAUGUACUGAGAUAAAUAAUAGUAUAAUCUCUACUUGCAUACUACGAACGAGAAAUCUUCAUUCUGACUUGCAAUAAGGGAGUUUGUUUAGCUGUGCCUUAUUAGGAAAUGAAGAUACCCCCAGCUGUUAACGUGGUAUCCAAGCUAUCCUUAUUAUAUGUCAGCUCAAAAGGAAUGCCAAGUGCCGAGCUGUUGUGAGAGUUGAUGGUUGUGAUUGGUUACCAAAAAUCAAAGUCACCCACUCAAGAGAGAAAGUCAAUGCUCACGUUGGCUUCCAUUUUUCUCACACGCAAACCAAACACAUCUUGCUCACACCAUUAUCUUCUCCAUUUUGCACUGUGCUUGUGCUAAUCUGUGUAGUAUUGUUGGCAAUUUGGGAUAUGUUGGUCUCGCCAGGAGGCCUGUGCUAAUCUGUGCUAUUUCUGAAAAUAUGCUCCCCUAAUCUCCAAUUAUAUUAUGCGUAAAACCAAAAAGGUCAGACUUCUUGAGAACAUGCCAGUGCUGAUUUGUGUUUUUCCUGCUGAUAUGCACUUUAGUAUAUCAAAAUGUACACUUAAUUAGAUGUUUUAAUUUUAAAGUCACAGUUAGAGAGAGGGACAGUGCACCAACCAGCUGGUGCAAACGAAUGACCUGUGUGACGACCUGAGCGUAUUCUUGAAAAAGAAACCCGAAAUACCACCUAGAUCCAUCCACCAUUAUUGCCAGUGUUAAAAAAAAAUACAGGCGUCUUCUGGGCUCUAAAAGCCAUUUCUGGGUCUUAUCUCUUGAAGAAGCAUUUGAUGCAUUUAAGAUUCAACCAAUUAAGAAAACCAAUGUUCUGGCCUUCCAUCCGUGGCAGGAACUCAGAGAUGAAUUGUCUUUUGCACAAGUAUGCUGACACACGUCUAGUCAGUCGAGGUAAUUUUUGGAUUUGCAUUCCUGUGACCUCUGGUAUUUGGAAAAAGUAAAUCAUAUUUGCUAAGUUCACAGCCAAUGGAGCGAAAAUUUUGAAAAACUGCUUUGGAUUUACUGGCAUAAAUAUCUAGAGAGAAUUCCUUAUUAGACACUCCCUUAAAAUCAUGUUCCUUAUUUGACACUAGAAAAAAUUUCUUCCCUAUAUGACCUAUAGUCUUAAUUUCUUUCCCUAUAUGACACUCUAGUGCAUUUUGUUCACGUGAAAAGACCAUUUUACCCAUAUGUAUAAUGUGACCGCAAAUAUGUACAAGAUAAUAGUUGUUCCAAAAAAAUCAGUCGAGUUAUCCAUAUGUGACAUCAUAUAUGCUGGUAUUGUCAUGUCAGUCGAUUUACUAUUGUGCUAAGAAAUCAUGACCGAGGCCUUCGAUGGUUCAUGUGCUAAUUGACCUCAGCUAGUUGUCUAUACGUAUUUGUGUACAUAUACGUGGCCAGCUUGCCGGCCGGAGCGUAGAUAUUUAAAUACGUACGCGCACCCUGACGAUCAAGCGAAUACAUGUAUUCUAGCUUCGUAUGACCCGGUUCAUAUACAUACGUAUGUUGGCUGCACCGAACCGGGCCUACAUUCGUGCUAGCACGCAACUUCCUUCCAUACUUGCAAAUACGUGCACAUGCACUAAUGGCAUGCACGUAGGCGAUCACGGAAGCACACACAAAAAUGCUUAAAAAAUUCAUUCAUUUUUAAGAAUGCAUUUUAGUGUUAAAGCACACGUACAAAAGUACGUCAAACAAUCACACUCACAAACCAUACCGCAUGAACUAGACCCACAGCUGAAUACGUUCUAAAUACAUUGGAUGCAUGCGCUCAGGUAUACAGAAUACACAUGCAUCCCAAAAAAGACCAACGGAGGAGAUAACAUGUUCAGCUGUGCUCACUCUUAGAAACGAUUUUUUCCUAAUUAGGCUCAAUGCUACAUAUUUCUGGUCACAUUAUGUACAGGGGCAAAAAGGUCUUUUCACGUGUACAAAAUGAACUAGAGUGUCAUAUAGGGAAAGAAAUUAAGACUAUAAGUCAUAUAGGGAAGAAAUUUUUUCCCGUGUCAAAUAAGGAACACAAUUUUAAGAGAAUGUCAAAUAAGGAAUUCUCUCAAAUAUCUAAUACAAUGACCCACUUGCAGAAUUCAGCUGCGUAGCCUGACAGUGAUGUACGUACAUUUGUGGCUUUGCUAGCUGAGUAACUCUGUGCUUUAUGUGGAUGCCACUUCAAAUAAGCAUCAAAUUUGUGCCUAUGCGUGCUAUGCAGGUGGACGAGAAGCAGUUGGCAUGGACAUUCCUUUUCUCUCUGAUGUCUGGCAAGAAAGUCCGUCUUCUGUGCAGCGAUAUCCAUGUUAGUUACAAUAUCCAAUCAUCUCUAUAAUUAUAAUCUCAGUGUUUAUUCUGUUUUGUAUUGUCGUAUUUCAUAUGUGCAUCAGAGGAAAUGUGCUUUCUAGCUAGAGGCAUGUUGCAGCUGGCCGAGUCGCAGAUCUCAUUUAUAUGGCCAUAGGCGGUGACCAAUACAAGGGCACUGGAAUUUAUCUUCGAAUGCCACUGUUGUUCUAGCUCUUUGUCUUUACUUUUGUUGCUUCUGUUGUAUGGCUGCAAAGUUAGGCUUCAUCUGAUUUUAGUUAGUCAAGCGAUCUCGUUAAGAUGAUAAAAAGAAUUCCACACGAUGACACGACCCUUUAUUCCGCUCUUCACCGUCUCACAAUAACGGAACAUAUUAAGCUCAACAAAUCGUAUCCCUCAAAAAUAAAAAAGCUCACCAAAUUGUAUCGCAUACUCAUACAUAUCUUUCAUCGUCAAAUAACAGGAGAUUGUCAAGUUGUGUUUUAUCAUAUCAGUAUAUUAAGUGUAUCUUUUGUCCAUAUGAGCAAGGGAUAAUCAUCUGCCAGCUUAUUAUAUGCUCAUCUCUGAGAUCGAUCAUACCUCUUCAAUCUUAUUAGAGGUGUCAUUAAGAAAUGACAAGAAAUUAACUACUUGCCACCGGGUCUUCUCUCUUCAGCAGGAAGCAUGUGAUGCAUUCAAGAUUCACGAAAACCAAUAUUGUGGUCCUCCCUAUGCAGCAGGUACUUGUGAUGAAUUGUAUUUUGUAAGUGCACUGUAUGUGUGCUGUCAGCCAGCAGUGGAGGUAAUUGUUUAGCUUGCAUUCCUGCAACUUCUUGUAUCUGGAAAGGACACUCUUACUAUUUGCUGAGUUCACCGCCAAUGUAUCUUCACUUUGGAAAAACUGCAUUCGAUGUACCCACAUAAAUAUAUAAUAUAAUGAUGAUCUAAUAGCAAAUUAUAUGGCCAUAGGCAGUGAUGAUCAAUAAAAGGGCACUGGAAUUUAUCUUCUAAUGUAUACGUCACUAUUUUUUUAGCUCUCUGUCUUCAUUUUUGCUUCCUCUGUUGUAUGGUUAAAAAGUUAGGUUUCAGCUGAUUUUAGUUAGUUAUAAGCGGAUCUCGUUAAGCUCUUUAUCUUUAUUUUUGCUGCCUCCGUUGUAUGGUUAAAAAUUUAGGUUACAUCUGAUUUUAGUUUGUUAGGCGGAUCGCGUUAAACUGAUAAGAACUCCGUAUAGUCCUUUAUUCUGGUCUUCACUGCCUCAAAAUAACAGAACCUAUUAAGUGUCGAAAUUGUAUCUCACAAUCAUACAUAUCUUUCAUCGUUGAAUAACACAAAUUAUCAUAUCAGUACAAAAGUAUAUAUCGUUUGUCCAUAUGCACAAGAGAUAAUCAUCUGCCAGCUGAUUAUUCUUAUCUUUGAGAUCCGAUCCUGUACUCAAUGUUAAUUAGGGGUGUCAUUAAAAAAGACAAGAAAAUAACCACUUGCCCUCGGGUCUUCUCUUGUCAGCAGAAAGCAUGUGAUGCAUUCAAGUUUCAAUGAAUUCACGAAAACCAAUAUUGUGGUCCUCGAGAUGAAUUGUAUUUUGUAGGUGUACUGUAUGUGUGCUGUCACCCGUCAGUUGAGGUAAUUGUUUAAUUUGCAUUCCUGCAACCUCUUGUAUGUAUUCGGAAAGAAAAUUCUUACUAUUUUCCGAGUUCACAGCCAAUCCAUUAUCACUUCCGAAAAACUGCAUUGGAUCUACUGACGUAAAUAUAUAAUAGAGUGAUCUACUUGCAAUAUUAAGAACGAGAAAUCUUCAUUCUGACUUGCAAUAAGAGGGGUUAGUCUAGCUUUUUCCUGCUAAUAAAUGAAGGUACCCAUUACUGUCACCAGUUAAUGUGGUAUGCUAGUUGUCCUUAUUAUAUAUCAGCCCCAAAAAAGAAUGCCCAGUGCUGAGCUAUUGCAAGAUCGGAUAGUUUGUGAUUGGUUCCCAGAAAUCAAGCUCAUGCACUUGGCUCCCAGAAAGUCAACACUCACGUUCGCUUCCAGUUUCCUGACCAGCAAGACGUGCUUCUGCUAAUGUAGGCUUGUGCUCCAAAAUUCCCCAUCAAGCUGGCUCCUGCUCCCCCGAAUCCUACCCCCACCCAUCCAAAAGCUUCAAGAUCUCACAGAAAUCUCACAACUUCCGUUCGUCGGAGUAGAGCCUUCAAACAGCCCCGCCCACACAUCCACGCGGCGGCUGCUGCCAUAACUUCACCGGAGUCGCCUUCUCCUUCCGCGCCACGUCACCGGUGCCGGCCAGGCUCUGAAUCUUCUGCUGCUGCCGCCGAUACGAUGCUGGAGCUGGCAUCGACAUGCUUGUGAGGGCCACUUCUUCCGUGCUGUUACUGUGCUGCUGGUUCUGGGUGCUGCUGAUCAGGGGCAAGCUCGUGAAGGUAACUAUGCCUGCAAGAUUGGGAUUUUACUUGUAAUUCGUUCAAGAUCUACCUAUGAACGUCUUGCUCACACCAUUCUCUUCAUUAAUUUCUGCAGUGCACCUGUGUUGGAGGAGUUUCCUCCGAGAGUUCCAAUGGCAGAGCUGGUGGUCACCAUGGCGCUCCGGCCACUGGUCGCCAUGCUCAGGGACAAGGCGUCCAGCUAUCUCCUUGACCAGUACAAUGUGAUGGAGGGAAUGGAGAAGCAGCACAUGAUUCUGAAACGCAGACUUCCUAUCGUCCUGGACGUCAUCACUGACGCCGAGGAGCAGGCGACAGCCAACAGAGAAGGGGCGAAAGCCUGGCUCCAGGAGCUCAAGAGAGUAGCCUAUGAGGCAAAUGAAGUCUUCGAUGAAUUCAAAUAUGAAGCACUUCGCCGUGAAGCCAAGAAGAAUGGACACUACAAAAAGCUUGGAUUUGAUGUGAUAAAACUCUUCCCCACUCACAACCGUGUUGUCUUCGUUCAGAGAAUGGGUAGCAAGCUUUGCAGGAUUCUGGAGGAUAUCAAUGUCCUCAUUGCAGAGAUGCAUGACUUUGGGCUGAGGCAGACAUUUUUGGUGUCUAAUCAGUUGAGGCAGACACCAGUGUCCAAGGAGUGGAGACAGACAGAUUACGUCAUCAUCGACCCACAAAAGAUUGCCAGCAGAUCCAGACAUGAAGAUAAGAAUAAUAUUGUUGGUAAACUACUUGGUGAAGCUAGCAAUGCAGAUCUCACAGUAGUUCCCAUCGUUGGAAUGGGGGGCCUUGGCAAGACCACAUUAGCGCAACUCAUAUACAAUGAACCUGAAAUUCAGAAGCAUUUUCCGUUGAAGCUCUGGGUCUGCGUCUCUGAUACCUUCGAUGUGAAUUCGGUGGCUAAGAGUAUAGUUGAAGCAUCCCCCAAGAAAAAUGAUGAUACAGACAAACCACCACUGGAUAGACUUCAGAAACUGGUCAGCGGGCAAAGGUAUCUCCUUGUAUUGGAUGAUGUCUGGAAUAGAGAGGUUCAUAAGUGGGAAAGGCUGAAGGUCUGUCUUCAGCAUGGCAGCGUGGGUAGUGCUGUGUUGACAACAACCCGUGAUAAACAAGUUGCUGAAAUUAUGGGUGCAACUAGAACCUACAAUCUCAAUGUUUUGAAGGAUGACUUCAUAAAGGAGAUUAUUUUGGAUAGAGCAUUCAGUUCAGAGAAUGAAAAGCCUCCCGAGCUACUCGAGAUGGUUGGUGAGAUUGUGAAGAGAUGCCGUGGCUCUCCUUUAGCUGCAACUGCACUGGAUCUGUACUUCGUACCAAGAUCAGCGUGGAAGAAUGGAAGGCUAUAUCAUCUAGAAGCAGUAUUUGCACUGAGGAAACUGGAAUUUUGCCAAUACUCAAGCUUAGCUACAACGAUUUGCCAGCACACAUGAAGCAGUGCUUUGCUUUCUGUGCCAUAUUCCCCAAGGAUUACAAGAUUAAUGUGCAGAGGCUUAUCCAACUAUGGAUCGCAAAUGGCUUUAUCCCUGAACACAAGGAAGAUAGUCUUGAAACCAUUGGACAACUUAUUUUUGAUGAGCUUGCUUCAAGGUCAUUCUUUCUGGAUAUAGAGAAGAGUAAAGAAGACUGGGAGUAUUAUUCCAGAAAUACAUGUAAAAUCCACGAUCUUAUGCAUGAUAUUGCAAUGUCUGUUAUGGAAAAGGAAUGUGUUGCUGUGACUAUGGAUACAAGUGAAAUUGAGUGGCUUGGAGAUACUGCUCGGCAUUUGUUUUUAUCAUGUAAAGGAACAGAAGGUAGUUUGAAUGAUUCUUUGGAGAAAAGAUCUCCUGCCAUUCAAACACUGAUAUGCCAAAGUCAUAUGCGAAGCUCAUUGAAGCAUCUGUCAAAAUAUAGCUCUUUGCACGCCUUGAAGCUCUGUAUUAGAGGCAAAGAAUCAUUUCUUCUGAAAUCAAUGUAUCUGCAUCACCUGAGGUACCUUGAUCUCUCAAACAGUUCUAUCAAAUCACUUCCUGAAGAUAUAAGUAUUCUAUAUAACCUUCAAAUGUUGGACCUUUCCUACUGUUGUUAUCUUUAUCGACUUCCAAUGCAAAUGAAGCAUAUGACUUUCCUCCGUCACCUCUACACUCAUGGAUGUCAGAAGUUGAAGAGCAUGCCUCCAGAACUAGGAAAACUCACUAACCUGCAGACGUUGACAUGGUUUGUGGCAGGAGUUCCUGGCCCUGAUUGCAGUGAUGUUGCAGAGCUGCAGCAUUUAAACCUUGGUGGUUAUCUAGAGCUACGUCAGAUAGAGAAUGUUAAAGAAGCAGAGGCAAAAGUGGCAAACCUUGGAAACAAGAAGGAUCUCAGAGAACUGUCAUUAAGAUGGACUGAGGUUGGCGACAGCAAGGUGCUCGACAAGUUCAAACCUCAUGGUGGGCUGCAGGUUCUGAAGAUAUAUUCCUAUGGAGGAGAGUGCAUGGGUAUGCUGCAAAACAUGGUUGAGAUCCAUCUUUUUCAUUGUGAAAGAUUGCAAAUUUUGUUCAGAUGCAGUGCAAUCUUCACUUUUCCAAAACUGAAGGUGCUUAUGCUAAUACAUCUGUUGGAUUUUGAGAGAUGGUGGGAAAUAGAUGAGAGGCAAGAAGAACAGACAAUAUUUCCUGUGCUUGAGAAGUUGUUUAUUAGUAAUUGUGGAAAGUUGGUAGCAUUACCUGAAGCACCAUUGCUGCAAGGACCUUGUGGUCAAGGUGGUUAUACAUUGGUUUGCUCAGCAUUUCCUGCCCUAAAGGUGCUCAAAAUGAAAAACUUGGAGAGCUUUCAGAGAUGGGCUGCAGUGGAAGAGACUCAAGGAGAACACAUACUGUUUCCUUGUCUGGAGGAACUAUCAAUUGAGAAAUGCCCAAAGUUGACGGCGUUACCUGAAGCACCAUUGCUUCAAGAACCAUGUAUUGAAGGUGGUUACAGAUUGGUACGCUCAGCGUUUCCUGCCUUAAAGGUGCUCAAAAUGGAAAACUUGGAGCGGUUUCAAAGAUGGGGUGUGGUCGAAGGGACAUUGUUUCCUCAGCUUGAGAAACUAUCAGUUCAGAAGUGCCCCAAGAUGAUAGAUUUACCAGAGGCACCAAAACUCAGUGUCUUAAAAAUUAAAGAUGGUAGGCAAGAGAUCUCCGAUUUUGCAGAUAGAUAUUUUUCUUCAUUGACCAAACUGAUAUUGAAUCUAGAAAACACAGAAACAACAUCAGAGGUUGAGUGCACUUCAAUUGUAUCUGUGGACAGCAAGGAGAAAUGGAACGAGAAAUCCCCUCUUACAGUGAUGGAGCUAAGAUGCUGCAACUCAUUCUUUGGACCAGGUGCACUAGAGCCGUGGGACUAUUUUGUACACCUUGAAAAGUUGGAAAUUGAUAGAUGUGAUGUGCUUGUCCACUGGCCAGAGAAAGUGUUCCAAAGCUUGGUAUCCUUGAGGACAUUAGUGAUUACAAGCUGCGAAAAUCUGACUGGAUAUGCACAAGCUCCUCUUGAGCCAUUGGCAUCCGAAAGGAGUCAGCACCUGAGAGUUCUGGAGUCUCUUUGCUUAGAAAACUGCCCAAGUUUAGUAGAGAUGUUCAACGUCCCGACAUCUCUCAAGAAAAUGUAUAUUAAUGGGUGCAUUAAGCUUGAGUCCAUAUUCGGCAAGCAGCAGGGCAUGGCUGAGUUAGUCCAAGGAUCUUCUAGCAGUGAGGCAAUCAUGCCUGCAGCUGUAUCAGAGUUGUCAUCCUCACCCAUGAAUCACUUUUGUCCAUGCCUAGAAUAUCUACAGUUAUCUGAUUGUGGAAGCUUACCAGCGGUUCUACAUCUGCCUCUGUCCUUAAAGACCUUAGAAAUUUAUAACUGCAGUAGUAUUCAAGUCCUAUCAUGCCAGCUGGGUGGGCUCCAGAAACCAAAAGUCACUACCUCCAUAAGCAGAAGUCCUGUCAUGCCAGAGCCACCACCACCAGCAGCAGCUGCUGCAAGAGAGCAUUUACUUCCUCCCCAUCUCGAAUCUCUAGUAAUACUGAACUGUGCUGGCAUGUUGGGUGGGACUCUCCGUCUGCGUGCACCCCUCAAGAGACUGCGCAUUAUUGGCAACAGUGGGUUGACAUCGCUGGAGUGUCUGUCAGGAGAGCACCCCCCAUUGCUGGAAGUCCUUGAUCUUCAAAAGUGCAGUACCCUAGCUUCCCUGCCGAAUGAGCCGCAAGUAUACAUGUCUCUCUGGAAUCUUGAAAUUAGAGGCUGCCCUGCUAUAAAGAAGCUCCCUAGAUGCCUGCAGCAGCAACUGGGCAGCAUUGAUGACGAGUACAAAGAACUAGAUGCCCAUUAUGAAGGUAUGCUUGGAGCACGUCCUUCUAUCUUUGCCACAUUUAAUAAACAGAUGCAGUCAUCCAUUCCAUUAAAUCUACCACGCCAGCAUGUCUGUACAAGUUUGUUCUCCAUUAUUUUACUUUCGAAUGUUACAUUAGUUUGUAUGUGUUUGUUCUGACGCCAUUUGCAAUAUGUGCAGUGAUGGCACUUAAACCGAAGACAUGGAAGGAGAUGCCAAGGCUAGUCCGUGAGCGGAGGAAGGCCGCUCGAGAAGCCAAGGAGCGCCAGCAAUCCGCCAUGCAGGAGUAAACAGGUUGGAAACCAUGUAGAAAGGGCAUGGAUUCCAAUUGCUCUGAACAAUGUACAAGAUUAUGUCGUGACUGUAAUCAAUCGGCUUUGUUGAGCUUUGGCCUCUACCUAGUUCAGAUAUUUGUAAUGCGAAUCAAAUGAAUCUGCCCGGUUCAGUAGAAGUUAGGAUAAUAUACUCACAUGUGUGUCUGUGAGCUAUCUAUCGUAUCUAUCUGUUUUUGCUUUGCUUAGUUAACUGCGAAGACACUAGCCUUUAAUUGUUCAAUAAAGUUUUUCAACUGUGGCUUUUAUCUGUCGAUUUUCGUGGUUGACAGGCCUAAUCCCUGAUUGUUGCUCUUCUCUGCUCUGCUCUGCUAGGGGAAUGAGCUGUUAUUGCUUCUGCAACUUAACUGUGCCGCAGUCCGCUCUCCGUCGAGAACUGUCAGGGCCUGCGGUGUAGGGCGGCUGCUGCUUGGCGUCGAGUGGAGCAUAUCUGAAUCAACAUCCUAGGCUGAGACCAUCUCAUCUUGAUCUGGUUUGCUGUUGUCCAGUCAAGCGAGGAAACACAGGGAAGAAACAACAUAGAAAGGGCAUGGUAGUUUAUUUUAUUUUGCUUCAGAAACUGUACCAAUUUAUGUCAUGAUUGUUACCUGCUCCGUUAAACUCUGACCUUGAUCUUGUUAUUAAAGAUUCAGACACUUGCCUCGUUUAGUAGAAGCUGGGGUACUUGUAAUGUGUGCCAUAUAUAUUUCUAGUUUCAGCCAUUUCCAUAUCAAGUACAAGCUCGGAAAGGCUUAGGUGGUCUGUGAACUUUCUGGCCCUGCUUGCUUGACGCAAGUUUUACAGACAUAUAAAACAUAAGUUUAUAUAUAUAUAAUAUACAGUUAAGCAGCAGUUUCCUCGCAUGUAAGAUGGUUAAGUAGCAGCCGCAGGUAUCAGUCAGUCCGGUACUUGUUGAAUGGGAUCGACAGUUGAAUUGCUCUGCUCUGCUGCAAAACUCUGUGUUUGCCUGUGGAGGAAUGAAUAUUUCAGUUUCAGAAUUUGUGAGCUACUCCUAUUUAGUUUCUAGUCUGGUUGUGGUACUAUCUAGUUUCAGCACUGUUUAUUUAGUUUAGAAGAAAUUUACUGUUGACCUUUUUAACGUGUUUACAACACGUGCUAUUUGAAAUAUAAUUCUUUUUUUACCUGUUUCGAUACUUGUACAGAUCAAGUAGUACAAGUUGGGAGGAAAAAACCUCAGGUCCGUGAACUGUUUGGUCCUGUCUGUCUGUACAAAAUCAAGUUUGUUCGCUGUAGCCAGUAUAGUGUUGUAGAUAUCUGAAUAACUUGGUGUCUGCUUACGAGAGCAGAGGACGUGGAUGGAUGUUUGCUGCCGGCUGAUGCUGCAGGAACCGAAAGAGCCUUCUCAGUAUGCACUUCAAUGAAGAAGCAACGGACAGAUGUUCAGAUACAUCCGUUUGAGCUGACCGCUAUUUCUGGACGGAGGGAGUAUUAUGUAAGAUUUUGUGUACUUUCCCUUUAUUACUUUUGGUGCAGCUUCAGUUGAUGGUUUGCAUGCUCUUCUUAAGGAUUUACAUUCUCUUAGUGUCUUUGUUUCGUAUGUUUCUUUAGAGCCUCCUGUAGUUAAUCAGGCACUUCUCUGCUUUUAUAGACUAGUGUUAUUAUUGGUUUAUUAUUCAUGUUACUUAGGAAUUAGGGUCAAACAAGCACCUCCUGCUCUGCUGGUAGCUAGCUUAAUUCCCAGGUUUGGUAUAUAUCUAUGUUGUGAUGCAUACUCAUGUUUGUGAGCUAGUAUAUAUCUAUUUUCAGUGUCGUUUAAUGGUUCAGAGAGUGGGCUGUAACUUGUUCAGAUACUUUGUGUUAAACUGUAGAAUUGACCUGCUGCAGUAAUUUUGACAGCUGAGGUGGGAUGAGCUGCAUAUCAUUCUCUGAUUGGGAGUAACAGGUUGUUGUUGUUUGGUUCUGAUGUUGCUAAGCUGUGGUGGUGGUCACAAUUAUCUUCCUAAUCCGGCAA